rnacentral:lncRNA from 1 species
CAUCAGCUGCUGGUGAAAGUAGAGCCAAGGCCACCCGUCGUCGUCUUCGACCUUUACACGGUCCUCCUCUUCCAGCCUCUCUGAAUUUCUACUGAUCAUCACUCCCCACCAGCCAACCAGCUGCUUUAUGCUACCUUCUAGAAUUCUAAAGACUUUAGUUAACUAAUUAACUUCUUCUAGACUUGUUUCUGGGUUUAAUCAAUUUGCUCCCCCCCAGUUUCUCUGUAAAAUUUUUGCUUAAUUUAAUUAAUUGUUAAUUAACAAAUAACAGAAACGCUAAUUUUCGCGCAAGUUUCAACAAUACUUACUUGGUUGCCUUCUGUUCUCCUGUUUGCGUCUCUGUCUUCCAUUACGAGCACCCAAAGAGGUAUAAUCAACGGUUUGCGAGAUAGCUGCGACUGCAGUAGGUGCCGGCGUCGAUCAUCAACAUGGCGGUGCACGGUAGAAUUAGGUGAGGAGAGAUGGAGAGGUAUAAUCAACGGUUGCUGAUCAAAUUUGAAACUUUCCAGCGAACCGACGGUGAUGAUGAGAUUGAUUCCAAUUAUAAAUCCUGUGCAUAUCCUGUAUAUUGAGUCUAUGUAAUCGUGACCGUCAGAUCGGAUUUAUAUGAUCGUAUGGCUGGUGUUAGUGGGCGCUACGUCGGAUUUAUAUGAUCGUAUUCUUCAUCAUUAUGGUUGAUGGCUUAACAAAUGCAGGAGUAGGGGACAGCCAAAAUAAAACACUUUCUCUUGUAUUAACCUUUGCUAGUCGUCGAAGUUAAAAAUUUUUAGAACAAGUUAAAACAGUUCCAACUCAAAAUCAUUAGUGCACAAUUGGGUUGUUAUAAAUAUUUUUGAAUUUCAGUCUAAUUUGACUUAUUUAAUUAUGUAUGCACAAACUAGUUUCAUCACUUUUUUCGUAUUGAUACCCAAAAUUUUCAACCUUAUUUUAUAUUGAUGCACAAUCUAACUUAAUAAAAAUAAUAUUCAAAUUGUCACAAUUUUUUUUUUUAAAUCAUAUACAAAGUUAAGUUUUCUUCUUCUCUAGGAUCCAGCUCUAUACUCCUCUUUUUUGUCGUUAUGCUGCUCAGUCGUUAAAUUUUAAUUACGUUAAUCUAACGGUCCGGAUUUGUAAUGAAUAAUAUUAAAUGCACCGGUAUAUUUUAAUUACGUUAAUCUAAAGCUGCAAUUAUGUGCCGUAAACAUUGACAUGGUUAAUGUCAUCGAGAUCACAUGGUUGUUAUUUACGAAAAGAGAAUUGCUGGAAAUUUUGUUAAUCCACUAUUGCAACAAUAUAUUGUUAUAAAUUGCAUUGUUUCCCAUAUUUAUAGAUUAAUUUUGAAAAGAAGCAAACAAUGCUAAGAACGUAUUUUACAGAAGCUAUAUAGACAUGUCAUAUGAAUUUCGUUUUUAUACUACGUAAUUAUUAAUUUAUAUAAUAAUAUAUUUCCUUCAAAACAUAGUAUUUGAAUUUGAAAUUAUUUUUUUUAAAUUAGCAUUACGAAAAUAAUCAUGAUUUGAUUGGUUUCAGUUUUAUAAGAAAAAAGUUGGGAAAAUAGACAAACAAUGAAGGAAAAAAUUAAGCAGAGCCAAUAAACAGGGGAAAGUGAAUUAAUGUCCUUGUGCACAUUAAUAAUCUCAUUUUUCCAUGUACAAUUUUGUAAAAUAUUCAUCUCAUAUACUAGAGUCUUUUGGUUUUAUGACGAAAGAGUCAUGGUAGCGAUGUAUCUAGAGUAAAAAGAUUUAAUUUAUUUUUCCUUGUUAUUAGCAAAAAUUAUUAUUAAUUAAUCAACCCAUCGAGAUAUAUUGGUUUCAUUUGUUACAACUAGCCAAUUGCUUAAUACAGUUUUGUACGUCUCACUAUUACUUGUAAAUAAAAUCAUAGAUGUGGUAUGUUGUGAUGUGAUAAAUUUAAAUACAAAUCUUAAUUACGUUGUGAUGUGAUAAAUUUAAUUCAUGUUAGGAAAUUGAGCUUCCUUCCAAGAUCUCUCUAAGCAAUUUAUCAAGCAAAAAAUUAAUAAAAAAAAUUAAAUGGAGAAUACAUUAAUCACACAACACAAGAUUUACGUGGAAAACUUCAAAUUCGGAGAAAAACCACGGCCGUUGUCACAAGACAACUAGAGAAAAAUAUUCCCUAUGUGGAAAAUUAUUAUAACCACUCUUAGAAAUAAUUUUCUCUCACCCAAGCCCCAAAUACAUAAUCUCAAGAAAUAUCCCUUAACAAAGCAAACCCGUAAUACCCAUAAUGAGGAGCCAACUUCUCCUUCAAUAUAACUACAUGCUUAAGAACAUUUCUCUCUCUCAAUUUCUCACCAAAACUUGGAUUCCUUCUCUGGGAUUUUGGGAUACUAAAAUAAGGAGGAGCACUCCUCUAUUUAUAGCCAAAUUAUGGCUUCCUUUUCUUCUUUUUUUUUCUUCUUUCCAUAUCUGGAGAUUUUCAUCAUAGUAGUUUAUUGAAAGUGAAGGCAGCUGAAUACACUUUUUUCUGAUGCAGUCUGUCCCUCUUUGGUGUGAUUAUUUGAAAUUUGUGCAAGAAUAUGAUCCAUCUAUACACGAAUGUGCCUAAUAAAAUAUCACAAAGGUGCCUAAUACAGUGAAAUUAACAUAUUCAGCUCAUGAGAUUGCCAUUAUAUAUAUUGAAAAAGAAAUUAAUACAAGAAACUGAAAAUUAAUUGACACUGGAUCAUGUUGGAUUGUUUGUUAAUUAUGAUGGGAUUAUAAUCUUGGUCUUUUAAUUAUCAUCUAGCUAAUGCAUGUGCACUUUCAUUUGUGUCUAUCACUGGAGAAUAAAGUUGCUUGAUUGAACAGCAUCAUAUGAAGGAAACUCAAAACUCAAUUUCGUUGCCUGAGCAUAUCAUGCUAUAUUUAGCUCAAAAGUGCAAUUAACGUUGAACAUUCAGCUAGCUGGCUCAUACUAAUUAAUUUAUAGGAUUGCUAGUUCUUUAUGAUUAACUAAAAGAGAAAAUAUUUGACAAUUACGAAAACAACAACAAUUCACUCUUAUAAACAACAUAAUAGAUACAUGGUCUAUAUUGCAAUUCUUUUUAUGAUUUUAAUUAAAAGAGAAAAUGCAAAGGAAAUAUUAUAUAUAAUUGAAGGUUCUCCUUGAUAAUUAGACAAAAUGACACCAAUCUGGCUAACUAAUACAAUCAUCAUAAUUAUCCGAUUUUCAUUUUAAUUAUGUCCAAUCAUGCUAAUUUAAUAAAGAAUACUGAAUACACGAGUAUUUAUAUGUUCAACAACUUUGACUUCUGAAAAAUAUAGGAGCUGCAUUUAUGCUUUGUGUUAUUAAGUAGGACAUGACCAUAUUAAGUUGCAUUUGUCAGAAAACUGAAAAUUAUUCAAAAGGAUCUUAAAAGAGGUGUUGAAUUGUGAGCUUAAAAAUGAGUUUAGAAGUUUCUGACAUGUCAGUUUGUAUCCUUAAUUGUGCAUGCCCUGUCAGUUUCUGGAUGAAACAGGAGAAUGUGACAUCUGUGUAUUGUCUUUUACUUCCAGUAAGUGAAUCACAUGUUCUUCACGUGAUUUGACAUACUUUAGACGGAUUUGGCAGUUGUUUUGGUCACUUAUUGAAGCACGAGUUAAGCACGUGAUUCAAGGUUGUUAACUGACCGUUAUAAGGUGGGAAAAUUCUGGGUUUGUUACAACAAACCCAGAAGGCAGCUGGUGAGUGGGGGACGUUUCUGUAUAUAUGGUCUUAGAGGCUAUAGUUGAGCCAUAUGAAAAGCUCCUAACUUCUUAAUGUUUGUAGCUUGUUCGUGGUGAUUGAAAUAAGAUUAUUACUCCGUCCUUCAGCGGAUAUAUGCUAUCUCCAAAAUGUGCCACUUAAAUUGUGCCUCUGUUUUGCUUGUUUCUGUUCUUAUUCUUGUGAGGUGUGUGAUUUGUUUAUCAUUUCUAAAUCAUCAAUUAGAGAGACCAACCAGAUCUUGGUGGUUUUAGAUUGAGUUCAAUCGAUCAAGAAUCAAUAAGAUGUAAUGAAAACAAAAUGACAGAAUAAUGCACGCACAUCACAGCAAUGUUUCAUUCAUUUCGAAUCUAUAUAUACAAAACUUUUAUCUGACAGUUUACAUUUGUUUAAUAUAGCGCUGUAACAUGCGUACCAUCAAAAGCUACAGCCGCCAUCUUUGUUUGUCCUCGUAGCAUCCUUGAUCUUAUUUUAUCGUGGUGAUUCUUGAAAGUUCAUCUCAUUCUCAUGUGCUGAGUCACUUGCUGAGAUGAUGAAUACUUGAGGGUCCUUCCUUGAGACAUUUCAGCAGAAACCUGAUUCAUUCUAUCAAACAUCUGCAUCACUAAUCACUAAAUGAUGUAAGAUAGUUCUGUUUUGAAAUAUUAAUAUGCAUGCAUCCCCCGCGUUAGUUAGAGCUGCUUGUCAUCUUCUAUUUUCUUUUGGGUACAGUUUUGAAUUUUUAAUUAAUUGGCUUUCUCGCGGGAUAUUGUUUUCUCCUUUGAUUUUCUAUUUUUUGAUGAUGGUGUACACAUACAAAGAUCGUGUAAUAAAGUGCUUUUAGUAAAUCAUGGUCGGUUUACUAUUAAUUAAUCAAAUUUAAUUUGCUUUGGUAUUUGUUAACAUCAUUGUUAUUAUAAAGCGGACCUAUACAAUUAUAGAAAGAACGCCAACGGACCAAGCUCUACCAGCAAAUUAAUGAGAUUGCUCUUGUACACGAUUAAAAUAAUUUCAAUUUCAUCGUAUUUAUGUGUGUGUCUAUAUAUAUAGAGAGAGAGAUUGUACAUUGACGAAAUAAUGAUAAUUUAGCAAAUCUAAUUUUCAUUUAUAUUAUUAUGUUAAUUUAUGCUAUUUUAAUAAAGGCCACUCGAACAUUUAUAUAUCCAAUAUGUAAAAUUUUAAAACAAUAUUUGCCAAAGUUUGACGAAGCGACUACCAAAGCUUAGUUGUAAUUAAUCAAAUAAAAAAAAUGUUUGCUUUGCUUGAUGUACUGUUUGCUUAUGAUCUUUUCUUGAUUUUCUUGUGGGAUGUUUCUCUUUGGAUGUUUUGUUUAUUAUAUUAACAACAAUAAAGUGCGUUUUAUAAAUCAUGGUCCUACAGUCAGUAGUAAAAGAAAGGGGAUUCUCACUUUCCCCCUACAGUAAUUAAUAUAUAUCAUUUGUCCCCCUUCUGUUUUUAUAAUGGCAUAAAACUCCCCUGACAACAUAAGUUUACAGUAUUACCCUUAUUUUUAAUUACUUUUUUAUUUACAUUUAUUAUAAAUUAAAUAAAUUACAUGAAUAGAAAUUAAAUAAAAAAAUUAAGUAUUAAAAACAAGAAAUAUAUGUUUUGAUAUGAGCAAAAAAAUUAAUAAUAAUUUUUUUUGUAAUAAUUUAUUUUGUGAACAUUUUCUUAUAAUAAACAUUUUGUAAUAUUUUAAAAUUAAAUGUAAAAAGUAUAGGCAAAAUAUUUGAUUAUUUAUCUUAUAAUAAAUUUUUAUUUUUCAUUCAAAUUUUCUUAUAAUAAUUUUUUUAUCAUUUUAUAAUAACUUUCUUAUAUAUUUAUUAUAAGAAAAAUAUGCACAAAAUAAAUAAGUACAAGAAAAAAAUUUUAUUAUUAAUUUUUUUCUCAUAUCAAAACAUAUAUUUCUUGUUUUUAAUUCUUAAUUUUUUAUUUAGUUUAUAGUCAUGCUAUUUAUUUAAUUUAUAAUAAAUAUAAAUAAAAGAGUAGUUGAAAAUAAGGGUAAUUUUGCAAACUUAUGCUAUUAGGGGGGUUUUUGGCCAUUAUAAAAACAGCAGGAGGAAAUGGUAUAUGUUGAUUACUGUAGGGGGGAAAUUGGCAAUCUCCCUAAAAGAAAUAAUGAGCUUGGUUUUUAUUAAUAAAAAUUAGAAAAAAAAUCUUUUUCUCUAGAACUUAUUAUGGAUUUUAAGCUAAAAAAAAAAAAUACUACCCCAAUUUCUAAAGAUAUUCCCUCUUAUUUCAUAUUGAUUUGUUAAUGCGAAGAUUCAUUGCAAUUAUAACAGUUUUGAUGAAUUUAAAUAUUCAAUAACUGAUAAAUUCUAUUUAUAAAUAUUAAUAGCAAUGACACGGAAACAAUUAAAUCAAAUUAAACAAUUGUUCUACUCACCGCUUUUCCUUUUGUUUCCAAAACCCAUUAACCACCGACAUCGAACCAUAUUAAUUUAAAAUAUUGUUCAACUGAGAUUUGAAUUUUAAAAUUACAUACACAAACACACCCGAUUUUUUUUAAAAAAAAAAGAAUACUGCUAAUAAAAUAUUUCAGCCAUCAAAAGCCACAUACCUAAGGUAUGAUGAGCAAAUCCUCCCAAUGAUCCUGAAAUUACUCUCGCACCCUAUCAAAAUAAUUUUAAUUUCAUCAUAUAUGCACACAGACACACACACAAAAUGUAAAUAAUUUUUGUAUAUAAAAUAUUUGAAAUAAUCACUAAACAACAAUUCACAAGGUAGAUUAUACCCAGACGAAAUAAUGCCAUUUUAAUAAAGAACGCUCGAGCAUUUAUAUAUCUAACAGGUAAGAUUUCAAAACAAAUUUUGCCGAAGGCAAAGUCUGGUGAAGAGAAAUGUUAUAUGUAUAUAACCGUACAGGCGCAGCAGAAGGAUAAGUAAAAAAAAACGAAGUUUCAAUAAGAAAUUAAUUCAUUACUUUCCAAAUGAUCAUCUUAAGGCUCAUUUGGAAAAUGGUGUUCUGAGGAUCACUGUGCCAAAGCUUGCUGAGGAGAAGAAGAGGCAGCCCAAGGUUAUUAACAUUGAUGAAGAAUCUGGUAAUUCUUCCGGUGAAGAUAGUAAGGCCACCAAGGCUCAAAUGUAAUUGAUUAAAGAAAGAAGUGCUUGCUUUGCUUGAUGUGCCAUUUGUUUUGUGAUCUUUUCAUGGUUUUGUUGUGUGAUGCUUCUCUUUAGAUGUUCUGUUUAUUGUAUUUUGAUGGGUUUUUGAGGAUGGUUGUAUGUAUUAACAACAACAAGGUGCUUUUUAUAAAUCCGGUUCCUAAUUUUGUAAAAGAAAUUAAUACUCUUGGUUUAUUUUUAAUGAAAAAUUAAAAAGAAAAAGCUUUUUUCUAUGGCAUAUAUUAUGCAUUUUAAGAAAAAAAAAUAUCACAUUCCAAUUGAUGAAGACAUUUCUUCUGUCAUAUUGAUGUGUUAAUAGAAAGAUCUAUAUGAAUUAUAAUGAUGAAUCUAAAUAUUCAAUAACUGAUAAAUUGUAUUUAUAAAUAUUAAUAGUGGUGGCAUAUAAACAAUUAAUUCAAGGACUCGCCUAUAAUGAAUUAAUUUAAAGAGUAUAAAUAUUUUAAUAAAUCAUACUCGAUUUACUAUUAAUUAAUCAAAUUUAAUUUACUCAAAUUAUUCCUCUACAUGAUCAAAGUAAUUUCAAAUAUACACGCACAGACACAAAAAAUGUAAAUGACUUUGAAAUAUAAAAUAUUUAAAAUAAUCACCAUACUAACAAUUCACAAGUCAGAUUAUAAAUGGUCGAAAUAAUGAUAAUCUAGUGAAUUCAGUCAUAAUAAUUUGAUUUUCAAUUAUAUUAAUUAUGUCGAAUCAUACUAUUUUAAUAAGAAAGAGCACUCGAGAAUAUAUAUAUCCAACAACUAAAAUAAUAGAAUAUAUAUAUAUAUAUAAAAACACGCGCACGCACAUAUAUAUAAUCGUACUGCAGAAGGAUAGAUAAAACCAACAGCUGAAUAAUGCAAACUGACUUUUUUCUUUGAAAAAAAAGGCAUUUUAUUGUUUAAUUCGAAAACCCAUUAUAUACAUGAUAAAGACUCACCGACACCGAACCAUAUUAAUUUAAAAUAGUUUUCAACUGAGAUUUAAAAUUACAUACACAAACACACCCGAUUUGUUUUAAAAAAAACUACUAAUAAUAAAAUACUUCAGUCAUUCUCUGUUCUGCCAUCAAAACCCCAUUUAUAUAUCUAACAUGUAAGAUGUAAAAACAAAUUUUGCCGAAGGCAAAAAGUCUGGUGAAAAGAAAUGUUACAUCUAUUUAACCGUACAGGCACAGCAGAAGGAUAAGUCAAAGAAAAACGAAGUUUCAAUAAGAAAUUAAUUACACAUUUACACUCAAUAAGAAAUUAAUUCAUUACUUUCUACCACUUUUAUUUAAAAAAACGUAGUCUAUUAUUUAAUAAAAAUUCGAAAACCCAUUUACAUGAUAAAAACUCACCUACACCGAACCACAUUAAUUUAAAAUAAUUUUCCACUAGGACUUGAAAAUUACAUUCACAAACGCACCCAAUUGAAAAAAAAAAUUAAAUAAAAUAUUUCAGUCGUCCUCUGUUCAGUCAUCAAAAACCCAUUUAAAAUCUAUACAGACAUAAGAAGUCCCCAUAUUGUCCUCUAUCCUUUCUGCACUUCUCUUUCAUCAACGGACAUUCCGAGAUCCAUAAUUGCAAAAGUGAGGAAGGCAGUUAAGUGAUCAAUUGGUAUUUGUAAGCGUCGUUGUAGUACAACAACAUACUAAUCAACUACUACGCUCUGCCAGCCAAUUAAUCAGCAAAUCCUCCUCAAAUUGGGCUUGUAUACGACCGAUUUUAAUUUCAAAUGAUAGAUGUAUAUAAAUAUAUAUCUAUAUAGAUACACACACAUACACAAAAUGUAAAUAACUUUCAAAUAUAAUAUUCAAUAAUCACUAAAUUAACACUUCGCAGGUUAGAUUAUACAUAGACCAAUGGAUAAUGCUAAUCUAUUCUAAUAAAUUAAGAACACUCGAAUAUUUCUAUGUCCAGUCGGUAAAAUUUCAAACCAACUUUUCCCAAGCUCCUCCUAUGCUGAAUUAAUUAAUACAUUAAAAGGUCCGUCUCUGCUAAAUAAUGCAAUUGCGCUAUUCUGCCCUUUUUUUAAAAAGCAUUCUACUAUUUAAUAAAAAAAAAUUCGAAUGCUCAUCAUAUACAUGAUAAAAACUCACCGAUACCGAGCCAUAUUAAUUUAAAAUAGUUUUCAACUGAGAUUUGAAUUUUAAAAUUACAUACACAAACACACUCAAUUUAAAAAAAGAAAAAAAAAAGAAAAUACUAAUAAUAAAAUAUUUCAGCCGUCCUAUGUGUUAUCGCCAAAAACGGAUUUACCAUCUAUUUCAACGCGCGGUAUAUGGGUUAACAAGUCCCAAUAUUGUCCUCCAUCCUUUCUGCACUUCUCUACUAUCAACGGACAUUCCCAGAUAAUUAAUAGCAAAAGUGAGGAGGGCAGGCCCUUCUCCGGAAAGUAUUUGAGCCUCGGACAAUCCCAGAGUCGCAAAAGUGAGGAAGGCAGGCCCUUCUGUCAUAUUGAUGUGUUAAUAGAAAGAUCUAUGUGAAUUAUAACAAUUUUGAUGAAUCUAAAUAUUCAAUAACUGGUAAAUUGUAUUUAUAAAUAUUAAUAGCGGUGGCACAUAAGCACUUAAUUCAAGAACUCACCUAUAGUGCAUUAAUUUAAAGAGUAGAAAUAUUUAAUAAAUUAAUCAUGCUCGGUUUACUAUUAAUUAAUCAAAUUUAAUUUACUCAAAUUACUCCUCUACAUGAUCAAAGUAAUUUCAAAUAUACAACACACAAAAUGUAAAUGACUUUGAAAUAUAAAAUAAGCACCCCACUAACAAUUCACCAGCAAGAUUAUAAAUAGUCGAAAUAAUGAUAAUCUAGGGGGUCCAGUCAUAAUAAUUUGAUUUUUAUUUAUAUUAAUUAUAUCAAAAAGAGUACUCGUGAUUAUAUAUAUAUCCAACAGCUAAAAUUUCAAAACAAUAUUUGCCAAAGUCUGAUGAAGAGAAUUACAUAUAUAUAACAUGCACUCGCACACAUUCUAUUGUUUAAUUAAAAAAUUUGAAAGCCCAUUAUAUACAUGAUAAAGACUCACCGACGCCGAACCAUUUUCAUUUAAAGGAUUUGUUUUCAACUGAGAUUUGAAAUUAUAUACACAAACACACCUGAUUUUUUUUUUUAAAAAAUUACGAAUAAUAAAAUAUUUCAGUCGUCCUCGGUUCAGUCAUCAAAAACCCAUUUAAAAUCUAUAGCAACACGCGGUAUAUGGGUUAACAAGUCCCAAUAUUGUCCUCCAUCCUUUCUGCACUUCUCUGCUAUCAACGGACAUUCCCAGAUAAUUAAUAGCAAAAGUGAGGAAGGCAGGCCCUUCUCCGGAAAGUAUUUGAGCUUGGGACAUUCCAAGAGAUACAAUGAAGUGAGGUAUUGAAGAUCAACAAUUGAAGAAGAUAGGCGUUCCAGAUUUGGAAAAUUGAAAAUCCACAGAGUUGUUAGAGAGGCAGGAAGAGGAAGCGUGGUCCCCGAUCCUUUGUCAUCUGCCUUUAGUGGGAAUGACACCACGUCAUCACAAUUAAUGAUUGUAAGUUGUCGCAGAGAGGAGAAUCUGUGAAAUCCCCGACCCCGCUCAAUCAUUGACUUCCAAAUCUCCUUAUUACUAUUAAUCUCCAGUGAAUGAAGGUUGGUGGGAAGGCCAUCUUCUUCAAGGCUUGGAAGCUCAACUCCUUUUCCUAUUCUUAAUUGUUGAAGAGAGGUCAGAUUGUGCAAUCCCUUGGGUAAGACCUGUAGUCUCUUACAAUAAGAUAUCUCCAGCCUCGUGAGUUUCGCACAAGGCAAUCCCCCUUGGGGAAAGGACACCAGAUCACAUUCCCAUAUCCCUAUCUCUUGAAGCUGGCGGAGAUUAUGUAAAGCACUCGGUAAAAUUUUCAGAUUUCUACAAAAACUAACUGCGAUUGUUUCAAGAGAUGUGUUGUUGUCCAACCUUUCUGCUAUUGACUCCAGCUUUGAACAUCCACCAACACGAAGGGACUUAAGAGACGGAGGUAGAUUGCCAACUUCAAGGGACUCAAGCGUGGCAGGUAACUCGUUUUUUGAAAAUAUACAUGUCAGUGAUAGACAACCACUAAUUUCCAACUCCUCGAGAAGAGAUGAGGCGUACCUUCUGCUGCUGCUACACUGGAUGCCCUCUUCCACUGUCAAAGUCCUUAGAUUAUAACAAAGGUAGAUCUCCAACCUCUUAAGGCUCGGUGGUAGCUGGACUCCAGCAAUAUAUGUCAACGAAUGGCAAUCCCAAAUCUUCAAGAUCUCGAGAGAGGAAUUGUUGUCGCACAUCCAUGCCUCUGGUAACGAUUUCAGUGCAUCACAUUCUCUAAUCUGAAUUUUCUUCAACUUGGAAGGCAGAGCAACCUCAGGAAAGGAAACAAGGGAACUGCACUUGUAGAUUUCUAUCUCUCUCAAGGAACUGAGGCUGAGCGAUGAUUGUGGCAGCUUCACAAGGCCUUCGCAUCCGCUCAAUGCUAGAUAUUCAAGUCUGCAUGACAACUCGCAGAGCUGCUGUUGUUGGUCUUUCUCUUCCUCCGCCACCAAGGAUUGAAGUUUGGGACAGCUUCUUAUCUCCAGACUUUUGAGAGAGCAAAUGUCUUGUAGUAAUCCGUCAUGACUCUUCCAUAUAUAUGUUUGCUCUUUUGUCGACAAAAUUAAUUCUUCCAAUUUCGGUAGUUGUGGCUUUAAUGGCCCUGCGAGAAACACUUGAUUUGAUGUAUCUCUACAAACCACUGAAUUCUGUGAGCCGAGAUGAUCAGUUGCACUUCUCCACACAACCUUUUUACAUCCACCAAUUAUGAAUUUGCAAAGAGCUGGAAGACUCGAAAUUGAAACUGACAAUUCUUCACAUCCUUCAAUAACAAGCUUCUCCAAUGCAAGAAGGUGCUCUGGAAAUGUUCCUUGUAGCUUAGAACAUCUUAAAAUGUGAAGCUCUCUCAAUUUAGGAAACCCUUCAACUCCCUGACUGGAUCCAUGAGGAAUCCAGUCUUCCCAUCCUUGCAUGUCUUCAAAAUGAAGAGUCUCCAAGCAUGGAAAAGGAAUUGGAGUAUCAUUCCCAUAGAACUCUGAAUCCAACCUCUUUACACUAGCCAUUCCACAUACUGCAAGAUGCUUUAGAGAGGGUAGUUGGCCGACUGACGGCAGGGUAGGACACAUGCCACAAUAUUCAAAUUUUAAGGUCACCAAAUUUGAGAAUGAGGAAUCUCCGAACCAAGUUGGAAAUUUUGCACCUCUAUAGCCGCUGAUACAAAAUUGUUCCAAAUUUUUAUGGGGUUGUAGCAUGUCAAGCACAUCCUUUUCAAUUUCCGCCUCCCUUGAAGACGAGCCAUCGGUACUGAGUGUCCAUCCAAGCAAUAAUUCUGUAAGAUUCUUCUUUCCAUCCAAUUGAGCCUCCUUUGCAUCACCAACGUCUUUUACAUUCUCCAAUUUUGAAAUGUUAAGUGUCCCAUGAAGGUGCGUCAACAACUUUAGCUCUCGUAACCCGGAACCACUACCUUUUCCCACAACAAAAUUACACAACGUCUGAAGACUAGUCAACCUACCAAUUCCUACUGGCAUUUCCUCCAACGACUUCGUAUUUGAAUUCUUAAGAUGAUGCAAUUUGGCGAGGUUUCCCAUGUCUGCACACAACUUCUUCAGUUUCCGACAAUCUUCCAACAAAAGACUAUGCAAAUUGUAAAGCUUGUUGACUGAUUCAGGCAGAGCUCUAAUCUGAGUUCCAGAUAGGUUAAGGUACUUUAAAUACCUCAAAUCACCAACUGAAUCCGGCAGCUCAGGGAUGCGGUAUCCACGCAAAGAGAAGACCCUCAAGCGUCGGAGUUUGAGCAACUUAGGAAGAAUGCUAGGAGCCAAGUAGCCAGGCGAACUUUUUGUCAACAUUACUGGUAAAAAAGUUCUCAAAUGUUGGAUAUCAUACAAGUCCCCAAACCUUUUACCGCCAUCAUAAUAUUCAGUACUGUAUGACAGAUGACGAAGAUUUCUGGAAAAACUUUGUUGCUUGUUAACCUCUGAGGUAUACUCCAUUGUGAAGUAUAUCUCCCCCGCAGCCCAUUGAGCAAGGUCAUUGAUAAGAUCGUGCAUCACAAAUCGUGAUGUAUUGUUGCUUGAUUGCUGGAAAAAAGAUCUUGAACGUAGCUCUUGAAAGAACUUUCGACCUAGAUCUUCGUUGGGAUUCCCACUCUCUUUAUGAUCCAAGAAACCUGAAGCACUCCAUAAUAAAAUUAUCUCCUCCUCUUCAAAUUCAUAAUCCUUCGGAAACAACGAGCAGUAUGCAAAGCAUUGUUUCAAAAUUGGAGGAAGAUAAUAAUAGCUCACUGCAAGAGCUGGUAUAAUGGGACAUCUAUCUUCUGGUAAUUCCCAUAUCUUGCUACUGAGCACAUCUUCCCACACACCUCUGUCAUGUUCUCCACAUAAAAGUCCUCCCAGUGUUUUUGCUGCCAAGGGCAAGCCAUUGCAUUUGAUCACUAUCUUCUUGCCAAUGUCCUCCAAUGACUUGUGUGAACUGAAAUCUCUUGUCCCCAAAGAGUGCUGAGCAAACACAGACAGACAAUCCUCAGUGGACAAGUUUUUCAAUUCAUAAGCUUGAUCCGGCCUCAUGAUUUUUGCAACCUGUUGAUUGCGAGUAGUGACAACAAUCUUACUUCCCUGUGCGCCAGCUUCAAACGGACGGCUCAUGUCAACCCAGUCAUUGUAAUUCUCAUUCCAAACGUCGUCUAAAACAAGCAAAAAUUUCUUUUGAGAUAACUUCUUCUUCAGCUCCUCUUGAAGCUUAUUCAAGUCGUGAUCAUCCACUUUCUGGUCACUAGCAAUUGAAAGUAGGAUUGAUUUUGUAAGCCUGAUAAGAUCAAAAUCAUCAGAGACGCAAGUCCAUGCCUUGAGAUCAAAAUGGUCCUCCACUUGCUUAUCAUUGUAGACAAGCUGAGCAAGAGUGGUUUUACCCAGCCCGCCCAUACCUGUAAUAGAAAUAACAGAGAAUCCACCAUCAUUUCUUGAAUCAUCCUUCAACAACAAUUCAAAAAUUUCCUUCUUUUCUGUUUCCCUGCCAUAUACUUUGGCUUCAUUCACCAAAGAGGUUGUCUCUCGUCUUUGCCUGUCUUCUGUGCUCCUCCCCGCUGAACUUACGUUCAAACCCAGCGAGUUUUUCUGUGUCACAAUUUCUUGAAAUCUGCUGUUGAUCUCUUUGAUUUUGGACAUCAAGCCAUAAUCGAAUUGAAUAGAUUGUGGAGUAAAAGUGGUGCAGCAAGCAGGAAUGAGCUUCCGAAACUUACUUGUUCUUGUACGACUGCUACUGGGUUGAUCAUGAGCAGCAGCUGGUUCUCUAUUUCCGAGCACCAACUUCCUCCGGAAAGCCUCAGUUUGAAACUGAUCCAACAAAUCUUCAACAUCAUAAGCCAAGUUCUGAAGCUUGCCAAGCCACUUCUUCACAAACCGAUUAGUCGUCUUCUUCUCCUCAGCAUCAUCAAGCACCGCCUUGAUCAUCUCCAACAUAUUCUCCCACUCCAUUAGAUCGUCUUGGAUCUUCUCUUGGCGUGCAAAAAACAGAAUCCCCUCUGAAGCUAACUUAUUGACCAGCAAGUCAACGGACGCCGUAAGGAUUGCCUCUCCGAUGAUUGACAUUUUUUUUCUUUUUUAUUUUUGGGCAAAAGGAAGAAAGGAGCAGAAUUAUGAGUUAUGGAAAGCAGAAAGAGAAAAUUGAACGGGUGAGAAAAUGGAUAAUUAAGCAGAAUGAGUUUGUGAUUGUGAAGGGUCUGGCCCAGCAAGCUUAGUAGAAAUCACGCGUUUACACUUUAUUGACCAUUGACUAAUAAUUUGGCAAUUCACUCGUCACCACCACUUGAAAAUUCAAGGGUCACGCAAAAUACACGUAAAACGUGGCAAGUCUUUCCACUUGUUGUUCCUUGCAGUUAAGAAAAGAAAAAACAGAGCCGUAAUUAAUGACAAUUUUUAAAAUAAUAAUAAGAGAAAAACCUACAUUUUUUUUAAAUCUCAAUGCGAAUACGUAUCAUAAUGUUAUGUUCCUGUUGUAAAACGAAAUUUUAGAUAAAACAAAUUCGACUCAUUUGUUAAAGAUAUAUAUUUAGUAGAUUUCUAACAUAACUAACAAAAUGUGAUUAUUACACUAAAUGAAAUAAAAGACAGUACUACCUUUCAUAAUUUAGCAAGUUUCGCAUGGUCGUGUUUCUGAAAACAUUAUAUGGAAUCAAACAACAAGGAUACAAAGAGAAAAAUGGUAAUCAAUUAAUAUUCACUAACUGCGGUGCUGAUUAAUUUACUUAACUUGUCAUUAUUUAUAAUUAAGAAUGAGGUUCAAUCAAUUUAUUGGGAAAAAAAACAAAGAUACUUUUUUUUUUAAUUUUAAUUCUAAAAAUUUGAUUUCACUCUCUUUCGCUUUUUGACUUAUUAAAGAGACAGUAUCUCAUCUCACAAAUUGGCAAUAUUUGUUUGGUAUUGACUUAAGAAGGAAACAGAACUUUGAGUUGUGGAAAGCAAAAUGAGAAAAUUGAGCAGUAAGUGUGAAGGGUCAAGCAAAAUGCGUGUAGCAAGUCUUCCACUUGUUUAUUCCAGUAAAGUGAAAAAUAAAAGCAGAGCCCACCACCCAUUAAUAAUUUAGCAAUUCACCAAUCACCGGUCACCACCACUUGUUACCAGAUUCAAUGAAUAUAAAAUCACACCUCGACAUUUGUAGGGCCAUGCAACAUUAAUCCAGUGUCCGGGUAAACGCUGAAUAAAGUGGAAAAUGGAAUGUAUCUUACUACGAACGUCCCCUUUACAAGUCUUCAAACUCAUAAACCAAGUUAAAAUAAAUUAAAAAAAAAAACGUUUCUCUCUCUCUCUCCUUUUGCCAUAUGAUUACUUUAUUUAUUUAAUUAAUUUCCGUGCUAUAACGAAGACUUAAAAAUACACUAUAAUUUUUUAUAAUCACAAUAGUAAUUUCUACCGGCAUGUUAUAUUAUUGUCGUGUCAAAAUAAAUUAUAACAAAAUUUUAACUGAACAUAAGUUCGACUCAUUUAUUAAACAUAUAUACUUAAUAAAAUAAUAUGACGAUUAAUAUGUUAUCAAUGAUGUAGACACAACUGAAAUAACUCUAAUGUGAAAACAAAAAAAAGUCCCCGCCACCAAUAAUUCAGCAAGCUUCACUUUAUUACACGAAAGUGAAAGCAAAAGCCAGAGGCAGCCCCCACCACCAUCAAUAAUUUAGCAAGCUUCACGCGCUUGUGCUUGUCUGCAUGACGAACCGGACAUGGGUGGACCAAGCACCAUUGAAUAAUUGGAAAAAAUGAAAAAUAAAAACCAGUGUCCAGCAAAAAGAAUCCAUCUUCAUUUGUUGCUUCCUAUUCAGUACAUCUACCUAGCAUUUAAAAAAAUGGAAGUAGAAAUUAAAACUCACUCUUUUAGAUAUGGCUCAUAUAUAUUACAAGUAUCAAAAUUUAAUUAGAGUUCACAUAUUUACAAUGUGUCUAGUUUUAAUGGAGAGAUCAACUAGUCAUUAAUAAUGAGGUUUUUCUAAAUGAUUGAAUAAUGAUAUUAAUUAUUGAUAUUUACAAAAUUUCUAAGAAGUGAUAACUAAUACGUUGGGGAUAUGUAUUUGUGCGGAAUGGCAAACAUAGAGAAUAGCAAUAAAAAUGGUGGAACUUUAAUAUAAUGAAAAAGGUAAACAGUAGAAAAUUAAUAUGUAAUUCAAGACACAUUACAAAUAUUACUUUUCUUAAGACAUUAUUUGCCCCCGCCAAUUCAGUGAUACACAUGAGUUAAGCAAAUAUGUCUUUAGGAUAUAAUGAAACAUUUAUUUAUUUGCUUCCGUUGUGCAUCAACGAAAGUAAACCUGAAUACUCUUGAAUAUUGCAAGUCUGCUAGGAAUCAAUAUGUUGAUUCUGUUAAAAAACAAUGUAUUGGAUAUUUGAUGCAUAAAAAAUAUAUGUUAUUUGAUGAAAUUCAUUUUAAGAAAUAGGGGUAAGAAAAGAGUAGUGCAAGAUUAUCUUAUUCAUAUCUAAAAUUCUAAAUAUAUGAAUUUAUUUAUUAUGGUGACAUAAUAAUAAUUGUAAAUUAAAAAUAAAUUUACUAUUAAAAAAAUAAAAUUUAUUAAUAAAAAUAAGGGUUAUAUAUCUUUUUUAAAAUGUUAAGAAGUUUUAUAUCUCUUUUUUAGAUUAAAUUUUCUAUUUCCUAUUAAGCAAAACCCACGUCAAAAGUGAAAAGGAAAAACAGAGCCCACAGAAUAGAGCCCAUUACAAAUAUAAAAUCGGAGGAGCUCAUGAUCAUGCCUUUUGCUUUACAUACUAAAUUAAAUAAAAGCCAAACCAGAAUCUUGCCUUUCCUUAACAUGAUUAAUUAGGCCCUGCAUCAGAGAGAACAUGAAAGCAAUGAACCAUUUUGUUAAUCUUAAAUGUCAGGAAUAUAAUUAGCUUGGAAUAAAGUUGCAUUCUUCUCCUCUGACUGUCUCUUCAGGUUCAUUUUAAAAGUUUGAAGAGAGUUUCAAUUCUUCUACACUUUAGAAUAUCAAUGUUCUUGCUUUCUUCAAAUGUUGAAUAAAGAGAAAAAAAAAUUGUUGACUGUAGAAGGAAAAUAGAAUGCAUCCACCUUCGCUUUGGAAGUCUUCUACUUAUAAAAGCAAGCUAAAUUAAAAGAUUUUAAUCUCUCUUUUUAUUAUUAUAAGUGCACUGCAUUUUUUUUAAAUAAUCACCUAUACAAAUUUGUAAUGUAAUGAAAUAUUCAUAUUCCUGUAGUGUCGAAAUGAGAUAAAAUGAAAUUUUAAAUAACACAAUUUCGACUCGUUUGUUAAAGGUAUAUACUUAAUAAGCUAAUAACAUAAUUAACAGAACCCUAUUAUUACACUAAAUGAAAUAAAAGACGGUAGCCACCAAUAAUUACACUAGCAAGCUUCGCAUGCUCGUGUUUAAGGAACUGGACAUUGGUGAAUUAAUCACGGAUAAGAAACAAUUUCAAAAAACAAAAUGGAUACUAUACAUUUUCUUUUUUUAAAUUGUACAGAAAAUGGGACUAAUUUUCAAAUAUUUUCAAAUUCACUUAUUAACAAAAGCUAUACAAAAUGAUUUCCUUUUUAUUUUGAAAUAUUAUACGGAAUCAAAUAACAGUGAUUGAGAGAGUGUAAAGUGGUAAUUCUCCGAUUGUAUUUUCUCUCUUUUUUAAAAGGAGAUGGUGGGGUUUGGUUGUUUACAAAACUAUUGGUGUGAGGGUCUAUUUGUUUUUGUUUUCACUUUAUUAAUUAAUUACGAAGCAAACAUGUAAUCAUUUGUAAAGGGGCCACUAGCAUCGGAUCAUGUAAGAUGAAUUCGUAGGACUUAUUAAUUUUGAUGAAAAUGUAGCAUUAUUAAGUUAUUAAUUCAUUAACUUGAGGUACUAAUAUUUACUAAUUGUGGUGAUUAAUUUAUUUAACUUUGUCAUAAUUUUCAAUUGAGAAUGAAGUUCAAUCAAUGUAUAAAAAAAUAAUUUUUUUAGAUUUUUAAUUCCUAUGAUUUAAUUUCUCUCUGUUUCGAUUAUUGACGUGUUAAAAGCUUGCAGAAUAUCAUGAAAUGCUUGUAUCUCACCUCACAAAUUGGCAAAUAUCGGAAGGCUUCCAUGACGAAUUGAAAUUAAAAACAACUACCAUCGAAAUUUAAUUUUAAGAAUCUUUUUUACUUGAAAUUUUUGAAAAAAAAUUAACCAGAUUAAAUUAGAGAUAUCAACCUUAACUUAGUGUUGUGCACCACAUUGGCCACUUCUAAUUGUGAAAAGAAAUAGAACUUUUGUAUCGAUGAAACUUAUUUUAUUAGUAUUAUUCAUCAUAUGGUUAAUGGCUUAGCCGAAGGAGAAGGGGUCAGCCAAAAUAAAUAAAGUACCUUCUCAUGCAUUAACCUUUAUUAACUGUUGUAGUUAAAAUAAUUUUAAAACAAGUUAAAACAGUUCCAAUUCAAAAUCAGUAGGCUGCGAUUGGGUUGUUACACAUAUUUCUAAAUUUCAGUCUAAUUUAAUUGUGUAUGGACAAAUUAACUUUUAUCACUUCUUUUAUAUUAAUACUCAUAAAUUUCAAUCUAACUUAACAAAAAUAAUGUUCAAAUUGUCACAAAAUGUUCUUUUCUUAAAAAAGAAAAGAAAAUCAUAUAUAUAGUAGUUAAUUUUUCUUCUUCUUUACUUCAGGAUCCAACUCCGUACUCCACUUUUUUGUUGUUAUUGUACCUAGCCGUUAGAUUUUAAUUACGUUGUUUUAACGGUUUGGAUUUGUAAAUGAAUAACGACGUAGUGUUUGACUACCAUCUGAACCCACUGCAUCUAAUUGGUUUUGUGAUUUUUUGCUUUCUUCAAUAAAAAAACAGUUUAUUUUUGGUCGUCGAAACAUGGUAAGUGAGAAAGAUUAUUCUGUUUUUUUUUUUGUUAAUUAGGUUAGCAUUUAUGAUUGAGUGACUCAGAACUAUAUUUUAGAUUGAGAAUCAAUGGUUAAGAUUGUCGUUUGCUAUUUUAUCGACAAGAGAGCACUCGAUUUUAUUAAAAGGAGAAAGUCAUAAGAUUUCCUUUAUGAGAAAAUGUAUCUGAUCAUUCCUUUUUACUGGAAAAAUUAAUAUACAAAAACUUACUAAUAAAUGACAUAAUAUACAUAAAUUAUUAAUUCAUUUGAUAGUUGAUUAUCGAAUGACAUUUGAUCCAUGGGAGCAUGCAGUCUAUAAAAUAAUUCUUCUUUUUUUUUUUUUAAACAAAAAAUCGGUGAUGUUGAAAAGCAUUUCUGUAUAUUAUUAUUACUCUAAUUGGAGUGAACAUUUCAUAAAAAGAAUGCCGUAUGAAACUAAAUUAUUAAUUCGUUUGAUAGUUGGUUAUUGAAUGACAUGUGACCCACAGUAAAUAGUUAAAUUUGGCGGCAACAAUAAUUACAAGACGAACUUAAAGCAGCGCAUAGGUUUUUCUUAAAAAUACAUAAACAAUUCGAUAUUUGAAAUUCUAAUAUCUCAAUAAUAUUGAUCAUGAUUCAGUUACCAAUUAGAUCCACUUACAAUUUCUUUUUUUCUUUUUUUUGAUUUCCAAUCUUUACCAAAAGAAAAUAUUUAGUGACCCCUUUUAUCAACUUGGUUUUAUUGACUUUCUUCCAAUCAUAGAAGUGAAAAGAGAAACAGAGGCCAGCACCAAUAAGUGUUACCAGAUUCUGUAAAGACAAAAUCAGUGCCCAGCAAAAAGAAGCUAUGUUUUCGUUAUAUGCUGCUUCCUAUUUAGUACAUGCAUAUAAAGAUAUACACGUGCACAUGCAGCACAUCUAUUUAAAAUUUAAAAAACCGAAUUAGAAAUACAGGAUUUAUGGUAGAAAUACAACAGGAAUAAGAGUGAAAUUCCAAUUUUAAAAUUUGGGAAAAAUGAAAUACGAUAUUUUUUUAUGAAUAAAAUAAUUUAAUUUUUUUUAAUUCUACCAGCAAAAACCAUUAACUUAUCAAGUUUUUGGUUUCAUUUACAGUUGACAGUCGGUUUCUUAGUUUCAUUCCUUAAUUCUACAAGAAAAAAACAGAAUACUUGACAUUUUUUAUUUGACAAUUUUUAAGAAAUGUCAAACAUAUAUGACAUUUUGUGAAAAACUGAGUAAUUGUGAAAUAUAAAUGACAAUUUAUUUAAACGUCAAAUAAUUGUGACGUUUUAUUAAAUAAAUGAUAAAUAUAUUACAUUUUUAUUGAAUAAUUAUCAUUUACCUUUUCCUUUUAUUGACUUGAGAAAAAAAAAAACAAAAAAAUUGACUAUACUGCUUUUGUUUUCGUUCUUAGAACAGAUUUUAGUUUCUUUUGAGAAAAUUCAAACUCAUUCCCAUUACUUUCUUUUCAAAAAUCACCUCUCAAUUUUUCAUCAAUCACUCAAUUCCGAAUUUCAUCUCCAUUCUCUUUCGAAGAAGAAUGCACGAAGAAUUUUAGCUUGCUUUCGCUGCUUCUCGAAUAUUGGGUAUUGUUUCCUUUAGUUUAGAUAAUUUUUUUUUUAUAUCUCUCUUUCUAGUUUGAUAAUUUAGGGUUAUACUUGAAUUAAUUGUAUUUUUAAUCAACCAAGGUUGAUUUAAUUGAUUCCAAGUCUCAAUUUCCUGUUCAACAAACAAGGAACGCACAAAUAAUUUUCAUUUUCAUACUCAACUUUGAAAGAAUCAAUUUAUUUUAUCUUUGGUUAGCACACUUCUGUUCAAUUUUUGUUUAUUUAACUUAAGAUAUCUUUUUCUUUCUUUUCUUCAAGCAGAUUAUAGAUUAUAUUGAGAACAGAGCUUUCUCCUUAAUUCCGCCAAGAGCAACGUUGAUUUCAGGUGAUAAUUGAAUGUGUAAUAUUUUCAAUUGAAAUUAAUUGAGUCUCGUAAUAAUAAUAGGGAUUUGAGAUUUACAUCCUGUUGAAAUAAUUUCAGAGUGUUCUGCUAUUUGAAUGCGCAUUAAUUGUUUGAUUAAAUGUCUCUUUAAAAGAUUAUUUUUGUUUUUAGCAAACAUCUUAAUGCACUUUGCAAAUUGAAUCCAACAAGGGAAAAUUAUAGAACUGCAACAGUUUUCAAAUUGAUUGCAUAUUAGAAGUAAUGUUAAUUUAUGCUGCAACAGUUCAAUGGGCUGGGCACAAGUUUAGGACUUUAGUUGCUCAAUUAAUGAAUCCACCACUCAUCAGACUUGGAACUUAUAUCUAUUGAAUCAAUAAAAAUAGUUGAUGGAAUCAAUGCCGAAAGCUUCAUUUGAUAUUUAUUUAUAACAUCUGUUAGAUUCUGCACAAUCACAAAUAUAUAGUAGCAGAAACUAUGUUAGAGACACUGUAGUUGCUUAAUUAGUGAAAUUGUGAUCUCAUUGCCCCCUUUUUUUGGUUGAUUCUAUAAUUUUAUUAGUUGUUCUUGUGGUUGUAAACAAUAUCAAUUUCUAAUAUUAAUAAAACUGAAUGAAUAAAAUGCGAUGCAUUUGCCGGAAAGUUAAUAGUUUAAAUAUGGAUAAAUCUUGGAUGUUGAUGGAUAGAAGGUCUAUAGAAUAUGAGAACUUCAUGCUAGUCAUGCUAGUCAUCCUGAGCUUUUGAGAUGUCCAUGCCAAGCACGUCUUAGUUUAUAGGCUCAAACAAGUAUAGAAAAUGCAUGAUAGAACACAGAACUCAUAUUUUAGCAACAAUCCUCAGCUCAUUGGCCCUUAGUUCAGAAUGACAAUUCUUAUUAGCCAAAGAUUCAAAAUGAUUUUUAGUUGUUUAUAAGUAGAGCACUAGAUCAACAAAUACUUGAAGACCUGCAGCUUGGCUAUUGAACUAUACGAUGGUGGCAAUUCGAAGACUAGAAGUUGGCUCUGCCAUUCGAAGUAAGCAACGCAGCUGCCCAAAGUCUGCCAAGCCAUCAAGACUCCAUCAAGUAUACUUCAAAGCCACAUCAAGACAAUACUAAGAUACAACAUCAAUAAUAAUAACACCAAGAAAUACAUGGAGGCCAUUACAUGCUACAGCCACCCCAAUAAGAAAUUAAUAAAGACAUUCCUAGAAAGUUACAAACCCAUGCAGUAGGAAUAACUAAUUAAUUUAUACAGUUCAGUACUCGUUCCUCUGUUUCAAAUCCAAAUCCACUGGUCUACCAUUUAUUAUGACGCAAUGUAUAUGCCGAUAUUAUCCUCCCUCCGUUAUGUACCUUUCAAUUUAGUGAGGUUUAGACAGGGGUUCCAGAUUUGGUAAAUCAACAAUCACCAGAUAUGAUAGAGCGGCCGGAAGAGGAAGCAUGGUUCCUAAUCCUAAUCUUGAUUUAGAGCAGAUUAGGUAACAUGUGGCAUUCUACAUUCCUGCAAUGCUAUUUCUUGUUAUGGCAGCGGCAUUCUUGGUCAUGGCAUCACAAGCAAAUGCUUUGAUUUGAAGACUUGCUCGGCUAUGAAAAAUAAGGAGAGCAAAGGUAGUUAAUCUUGGUGUGGUCAACAGUUUAAUGGGGGUACUAAGAAAAAUAAAGAUAAUAUAAGGAAUGUUGUUGAGGAGUAUUUUGAUAUUUACAAAAGUGUUCAAAGUAAAAAUUGAUUUCUUAAAACCCAUUAGCUAGCACACAUAAUAAUGGGGAGAAAAUUUUAGACUACGAAUAGUCCCACCCAUUUAAUAAUAUUCUUCAAUCAAUUAUGUUUAGUUCAAAAAAAAAAAAAAAAACCCAUCUCUUUAUUACUUUCUAACUAUUCAUAUUAAUGUGUUAAUAAUUAUGAAGAACCGGUGUAAUUUAUGUGAUGUAGGAAGCACUUUAGGCAAAAUCAUCUGAAUCUCAAAAUUUCGUGAUAUUGUGCCAAAUAUCCAAAACAGAGCUUCCUACAUUGCUAUAGCAGUUUUUAAAAGUUGAGGACUCCAAAUAUCCAAUAACUGAUAAAUUGUGUUAAGAAAUAUAAAUAUUAAUGGUGACGACACAUAUGUAUGGAAUUCCUCUGUUUUGAGUUUGACUAAAACAACCUGAAUAAUUUCAAACAAUCCAUCAGCCCAAAGUCCUUGAGAGAUUGAACUGGAUUUCAGUGCAUCACAUUUUGAAAUUGAAACUAACAUUAAUUAGAAAGGCCGAACAGCCUCUGUUUUUUACUAUAAUACAAAAUGGGAAGUCAAAAACCAAUUCAAGGAACUCUCCUGUUUUUGACUGAACAUACAUAAUCCGAACAAUUUACAAUUAAAUAAAUCGUCCAAAAUCUCCUUUAGUCCAACCCCCAUUUCCAUGGUUUAAUAGAAUAUCAUAAAGGUAUCCAAUACAGUGAAAUUAACGUUCAGCUCAUGAAGUUUCCGUUAUAUAUAUUGAAAAAGAAAUUAAUAAAAGAAAUUGAAAACCAAUUGACACUGGAUCAUGUAAGAUUGUUAGUUGUUAAUUAUGAUGGAAAUAUACACUUGGUCUAUCAAUUACCAUCUAGCUAAUGCAUGUGCACUUUCAUUUGUGUCUAUCACUGAAGAGUAGAGUUACUUGAUUGAAUAGUAUCAUAUCACAAAAACUCAAAACUCAAUUUCAUUGCGCGAGCAUACCACGCCAUAUGUAACUCAAAAGUGCAAUAACAUUGAACAUUCAGCUAGCUAGCUUAUACUAAUUAAUUAAUACGACUACUAGUUCUUUAUGAUUAAUUAAAAGAUAAAAUAUUUGACAAUCACGAAACAUUAUUCUAUCACUAAAGAUUAGAGCUUCCUACAUUGUUACCCAAACUCUUUUAUAUCUCCCAAACGUUAUUAGAGUCCCACAUUUGUGGGCACAUCAUUAAGUAAAAUGUGCCAAUUAGGAAGAGCUAGCUUUUUUGUUCUGUUUUCUCGAAUGCGUUGCAACUUGCAGGAAAUUUAAACCGUCAACACCUGCAGGAAAUUUAUAUAUAUUCUGUCAGCACUUGCAUACAUUGCAAUUUUCAACGAAUUCCAAAUCUUCAGAUCUUGAAUUAGCUGGACUGACGUCCGACCAACUCCACUGGCUAAAACAAAGGAUUAAUUUUUGAGAAAUUAUAAAGAAAUUAAUACAAGUAAAAUGAACCUAUUCAUUUGAUUUGAUAUAAUUGGCUAAGGGUGAUUUCGAUAACGUUUUCAAAGAAGAUAUAGAACAAAGAUCAAAAUGAAAAAUAAGUAAUUUGAUCAGUCCAUGCAAAAAAGGCGCAAGCUUCGCCCACACAUGCAUGUGUCUGACUAACAGGACAUGGCUUGGAGCAAGGAUCAAUGGACAAGUUUGAGGUUUAUGAAAUAUUGAGAAAAUAGACAAAUAAUAAAGCCACUGCAAGUUAAGCAGAUCAAAUAAACAGAACAAAGGAAAUAAAUGAUCAAUUUAAUUCUUUGUGAAAUGGCCACAGGCCACAGCAACAACGAAAAUAUGUCUACAUGCAGCAUUACAUCAACAUUUGAUCAUCUAUCAAUUUUCAUGAUAUUAGAUUAGAAACAUUGAGUUCAUAAUUUUAUGUAAUUUCAUGUACUAGAUAUAUAUAAUUGAUUGGAGUUAGUUUAAAAUAUAAAGAAAGAGUAAUGGGGAGUGAUGUCAAUGUGGCAUUUGAUGAGUAAAGAUAGACAACAAAUAUUGAUCAGGUAAUAAUGAAAUAUGUAUUUACUGAAAAAUAUUGGCAAUAAAAUGAUGCUAUAAAAAUUUAAUAUUAGUUGCAAGCGAAUAAAUUGACAAUUAAAAUUAAUAGAUAUAUAGGCAAUGCUUUAGGUUUAUUUUAUCAUUUCACACCAUUUUGCAACUACAUUUUAAUUAGAAGUUCAAUUAAUUUUGACCAAAGACUCUAGAGAAUGUCAAAAAGAGAUAUGAUUUUUGUAUACCAAAAAAAAAAUAGAAAUGAAAUAAGUCAAAAUCAAUUACAAGAACAACAAUAAAAGCAUAUUUUAUAAAAGCCACAAAUACAUAAUAAGAGUUUAGUUUUGAGUUACAUAAUUAUUAAUGGGUAAAAGUCCAUUUAGUCACUGUAUUUUAAGAUUAGUGUCCAUUUAGUCCCUGUAUUUUUAAAAAUGUCUCGAAACAUUCCCGUCGUUAAAGUAUUGAUACCCUACUGUUACUUUUUAUUUUUUUGACUUAUUUUUACAUUAUUACCCUUUUAUAAUAAUUUUUUUGUCUGAACAUUAAUAAAAAAAAUUAAAUUACCAAUUUAAUCCUAGAAAAUUAAAAAAAUUAUAUUAAAUUUUUUUUCAAGCACCAUUUGCACACUUGGUAGUUUGCAUACAAUUUUUAACAAUAUAAUUUUUGACAAUUAGAAAUUAAUAUAAUUUUUUUUUAUUUUUAGGGUUAAAUUGGUAAUUUAAUUAUUUUCUUUUUAUUAAUGUCCAAAAAAAAAUUAUUAUAAAAGGGUAAUAUUGUAAAAGUAAGCUAAAAGAAAUAAAAAGUAACGGUAAUAGUAUCAAUACUUUAACAGCAGAGAUGUUUCGAGGCAUUUUUAUAAAUACAUGGAUUAAAUGGAUACUAAUUUUAAAAUAUAAGGACUAAAUGUGCUUUUACCUACUAUUGAUUUAUAUAGUAAGAGAGUUUUAUAGAAAUGUAGGAAUUUUUAAAAGAGUUUUGCUAGAGCAAAAAGUUUAGUUUGGUCUAGUUUGUGGAGGUUUAAGUAGUUGAAAGCCGUGCAAAUGAAGGAAACAUAAACUUCUAAUUUUUUACAAAGUAAUGGCUAAAAUAUUUGAAAAGUUUGAGAUUUUAAAAAGGCUGGGAAAAUAGACAAAUAGUGACGACACUACAAGUUGGCAGAGCAAAUAAACAGAGGAAAACAGGGCAGAUAAUUACCAUUAUACCUAUAAUUUUUAUUUUUUCCAAAAACAAAUGUUGCGAUUUUUUUUUCCAAAAAAGAAGCACAGUCUGCUAUUACCACUAAAGAAUGUUAGCUACUUUAUAUAAGCAUAUGUCUAAUUACCAAAUAAAUUCCACUUUAACAAAGAAUAAAAGUUAAUUUCAUUGAUGGCCCGUGUUGUGCUUUCUUUUUUUAUUAUUUUUCCUUUUAGAUGUUGAAGUUACUUUGUAAACUUCUCCAAGCGAAUUAAAAAAUUUCCGCUUACUCUAGGAUCUUUUCAAUCGGCCUGCAAUUUGUAUUCUUGUCUGUAAGAUUGAUUUUUUUCUUUAAAAAAAUUUAAAAAGGGAUGAGAAAUCUUACCCACUAAAUACCAACUUUGAAUUUUGUUAUUAUUCAAACUUUGUAUUUCUUGCUCAAAGCCAGUUAAACUGUGUCUAACUGUCAUGCAGGUUCCAUUUUUACUUGAUUAACUGUAUAUACAAAACUAAAUCACCUGAGCCUCUGGUUUCACUAUUUUCCAACUAGAAACUUAAACGCAGAAUUGAUGGUAUUGGAGUUCCUUAUUUAUUUUAUGUACUAUUGGCCGCUAGGUAGCUUGGUCAUAUACGUGUAUGGGGAUGUCAUGUUAGGAAAUUGGUGGGUAAAGCAGACACGCAGCUACAAUAAAAUUGGAAGAAAAUAAAGAACAAGCACAAAAGAGAAUACCAGAAAUUACGUGGUUCGGCUUUUAGCCUACGUCCACGGGCGAAGACAGGAGGAAAUAUUAUACUAGUGAAAAGGAGUUACAAGUAUUGUAGUAUUUUAGCUCACUACCCAAAACCCCAAUACACCCAAACUCUCAAAUCACUAAGCACACAAAAUUCUUUGCUCUUGCAAGAAUUACUUCUCUCAACUCUCAAUUCUCUCUACAAAAAUUGCCUCUCAAGAUUGGAAUGAAAAAUGAGUUAGGGAGCUCUUCCUUUUAUAGCCAAAAAAAUGGCUAUUAAAUUAAUAUAUAUAUGUAUAUAUUUCAAAUGUUGUUGCCAACUUCUUCUUUUUCUCCAUUUGGAUGGCACCAUUUUCUUUGGCCGGCUGCACAUUUUCUUUGGCCGGCUUGUCAAAACCAACUUGAAUUGGUUUUGUGGCCACCGGCCUUUGACAUUUCUCCCACUUGGAGAUUUGAUUGAAAAUCAAUCAAUCUCCACAUCAUCCUUUCUGCUUCGCCAUAAUCAUGUUGCCUACGUUUUCGUUAGGCCACUAAAGGAUCUACUCCAGACAAACUUAUCAGUAUUGAUUGGCUUGGUCAAAACAUCUACUAGGUUCUCUUUGGUAUGGAUUUUCUGCAAAUCCACACUUCCGUCUUCCACUACUUCUCGUACGAAGUGAUACUGAACUCCUAUGUGCUUUGUCCUGGAAUGAAAGGCUGGAUUCCUUGCAAUGUGCAAGGCACUCUGACUGUCACAAAACACAGAAAUUUUCUGUUGUUUGUGCCCGAGCUCCUCCAAUAGCCUUUGUAUCCAAAUAGCUUCCUUGCAAGCUUGUGUAGCUGCCAUGUACUCUGCUUCUGUUGUAGAUAAUGCCACAACGGUCUGCAGUUUCGAAACCCAGCUUACAGCUGCUCCCGCAAGUUCAAACACAUAACCAGUAGUGGAUUUCCUUUUAUCAAGGUCUCCUGCAAAAUCUGAAUCCACAUAACCCCUGACAGUAAACUCUGAUCCUCCAUAACAUAAUGCAACAUCUGAGGUUCCUCUGAUGUAUCUCAGAAUCCUCUUCACAGAUAUCCAAUGCUCUUCACCAGGAUUCGCCAUGUAUUGACUGACUGCUCCCACUGCUUGUGCAAUGUCCGGUCUUGUACAUAUCAUAGCGAACAUUAAACUUCCCACUGCUGAUGCAUACGGUACUCGAGACAUCUCCUUCCUCUCUGCUUCAUUGCUAGGACACAUACUUGAGGAUAAUUUGAAAUUAACAGGAAGUGGGGUAGAAAUUGACUUACAAUCUUGCAUGUUGAAGUGUCGCAAGAUUUUCUUCAAAUAAUUCUUCUGCGAAAGCCAAAUCUUCUUGUUAUUUCUGCCUCGGUGAAUUUGCAUCCCUAGAAUCUUGUUUGCUGGUCCCAAGUCCUUCAUUUCAAACUCCCUAUCCAACUGUGCCUUUAAUUCUUGGAUUCGAUCUUUGUUGGGACCUGCUACCAACAUGUCGUCCACAUACAACAGUAAAAUAAUGAAAUCAUUAUCUUCAAACCUCUUGUAAUAUGCACAAUGGUCUGAACUGAGUCUGUUGUAUCCAAGGCUCAUGAUGAAGGAAUCAAAUCUCUUAUACCAACACCUCGGCGCCUGUUUGAGACCGUAAAGAGAUUUGUUCAACUUGCAAACCAAGUUCUCCUUUCCUGUUUCUGCAAAACCUUCUGGUUGAAGCAUAUAUAUUUCUUCUUCAAGUUCUCCAUGAAGAAAUGCAGUUUUCACAUCUAAUUGCUCAAGAUGUAGGUCAAAUGUAGCACACAUCGCCAAGACUAUUCUGACUGUUGUGAGUCGAACCACGGGCGAAAAUAUCUCGUUGAAGUCAAUACCUUCUUUCUGAGCAUAUCCUUUCACCACCAAUCUUGCACGAUAUCGCUCCACUUGGUCAUUGCCAUCACGCUUGAUCUUGUAGACCCAUUUGUUUCCAAUGGCUUUUCUUCCACGUGGUAGUGGUACAAGUUCCCAUGUCUUGUUCUUGUGUAGAGCUUCAAUUUCUUCCUGCAUUGCUGUCAUCCACAAAGCAAUAUCUGAGCUUUCUAAAGCUUUAUGGAAAGUUGAUGGCUCUCCAUCCUCCGUUAGAAGACAGUACGCAACGUUGAUCUCUGUGACAUACUCCGAGUGCCACGUUGGUGGUCGUCUCUCACGAGUUGACCGACAAACUUCUGGAGCCUCGGACUCGACUGGUUCUUGUUCCUUGUGCUCUGGUGCUGCUUCAGAAGAAUCUGAAUCUUCUAGAUUAUUUUCCACAUAUACUGGCACGGUCUCUGACUUUUCUUUUGUAGUGCUAUCAUCCUCAUCUCUCAUUUGCAGUUGAUCUUCUACAAAGAUAACAUCUCUGCUGAUGACGAUCUUGUGGGCAGUGGGGUCCCACAACGAUACCCCUUUACUCCAUCAGCAUACCCCAAGAAGAUACAUCUUCUAGAUUUUGGAUCUAGCUUUGUUCUUUCUUGGGCAUUGUACAUCACGUACACAGGACAUCCAAAUGCAUGUAGGUAGGAAUAAUCAGCUGGCUUUUCAGUCCACAUUUCCAUCGCUGUCUUCAGCCCAAUAGCUGUAGAUGGCGAUCGAUUUACUAUAGAACAUGCAGUUGGCUGCUUCUGCCCAGAAUGAAUUGGGUAGACUAGCAGUCCUCAACAUAGCUCUUAUUCUUUCUGUAAGAGUUCUGUUCAUCCGCUCUGCCACUCCGUUUUGUUGAGAAGUGUAUGCUACCGUGAACUACCUCUGAAUACCUUCUUGCUUACAGAAAGCAAGAAACUCGCCGUCUGUAUACUCUCCACCAUUAUCUGUCCUCAAGCACUUGAUCUUUUUACCAGAUUCAAGUUCCACCCGCGCUUUGUAUUCUUUAAACAAAGGAAAUACAUCUGACUUUUUCUUAAUUGGAUACACCCAACAUCUUCUGGAAUAAUCAUCAAUGAAAGUCACCAUGUACUUUGCACCUCCCAUGGAUAUAUCUGGUGAUUCCCAAACAUCAGAAUGAAUCAAGUCUAGAAUGCAUUUACUUCUAGCAAUAGAUCUACUAAAUUUUAAUCUAUGCUGCUUACUUGUAACACAAUGCUCGCAAAAUGGUAAACUUACCGAUUUGAGCCCCGGAAGCAAUUUUCGCUUAGAGAGAAUCUUCAAGCAUUGUUCUGACAUGUGGCCAAGUUUGAGAUGCCACAUCAUCGUUGAUUCUUCUCCAUUUGACGCGACACACGCAUCAGCCUCCUGUAGUGUUUCUCCUCUAAGCAUGAAUAGAUUAAAACCGAUCUUUUCUGCUUUCAUCAAUACAAGCGCGCCUUUAACGAUCUUCAUAAUUCCAUUCUCCACAUGAGUUUUGUACCCAUGACAAUCCAUUUGUCCCAAAGACAAUAGAUUUUUCUUCAGGCCGUUGACAUAUCGUACCUCCCCAAUUGUGCGAAUUGUACCAUCAAACAUUUUUAUUUUGAUAGUACCAAUACCAGCGAUCUCCAAGGCAUGAUCAUCUCCCAUAUAUACAGAUCCUCCUGAGAUAGGUUCAUAUGUGUGGAACCAUUCUCUCCUAUAGGUCAUGUGCCAGGUAGCUCCUGAGUCUAUAAGCCAGACAUCAGAAAGUCGUUUUCUGCCUUCUGAAAUAGUUGUUGCCUCGCUGUAAAGAAUUUCGCCAUCAUCCGAGGUACUUGCUACACAACCCUGAGCAUUUGAUGACUCAGGUUCUUUGCCCUCUCUUUUCUUCUGGUUACUCCAACACUCUUUCUUGACGUGCCCUCUCUUGCCACAGUUGUAGCAUUUAACAUUCUUCUUACUUCUGGAUUUUGAUCUACCAUGAUUUUGACUCCCACUGGGGCCACGUUCCGUUGAUCUCCCUCUUGUCACCGAUAGCGCUUCUGCUUGCUGCGAACUUGCUUGUCUGUUUUCCUUAUUUUUCCGCCUGCUCUCCUCAUUUAAUACUGAGGUUGCAACAUCGUCGAAAACUAGACUAUCCACUGGAUUGUUGUUCGUCAGGUUGAUGAUGAGUUGAUCAUACGAAUCUGGUAGACUUUGAAGUAGAAGCUCUGCACGUUCAUUUUCCUCUAUAUUAUGACCCAACAUUGUGAGUUGUGAAAAUAGAGUCUUCAAUGUGUUGAUGUGGUCGGUCAUCAUUGUAGAUUCCGCCAUUCGAAGAGUAUAGAGUUUUCUCUUCAAGAAGAUUUUGUUGUGUAGUGACUUGGCCUCGUACAAUUUUGUGACAGUAUCCCAUAUUUCCUUCGCCGUAUUUUUCUCUGCCACACUGGAUAAUACUCCGUCUGCAAGUGCCAAGUGUAGAUCAGAAAUGGCGUUGCCGUCUACCUCGUUCCACUUGUCAUCAGUUAUCUCCAUGGGCCUUUCUCCAAUUGCUGCCAAGCAAUUAUUUUUCCUCAAUACAGCUUUCAUCUUCAUUUUCCACAACGAAAAAUUAUUUCCGUUAAACUUCUCAAUUUCAUACUUUGCCGCCAUUUUGUUGAUAAAUACCGCACACAAGCUAGUGUACCACCUUGAAUAGUUGUGAGUAUGUGUGAGAAUGCACACCAGGAAAGUUCCCAGGAAAGACUGGAGGGGUCACAAUGGUCCCACUUAAAACCCAGACUCCUUAAGCUCUUAUCGCCUUUGUGACAGAACUUUCCUAGACAUGUACAAAACCACACAGUUGCUUUACUCACACCACUAUUCCCUGCUUUGCACCGCAAAAUUCUUGGAUCGCUUCCACCGUUUCACGUGAAUAGUACCGUAUACGUGAAUAGUGCCGUAUACGUGAACAGUAACUGACUCCAAAAAUAUAACCAAUAGCUCUGAUACCACUGUUAGGAAAUUGGUGGGUGAAGCAGACACGCAGCUACAAUAAAAUUGGAAGAAAAUAAAGAACAAGCACAAAAGAGAAUACCAGAAAUUACGUAGUUCGGCUUUUAGCCUACGUCCACGGGCGAAGACAGAAGGAAAUAUUAUACUAGUGAAAAGGAGUUACAAGUAUUGUAGUAUUUUCGCUCACUACCCAAAACUCCAAUACACCCAAACUCUCAAAUCACUAAGCACACAAAAUUCUUUGCUCUUGCAAGAAUUACUUCUCUCAACUCUCAAUUCUCUCUACAAAAAUUGCCUCUCAAGAUUGGAAUGAAAAAUGAGUUAGGGAGCUCUUCCUUUUAUAGCCAAAAAAAUGGCUAUUAAAUUAAUAUAUAUAUAUGUAUAUAUUUCAAAUGUUGUUGCCAACUUCUUCUUUUUCUCCAUUUGGAUGGCACCAUUUUCUUUGGCCGGCUGCACAUUUUCUUUGGCCGGCUUGUCAAAACCAACUUGAAUUGGUUUUGUGGCCACCGGCCUUUGACAUGUCAUGGGGCCUAAAAAAUAAAGGUGAAAAUCAGUCACAAAUCUGAAGUGAAAAACAGUAACUAGAACAGAAUCUAUGUUUUGAUGUCUUUAGUUUAUAGGCUCAAACAAUUAAUAGUAUAGAAAAUGCAUGAUAUAGCACAGAACUCAUGUUUUAGCAAUAAUCCUAAGCUCACUGGCCCUUAGUUCAGAAUGACAAUUCUUAUUAGUCAAAGAAUCAAAAUGAUUUUUAGUUGUUCAUAAGCAGAUCACUAGAUCAACAAAUAAUUGAAGACUGGCUUGGCUAUUGAACCAUACGCGGCAAUUCGAAGACUGAAACUUAACUCUGCCGUUCGAAGUAAGCAACUCAGGUGCCCAAAGGCCGUCAAGCCAUCAAGACAAUAUGAAGAUACAACAUCAAUAAUAAUAACAUCAAGAAAUACAUAGAGGCCAUUACAUAUUACACCUAUCCCAAUUAGAAAUUAGUUAAUACAGUCCUAGCUCCUCUGUUUUAAAAGAAAUUUACAAACCCAUGCAGUAGGAAUAAUUAAUUAAUUUAUACAGUUCGGUACUCAUCCCUCUUCUGUUUCAAAUCCAUAUCCACUGCUCUGCCAUUUAUUACUACGCAAGGUAUAUGGGUUAGCAAGUGCCGACAUUGUCCUCCAUUCUUUGUGUGCCUUUCUUCUAUCAAGGGACAACCCAAGAUCUCUAAUCGCAAGAAAAAUAUUUCAGAGUAAAAAGUGAUUUCUUAAAAUCUAUUAGCUAGUGCACAUAAUAAAAGGGCAUUCAUGGUAAAUUUUAGAUUACAAGUAGUCCAACCUUUUAAUAAUAUUCUGCAAUCAAUUCCGUUUGUUUUAAAAUAAAAGAAAUCCAUCUCUUUAUUACUUUCUAAUUAGUCAUAUUAAUGUGUUAAUAAUUAUGAAGAACCAGCGUAAUUUAUAUGAUGUAGGAAACCCUUUAGGCAAAAUAACCUGAAUUUUUUAGAGUAGCGGCUAGACAUAUUGGGCAUAACCUCAGUUUCUGUUACUUCUUUGACCCUGCCUAAGCUCUUUUAAGGGCUAAUAUCAAAAUUUCGUGAUAUUGUGCCUACAGAGCUUCCAAUUCAAGGAGCUCCCCUGUUUUUGACUGAAACAUAUGUAAUCCGAACAAUUUGUAAUUAGAUAAAUCAUUCAAAAUCUCCCUCAAUCUAACCCACAUUUCUAUGGUUUAAUAACAUAUCACAAAGGUGCCUAAUAUAAUGAAAUUAGCAUUAGUUCACGAGAUUGCCAUUAUAUAUAUUGAAAAAGAAAUUAAUACAAGAAACUGAAAAUUAAUUGACACUGGAUCACGUCGUGUUGUUAGUUUGAUUAUGAUGAGAAUAUAAUCUUGGUCUUUUAAUUACCAUCUAGCUACCGCAUGUGCACUAGUUUCAUUUGUGUCUAUCACUAAAGAGUAGAGUUGCUUGAUUUGAACAGUAUCAUAUCAUAGAAACUCAAAACUCAAUUUCGUUGCCCGAGCAUACCAUGCCAUAUGUAGCUCAAAAGUGCAAUAACAUUGAACAGUCAGCUAGCUAGCUUUUACUAAUUAAUUAAUACGACUAUCAGUUAUUUUUUAUUAAUUAAAAGAGAAAAUAUUUGACAAUCGUGAAAACAACAACAAUUCACUCCAAUAAACAACAUAAUAAACACAUGAUAUAUAUUACAAGUCUUUUUAUGAUGUAGAUUAGAAGGGAAAAUACGAAGGACAUAUUAUAUAUUAUAUAUGAUUGAAUUUAAUCCAUGAUAAUUAGACAAAAUAACACUAAUCUAGCUAACUAAUCCAACCAUCAUAAUAAUUUGAUUUUCAUUAUUUUAUUGUGUCCAAUCAUGCUAAUUUAAUAAGAAAAACACAGAACACUUGAGGAUUUAGAUAUUCAACAACUUUGGCCAAGUUUGAAAAAAAUUAGAGCUUCCUUCAUGCUUUGUGUUCUUAUGUUACACAUGAUCAUAUUAUGUUACAUUUGACAGAAAACUGAAAAUUAUUGAAAAAAAAAAAUCUUAGUUAACACAUAAUCAAAAUGAGAGAAUAAUGCACACACAUCACAACAAUGUUUCAUUCAUUUUGAAUCUAUAUUUACAAAACUUGUAUCCGAUGGUUUACAUUUGUUUAAUCUAACGGCUAUGACGUGUACUGUCAAAACGCUACAGCUGCCAUCUCUGUUUGUCCUUGUUGCAUCCUUGAUCUUAUAUUAUCCUGGAGAUUAUUGAAUGUUCUUCUCAUUCUCAUGUGCUCGAGGGUCCUUUCUUGAGACAUUUCAGCAAACACCUGAUUCAUCCUAUUAAACAUCAGCAUCAUUAAUCAGUAAAUGAUGUAAGGUAGCCCUGUUUUGAGAAGUCAACAUAAAUCAGUCACCUUAGAUUUUCUCAGUCUCAGAGCACAACGGGUGAUGAUUUGAUGAAAAAUGUUAAUAUGCACGCAUCCCCUGAAUUAGCUAGAGCUGGUUGUCAUUUUCUUCUUUCUUUUGGUACUGUUUUAGAUUUUUAAUCAAUCAGAUUCAGCUGCAUGUUUGCUUUUAGUCCAAACCAAAAUAAGAUAUUAAGUACUUUUGCCAGAAUAGACGCAACCAAAAUUCUAUGGGAUCUGUAGUUCCUAGUUCAUGCAGAAGCGGCCGAAUGCUUCCGGCAAUCAGGAGCAGUGGUCACCCAAAGUAAAAGACUUUCUCUUGUAUUAACCUUUGCUAGCCGUCGAAGUUAAAAAAUUUUUUUGAACAAGUUAAAACAGUUCCAACUCAGAAGUAGUAGUGCCCAAUUGGGUUGUUAUAAAUAUUUCGGAAUUUCAGUCUAAGUUGAUUUGUUUAAUUAUGUAUGCACAAACUAGCUUGACCACUUCUUUCAUAUUGAUACCUAUAAAUUGCAACCUUAUUUUACGUUGAUGCACAAUCUAACUUAACAAAAACAAUAUUCAAAUUGUCACAGAAUGUUUUCUUCUUAAAAUAUAUAUAUAUAUAGUAGUUAAUUUUUCUUAUUCUUCACUCCAGGAUCCAGCUCCAUACCCCUCUUUUUUGUCGUUAUGCUGCUCAGCCGUUAGAUUUUAAUUAUGUUAAUCUAACGGUUGAGAUUUGUAAAUGAAUAAUGAAGUGGUGUUUGGCUACUAUCUGAGCCCAUUGCAUCUAUUUGGUGUUGUGAUUUUUCGCUUGACUAGUUCUGAAAAUAUCGGCAGCCAUCGACGGCAAAUCUGAACAAAGGCAACAUGAGGUGAUCGUGGUGAAAAUGUUUUUUGGCAUGCGAAUCUAAUGACUUUCGAAUACGUUCAUUCAAAUAUUAAAUGCAAUUCAGGCAAAUAGAAGCUUGGUUGAUUGAUUGCUCUUCAUGUGAAAUUCUACCUAAUGGCUAUCCUUUUAAUGGUUUAUAUUGUCUUAUAUGCAAAUUAAAUUCGGAAUUCGGAUGAUAAUAAUCUUCAUUUAGAACAGAUUAGGUAACAUGUGGCAUUCUACAUUCUUGCAAUGCCAUUUCUUUUUAUGGCAGCGCCAUUUUUAAAACGGCAUCGUUUUGUCCAUUAAGAUGUUUCAACUUGUCCCGGGCUGGACAUAUGACUCACUUAAUGAUAACAAAACGGCGAGGCAUGAUAUGAAGGUGUUUUGGCUAAAGGCUUAAGUUCUGCAUGUGACAAGCACGUGAGAGAAGAAUCAAGUUAGUUAUAAGUUGUUAUACACGUGGCUGGAUCUGGUGCAAUCUGGGGUAAUGAACACCCGUUAUAUAAGCUGAGCUUUCAGGCAGUUUCAGCAAGAUGUAAAGAGCUUCUAGUGAGAAUGAAGAGAUAGAAAAAGUAUCAUUUUAUUCCUUGUUAGUUUCUCCGUGUGAGCUCUGUAAAAUAAUUAACCCUAAAUAAUUUGUCCUGCAUCACCAAACUCCGGAUUUUACAAAGCACGCAUAAAGGAUAAUAGACACGUUUGAGGUUUUUUUUUUUAAAGAAAAAAGAUAAUGAAAAUAGACAAAUAAUGAAGACACAAGUUAAGCAGAGCAAAUAAACAGAGGAGAAUGAAUUAAAUACUAUCCUUGAGAACUCAAUUCUUUAAUAAACUCAAUUUUUUAAAUGUAAUUUUUUUUGGGGCUUAAACUCAUGUCAUAAACUGUAGUCUUUAAUUUGGGCUUUGUUGUAUCAAUUUUUUGGAGUUUAUCUUGUUUUAUUUUUUCGUUUUUAUAGUGCAAGAUUUUCGGUGGAGAUAAAUCAGGAAUAAGAGUGAAAUCCCAAUCUUAAAAUUUGGAAGAAAUGAAAUGCGAUUUGUUUUUUCAUGAAUAAAACAAUUCAAUUUUUUGUUAGCACUUGCGUAUGCUGCCAGUUAAUUACACCGUCAACACCUGCGGGAAAUUUAUAUAUUUUCUGUCAGGACUUGCAUACGUUGCAAUUUUCAAUGACUUCCAAAUCUUCAUAUCAUGAAUUAGCAGGAUUCACGUCCGACCAACUCCCCGCGGCUAAAUCAAAGGAUUAAUUUUUGAGAAAUUAUAAAGAAAUUAAUGCAAGUAAAGUGAGCCUAUGCAUUUGAUUUGAUAAUUGGCUGAGGGUGAUUUCGAUAACGUUUUCAAAGAAGAAAUAGAACAAAGAUCAAAAAGAAAAAACAAGUAAUUUCAGUCGAUGGAAGAAAUGAGCAAGAUUCGCACAUGCAUGCAUGCGUCUGACUAACAGGACAUGGCUUGGAGCAGGGAUCAAUGGACAAGUUUGAGGUUUAUGAAAUAUUGGGAAACAGACAAAUAAUAAAGCCAAUCCAAGUUAAGCAGAUCAAAUAAACAGAGGAAAUAACCGAUCAAUUCUUUGUGCAGUGGCCACAGCAACAGCGAAAAUAUGUCUGCAUGACUACAUUAAUUAAUCCUACUAUCACAUGCAGCAUUACAUCAACAUUUGAUCAUCUAUCAAUUUUCAUGAUAUGAGAUUAGAAAUAUUGAGUUCGUAAUUUCGUGUAAUUUCAUGUACUAGAUAUAUAUAAUUGAUUUGAGUUAGUUUAACAUCUAAAGAAAGAGUAAUGGGGAAUGAUGUCGAUGUGGCAUCUGAUGAAUAAUGAUAGACAACAAAUACUGAUCAUGUAAGAAUGAAGUCUGUAUUUACUGAAAAAUAUUUGGCAAUAAAAUGAAGAAUAUUUGAUUUUUUUAUUUUUUAUUUUUAUAUCUCCCAAACAUUAUUAGAGUCCCACAUUUGUGACACAUCAUUAAGUAAAAUGUGCCAAUUAGGAAGAAUACUUGACAUUUUUUAUUUUACAAUUUUUAAGAAAUAUCAAAUAUACAUGACAUUUUGUGAAAAAUUAAGUAAUUGUGAAAUAUAAAUGACAAUUUAUUUAAAUGUCAUAUAAUUGUGACGUUUUAUCAAAUAAGUGACAAAUAUAUAAUAUAUUACAUAUUUAUGGCAUAAUUAUCAUUUAUAUUUUCCUUCUAUUGACUUAAGAAAAAAAUUUAAAAACUCACUAUUACCGCUUUUGUUUUCGUUCUUAGAACAGAUUAGUUUCUUUUGAGAAAAUUCAAACUCAUUCCCAUUACUUCCUUUUCAAUAAUCACCUCUCAAUUUUUUCAUCAAUCACUCAAUUUCGACUUUCAUAUCCAUUCUCUUUCGAAGAAGAACGCACGAAGAAUUUUAGCUUGCUUUAGCUGCUUCUCGAAUUUCAGGUAUUGUUUCCUUUAAUUUUGAUUUUUUUUUCUUCUCUCUUUCUAGUUUGAUAAUUUAGGGUUAUAGUUAAAUUAAUUGUAUUUUUAAUCAACCUAGAUUGAUUUAAUUGAUUCCAAGUCUCAAUUUCCUGUUCAACAAACAAGGAACGCACAAAUAAUUUUCAUUUUCAUUCUCAAUUUUGAAAGAAUCAAUCAAUUUAUUUUAUCUUUGGUUAGUACACUUCUGUUCAAUUUUUGUUUAUUUAACUUAAGACAUUAUUUUCAUUCUUAUCUUCAAGCAGAUUAUAGCGUUGCUCCUCUCAUUGAUUAUAUUGAGAACAGUGCUUUCUCUUAAUUCCGCCAAGAACAACGUUGAUUUCAGGUAAUAAUAAUAAUAGGGAUUUGAAGUUUACAUCCUGUUGAAAUGAUUUUAGAGUGUUCUGCUAUUUGAAUGCGCAUUAAUUGUUUGAUUAAAUGUCUCUUUAAAAGAUUAUUUUUGUUUUUAGCAAACAUCUUACUGAGAUGCCUCUCGUAAUAGUAUUACCGUAAUGUAUUUUGCUUCAUUUUGGUCUGUUUAUACACUUUAACCAGGGAAAAUUACAGAACUGCAACAGUUUUCAAAUUGAUUGCAGAUUAGAAGUAAUUUUAAUUUAUGCUGCAACAGUUCAAUGGGCUGGGCACAAGUUUAGGACUUUAGUUGCUCAAUUAAUGAAUCCACCACUCAUCAGACUUGGAACUUAUAUCUAUUGAAUCAAUAAAAAUAGUUGAUGGAAUCAAUGCCGAAAGCUUCAUUUGAUAUUUAUUUAUAACAUCUGUUAGAUUCUGGACAAUCACAAAGAUAUAGCAGCAGAAACUAUGUUGGAGACACUAUAGUUGCUUAAUUAGUGAAAUUGUGCUCUCAUUGCCCCCUUUUUUUGGUUGAUUCUAUAAUUUUAUUAGUUGUUCUUGUGGUUGUAAACAAUAUCAAUUUCUAAUAUUAAUAAAACUGAAUGAAUAAAAUGCGAUGCAUUCGCAGGAAAAUUAAUAGUUUAAAUAUGGAUAAAUCUUGGAUGUUGAUGGAUAGAAGGUCUAUAGAAUAUGAGAACGCGGUAAAUGAGUUUCUCAAGUUUGCAGUACUUCAUGCUAGUAAUCCUGAGCUUUUGAGAUGUCCAUGCCAAGCAUGUCUUAAUUUAUAGGCUCAAACAAUUAAGAGUACAGAAAAUGCAUGAUAGAACACAGAACUCAUAUUUUAGCAACAAUCCUCAGCUCAUUGGCCCUUAGUUCAGAAUGACAAUUCUUAUUAGCCAAAGAUUCAAAAUGAUUUUUAGUUGUUUAUAAGUAGAGCACUAGAUCAACAAAUAAUUGAAGUCGUGCAGCUUGGCUAUGGAACUAUACGAUGGUGGCAAUUCGAAGACUACAACUUGGCUCUGCCAUUCGAAGUAAGCAGCGCAGCUGCCCAAAGUCUGCCAAGCCAUCAAGACUCCAUCAAGUAUACUUCAAAGCCACAUCAAGACAAUACUAAGAUACAACAUCAAUAAUAAUAACACCAAGAAAUACAUGGAGGCCAUUGCAUGCUACAGCCACCCCAAUAAGAAAUUAAUAAAUACAGUCCUAGAAAUUUACAAACCCAUGCAGUAGGAAUAACUAAUUAAUUUAUACAGUUCAGUACUCGUUCCUCUGUUUCAAAUCCAAAUCCACUGGUCUACUAUUCAUUAUGACGCAAUGCAUAUGCCGAUAUUGUCUUCCAUCCUUUAUGUACCUUUCAAUUUAGUGAGGUUUAGACAGGGGUUCCAGAUUUGGUAAAUCAACAAUCACCAGAUAUGAUAGAGAGGCCGGAAGAGAAGCAUGGUUCCUAAUCCUAAUCUUGAUUUAGAGCAGAUUAGGUAACAUGUGGCAUUCUACAUUCCUUCAAUGCCAUUUCUUGUUAUGGCAGCAGCAUUCUUGGUCAUGGCAUCACAAGCAAAUGCUUUGAUUUGAAGACUUGCUUGGCUAUGAAAAAUAAGGAGAGCAAAGGUAAUUAAUCUUGGUGUGAUCAACAGUUUAAUGGGGGUACUAAGAAAAAUAAAGAUAAUAUAAGGAAUGUUGUUGAGGAGUAUUUUCAUAUUUACAAAAGUGUUCAAAGUAAAAAUUGAUUUCUUGAAACCCAUUAGCUAGCGCACAUAAUAAUGGGGAGAAAUUUUUAGACUACGAAUUAGGGGUGGGCAUGGGUUGGUAAAAUCCAACCCAAACCAAACCCUAAAAAUUUGAAUCCAACCCAAACCAACCCAAAUAUUUUUAACCCAACCCAAACCAAACCAUUUGGGUUUGGUUUGAAUUUUAUUAUCAAAAUAAUUUUUAUUUUAAUAAAAUUUAAUUAUAUCAAAAUUAUAAUAAUUAUUAAUUGUUAUUAAUUAUUAAAUUGAUAUUAAAAUAAAUGAAAUAAAUGAUAUUAAAAAUUAACAAUAAUAAGUGAAAUAAAUGCUGAGUAAAAUUUGUGGAGGGUAGCUCCUUAAAAAUGCCACCUAUUAAUGUUAAAUCAUUCAAAUGAGGACACCCAACCGUGUGAUACUUUUGAUACUUUUGGGACCAUCUUCAUCUUUCCUCAAGCAAAUGGCACUCACUAGCAUCUUCAUCCUUAAAUAAGAUAAAUAAAUAAUUUAUAAUGUUGAAUAGUUAUAAAGAUGAGUAAAUUUAAAAAAGGAACAUGAUUCAUACCAAAAUUGUAAGAAUAACAUCAAUCUAAAGUCAUUGCCUCCGUUGUUGCACUUGAUCCAAACUCUACAUUAAAUAAAAAUAAAUUAAUAAAAAAAGACUAGUGAUAAACAAAUAUAUAAUUUUUUUCGCUUGUUAUGAUAAACAGUAGUUACCUGACAUCAUGGCUUCAUAAAACUCAAGCUCCUCCAUCGUUGGUUCAUCUUGUAAUGGGACAAAAGUGUGAAGUAACCAAUUUUGUGAGCAUAUCAAAGCUUCCACCAUCUUUGGACUUAAAGAACUACGAAAUGAAUCAAUGAUGCGUCCUCCAGUACUAAAUGCAGAUUCUGAAGCUACUGUAGAUAUUGGAAUUGCAAACACAUCCUUUGCAAUAUGUGAAAGAACUCGAUAUUUUAUUGAGUUCAUUUUCCACCAUGCCAAAAUCUCAAAGUCAUCGUCAUCAACAUGUUCACAUGGCUCCAACAAGUACCUCUCUACUUCAUUUUUCAUCUCAACACAAUCAUAUUUUCGUAUUCUUUGUUUGAACUUUGCAACACUUGAAAGUUUAGAAAACCCCACCUUUUUAUCAAAUUUCCUACUAUCAACAAUUGACGACUUACCAACAUCACUAGAUGAUCCACAACCACCAAUCUUAGUGUCAAGAUCUUUAUAGUAUUCAUAAAGACGUAUUAAAAGAUUUUUCAUCUUUUCAGACUUCUUCCCAACCUCAUCAAUAACAAAAAUGUCACAUAUUUUAACUUAUAACGUGGAUCAAGAAUAACCGAAAUAAGCAACAAAUUAUUUAACCUAUCAAUUGAACCCCAAUAUUUGUCAUAUUUAUUUUUCAUACUUGUUGCCAUUUUAGAUAAAACAAGAUCAUCACUACUUUCAAUUAAUGAUGUCAAAUCGGAAUGAAUUGAGCACAUUUCAUGAAAAUAUAAGUUUGAAGUCACGUACAUUGAACCACUAAAUUUCAAAAUUAUAUCAUAAAAUGACUUCAAAAACAACACAAAAACAUUAGCAUUUUCCCAAUCAUCACUAUUAGGGGGUCCUCCAUCUUCUUUGAAAUAUGAAACAUAAUGUUGAUCAUCAUCCUCCAUUCUCUCAAAAGCCUUUUGAAAUUUUAAAGCACUCUCCAACACUAAGUAGGUGGAAUUCCACCUAGUGGACACAUCUUGAACCACAAGACCAGCACCUUCAAUUCUUUCAUGCUCCACACAUAUUUUAAAUUUUUUUAGCCUUGCAGGAGAUGACUUUACAUACUUGACAGCAUUACGAAUUCUAGAAAUUGACACAUGUAAGUCUUUCAAUCCUUCAUUCACAAUUAAAUUCAAAAUAUGCGCACAACAUCUCAUAUGUAAAAAAUCACCAUCUAGCACAAGCCCAUUCUCACUCCAAUUCUUCAAUUUCUUUUUGACAUAAUUGAUAGCUAACUCAUUUGAACUAGCAUUAUCAACAGUAAUGGUAAAUACCCUUUCUAUACCCCACUCAAGCAAACAAGAUUCAAUUACCUUUCCAAUUGUCUCCCCCUUAUGGUCAGGUAAUGUGCAAAAAUUUAAAAUUCUUUUCUGCAAUUUCCAUUCACUAUCAAUGAAAUGGGCUGUUAUCACCAUAUAGUAAUAAUUUUGUAUAGACGUCCAUGCAUUUGUGGUUAUACAAACUCUUUGCUUAUUUGAAACAAAAAAGUUCCUUAAUUUUUGCUUUUCUUCCCAAAAACGUUUGUAUACAUCUCUAGCAAGGGUUCUCCUAGACGGUAGAUCAAAGUUUGGCCCCAAUUGCUUACUAUAUUGUUGAAAGCCCUCUUUCUCCACAAAACUAAAGGGUAAUUCAUCAAUAAUAAUUAACCGUGUAAGGGCUUUUCUACAUGCUUCUUUGUCAAACACAUGAGACUUAGAUUCAUCUUUCAUUUCAUGUGAAGUUGUUUGAUUUUCAUCCUCAAAUAUGCUCAAAUAAUCAGGACAACGUAACAAAUGAUUCCUUAAUGUACUAGUCCCAAUUUUAGUCCCAUGUUUAUUCUUACAAGCAUAAUCAUUACCACAAUAAUUACACUUGCAUCUAUUACCUAGAUCGUAUUUAGUGAAAUGAUCCCAUAUUUAUGAUCUCUCUGAUGGCUUUUUCCUCUUGCUUUGAGUAGUUGCAAGCGUGUCCAAGGAACUAGUACCAUGACAACUUGAGUUCUCAUCCAUCUAAAAUUAAAUGAAAAAAAAAAUAAACAACUUUAAGCCAAUUCAACAAAAACUUUUACCAAAUAUAAGGAACAACAACAAUAGUGCCAGUAAGAGCAUCAAGUUUCAAUCCAGCAGGAACAACAAUCUGCAAAUAUUCUACUAGACGAAAAUAUGCCAGAGAAACUAUUAAGUAUCCAACUUUCAUUCCAGCUUUGGAUUCAAAUAUAUUCUUAGUUAUAACCAACAAUCAUCUACAAACGAUAGGAAAAAAAAUUCAUUAAAAAAUAUCUUGAUUUAGGGCCAUCAGAACAGAAUCGAAGCAUUACAGGGCCACACCACAACAACAAAAGAAAAAAAAAAUUGAAGCAGAGCCUGAUUUCAAAUUCAAUUAAACUUUUUUUUUUGGGUCAUCUACAAGCUCCCUCAAAAUUCAAAAACUUUUGGAUUUACCCACUAUCAUAUAUACUUAAUUUAUUAAACAUCUUAUUAUAGAAUAUUUUAUGUUAUUUGUAAUGUAGCAGGGGAGGCUAGCUAUCUGUGGCUAAUCCAAUGUUCAUCUCUCUUCUACUGAAUAAUUUAUUAUUGUAAAAUGAUAGGAGCCCAGCUCUUAUUGCUAUUGCUAGCUAAUAUUGGAUGGAAUAAGUGUCAGGAUGAAGCUGAAACAAGAGUCAAAAUUUCACUAUUAUCUAAAAAUAAGAGCCACCACAACAAUAACAAAAGCAAAAAAAAUUGAAGCAGAGCCUCACCUUAAAUCAUUAGGACGAUAGCAAUCGAAGUGGGGACUUUAGGAGUCGAUGACAAUGAGAGAUCCACCACGUCACUUUUGUCGAUAGGGAUUGUAGAAGAUGGAGAGAGAUUCAGCGGUUUGUUUAUUUUGUUUUCAGCGGUUUGUUUAGUUUUGGAAAUUUUUUCUUAACCCAUAGGUUAACCACACCCAAACCAUUAUAAAAUGGUUUCAUACAUAAAAACCCAAAUUCAACCCAUUUUUUUAAUUUACCCAACCCAAACCAUUUUAUUUGGUUUGAGUUUGGGUAAACCCAUGGGUUGUGGGUUUAUGCCCACCCCUACUACGAAUAGUCCCAUCCAUUUAAUAAUAUUCUUCAAUCAAUUAUGUUUACUUCAAAAAAAAAAACCAUCUCUUUAUUACUUUCUAAUUAUUCAUAUUAAUGUGUUAAUAAUUAUGAAGAACCGGUGUAAUUUAUAUGAUGUAGGAAGCACUUUAGGCAAAAUCAUCAGAAUCUCAAAAUUUCGUGAUAUUGUGCCAAAUAUGCAAAACAAAGCUUCCUACAUUGUUAUAGCAGUUUUUUUAAAGUUGAGGAGUCCAAAUAUCCAAUAACUGAUAAAUUCUGUUAAGAAAUAUAAAUAUUAAUGGUGAUGACACAUACGCAUGGAAUUCCUCUGUUUUGAGUUUGACUUAAAUAACCUGAAUAAUUUCAAACAAUCCAUCAGGACAAAGUCCUUGAGAGAUUGAACUGGAUUUCAGUGCAUCACAUUCUGAAAUUGAAACUAACAUUAAUUAGAAAGGCAGAACAGCCUCUGUUUUUUACUAUAAUACAAAAUGGGAAGUCAAACCAAUUCAAGGAACUCCCCUGUUUUUUUACUGAAACAUACAUAAUCCGAACAAUUUAUAAUUAAAUAAAUCAUUUAAAAUCUCCUUUAAUCGAACCUCCACUUCUAUGGGUUAAUAGAAUAUCAUAAAGGUGCCCAAUACAGCGAAAUUAAUGUUCAGCUCAUGAAGUUGCCAUUAUAUAUAUUGAAAAAGAAAUUAAUACAAGAAACUGAAAAUUAAUUGACAUUGGAUCACGUAAGAUUGUUAGUUGUUAAUUAUGAUGGGAAUAUAUACUUGGUCUAUUAAUUUGUGUCUAUCACUGAAGAGUAGAGUUACAUGACUGAAUAGUAUCAUAUCACAAAAACUCAAAACUCAAUUUCAUUGCGCAAGCAUACCACGCCGUAUGUAGCUCAAAAGUGCAAUAACAUUGAGCAUUCAGCUAGCUAGCUUAUAUUAAUUAAUUAAUACCACUAUUAGUUCUUUAUGAUUAAUUAAAAGAUAAAAUAUUUGACAAUCACGAAACAUUAUUCUAUCACUGAAGAGUAGAGCUUCCUUCCUACAUUGUUACCCAAGCUCUUCUACAUCUCCCAAACAUUAUUAGAGUCCCACAUUUGUGGCACAUCAUUAAGUAAAUUGCUUACGUUGCAAUUUUCAACGAAUUACAAUUCUUCAGAUCUUGAAUUAGCAGGAUUGACGUCCGAUCAACUCCACGUGGCAUGUGUCUGACUAACUGGACAUGGCUUGGAGCAAGGAUCAAUGAACAAGUUUGAGGUUUAUGAAAUAUUGGGAAAAUAGACAAAUAAUAAAGCCACUCCAAGUUAAGCAGAUCAAAUAAACAGAACAGAGGAAAUAACUGAUCAAUUUAAUUCUUUGUGCAAUGGCCACAGCAACAGCGAAAAUAUGCCUACGUGACUUCAUUAAUUAAUCCGACUGGCGUGGAUGUUACUAUCGCCGUGCAGCAUUACAUCAACAUUUGAUCAUCUAUCAAUUUUCAUGAUCUGGGAUUAGAAACAUUGAGUUCAUAAUUUUAUGUAAUUUCAUGUACUAGAUAUAUAUAAUUGAUUUGAGUUAGUUUAAAAUAUAAAGAAAGAGUAAUGGGGAAUGACGUCAAUGUGGCAUUUGAUGAGUAAAGAUAGACAACAAAUAUUGAUCAUGUAAUAAUGAAAUACGUAUUUACUGAAAAAUAUUGGCAAAAAAAUGAUGCUAUAAAAAUUUAAUAUUAGUUGCAAGCGAAUAAAUUGACAAUUAAAAUUAAUAGAUAUAUAUAUGCAAUGCUUCGGGUUUAUUUUAUCGUUUCACACCAUUUUGUAACUACAUGUUACUUAGAAGUUCAAUUAAUUUUGACCAAAGACUAGAGAAUGUCGAAAAGAGAUAUGAUUUUUGUAUACCAAAAAAAAAAUUAGAAAUGAAAUACGUCAAAAUCAAUUACAAGAACAACAAUAAAAGUAUAUUUUAUAAAAGUCACAAAUACAUAAUAAGAGUUUAGUUUUGAAUUACAUAAUUAUUCAUUUAUAUAGUAAGAGAGUCUUAUAGAUAUAUAGGAAUUUUUUUAAAAGAGUUUUGGUAAAGCAAAAAGUUUAGUUUGGUCUAGUUUGUGGAGGUUCAAGUAGUUGAAAGCAGUGCAAGUGAAGGAAACAUAAACUUCUAGUUUUUUACAAAGUAAUGGCUAGAAUAUUUGAAAAGUUUGAGAUUUUAAAAAGGCUGGGAAAAUAGACAAAUAGUGAAGACCCUGCAAGUUGGCAGAGCAAAUAAACAGAGGAAAACAGGCAGAUAAUUUAUAUUAUACAUAUAAGUUUUAUUUUUUCCAGAAACAAAUGUUGCGAUUUUUUUUCCCCUAAAAAAGAAGCACAGUCUGCUAUUACCACUAAAGAAUGUUAGCUACUUUAUAUAAGCACGUGUCUAAUUACCAAAUAAAUUCCACUUUAACAAAGAAUAAAAGUUAAUUUCAUUGAUGGCACGUGUUGUGCUUUCUUUUUUUAUUAUUUUUCCUUUUAGAUGUUGAAGUUACUUUGCAAACUGCUCCAAGCUGAUUACAAAAUUUCCGCUUACUCUAGGAUCUUUUCAAUGGGCUUACAAUUUGUAUUCUUGUCUGUAAGAUUGAUUUUUUUUCUUUAAAAAAAUAAAAAGGGAUGAGAAAUCUUACCAACUAAAUACCAACUUCGAAUUUUGUUAUUAUUCAAACUUUGUAUUUCUUGCUCAUAGCCAGUUAAACUGUGUCUAACUGUCAUGCAGGUUCCAUUUUUAGUUGAUUAACUGUAUAUACAAAAUUAAAUCACCUGAGCCUCUGGUUUCACUAUUUUCCAACUUGAAACUAAAACGCAGAAUUGAUGGGGUAAUUCAUGGGGAAUCAGAUGGCCAUCUAUUUUUAGGUCUAUUUUAUGUACUAUUGGCCGCCAGGUAGCUUGGUCAUAUACGUGUAUUGGGAUGUCAUGGGGCCUAAAAAAUAAAGGUGAAAAUCAGUCACAAAUCUGAAGUGAAAAACAGUAACUAGAACAGAAUCUAUGUUUUGAUGUCUUUAGUUUAUAAGCUCAAACAAUUAAUAGUAUAGAAAAUGCAUGAUAUAGCACAGAACUCAUGUUUUAGCAAUAAUCCUAAGCUCAAUGGCCCUUAGUUCAGAAUGACAAUUCUUAUUAGUCAAAGAAUCAAAAUGAUUUUUAGUUGUUCAUAAGCAGAUCACUAGAUCAACAAAUAAUUGAAGACUGGCUUGGCUAUUGAACCAUACGCGGCAAUUCGAAGACUGAAACUUAACUCUGCCGUUCGAAGUAAGCAACUCAGGUGCCCAAAGGCCGUCAAGCCAUCAAGACAAUAUGAAGAUACAACAUCAAUAAUAAUAACAUCAAGAAAUACAUAGAGGCCAUUACAUAUUACACCUAUCCCAAUUAGAAAUUAGUUAAUACAGUCCUAGCUCCUCUGUUUUAAAAGAAAUUUACAAACCCAUGCAGUAGGAAUAAUUAAUUAAUUUAUACAGUUCGGUACUCAUCCCUCUUCUGUUUCAAAUCCAUAUCCACUGCUCUGCCAUUUAUUACUACGCAAGGUAUAUGGGUUAGCAAGUGCCGACAUUGUCCUCCAUUCUUUGUGUGCCUUUCUUCUAUCAAGGGACAACCCAAGAUCUCUAAUCGCAAGAAAAAUAUUUCAGAGUAAAAAGUGAUUUCUUAAAAUCUAUUAGCUAGUGCACAUAAUAAAAGGGCAUUCAUGGUAAAUUUUAGACUACAAGUAGUCCAACCUUUUAAUAAUAUUCUGCAAUCAAUUCCGUUUGUUUUAAAAUAAAAGAAAUCCAUCUCUUUAUUACUUUCUAAUUAGUCAUAUUAAUGUGUUAAUAAUUAUGAAGAACCAGCGUAAUUUAUAUGAUGUAGGAAACCCUUUAGGCAAAAUAACCUGAAUUUUUUAGAGUAGCGGCUAGACAUAUUGGGCAUAACCUCAGUUUCUGUUACUUCUUUGACCCUGCCUAAGCUCUUUUAAGGGCUAAUAUCAAAAUUUCGUGAUAUUGUGCCUAAAGAGCUUCCAAUUCAAGGAGCUCCCCUGUUUUUGACUGAAACAUAUGUAAUCCGAACAAUUUGUAAUUAGAUAAAUCAUUCAAAAUCUCCCUCAAUCUAACCCACAUUUCUAUGGUUUAAUAACAUAUCACAAAGGUGCCUAAUAUAAUGAAAUUAGCAUUAGUUCACGAGAUUGCCAUUAUAUAUAUUGAAAAAGAAAUUAAUACAAGAAACUGAAAAUUAAUUGACACUGGAUCACGUCGUGUUGUUAGUUUGAUUAUGAUGGGAAUAUAAUCUUGGUCUUUUAAUUAUCAUCUAGCUACCGCAUGUGCACUAGUUUCAUUUGUGUCUAUCACUAAAGAGUAAAGUUGCUUGAUUUGAAUAGUAUCAUAUCAUAGAAACUCAAAACUCAAUUUCGUUGCCCGAGUAUACCAUGCCAUAUGUAGCUCAAAAGUGCAAUAACAUUGAACAGUCAGCUAGCUAGCUUAUACUAAUUAAUUAAUACAACUAUCAGUUAUUUUUUAUUAAUUAAAAGAGAAAAUAUUUGACAAUCGCGAAAACAACAACAAUUCACUCCAAUAAACAACAUAAUAAAUACAUGAUAUAUAUUACAAGUCUUUUUAUGAUGUAGAUUAGAAGGGAAAAUACGAAGGACCUAUUAUAUAUUAUAUAUGAUUGAAUUUAAUCCAUGAUAAUUAGACAAAAUAACACUAAUCUAGCUAACUAAUCCAACCAUCAUAAUAAUUUGAUUUUCAUUAUUUUAUUGUGUCCAAUCAUGCUAAUUUAAUAAAAAAAACACAGAACACUUGAGGAUUUAGAUAUUCAACAACUUUGGCCAAGUUCGAAAAAGAUUAGAGCUUCCUUCAUGCUUUGUGUUCUUAUGUUACACAUGAUCAUAUUAUGUUACAUUUGACAGAAAACUGAAAAUUAUUGAAAAAAAAAAAAAUCUUAGUUAGCACAUGAUCAAAAUGAGAGAAUAAUGCACACACAUCACAACAAUGUUUCAUUCAUUUUGAAUCUAUAUUUACAAAACUUGUAUCCGAUGGUUUACAUUUGUUUAAUCUAACGGCUAUGACAUGUGUACUGUCAAAACGCUACAGCUGCCAUCUCUGUUUGUCCUUGUUGCAUCCUUGAUCUUAUAUUAUCCUGGAGAUUAUUGAAUGUUCUUCUCAUUCUCAUGUGCUCGAGGGUCCUUUCUUGAGACAUUUCAGCAAACACCUGAUUCAUCCUAUUAAACAUCAGCAUCAUUAAUCAGUAAAUGAUGUAAGGUAGCCCUGUUUUGAGAAGUCAACAUAAAUCAGUCACCUUAGAUUUUCUCAGUCUCAGAGCACAACGGGUGAUGAUUUGAUGAGAAAUAUUAAUAUGCAUGCAUCCCCUGAAUUAGCUAGAGCUGGUUGUCAUUUUCUUCUUUCUUUUGGUACGGUUUUAGAUUUUUAAUCAAUCAGAUUCAGCUGCAUGUUUGCUUUUAGUCCAAACCAAAAUAAGAUAUUAAGUACUUUUGCCAGAAUAGACGCAACCAAAAUUCUAUGGGAUCUGUAGUUCCUAGUUCAUGCAGAAGCGGCCGAAUGCUUCCGGCAACUCAGGCAGAUAGAACCCUGGUUGAUUCGUUUUUCUUCAUCUGAAAUUCUACCUAAUGCCUAUCCUCUUAAUUGGUUUAAAUUCUUCUUUUUUUUCUUUGAAUUGUUGAUUUAUAAUGUCUUGUAUGCAAAAUUUAUAAUUUCGGAUGAUGAUAAUCUUGUUUAAGAAGAGAUUUCUAGUUACGGCAGCAGCAUUCUUGAUCAUGGCGCUCUGGUUUGCUUAGUUUCCUUUUUGUCUCUGAUAUUUUCUUGGCAUUCUUGUUCUCUCUUGUAAUAAAGUGCUUUUGAUAAAUUCGCCUGGUCGGUUUACUUCACUGACCAUUAAUGAGCAAAUCCUCCCAGUGACCCUCAAACUCUUCUACACAAUUAUAAUAAUUUCAGUUUUACAUAUACAAAAAUGAACAGCUCUCAAAUAUAUUAUUUGAUAAUGACAAAAACAAUAAUUCACUCCAAUAAAUCUCAUAAUAAAUACAUGAUCUACAUUGCAAGUCUUUUUAGGACGCAUUCAAAGAGAAAACAUAAGGAAUGGCAUUGCAAGAAUAUGGAAUCAGAAUAAAAGGGGAUGGUCGAGUUGGGUUGCUUGCAAAAUUAUUGGUGCGGGGUUCUACUUGUUUUUGUUUCACUUUAUUAAUUAAUUAGCGAAGCACACACGUCAUCAUUUGAAAAAGAAUCACUAGCACCAGCUUAUGAAAAAUAAAUUUGUAAGACAUAUUAAUUUCAAUGAAAAUGUAGCGUGAUUAUGUUAUGAAUUCAUUAACUUACUUCAUAAAUAUUCUUCAUCAUUAUGGUUAAUGGCUUAGCAAAUGCAGGAGCAGGGGUCACCCAAAAGUAAAACACUUUCUCUUGUAUUAACCUUUGCUAGCCGUCGAAGUUAAACAAGUUAAAACAGUUCCAACUCAGAAGUAGUAGUGCCCAAUUGGGUUGUUAUAAAUAUUUCGGAAUUUCAGUCUAAGUUGAUUUGUUUAAUUAUGUAUGCACAAACUAGCUUGACCACUUCUUUCAUAUUGAUACCUAUAAAUUGCAACCUUAUUUUACGUUGAUGCACAAUCUAACUUAACAAAAACAAUAUUCAAAUUGUCACAGAAUGUUUUCUUCUUAAUAUAUAUAUAUAUAUAGUAGUUAAUUUUUCUUAUUCUUCACUCCAGGAUCCAGCUCCAUACCCCUCUUUUUUGUCGUUAUGCUGCUCAGCCGUUAGAUUUUAAUUAUGUUAAUCUAACGGUUGAGAUUUGUAAAUGAAUAAUGAAGUGGUGUUUGGCUACUAUCUGAGCCCAUUGCAUCUAUUUGGUGUUGUGAUUUUUCGCUUGACUGGUUCUGAAAAUAUCGGCAGCCAUCGACAUCAAAUCUGAACAAAGGCAACAGGAGGUGAUCGUGGUGAAAUUGUUUUUUGGCAUGCGAAUCUAACGACUUUCGAAUACGUUCAUUCAAAUAUUAAAUGCAAUUCAGGCAAAUAGAAGCUUGGUUGAUUGAUUGCUCUUCAUGUGAAAUUCUACCUAAUGGCUAUCCUUUUAAUGGUUUAUACUGUCUUAUAUGCAAAUUAAAUUCAGAAUUCGGAUGAUAAUAAUCUUGAUUUAGAACAGAUUAGGUAACAUUUGGCAUUCUACAUUCUUGCAAUGCCAUUUCUUUUUAUGGCAGCACCAUUUUUUAUCAUUGUUUGUGUGGACCUAUUUGCUGAAUUCAAAACUUGGCGUGUUAAAACGGCAUUGUUUUGUCCAUUAAGAUGUUUCAAGUUGUCCCCGGCUGGACAUAUGACUCACUUAAUGAUACCAAAACGGCGAGGCAUGAAGGUGUUUUGGCUAAAGGCUUAAGUUCUGCAUGUGACAAGCACGUGAGAGAAGAAUCAAGUUAGUUAUAAGUUGUUAUACACGUGGGUGGAUCUGGUGCAAUCUGGGGUAAUGAACACCCGUUAUAUAAGCUGAGCUUUCAGACAGUUUCAGCAAGAUGUAAAGAGCUUUCUAGAGAGAAUGAAGAGAGAGAAAAAGUAUCAUGUUAUUCCUUGUUAGUUUCUCCAUGUGAGCUCUGUCAAAUACUUUGAUUCAUAAAUAAAACUCAUUUUAGUCGAUUCUCCCUUGGAUGCAUGUUCUGCCUCAUUGCACGGCCGAACCACGUAAACAGUGCUCGUUUCUGGGUGUGAUUGUUUGUUAAUCUUGCUUAUUUCUUGGCUGAAAUCUUGCUUUAAGUUCUUAAGUCAUCUAUUGAGUUCAUCGAGGUCAUUCAAUUGUUCAUAUGUAGCUAGUUUGAUCUUGUACAGGGUCUUAGGCAGUGUUUUGAUAGCUUGAUUAGCAUUAGCGGCUAUCUUGACAGUACAAUUGGUAUCAGAGCUAGUUCUUCAGAUCAAGAUCCAAGUAUGGCUCCAUCAAAGAUUGAUCUUGAGAAGUUCAAUGGAAAGAAUGACUUUAAUAUGUGGAAGGUUAAGAGGGAAGCAUUGCUGGUAACACAGGGUCUUGGGUAUGCUAUUCAACAAGUAACCAAAAAACAGGAAAGGAGGUAUCUUCGUCAAAGACCCCAGGGCAGGUUGCUGAGAUAGACAAAAGGGCUGGGGGACAAUAAUCUUGAGCCUUGCAGACUCAGUGAUAAGGGAAGUGGCAAAAGAACCACGGUUGUUGACUUAUGGGCUAAGUUGGAGAGUAUGUACAUGAAAAAAUCCCUUGCUAACAGAUUGUACACAUAAAGAAGAGCAUCCCUUGCUAACAGAUUGUACACAUAAAGAAGAGCAUGUUUACAUUAAAGAUGAUUGAAGGCUCAUCUCUUGAUGAUCAUAUUGAUGGGUUCAACAAAGUGUGUGACACUUUGAAAGCAUUGAUGCAGCAUUAAAUGAUGAAGAUAAAGCCUUAUUAUGAAUGAGCUCCCUUCCCAAAGUCCUAUCAGCAUUUUGUUGAUGCCUUGAUGUACACACACACACAUAUAUAUAUCAUAAAUUUUAUUUUAUUUUGUAGUUAAGUCUUUAUGUUUUUUUCAUUUGUGUCUAUCACUAAAAAGCAGAGUACUUGCUUGAUUGAAUAGUGUCAUAUUACAUCACAUAAACUCUCUCAAUUAUUGAAAAAAAAAAAUCUUAAAAGAUCCCUACUUUGUGCUUAAAAAAUCUUUAAAAAAAUCUUUAAAAAUCUUCAAAGUUUUCAAUUAUUGAUAACUGAAAAUUAUUGAAAAAAAAUCUUAAAAGAGAUGUGUUGAAUUGUGAAAUUAAAACUGAGUUUCAGACAUUUCGGACAUGUCGGUUUAUAUCCGUGAUUGUGCAUGCCCUGUCGGUUGCUUGAUGAAACAGGAGAAUAUUGACCUGUGUGUAUUAUCGUUUACUUCCUGCAAUUAAAUCACAUGUUGUUCAUGUGAUUCCAUUUACUCUAUACGGCACAUUUGGCAGUCGUUUUGGUCACUUACUGAAGCACGGGUUAAGUACUUGAUUCAAGGUUGUUAACUGACCUUUACAAGGCGGGAAAAUUCUGGGUUUGUUAUAACAAACCCGGAAUGCAGCUAGUGAGUGGGGGAGUUUUCUAGACUCUUCAUGAUAUGUAUAUAUAGUCUUAGAGGCUAUAGUUGAGACAUAUGAAAAGCUUGUAACUUCUUCUUAAUGUUUGUAGUUUGAUCUCGGUGAUGGAGAUAAGAUUGCUGCCCUGUUCUCCAGGCCGAACCACUUAAAUUGUGCCUCUGUUUUGCUUGAUGACUACCAGUGGUGAGAAAACAGCUACAGAACAAAUCAAGCUUGAUGACUCAAAUAUUAGGGAAGCCAUAGUCAAGGCAUCUGGUUUAUGCAUCAACAGUGGUUCGUGGACUAGAAUUCCUAGCUAUUGCCGCUUCACAAUUGCACUGGAAGAAAGCGAAUUUGAUCGAGCUUUGGAUCGCAUAGCUAAAUUCAAAAGCAUCGUACAAAUAGUUAACUAAAAAACGGUAUUGUCAUUUGUCAUGAUUUAUUUCUAUUGCCUGAUGAUGAUACCCAUCACGCCUUAGUUGUCGUGAAUAAAUCUAAAAUCAACAUUUGUGACGUUAAUAUCCAUUUGUGACGUUUUGAGAUUAUAAUAUAUGACAACACUGAUUAGUGUUGUCUCCCAUGUGAAUUGAGACAAAUUAUUUUCCCAAUUGCGCUUUCAUUUGAACAAUUCCACUGUAGAUUUAUAAAAUAAUGAUCAAAUUGUGUUUUUUAUUAAGUUACGAGUAAUUGGUUAAAUAUUAAUACAAAACUAUUGUGAGAUGAAUGAAUCAAGUUGGUUCUAGAAACGACCGUGUUUUGGAGCUGUAAAGCUUCAUUAAGCUCACGUGCUUCUCAGCUGGUUCUUAACAGAAAACGAACUGAUCGAAACGACAGAGCUCAAGCGCGUUUUGUGUAUCAGUUUAAGUGACCACGUGAGGAAGCAUGUGACAAAGGUUUUCAGAGUUCGUUAAGGUUGUUAAACCACGUGUCAACGAGCGGCUUAUUCUGGAAAUCAAGGAAGCUACCCAAACAGAGUAUAAAGGCUGGUUUUUUGGGGUGAUUCAACAACGAUUUUCAUGAGUCUUGCAGAGAGGGUUUUAUGAGAGAGAAAGUGUGAACUUGUUCUCUGAAAAGUCUGGUGUAAGGUUCUGUAACAAUCUCCAUUACUGUUUCAAUAAAGCUCAUCUUGAGGCUUCUCCCGUGGAUGUAAGCUGAGCAUUCCAUGCUUAGCUGAACCACGUUAAUCUUGGUGUCUGUGGUUCUUUUCUUGGUUCUUGAAUCUUCAGUUUCUUGUUUGUGUUCAUAGCUAUUGUGCUUUGUUGUUCUUGGGUGAAUUAGUCUAAGUAAAUCUUGGGGGUGUGCAACUUGCAUUGACUAAAUCACAAGCAUCCUAGGGCAGUGGCCAGUUUAGCUUUGUUAUAGGCUUGCUGUUUCACUACAACUAUUUUAAGUAACAUGUGGCAUAUUCUAAUUCUAGCCAAGCUUCCAACUAAGAUUCCCAAAUCAAAAGAAUUUCAACCUUCAGAACAUUCUGCAAAACGUUUAGUCUCUACGCAGUGCUAGAAUUUUCCCUAAGUUUCUAUCGCAAAGACUUCUAAAGAACUAUUCAGAUAUCGAGCUAUAAUCCAGUCUAAAGUGUAUAUAUCUCUCUAAUUCACCUCCCUCCAUUUCACCAGAAAAUCGACGAACACUUAGCUUCAAACAAACACUCUCAAAAAGCUAGCUAGCUACCCAGAUGGCAAAACCAAGAAUUCUUGCAAUGACAAUGUUGUUUCUUGUUAUGGCAGCAACAUUGAUGAACAUGGCAUCACAAGCAAACGCUCUGAUGCCGUGCACACAAUCACCUUUCUUUGACAUGAUGUUCCCAAUGACGGAAGAGCCUUUCAGGGUUCUUGAACAAACCCCUUUAACAAUCGCAAAAGGAGCUGAUCAUCAUCAAACUCUAGCCCCAGCGAGAGCAGACUGGAUGGAGACACCAACAGCCCACAUGAUCACGCUCGACAUUCCAGGGAUGAAGAAAGAUAAUAUGAAGAUUGAAGUUGAAGAGAACAGAGUACUGAGAGUGAGUGGGGAGAGGAAGAGUAAUGAUUAUUAUAAGGAGGGAGUUGAAGGAGAGAAAUGGCACAGAGCUGAGAGGACAUUUGGCAAGUUUUGGAGGCAGUUUAGGAUGCAUAUGAGUGCUGACUUGGAUCAUAUUAAGGCUCACAUGGAAAAUGGGAUUCUGAGGGUCACAGUACCAAAGCUUGCUGCGUAGAAGAAGAGGCAGCCUAAGGUUAUUAACAUUGAUGAAGAGUCUGGUAAUUCUUCCAAUGAAGAUAUUAAGGCUACCAAGGCUCAAAUGUAAUUGAUUAAAGAAAGAAGUGAUUGCUUUGCUUGAUGUGCUAUUUGUUUAUGAUCUUUUCUUGGUUUUGUUGUGAGAUGUUUCUAUUUGGAUGCUCUAUUUAAUGUAUUUUGAUGGGUUUUUGAGGAAGGCUUGUAUGUAUUGACAACAAUAAACUGCUUUUUAUAAAUCCUAGUCCUACAACACUAGAAGAAAUUAAUACGCUUGGUUUAUAGUUGAUAAAAAUAUCUUUUUUUUAAAAAAAAAUCUUUUUCUUUGGCAUAUAGUAUGCCUUUUGAGGGGAAAAAUAUUUAUCCCACUCCUAAUUCGUCCUCUUCUGUGAUAUUAAUGUGUUAACACGAAGAUUCAUUGUAAUUGCAACAAUUUUGACGAAUCCAAAAGUUCAAUAACUGUUAAAUUGUAUUUAUAAAUACUAAUAGCGAAGGUACAGAAACGAUUAAUUCAAGAAGUUGCUUAAAGUGCAUUAAAUUAGGGAGUAUAAAUAAUUGUGUGAUACAGUCCAGCCUUCAUCUGCUUAUAAUUAGCAACCAAAAACCACUUUGCAACGCCAUUAAAAAAACAUUUUAACAUUAUUGCUGAGGGAAGAGUCAGCUUAGGCUUAUUAACUCGUAUUAUUAAUGCUGAUGACGCAGCUGGUAAUCCUUUUGGUGAAUAUAUUAAGGCAGCUGAAGCUUAAAAUUAAUUAAGCCCACUAAAGCUUAAAAGUAAUUCUUCUAGUGACGAUGCUUUGCUUAGUUCGCUUUUUGUUUUUAAAUUUUUUUGGGGCCAACGUUUUGCUUAUUUUGCUUUUUAAAUUCUAUUCACUUUCUCCUUCAAUUUUCUGUUUUUGUUGUUAUCGAAUUUGAUGAUGGUUUAUAUGUACGAAGAUUAUGUAAUAAAAUGCUAUAUAUUAUGUAAUAAAGUGCUUUUGUAACUAUAUAUAUAUAUAUAUAGAUAUUUCAACAACUGAGGAAGAGAUGGCCAUUAUACAUUACACAUUUGCACUCAAUAAGAAAUCAAUUCAUUAAUAUAGCCAAUAACAAGCCUGGUUUAUUGUUAAUGAAAAUUAAAAAAGAAAAAAAAAGUCUUUUUCUUUGGCCUUUAUUAUGCAUUUUAAGAGGAAAAAAAUUUAUCCCACUCCAAUUCAUGAAGAUAUUCUCUUUUUUGUCAUAUUGAUGUGUUAAUAUGAAGAUCCAUUGCAGUUGGUGAAUUCAAAUAUUCAGUAACUGAUGAAAUUGUAUUUAUAAAUUCAUACUAAUAGCAAUUGAAGAUUAUAAUUAAUUUUGUAAUAUGGUCUAGCCCUCGUGUGUUUAAUUAGCACUCAAAAACCACUUUACAAUAGGCAUUAAAAGAACAUUAUAACGUCAUUGCUGAUGAGUUCUGGUGAAGAUAUUAAGUUAAGGCCACAAAAAUCGAAAUGUACGUAGCUUCGUUUGUUUUUUGUUUUUGAUUUUUUUUGGGGCAAAUGCUUGGCUUCGUUUGCUUUUUCGUUUUUGAUAUUUUCUUGGCUUUAUUGUGUGGCAUGUUCUUGUUUUCUUUUGAUUUUCUGUUUUGGGUGUUAUAGAAUUUGAUGACGAUGUACAAACACUAAUUAAUUACUAAUAAGAACAUUAACAAUUUUUGUCGAAGUUUGAUCAAGAGAAAUAUUACACAUAUAUAACCGUACAGCUAAAUAAAAGAAAAUGAAGUUUAUUUCUAACGGCUAAGCAUGAGAUACGCAUAAGAAAUUAAUCCAUUAAUUAAUUAAUUAAUAUACAUGUCCCCCGCUGCUAAAAUAAUGCGAGCCCCUUACUCUACUUAACAUUUUUCUUUUUAUUAAUUUAUCAACUGAGAUUUGAAUUUUAAAAUUACAUACACAAACACGCUUGAUUUAAAAGAAAAAAAUUCUAAUAAUAAAAUAUUUUACAUAUGUAACCAUACGGCGGAAGAACAAAUAUAAGAAACUUACAGCUGAGAAUGAGAUAGGCAUAAGAAAUUAAUUAAUAGAGUCCUCCUCCUUUGCUAAAUAAUGCGAGCCCAUUGUUCUUUUUAUUUCGAAAACCCAUUAAUCACCAACACAUAAUACACGCCCAAUUUAAAAAAAAAAAAAAACUACUAAUAAAAUAUUUCAGUCUUCUGUUGAGUCGUCAUCAAAAACCCAUUUACGAUCUAUUACAACAUAAGGUAUAUGGGUUAACAAGUCCCAAUAUUGUCCUCCAUCCUUUCUGCACUUCUCUGCUAUCAACGGACAUCCCCCGAUGUAUAAUUGCAAAAGUGAGGAAGGCAGGCCCUUCUCCGGAAAGUAUUUGAGCUUGGGACAAUCCUCGAGAUACAAUUCAGUGAGGUUUUGAAGAUCAACAAUUGAAGAAGAUAGGCGUUCCAGAUUUGGAAAACUGAAAAUCAACAGAGAUGUUAGAGAGGCAGGAAGAGGAAGCGCGGUCCCCAAUCUUAUGUCAUCUGCCUUUGGUGGGAAUGACACCAUGUCGUCAUCGCAUCCGCUGAUUCUAAGUUGUCGCAGAGAGGAGAAUCUGUGGAAUCCCCGACCCCACUCAAUCGUUGACUUCCAAAUCUCCAUAUUACCCGCAAUCCACAGUGAAUGAAGGUUGGUGGGAAGGCCAUCUUCUUCAAGGCUUGGAAGCUCAACUCCUCUUCCUAUUGUUAAUUCUUGAAGAGAGGUCAGAUUGUGCAAUCCCUUGGGUAAGGCCUCCAGUCUCUCACACCCAUGGAUCCUGAGCUUACUCAGUUUCGCACAAGGCAAUCCCCCUUCGGGAAAGGACUCCAGAUUUCCACACCUUCCAAUACUAAUCUCUUGAAGCUGGUGGAGAUUAUGUAAACCACUCGGUAAAUUUUUCAGAUUUCCACAAUAACAAAUGUCGAUUGUUUCAAGAGAUGUGUUGUUGUCCAACCUUUCUGCUAUUGACUCCAGCUUUGAACAACUAAGAACAUGAAGGGACUUAAGAGACGGAGGUAGAUUGCCAACUUCAAGGGACUCAAGCGUGGCAGGUAACUCGUUUUUUGAAAAUAUACAUGUCAGAGAUCGACAACUCUCAAUUUCCAACUUCUCGAGAAGAGAUGAGGUGUACCUUCUGCUGCUGCUGCUCCUCUGGAUGCCCUCUUCCACUGUCAAAGUCCUUAUAUUAUCACAAUCGCUGAUGCUCAGCUGCUUGAGGCUCGGUGGCAGCUGGACAGCAGCAAUAUAUGUCAACGAAUGGCAGUACAAAAUACUCAAGAUCUCGAGAGAUGAAUUGGUGUCGCACAUCCAUGCCUCUGGUAACGAUUUCAGUGCAUCACAACUGCAAAUCUCAAUUUUCCUCAACUUGGAAGGCAGAGCAACCUCAGGAAAGGAAACAAGGGACCAGCAGCCGUAGAUUUCUAUCUCUCUCAAGGAACUGAGGCUGAGCGAUGAUUGUGGCAGCUUUACAAGGCCUUGGCAGCCGCUCAAUCUUAGAUAUUCAAGUCUGCAUGACAACUCGCAGAGCUGCUGUUGUUGGUCUUUCUCUUCCUCCGCCACCAAGGAUUGAAGUUUGGGACAGCUUGCAAUCGUCAGUCUUUUAAGAGAGCAACUGUCUUGUAGUAAUCCGUUAUGACUCUUCCAGAUAUAUGUAUGCUCUUUCAUAUCAUUUAUCUCCAAUUCUUCCAAUUUUGGCAGUUGCGGCUUUAAUGGCCCUGCGAGAAACACUUGAUUUGAUGCAUCUCUACAAACCACUGAAUUUUGAGAUCCGAGAUGACCAGUUGCACUUUCCCACACAACCUUUUUACAUCCGCCAAUCUGUAAUUUGCAAAGAGCUGGAAGACUCGAAACUGAAACUGACAAUUCUUCACAUCCUUCAAUAACAAGCAUCUCCAAUGCAGGAAGGUGCUCUGGAAAUGGUCCUUUCAAUUUAGAACAUCUUAAAAUGUGAAGCUCUCUCAAUUUAGGAAACCCUUCAACAACUCUUUGACUGGAUCCAUGGGAAAUCCAGUCUUCCCAUUCUCGCAUGUUUUCAAAAAUAAGAGUCUCCAAGCAUGGAAAAGGAAUUGGAGGAUCAUUCCCAUAGAACUCUGAACCCAACCUCUUUACUCUGCUCAUUCCACAUACUGCAAGAUGCUUUAGAGAGGGUAGUUGCCCGACUGACGGCAGGGCAGUACACAUGUCACAAUUUUCAAAUUUUAGGGUCACCAAAUUUGGCAAUGAGGAAUCUCCUAACCAAGCUGGAAAUUUUGUACCUCCAUAGCCACUGAUACAAAAUUGUUCCAAAAUUUCAUGAGGUUUUAGCAUGUCAAGCACAUCGUUUUCAGUUUUUGCCUCCCUUGAAGAUGAGCCAUCGGUAUUGAGUGCCCAUCGAAGCAAUAAUUCUCUAAGAUUCUUCUUUCCAUCCAAUUGAGCCUCCUUUGCAUCACCAACACAUUUUACAUUCUCCAAUUUUGAAAUGUUAAGUGUCCCAUGAAGGUGCGUCAACAACUUUAGCUCUCGUAACCCGGAACCACUGCCUUUUCCCACAACAAAAUUACACAACGUCUGAAGACAAGUCAACCUACCAAUUCCUACUGGCAUUUUCUCUAAAGAAUCUGUAUUUGAAUUCUUAAGAUGAUGCAAUUUGAGGAGAUUUCCCAUGUCUGCACACAACUUCUUCAGUUUCCGACAGUCCUCCAACAGAAGGGUGUGCAAAUUAUAAAGCUUAUUGACUGAUUCAGGCAGAGCUCUAAUCUGAGUUCCAGAUAGGUUAAGGUACCUUAAAUACCUCAAAUCACCAAUUGAAUCCGGCAGCUCAGGGAUGUGGUAUCCACGCAGAGAGAAGGCCCUCAAGCGUUGGAGUUUGAACAACUUAGGAAGAAUGCUAUAAGCCAAGUGUCCACGCGAACUAUUUGACAACGUUACUGGUAAAAAAGUUCGCAAAUGUUGGAUAUCGUACAAGUCCACAAACCUUUUAACGCCAUCACAAUAUUCAGGAAUGUAUGAUAGAUGACGAAGAUUUUCGGAAAAACUUUGCUGCUUGUUAACCUCUGAGGUAUACUCCAUUGUGAAGUAUAUCUCCCCCGCAGCCCAACGGGCAAGGUCAUUGAUAAGAUCGUGCAUCACAAAUCGUGAUAUACUGUUGCUUGAUUGCUGGAAAAAAGAUCUUGCACGUAGCUCUCGAAAGAACUUUCGACCUAGAUCUUCACUAGGAUUCCCGCUCUCUCCGUGAUCCAAGAGACCCACAGCACACCAUAAUAAAAUUAUCUCCUCCUCUUCAAAUUCAUAAUCCUUUGGAAACAAUGAGCAGUAUGCAAAGCAUUGUUUCAAAGGUGCCGAAAGAUAAUAGUAGCUCACUCUAAGCGCAGGUAUAAUGUCACAUCUCUCUUCUGGUAAAUCCCAUAUCUUGCAACUGAGCACAUCUUCCCAAUCACUUCGGUCACGUUUACCACGUAAGAGUCCACCAAGAGUUUUCGCAGCUAAGGGUAAGCCGUUGCAUUUGAUCACUAUAUUCUUGCCAAUGUCCUCCAAUGACUUAUGUGAACUGAAAUCUGUUGUCCCCAAAGAGUGCUGAGCGAACACAGACAGACAGUCCUCAGUUGACAAGCUUUUGAGUUCAUAAGCUUGAUCCAGGCUCAUGAUUUUGGCAACCUCUUCAUUGCGAGUGGUGACAACAAUCUUACUUCCCUGUGCGCCAGCUUGAAAUGGAAGGCUGAGGUGAACCCAGUCAUUGUAAUUCUCAUUCCAAACGUCAUCUAAAACAAGCAAAAAUUUCUUUCCAAAUAGUUGUUUCUUUAGCUCCUCUUGAAGCUUAUUCAAGUCGUGAUUAUCCACAUUCUGGUCACUAGCAAUUGAAAGUAGGAUUGAUUUUGUAAGCCUGCUAACAUCAAAAUCAUCGGAGACGCAAGUCCAUGCCUUGAGAUUAAAAUGAUCCUCCACCUGCUUAUCAUUGUAGACAAGCUGAGCAAGAGUGGUUUUACCCAGCCCGCCCAUACCUAUAAUAGGAAUAACAGAGAAUCCACCAUCAUUUCUUGAAUCAUCCUUCAACAACAAUUCAACAAUUUCCUUCUUUUCUGUUUUCCUGCCAUAUACUUUGGCUUCCUCCACCAAAGAGGUUGUCUCUUGCCUUCGCCUGGCUUUUUUGGAUCCCCCAGCUGAACUUUUUAUCAAAUUCAGCGAGCGUAUUCCUUCUUCAAUAUCUUGAAAUCUGUCGCUGAUCCCUUUGAUUUUGGACAUCAUGGCGUAAUCGAACUGAAUCGAUUGUGGAGUAAAAGUGGGGCAGCAAGUAGGAAUGAGCUUCCGAAACUUACUUUUCGUGCUUGUACGACUGCUGCUGGGUUGAUCAUGAGCAGCAGCUGGUUCUCCAUUUCCAAGCAGCAACUGCCUCCGGAAAGCCUCAGUUUGGAACUCAUCCAACAAGUCUUCAACAUCAUAAGCCAAGUUCUGAAGCUCGCCAAGCCACUUCUUCACAGACCGAUUAGUCGUCUUCUUCUCCUCAGCAUCAUCAAUCAUUAUUUGUAAUUAAAGAAUGAGGUCCAAUCAAUUUAUUGGAGAAAAAUUAAUUUUAAUUCUUAGGAUUUGAUUUCACUCUCUUUUACUUUUUGACGUUGCUAAAGAGACAGUAAAAAACUUACUAAAUGUCAUCAAAUGCUUGUAUAUCAUCUCACACUUUAGCCACAAAUGCUUGAUAUUUUUUUUUUCUUUUUUCCCGUACAGAAAGAAACAGAAUUUUGAGUUCUAAAGCAAAAUGAGAAAAUUGAGCAAAAUGCAUGUAGCAAGUCUUCCGCAUGUUUAUUCCAGUAAAGUGAAAAUAGAUAAUUGAAAAAUGAUAAACGAACGAAAGCGCACGAAGGGACGACAGAAAACGCGUUUCCUCAUCCAAUUUUGUUCUUGUGGACCGAAAAUAAAUAAUAAAAUAUUUUUUUUGGGAACCGAUAACAAAUAGUAAAAUAAAGAAUAAAAAAAAUGGUGUGAACGAACGAAAGCACAACGAAGGAGGAACGACAGAAAACGCGUUCCCUCAUCAAAAUUUUCUUUUAUGGGACCGAUAAUAAAUAAUAAAAUAUUUUUUUGUGGACCGAUUAUAAACAGUAAAAUAAAAAAUGAAAAAAAGGAUAGUGACGACGAACGAAGGCGCGAGGAAGGGACGACAGAAAACGCGUUCCCUCAUUCAAUUUUUCUUUUGUGGGACCGAUAAAAAAUAAUAAAAUAUUCUUUUAUGGGACCGACUAAAAAUAGUAAAAUAAAGAAUAAAAAAAUGAAAAAAAGGAUGUGUGCAAUUUUUCUUUUAAUAAUUUGGCAAUUUUUCGUUGCCAGAUUCAAUGAAUGUAAAAUCGCACCUCGAUUCAAAAUAAAUUUUAGCUGAACAUAAAUUCGCCUCAUUUAUUAAAUAUAUAUACUUAAUAUAAUAACAACGAUAUAGACCCAACUGAAAUAACUCAACGGAGAAAUUGAAACUUACUUUUUUAGUUAUGGCUCAUAUAUAAUACAAGUAUCAAGAUUUAAGUAGAGUUCACAUAUACACAUGCGGCUAGUUUUAACCGAGAGAUAAAUUAAUCAUUAAUACUCAGGUGUUUCUAAAUGAUUGAAUAAUGAUAUUAUACGAACCUUCCCUUUACAAGUCUUCACACUCAUAAACCAAGUUAAAAUAAAAUAAAAUAAAAAACGUUUCUCUCUCUCUCUCUCUCCUUUUGCCAUAUGAUUACUUUAUUUAUUGAAUUAAUUUCCAUGCUAUAAAGAAGACUUAAAAGUACACUAUAAUUUUUUAUAAUCACAACGGUAAUUUCUAUCAUCAUAGUAUAUUAUUGUCGUGUCAAAAUAAAUUAUAACAAAAUUUUAGAUGAACCUAAGUUCGACUCGUUUAUUAAAUAUAUAUACUUAGUAAAAAUAAUAAGACGAUUAAUAUGUUAUCAGGUAUAGGAUCAUUUGGCCACUUGGGCUUGUAGCCCAAUGGUGAACCAUUGUCCUUAAAGUUAAGCAUGACUAUGAGGACAAUGGUUCGAGUCCCCACGGACUCAACCUUCCUCAAUUAAACAUAAUUGUGUGGAGACUUCUUAUAACGUCUUUCUCCCUUGCGAAAUGCGAGUGGAGUAGAGACAUCCCUCCUCUAUGAGGGGUAUUUGGAUGGGCAUGUACUUUAUAGAAUAAAAAUAUAAUAAUAUAAAUCCCAUGUGAGUGGAGUAGAGACAUCCCUCCUCUAUGAGGGGUAUUUGGAUGGACAUGUACUUUAUAGAAUAAAAAUGUAAUAAUAUAAAUCUCAUGUAUAUAUAUCUGAUUGUAAAUAUCAGUAUAAUGACCUGCUAUCAUAACAGUUGUAUAUAUCUCUGUGUAAUUUUAAGUUUAAAAAAAAAAAAAAAAGGUAUAGGAUCAUUUGGGCAAUCCGAAGAGUAUUCCAGAAACCGAACGUGAGAGGCAGAUCUUUUGAUCCAACCAUGGCUUUUAUUGCCCCGUACAAAACUCUACUAUUAAUGUUUUUGUGAACAUUGAAGCAUAUGGACCAUUGACUAAGACAGCGGGACCCCUGAAAAUAGACCGUGGAGAAACGAUAGCAACUUUUAUCGAGAUGUGAACGUACUCACACUCACUACUGGAUCCCUGCCGGCCUUUUAUCUCACCCACCUUCAGACAUUGCCGCUCAAAUCACGAAGGAAAGGCAGUGGAAAGGGUAUGAUUGCUAUCAUUGUCCUACGUCCAUUGGAAAGUUAUAUUUUAAAAAUCACCAACAAGGUAUUUUAGGUCCCCCGUGAAUUAUGUCGUUUUUGUCACCCAUAUUUGCACCGACACUCGGUGGGGUGGUGCGAGGGACUAUUAAGAAUAAAAAUAUGGAGACACCAAUUAGGGAUUAUUAUUAUUAUUAUUAUUAUUAUUAUUAUUAUUAUUAUCAUUGCUUAAAAUCUCUUAAAAAAAUAUAUGUUAACAUUGGGAAGGAUAUAUAAUCUCUUUUUUAUUAGUAAAAUCUGUUUAUUUUAGUAGUAACUUAAUCUUUAAUUUACAUUUACUAUCAUGUCCCUAUAAUAAAUAAAUUAAUAUAUUUAACUUAAGAGAGUGAGCCUUCCAAUUUUACUUCCCAUUUGUCCAAUUGGCUUUCAUUCAUUUACAACCAUGUUUAACAUCUCAUUUUUCCUAAUUGGCAUUGGAAGAAAAUAAAUUUGAUUUUAUUUUUAUCUAUUAUUCAUCAUUUUUUAUCAUUGGUAAGGAUAUAUUCAUAAUUUAAAGUGAAUAAUUUGGACAAAAGAUAAUUAUAUCUUAAUUUUAAGUUGUAAAUAAAAAGUUGUUAGUUUUAUUAUACAUGUCAUCGAUGACAUGUCUUAAAUCAAUAUAUUUAUUUAUUUAUUAUAGGAAUAUAAUAAUAAUUAUAAAUUAUAAAUAAAUUUAUUAUUAAAACAAAUGGAAUUUAUUAACAAAAAUAGGAAUUAUAUAUCUUUUUUAAAAUAUUAAAACAUUAUUUUUUUUUUAGGGUAUCACUGUCCAUUUCCCAUUAAGCAAAAGAAAAAUCAGAGCCCACUAUAAAUAUAAAAUCAAUGGAGCUCAUGAUGAUGCAUUUGCUUUACAUACUAAAUUAAAUAAAAGCCGAACCAAGAAUCUUUGCCUUAGCUUAACAUGAUUAAUUAGGCACUACUUCAUAGAAAACGCAAAAGCAAUGAACCCUUUUUUUAAUCUUAAAUGUCAUGAAUAUAAUUCUUCUGCGUUAAUUAAUCAUUCUUCUCUGACCGUCUCUUCAGGUUCAUUUCAAAAGUUUGAAGAGAGUUUAUCAAUUCUUCUACUUAUAAAAGUAAGUUAAAUUAAAAGAUUUUAAUCUCUCUUCUUAUUACUAUAAGUGCGCUGUGCACGACAUUUUUUUACAAUAAACAAUGCCAAUUUGUAAUGUAAUGUUAUAUUCAUAUUCCCAUCGCGUCGAAAUUUUAAAUAAUGCAAAAUCGACUCGUUUGUUAAAAGGUAUAUAUUUAAUAAACUAAUAACAUAAUUAACAUAACGUAAAUAUUACACUAAUUAAAAUAAAAGACAGUAUCCGCCAACAAUAAUUAAAUUAGCAAGCUUCGCAUGCUCAUGUUUCAAUAAUUAAAUUAGCAAGCUUCGCAUGCUCAUGUUUCAAGAACUUAACAUUGGUGAAUUAACACCAAGGAUCAAUGAAAGAAUUACAAAAUAACAAAAUGGAUACUAUGCAUUUUUUCUUUCAACAGAAAAUGGGACUAAUUUUCAAAUAUUUUCAAAUUCACUUAUUUACAAAAGCAGUACAGAAUGAUUUCCUUUUAUUUUGAAACAUUGUAUGAACACGAAUAACAAUGAUACAAAGAGAAAAGUGGUAAUUCUCUGAUUUUUUUUCUUUUUUCCCUCUUUUUUGAAAGGAGACGUUGGGGUUUGGCUGUUUGCAAAAUUAUUGGUGUGGGGUUCUAUUUGCUUUUGUUUUCACUUUAUUAAUUAACUAGCGAAGCAAACAUGUAAUCAUUUGUAAAGGAGUCACUAGCAUCGGAUUAUGUUAGAUGAAUUUGUAAGACUUAUUAAUUUCAAUGAAAAUGUAGUGUUAUUAAGUUAUUAAUUCACUAAGUUAACUUGAGGUUCUAAUAUUUACUAAUUGUAGUGAUUAAUUUAUUUAACUUGUCAUAAUUUUCAUUUGAGAAUGAAAUUCAAUCAAUGUAUGAAAAAAGAAAAAGAAAAAAGAUAAUUUUUAAAAAUUUUUAAUUUCUAUGAUUUGAUUUCACUUUUUUCUGAAUAUUGACGCUGUAAAAGCUUUCCGAAUGUCAUCAAAUGCUUGUAUCCCAUCUCACAAAUUAGCAAAUAUCGUUUGGUUUCUUUAUACGUGGCCAUCACAAACUAAAAGUAACAACAUCCACCAUAUAUGGAAAAUUAAUUUUGAGAAUACUUUUUACUUUUAAAAGAAAAAUGCGAGUACAAUUUAAUAAGAGAGAACAAGAAUUCAUCAUGUUCCAAGUAACUGAAAAUAAGAUUAUAUAAACUUGAAUGCAGACAUAUCAUAUGUUAAUCUUAAUUUUUUUUGUUGCUGAAAAUUAAUUAAUUAGUUCCACUAUUCCUUUUUUAAUUGUAUGGUGAGAAACACAUUGACCACUUCUGAAUCAUGUUGCAUAUUUGUUAACUCAAAGAAACAGUAUAUUUUUGUAUCAAUCAAACUCACUUUGUUAAUAUUCUUCAUCAUUAUGGUUAAUGGCUUAGCAAAUGUAGGAGGAGUCAACCAAAAUGAAUCACUUUCUCUUGUAUUAACCUUUUAUUAAUUGUUGAAGUUAAAAAAAAUGUUAAAACAAAUUAAAAUAGUUCCAACUCAAAAUCAGUAGGGUGUAAGUAGGUUGUUAUAAAUAUUUUUAAAUUUUAGUCUUUUUUUUUAUUACAUGAGACUAUUGUUUAAACUACAACUCAUAUUACAUGAGACUAUAACUGAUAUUUACAAAUCAGACUAUUAUUGAGACAAACUUUAGCCUAAUUUAAUUGUGUGAUGCACAAACUUUCUCACUUCUUUUAUAUAAAUAAAGGGUAGAACUAUUUGAACUCAUUAAAUCACUUUUUAAAUCCCUCUACUUAUUAAGAUCAUCAUAAAAAUUCAAAAAUCCUUUUUAUACUCACUGCAUCUCUUAAAAAUAUCGCAAAUAUGACACAUUUGUCUUCACCUUCUAUUUAUCUUCAACAUUAACAAUUUUUAUUUGAAUCUGUAAUAUUUUUAACACUGUUCAUUCACUCAUUAGAGUUCCAAUAAUAGAAUAUAGAGAUUAAAAAUAUCAUUAGCAAAUUAUUUGUUUGUGUUCUAUAUGAUAUUCUUGGUUUGGAAAAAGCUUUAUCGGCAAUAUAUGUAAAUAAAAGACUAAGAACUUCCAAUAAUUCAGAUUUGAUCGAAACUUCACAAACUUAUUUUCACUUAAAAAAAUAAAAUAAAGUAAAAGAAAUUCUUGUGUUUUAAAAGAGAAACUGCCAGACAUGUUUCUAAGACAACUAGAAACCAAACUAGGCUUGAAGUAGUGAGUUUUGAAUUAUAAAAAAUACAUAAGUGUAAUUUCACCUAAAUCAAAUGAUGAAUUUCGUGACAACGGAUUUAGACUAUAGACCAAUACACAAAGAAUUGGAUGUUCAUCGCAUUUGUUCUUGAAAUUGUUUUGCGCAAAAAGGUUAACUAUUGUAUUAUAUUGUAUUGCAUUAUUUUAAUACAUGUGUAUUGUAUUAUGCUGUAUUGCAUUAACACUGUAUUAUAUUAAUACUAUACAACGUUUGGUUCUCCAUUGUACUCUAUUAAUUUUUAAUUAUACAUACAUUAUAUUAUGCUAUACUAUAUUAUUUUUUUGGUGGUUAAUUUCAAUUAUAUGUUUGGAAAUAAUAUUUAUUAGUACUUAGCAAAAUAUAAAAUAUAGAACCUUAACUUUUAGAAUAUUUACAUCAUUUUUUUUAGUAUAAAUGUAAAUAAUUAUAAUAAUUCUUCAUAGAACUUAUGUAAAAAUAACAAAUUCUGAAUUUUUGAUAUCGUAACAUUUUUUUUUAACGGCGUUUUUCAAAUGUAUACCUUAUUGAUGAUGCACCAUAAAAAUAAAUAUCAAAAUUUGCGAUCAUGAUCAAGUCGAGUUUUACAUGAUGAAAGCAUGACACAAAAAUUGAAAAAAAAUAAUAGCCGGCAAAAAGUUAUACAAGCAACAACAAAAGUGCUAAUUACUCGGAAAAUAAACAAUCAAGAGCCGCUGAUAGAUAUGAAUCAUAUGACAAGGUAGAGGAAUACAGAUAUCUGCAUACAUUUUUAACAAAGAUCAUCUUUGUAACCAAUUGUUGGCUUUGGCAUUAAAAGAUCAUCUUUGUAACCAACUGGGUAGCUAUAAAAUGAAUACUAAGUCAAUCAAAGGGGAAAGCUUGCUACAAGACUUUGAAGCAUUAUUCUGUUGCAUCACCUUCCUCCUCUGCCUCGCUUCCUGCAUCCCAAAUUAAAGAACAACAAAUAUUAAAUAACAAAAACAAAAUCUUCAAUAGACUUUUCAUACUCCAUAGAGCAAAUCUAUGGGAAUCCACAAAAUAAUUGAAAUACAUCAAUCCUGCAGGUCAUAGUAACAAAUUACAGAUACACAAUCAUGCAUAUGCAACUAAAAAAUGCUUAUGUAUUACAGCCGCUUUUUGGCAUCACUACUUCAUAAGUUAUAUAUGAUAAGAUAACAUUAUUAUUCUAAUCACAUGGUUAUGAUUUUAGUUGGACAUACAAAAGCUACGUGCAUGAAUCUGUAUGAUGCCACCUUUCAUGAGUCCAAAAUUUAAAUCAAAUCAAUUUGGUUGAGCCUUGAAAUUCCUAUUCCAGUCAAAGGAGAUGAUUUUUCCAAAGGUAAAGAAUGAGUCCGAUUACUUAAGCAUAUCAACCUUUUUUCUAGGCUAAAGUUUAUCCCUUUCCAUUUCACUAACUCUCCUCGCAAUACCUUGCGUCAACAUUUGCAUACUUGAUAUACUUUCACAACGGCUAAAAACUCAUUUAGUCUAUGUAUUUUAAGAUUAGUAUCUAUUUAAUCCCUAUAUUUUUAAAAAUACCUCGAAACAUCUCUAUCAUUAAAGUAUUAAUACCCCUACCGUUACUUUUUAUUUUUUUUCGCUUACUUUUACAAUAUUACCCUUUUAUUCUUAAUAAAUCCACUCAUUAAAUUAAACUCAUAUAGAAAGGUUGUAAAAAGAUCCCAAACUAAUUAAAAUUUUUAAAAAUUACCCUACAUCAAAUUAUUUUUUUUGUACCAUAAAACAAAACGAUAGUCGCAAACUUAUUUUGUACUAGGAGUAAUGAUUAUGUACAAAAAUGGGCACAGAAAGGUCUUUGGCUCUACAGUCUACUCGGUGAUUCGUGAAAUGCUUUCAAAGAGGGGGCAAAAAGAAAAAAGAAAAAAGAAAAAAGAAAAUAGAAUAUAUUCUAAUUUUUUAAUUAAAAAAAAAAAACCCUACUAUGUACUUUUAUAAUAACUCCCUCGAGUGCAAUGUCUCAAAGGUUGUCUUCUUCGUCCCGCUGACAACCCAAAAGGCAGAAACGCAAUGUCGUCGAAUUCGAUGGAGUCAUUGAUUCUCCAACUCCACGAGAUCUCGGCGGUUAAAUUCGGAAACUUUAAGCUAAAAUCCGGCAUAUCGUCUCCCGUUUACAUCGACCUCCGACUUGUCGUUUCUUACCCUUCCCUCCUCCGCCAAAUAUCCAAAACCAUCAUCUCCUCCCUCCCCUCCACAACCAAAUACGACCUCGUGUGCGGCGUUCCGUACACCGCCCUCCCAAUCGCCACCUGCGUCUCCGUCUCCAACGACGUCCCCAUGCUCAUGCGGCGCAAGGAAAUCAAAGACUACGGCACCGCCAAGGCCAUCGAAGGCAAUUUCAAGAAGGACGAAAUCUGUCUAAUCAUCGAAGAUUUAGUCACCAGCGGCGCGUCGGUCCUCGAAACGGCGGUGCCAUUGAGAGCGGCGGGGCUGGUGGUGACGGACGCCGUCGUAUUGAUCGACAGAGAGCAGGGAGGGAGGGAGAAUCUGAAGGAGAACGGAAUUGAGUUGCAUGCGAUGAUAAAGCUGAGCGAAAUGGUUAGGGUUUUGAGGGAGAAAGGGAAGCUUGAUGAGGAAACGGAGAGAGUGGUGAUGAAGUUUUUGGAGGAGAACAAGAAAGUGGCGGCUUCGAAUUUAGGUGGGGUUAGGGUUAGCGUUAAGGGUUUGAAGUACGAAGAGAGGGCGAAUUUGAUGAAGAAUGAGACUGGGAGAAAAUUGUUUCAAGUGAUGGUGAAGAAGGAGAGUAAUUUGUGUUUGGCUGCUGAUGUUGCCACUGCUGCUGAGUUGCUUCAAAUUGCCGAGAAGGUUUCUUGUUUUAAGUUAUUCAAUUUUCAAUUUUUGUGCUUUAAAUUGUAGGUACAAAUACUUAUAGCAGAGUGUACAGCUACUUCACAGCAUAAAUUCUGUUGUGAAAUUAUUAUUUUUUUUAAUUUCUGUUUUACAAAUUUCUUUUCCCUGAAAAUUGAGUUCAUUCCUUUCAUGCCCAUUAUUAGAAAUUAGAAACAUCCUAGGCUAGGUCUUGGACACGUGGCACACAUGUGGGUCAUGGCAGCCGCUGCUGGGCCUGAAGUUUAGGCCCAAUCUAUUAAUGGUUUUGUUGCUGGCAAUGCCAUUUGUUAAUUUUUUUUUUUUUUUGGGUUUGACCUUUGCCACCGAAAAAAAAAGAUGAUGUUGACUACAUUAGAGUACUUUACUCUGCCUACUGCCUGUUGCCUGUGGUUUGGUUGUUGAUUUUGUGACAUUUGGAUGUAAUAAUGUAUAAGAAUGUCCAAUAUAAUCAUUCUGGAUUAUCUUUUAGAGUGAUAAAACUGUGGUGCAACUGUGGUACCGUGCCACAGUUGCACCUGGAUUCCCACUUAUUCAAGUGAACCCCACUCAUUUGAGUGGAUCCAACGGCUGGUGCAACUGUAGCACGGUACCACAGUUGCACUGUAGCCUGACCCCUUUUAGAGUGCCAUUUAUUCUUUUGUAGUAGUUCAAUUUUUUCUCACGCAAUUUAAGGGAAAAAGAGGGAAAAAAGAAGUAUAUGCAUCGGUGAUAAUAUUACUUAACUAAUUUAAUAUUGAUUUGUUAAUCAUUAAUAUUUCGUGAAUGAUUUACAUUCAUGUUUUUCACAGGGUUCAUGAUAGCACUGCACAUAAUACGAUGCUUUAUUCAUCUGAUUUUCAUAAGAAAGAUAGUUUGUUUGUUUUUUCUUCUCUCUAAUUCUCAUUUGAGAUUUUCAGGUUGGACCAGAGAUCUGCUUGUUGAAAACCCAUGUCGAUAUAUUGCCUGAUUUCACCCCAGAUUUUGGUUCCAAACUUCGUGCGGUAUAGCUCCUCAACCCAUUUUCUAGGGAAAUAAACUCGACUAUAUUCUGAUUUUGUGGAUUCUUAUGAAAUGUUAAUUAAGCAAUACUAGUUAUAGCUAAAAAAUUUUCAACUCUUGAAGAUUGCAGAAAAGCAUAACUUCCUGAUUUUUGAAGAUCGCAAGUUUGCGGACAUUGGUAACACUGUGACCAUGCAGGCUGAAGGGUAAGACUCUGCGCUUCUAUAUUUCUUAAUUUCUUUGUUCUUUGUGUCCUUGCUUCCUCUUGAGGGUUCCUGUCUCUGUGUCUGCAGUGGUAUAUUUCGUAUAUUGGAUUGGGCCGAUAUAAUAAAUGCUCACAUAAUCUCUGGACCGGGAAUUGUGGAUGGUCUGAAAUUAAAGGUUAGAAUCAACUAUUUGGUAUAACUUUUGUUUGCCAUGAAGUAAUCAACUAAUCUGUUUCUAAUGUCACGCAUACUAUUGAUUUACCAGGGAUUGCCUCGUGGUAGGGGUCUGUUGCUGCUGGCUGAGAUGAGCUCAGCUGGUAACCUAGCAAAGGGAGACUAUACAGCAGCAGCUGUGAACAUUGCCGAGGAUCAUUCUGAUUUUGUCAUUGGAUUCAUCUCAGUUAAUCCAGCAUCAUGGCCAGGGGCACCAGUCAAUCCAGCCUUUAUUCAAGCAACCCCUGGAGUUCAAAUGGUAAAGGGAGGUGAUGAUCUAGGCCAACAAUAUAACACUCCAUACUCGGUAAGUUCUGUUCGUUCACUAGCUCCCCUCAACAUGUUAUUUUUCUAGCAAUACUAUCCAUGAAAACUAUUAAUACAAACUUAUCUAUGCAAAUGAACAUGGGAAUACAAUUAUUAAGGUAAACGUUAAAAGAAAGUCAAUUUAAUUGCCACAUCACCCAUUUUCAUUUGUGGUUUUUUUUUUUUUUACUAAUCAAAUUUCAAUGUGCCAGGUUAGUUUAUAUUGGUUGAGUGUGUAUGUCUAGUGUUUUGAUAAAUUUGUCACAAGUUGUAAAAUAGAUGUAAACUUGAGUGAAGAAUUAGCAAUUGAACAACCAGCUCCAAUCGAAUUAGCAUUUUUGCCUUAUGUUCAAAUUUGAGAAGGCCUAACUGAAACAUUUUUUCUUAGGGUCCCAGGUGCAUUGAGCUAGCCGAAGGACUAAUGGGUGCUAGUUACUUAAUAUAAUCUAAGAAAUAAAAUCAGCAUUUUACAUGUAAUGGAAUUUUAGGCAUGUCAAUGAGGCAUAAGGGGAAGAAGUUUUGAUUGCAAAUUUGGGAGGCCAUCAAAAUGAUUUGUUUUGGUGUGAUAACAAAAAAUUCUAAUGAAUAAACCCAAACCCUGGAAUGUUUUGCCAUAUAUCACUAGAUCCUCAAAAGGUUAGGAAAAUGAGGUAAAGAAGAUCCAUUUUCCUCCUGUUUUAUAUAUGUAGGAACUUUAUCUUUUCAUGGGUACAUCAUUGCUAUCACUAGAUCCCCAAGAGAUUAGGACAAUAAGAUAGAAAAGAUCCAUUUCGUCCUUUUUUUUUCACAUAUAGGAAUUUCAUCUUUUCAUGGGUACUUCAUUUCUAUGGAGCCAAAGAUAUCAUUUGCUCUAGUUUCUGAAAUUGAGCUUCGUAUACCAUGCUUUGAAAUUGACCCUUGACUAGAGAGAAAAAAUUUUCGUUUAUGACCAGAAAUUUUCUGUAAAUUGAAAUGAGAAAAAGUUGGAGAGGAAAAGCUUGGGAUUUAUAAUUUGGUAACAUGUUUUAUCUUUUCUUCAGGCAGUAAGCUUUGCUUAGCUGUGUCUAGAUAUCUUUUUGUCCUUGAUUAGCUGAAUUCCUAGAUAUUUCAUCCUAAAGACUUAUUCGUAUCCAUCUUUUCCCUCCAUACAUUGAACCAAUGUUGUAUCUUGUUUCAAAACAGGUAAUUUCUCCAACUUCAAAUUUAGCCUAGCCAACUAUAAUUUAACCAGGGAACAAGCUAGAAGGGGCAGAGCUAAUGAACUAAGGUUAACUGGUGUUUAAAAUAGUUGUAACUUGUACCUCAGUGAUUUUAUUCGAGAGCCUCACAGCCAUGUGAUAUUCCCUUUGUCACACAUAGUAUGACUAUUAAGAUGCUUCUUGCAGGCUAACUAAUCAAACUUGUUACACCAACAAAACAAUAGCUGAGUGCUCGACUGCUCUUAACCUGUUCUAUUUGGUUGACACUGUUGCAGCUUUAAUAACUUUAACGUAAAAUUGUUCUCCAGGUCAUCUACGAUAGGGGUAGUGACAUAAUUAUUGUGGGUCGUGGAAUUAUAAAGGCAGCAGACCCUGCAUUGGCAGCCCGUGAGUACCGGCUUCAAGGAUGGGAGGCCUACUUGGCUAAGUGCAGCUGAUCCUCCAUUUAGGUCUGGACUUCUGCUCGCUUCAACGGUUGCGAUAAUGAACAGAUGAGUCAAGUUCUGUUUAAUAUACCAUGCAUUGGUAUGUCUUAUGAAACCGAGAGAGUUUGAAGCUUUUGGCUGCAUUGUACUUAUAGUAACUUCUCAAGUCUGGUAAUGCUGCUUGUCUGGUUUUCCCAAUGAAACAUGGUUGCAAGAUUUCUGAGUGUUGUGUUAUCAACAAUAUAUGAAAUUUAUGAACGUGGUGUUUGGAGUUGCCAACCAUCUCAUUCAAAAUUAUCAUAUUGAAUGAUUCGGAUGAUUCCUCUUUUGUGGUUUGGAUGGACACGUGGCAAUGCGCAGUAGAUGCCUUGGAAAUUGGUAUCGGGCAAUCAUCUUUAAAUGUUGAUAUGGUAAAAUGACCAGGAUUACUUUAUGUUUAGCAAAACGAAUCCUUUUCUCUCUAAUAUUUUAUAACCUACAAAUAAUAAUGUUAAAAUGUCAGUUUUUCCAACCGAAACAACUUAUAAUUUAAAAAAAAAAAAUUGAUAGCAGAAUAUUAAAUAAAGGGAUAUUUUUUUUAGAAAAGGAAAAUAGUUAAUUUAGCCAAAUAGAAAGAAGAUACUCAUUUUCCCAAUGGUUUUUUUUAAACUCUCAUUUUCUCAAUAUAUAACUAAUAAUUUAACAAAGUGUUAUUAAUAUUUUAAAAUAUUUCUUAGGAUGAAUUGAUUUUUAAACGCGAGCGAGAAGAAAUUGAUAAGAUUUAAGGGUAAUUUUUAAAAACCUCCCCUGAGGUUUGAGGCUGUUGCAAGUAGAUGGUGAAAAUCAUUUUAUUUGUAAAAAGCCCCCUACCGUUAGUUAAAAUUUUCAUUGACUAACUGUUGACUUUGAAAAGACAAUAUUACCCCCAAUAUUUACAAUUCUAAAUAUUUAUAAUUUCAUAAGUAAUUAAAAUAAUUAUUUUCACCAUGAUCAAGUUAUUGAUAUUUCUUUAAAAUCUUAAAAAAAUAAAAUUACAAAUCUUAAAAUAAUUUUUUUUAAGUUUGUAAUAAAAUUACAAAUCUUAAUUAUUUGAUAUAAAAAUAUAAUUUUUUUUAAGUUUGUAAUUUUAUUUUUUUAAGAUUUUAAGGAAAUUUUAACUGACGUAAACUAUUAUUGGGGGUAAUAUUAUCUUUUUAAAGUCAACAGUUAGUCAAUGAAAAUUUUAACUAACGGUAGGGGGUCUUUUACAAAUAAAAUGAUUUUCACCAUCUACUUGCAACAGCCUCAAACCUCAGGAGAGAUUUUUAAAAAUUACCCUAAGAUUUAAUUAGUAACAUUAAGAUCGGUAAAUGAUAUAAUAUAAAACAAAACUAGUAAAGAACAAAAAGGGCCAACAUGAAGAAAACCCAAAAUUGAAACCUGUCCUUUUUGUAUUUUCUCGAGAAAUUUCUCUCUCCGACUUACAGCUCAACGGCUUUAGUUUGAAAUUCUUCACACUCUUUCAAUUGUCUUUCAACGCGCACACUUCGUAUCCUUCGUUAUUAAUUGUUCACACACGCUCCCCCAACACCGAGCAGACUCUCUCUCUCUCUCUCUCUUCUGUCCGAAUUAGGGUUCUGUUGGGCCGUGAAACAUUAUAAUGCGCUUCUGAUUUCAAAUACUUUUCCAGGUAAUUUAAUCUUUUUUUCCUUUCUUGCUUUCUGGAAUAUUCUAAGAUCUUAAUCUAGAUUUGUUUCCUCAUUUCGGCAUUUUAAAAAAUUUGCUUUUUUUUUUCUCUUACGGUUUAGGGUUCUCAAAAUCAUAUACGAUGCUGUUUUACUGCCACAUUUGUAAUUCGGCCAUUUUUCUUUUUCCUUUUUUUUUUGUGAGUGUUGAAAAGGAAAAAAGUGAUAUUUUCCUUUCUGGGUAUUGCUGGAUUUUGUCCCCAGAAAAAAAACUGUAAUUCCGUCUCUUUGCGUGUAUAUAUGUAUAGGUAUCUUCUACAUUACCAUCUUAUUGGCUUUCCGGGUGACGAAAAUGGGUAGCUUAACUUUCUUAUAAUUGAGUUAUGCUAUGUGGGUUUGUUGUGGUGAUUAAAUACUGAUGGCAGUGUCUAAUGAGAUGAUGAGGGAACUCUAUCUAUGCGAAAAUGCAUGGUGUAUUUCGUGUUUAAAGAUUUUUAUGCAAGUUUUAUUGUAUUACGUUGUUUUAUUAAUAUUACUGUCUCCCAAUAUUUGAGUUCUUGUGUUUAUCGAAUGAUAGAAAAGAGUUUACCCUGAUUUAUGGUUUUGAUUGAGAUGUAAUGGAUAUUUUUAUUUGAUUAUAGGUUGGGAAGUCAAAACUUGACCUUGGUGCCUGCAAGGAAGAAGUCAAGAAGAUUGACUAGGAAACAAGAUCUGUUGGUAAGAAUUCCUUCCCAACGAAAACUUUAAUACUGAUUAAUGUCAUAAACUUGUUGGUUCAUUUUUUUUAAAUUUAAAUUUUCAUUUGCCUGGGCAUGUUUGCUGUACUAUUAUUCAUAAAUUGGGAAUUGAUCUUUGAAUGAGUAUUGGAAUCAAAUAAUGACGAAAGUAUAUAAUGAACAGUUGAAUGUUCUUUGGCCAAAAUAAAUUCACUUUGGCAUGACUCAAGGCUGAAAGAAAAGAUUAUGUAAUGAAAAGAAGACAAUUUUUAUGAUGAUUAUGUAUACAUGUCAAACAAUGUCGUAAAAAGGAAAUAUGUCAUAGAAUGCAGAAAAUGUAGGAAACUACAUUGCCCCUCUUAGAGUUUAUCUAUAUAUAUAGUUUCCUUAUAUAUAUAUAUAUAUAUAUACCCUAAGGACCGGAAAGAGUUAAAGCUUAGGGUGACUGGUAGAAUUUGGAAAGAACAGUGAUGGAUGGAAGUGCUUUUUGUCUUGCAGCUUCGUGCAAUCAUGUUUUGCCGUCAUAGCUGGUAGUUGAGUUUUAUCUUGUUGGUGGGUAGUCCAGUGAGUCCUCUUGUUCAUGUAUUUUUUUGUUAUGUAGAAAGCAAAUUUUCUUUGCAUGUCCUUGCACUGAAUGCAUGAGUGGGGAAGACGUGUCGUGACUCUUUAUGCCUACAAUUGUAAUAUCUAUCUAAAUAUAUUUCAAUGUAUUGCAUUGCUGCAGUGCCAUUAGUUUUCUCUUUGCCUAUGAUGCAUAUGAACGAAGUCAACAGGAAUUAAAGCUUUGUGUCAUUAGUUUAACCAUGAAGCACUUGAAAGAGUUUUGUGGAAAGUUUUUCAAAGAAACAAAUUUUCUUAUUAUCAAUUUGCAAUUGAAUAAAAAAAUGACACAUUAAAUUCUCAAAAAUGACACAUUAAAUUCUCUCUUUUUAAUUAAAAAUUUUAUUAUCAAAAUAAUUUUUAAAAAUUACUUAAUUAAUUCUUUCUUUUUUUUUUCUUCUCAAUUUCAUAAAUUCUCAUAAAUUCAUUCAGAUAUCCUUUUUUAGCUACAAAUAAUCGAUAUCACUAAGUAUUUCAUGUUUGCUUUAUAUGAAAAAAAGGAAUUAUGAAUAAAGUACUUUAGAUAUAUUAUUAUUAUUAUUAUUAUUAUCAUUAUUAUUAUUAUUAUUAUUAUUAUUAUUAUUAUUAUUAUUAUGAUAUACUAAAAAAGGACAAAAUUAAACUAAAAAUAUAGUGAAAUUGAGUGUUUAAUUUGUAAAGAAUAGAGAAAAUAUGCAAUUGUAAGAUAAAGAGAGAAAGUGACAAGUGAAGAGUAAUUUUGAGAAUUUUAAAUUUUUAAUAAUAAAUUUAUUUUUUAAAAUAGGUACAGAGAUAAAUUUAAUUCAAAUAGGAGAGGAAUUUAAUGAGUUCAAAUAGCCUCACCAUUGUAAUAAUAUUAUACAGAAUUUAAUGUUAUACUAUAUUAUAUUUAUUUUUUAUUGAUAUUAUUUAAAUUUAUUAUUAAUUAUAUUAAAUUAUUAACUAAAUAAUUAUUUUAUGUUAAUUAUUUUUAUGUUAAUCAUUAAUAUAUAAAUAUAAUAUAAAAUAGCAUUUUUAAAUAAAACUACAUGAUACCAUAAUUUUAUUUUUAAAUUUUAUUUAUUAUAAUAAUAAAAUUAAUUAAAAUAUAUUUAAUGCCUCAAUUAAGGCAAAAGCUGGUAAUGUUCCACAAUGCAGUUUCCAAAACUUUCAAAUAUAGGUAACCAAUAAAUUAAUGUAAUCCGUAUUUAUAAUAUUAUGCAAUGUUAUGUUCCAAACACACCCUUAAUUUAGUUUUUGCCGCAUUAUCAAAUCUCGUGCCCUCCUUUGUAAAUUGUAUUGGUAACUUUACAACAUAAAAUUAUUUAGUCAAUUAGAAUAUAUUUAAUUCUUACUAUUUUAUAAAAUAUUAAAUUUAAAUGGUAAAAAUAUUGACUAUUGCCAACCAUCACAAUCCACCGCUUGCGAUAUCAUUUUGAUAUCCUUUGACAUCAAUUUAGGAAUUAAUAUAAUCCUUAUUAUUGGAGCUAUACAACGAUAUAUGUAAAACCGAAAAUAGAGCUUCAUUCAUUGUAGAUUUAUGGUCAAAGUUUUGUAUCUCUAAAUUUUGACCGUAUAUUUAUUAUAAUGAUAGGAAACUCUGUUGCUGAUGAGAUAUGCACCAUUGUGUAUAUCGAAUGAUGAAAAUUAUAAUGGUACCGAAAUUGACAUCAAAAGAUACUGGAAUAUGAACACCGAAGAUAGCUCAUGGUGGCCCAUGGGUGACGGUGGUGAGUAAUCUUCUGUCGUUUAUAAAUUUUAAAUAAUAAAUUUAAUAAUUAUAAAUAAUAAAAUUUUUAAGACAUUUAUAAUUAUAAAAAAUAAUUUAAUAUAAGUAAUAAUAUUUAUAUUAUUACAUAUAAUGCUAUACAAUAUAACACCAAAUAUUGUACAAUAUUAAUAUAAUAAAAUGAUAAUGCAAUAUGUCUACACUAUAAUACAAUAUAGUGUGCCAAACACUCUCUACGACUUUACUUAAUGUUGCUCAAUGCCUUUUAUUUCAAUUCCCAAUCAUGAGUUCAUCUCAAUUAAUGCUGGGCCCAAAUGUAGUGUUGUGCAAUGCUGCAAGUCAAACAUACCCUUUGUGUAAUACAUUCACACACGCACUCUCUUUUUUUAAGUAAGAGCAUCCCCACAUUGUUAAAGUAAAAAUGUCACUAAAAUACAAAAGAAUAAAAAUUUCAAUAUAUAUAUUUUUUAUUUGUUAGUAUAAUGAAAAUUGUGUUUUUUGUUUGUUAGUAGCUUCCUCAUUUUAACAAAGUUAGGAUGCUCUCACUAAAAAAUGAUUAUAUAUAUCGGAGUGAGUUUUCAAUUAAAGAUCCAUUAUUAUAUUAAAGUCAAUGAUAAAUUAAAAAUAAAAAAAUACUGGUUAAUAAUAUAUAUGCAUCAGAGUCUGUAAUUUUAUUUUUUAACUUAUUGUUGAUUUUAAUAUAGUUAAGAUUCAUGUAUAUAUAUUUAAAAAGUAGAAGAAGAAAUCAAUUUAAAGGGCCAUUGAGAUCUGGAUCCAAAAGCCCAGAAAACUUCAAAUUGGACUAUGACCCAAACAGAACCCCAGAAUCAACUUACACUCGACCUCUCCCGGAAGCAGUAUCGAGCUGAUUUUGCAGGUGAAAAUCCGUUGAUUUUAAUUUCUUUUUCUCCAAAAUUUUCAUUUCAGUUAUUAUUAUUAUUAUUAUUUUUCAAUAAGUUCAUCGAAUUUGUUCUCUGUUUCUUAACCAAGAAAAUGAUCAAAUAAAGUCUUCUUGUUGAUUCAGGUUUAUACUCGUAAAUAAUAUAUCAUGCCGGACACUCAGGCUCUUGUGAAUGACUUUCUUAACAAGCUUAAAAAACGGUGACGUUUCAGACAGUAUAUUUUAAUUAUUCUUUUUUUUUUUACUGAUUUUAGGAGCUGAUUUUGUUUGUUUGUUUUGUGAGUGGCAGUAAGAUCGAGGGCUCGCAAGCAACGGCAAGGCAGACCGCGGAGCUGCUUCGCUCUGUGAUUUCGCAGCAGCGCGUGCCGUACACAAAUCAGGCUGGAGCUUUAAUUGAUGCUGUCAAAGCUAUUGGCGAGCAGCUCGUUGCUGCCAAUCCUGAUACAAAUAUGGUACUUAGUCAUGUUAGUUAUUUUUAAUAUCAUUGUAAUGAUAUCACCUUUUUUCAGCUGAAUUGAUUUUUAUCAAAAUGUUAUUAACUUGAACUAUGUUAAUUGUUUUCAUCGCUCUUAAUUUAGUUUUGUUGUAAUCCAGCAUCCUCCAAUUAGUAGUUUAGUACAGCUAAUAUAGUGUAUGUGCUGUAGGUAAUUUGGCAUAGUUACCUCUGAGGUUGGGGUCUUGUACAAUUAUUUAUGUUAGGCACCAGAACUUGCAUUUGUUUGGGGCAUGCAUUAGAUAAUCUGGUAUCUACAAAUUUAUUGUACUUCCAUAGCAAAUAUUCUUCUUUUCUUUUUGAAUCACAUGGAUGAAACUAUGCAUUCUGCUGUUGAAAAUUAGUACUGUUGCUAUAUUCACUAUCAAAUGGAUUCGGCAUCGCUAAGAAACCUUUUCUACAAAGUUAUACUUGUUUUUUUAUUUAUGAUUUGUUUCUUUUAUUUCUUUCCCUUUUGUGGCUUUUCAAUUCUCCCUAGCACUUUUUUCCAGAUCCUCUUUCCAAAAUUAAAAAUGAUUAAUUUUCUUCUUUGUUUGUGAUUUAUGUUUUCUUCACUUUUCUGAUUGAUUAAAUGAUAUAUCAAUGCAGAGCUUGCCGUGGGUAAUAUUGUGAGGCGUGUUUUACACAUCAUUAGAGAGGAAGAUCUGUCUUUGACUACGGCUGCUAUUGGUGGGCUGAACUUAUCUGCUGUAAGUGAUGAUGAAAAUGAUGAUGAUCGAGAUGGCGACUCAACUCUAUCAGCAGCUGCUGUUGCUGCUGCUGCUAGAAGUACUUUGCGUCCACCUUCUUUGCAAACUCUGCUCGAGGACACACCUGUCUCUGCAGCUGUUCCUCAGACUUCCUCAUCUGGGGGUGAUUCUGAAGGAAAAAGCAAAUGUGUGUUACUUUUUUUUUUUUUUUUUUAUAAAGUGUUUUUGAUAAUUCUUCAAUCACAGCAUCUUCUGUUAUUUUCCCUAAAUAAGCUUGUCUUAUGUAACACAUGUUUUAAAUAUGCAAUCGGAUGCAUCUUGGUGAUAAACUGGUGUUCCUGAAUGUUUUAGCAUUGAUGAUUUAGUUAAUUCAGCCUUAUGAUGGUAGAUAGUUAACAUACUAGUUUCCUUCACAGCUGCUGAUAAAAGUUCAAGAAGUCGGAAGCUGAAGCAUGAUGUUAUUGAAGCGGUUAAUGAACUUAUUCAAGAUAUUGUCACUUGCCAUGAACAGAUUGCUGAACAAGCAGUGGAGCAUAUACAUCAGAAGUAAUUAUUCCUUUUCCUGAUUUCAACUAGACAAUAUGUUUUUUCUCCAUACUUGGACUUUAUUUUCAGGAGAAUUGGAUGUCUACAUAAUUCCUUUUUACCUGUUAAUUUAGGAUAUAUGUAUUCAGUUUGUUGUUUAUGAAUGUACUACACUUAAAAAUGCAUGCAAUAUCUCAUUUAGAAGCAUAUAUAUAUGCUCUUUUCAUUCUUGUUAGGUUUUUUCUAUGUCACUUUCUUAAGUCUAAAAGAAUAAUGUUGUUUGUCUAUUCUCAUGUUGUCUUCCCAAGGAAUUGUAGGAUGAUAAUUUCAUGUAUCGAUGAUGAACUGUAAGCAGUUUUCAUAUCUGGCUUGCAAGCAUUCCCUUUUAGUAUGAUGUGGAGGUUAGGUUGUCGGAAUUGUUGGUGAUUCAUUGACCUGAGGGCUAAUUACGGUGCUGGCAUGAGUAUAAUUGACUUUAAAUGACUUUUCUGCACAGAACUAAGCUGGGCUGUGUAUUUCUGUAUUGAUCACUCAUUUGUGCUCUUUAGAACUUAGAAGUGCAGGAGGGUAGGUUAUGAGGGGAUUUGGAAAGUAGGAAUUCAAAUGCUUAAAUUGAUAGGCAUACUUGGGCAAUAAGGCGUUUAAAUGCUUCACUUGUAUGAUUUAACUACGAUUUGCAACAAGAGCGGCAUCAUUCAUUUAAACAUAGAAGAUUUAGAAAAAUUGUAUUGGAUGUGUUAGUGCUAAUGAACUUUUAAGCAUUUGGUGUUUCUGCUUUUUUCCUUCUAGGUGAAAGUGAAUAUGUUUUAUUUAACUCAUUCAACAAAUUGCAAAUUUGGUAAGGUGGUAACUGCGACUUUGCUCAUGUUAUUGUUUGACUGCGUAACGAGUUCAACUGUGUGCUUUACUGCCGAGAGAGCUCUAAUGAAGCUGUUUUUUGAUUUUGAGGGGCAACUUCAUUAGCUCUUUCAUUAGGAUAAUAAUAUAUGUAUUAUAUUCGUAUUCUCCUUAGAGAUAAGGAUAAGAGUGUAAUAAGUGUGAUGUGACUUAAAGUAGGUAAUGAGUUGUAAAGUAGAUUCCUUAGUGAUAAGGAUCAAUAAUGCAAAUAGUGGAUCCCUUGAGCCUAUAAAAGAGAGUCCAUGGUUUGUAUCUAGGCAUCGAGUCUUGGAGUGCAAAUAGUGGAUCCCUUGAGCCUAUAAAAGAGAGUCCAUGGUUAGCAGGGGAAAUAUUGUGAUUCAUGGCCUUUAUCUAGUUUGGGUCAGCUAUGGCAUAUUAUAUAUGUUCUCUUGUGUCUUAUCUCCUAUAUUGUCCAAUACAUGUAUAUGCUUAUUUUUAAAUUCUUCAUCUAUGUUUCUUCCUACCAUUUGCUACUUCCAUUAAUUUUAGCUAUUAAAUGUAUUUUCAGUGAGGUAAUAUUAACUUUAGGCAGUUCAAGGACGGUGUUGGAAUUUCUUUUUGCUGCAAAGGAGAAAAAAAGAUCAUUCCGGGUAUUUGUCGCAGAGGGUGCUCCAAGGUUUGUGCAAUGGCUUGCUAUUUGUUGAUUGCAAAGAAAUAUUUCACUGGCUACUUUGGCUCUGAUGUUCUCUCUCUCUCUCUCACAUUCUCUGUUUGGUUGCUGUUCUGCUACUUCUUGUUUUAUAGGUAUCAGGGGCAUCUGCUUGCAAAAGAAUUGGUAGCAAGAGGUUUACAGACCACACUGAUUACUGAUUCUGCAGUUUUUGCCAUGAUUUCCCGAGUAAACAUGGUAUGUUUGGGCCACUUUUCUCGUUUGGUUUUGGAUUUCCUGAAAUGUUUUUAGCUUGAUCUAAAAUUUUGCAAUGUAAAGGUUAUAGUUGGAGCUCAUGCUGUCAUGGCCAAUGGUGGGGUUAUAGCACCUGUUGGGAUGAAUUUGGUUGCACUUGCAGCUCAGAAGCAUGCUGUCCCUUUUGUUGUACUUGCCGGAAGUCACAAGGUAGUUUGGUGCAACAAACUGCUUAACUAGAAAAUUAAGUAAAAUUUAGAAAGCCCAUUUUCCUUAACUGCCAUUCCUAAAUUCGUUGGUCUUGUGUAUGAACUGGUGUGGAGUUUAAGAUGGUGCUCAGUUAUUCAUGUGAAGUGAACUUCCCUUUCAGAUAAAACUGAUCACUAAUGUAAGGAGUAGUAUGUGCAAGAUGCAAAUGUGUUUAUGAAUAGUAUGUGGGUGUAAAAGCUCAUAUUCUUUGUACCAAAUAUUAUUGAAUGUUGGUUGAAUUAAUCUCUGUAGCUGCAGUCCUUUUUAAUGCAUCAACAUGUUUGCUGGGUAUUGAAUUGCAUCUGGUUGUAAUAACAUUGUAGUUGGAGAUAAAUCAUUGAACUCUGGUACUUCAGUUCUGGGUAUGAUCUUUUUGACAAAUGUGGUUGGUCUAUAUGACAGUUAUGCCCCCUCUAUCCGCACAAUCCUGAAGUUUUACUGAAUGAGUUGAGAUCCCCAUCAGAGCUGCUGGACUUUGGAGAAUUCUCAGACUGCAUGGAUUUUGGGAGUGGCAGUGGUUCCCCUCUUCUUCAUGUGGUCAAUCCAGCAUUUGACUAUGUUCCACCGAAACUUGUUAGUCUUUUUAUUACUGACGCGUAAGUUCAACUGCCCUUUUAGCAUGAGACAGAGACAAUCUACACCUUACGUGCAAUUUUUAUGCAAUAUAUAUAUAUACAUUAAGAUUACUUAUUUGAUUUCAUUGUAGAGUACCAGUUUUCUGGCCCCUUUAUUUUCCAUUGGUGUUCCAGUUCUAUCUCUCAAUAUAUUUCAUUUUUUUUCCUCUGCUAUUGCUGUGUUGUUCUGCUAAUUUCUUUUCUUCUUCACAGGGGAGGGCACAAUCCUUCAUACAUGUAUCGGUUGAUUGCUGAUUAUUACUCGGCUGAUGACUUGGUUGUGCAGCGAAGAGCUACUGCUGGGAAUUGAUUUUGGUUUGUAUCAUCUAUUGUGUAAGUAGUCUUUUUGUGCCAAUGCUCUGGUGGAAAAUUGUUGAUUUUAACAAAAAGGAUAAUCUUUUUAAAUUGACAUAACAAUUGGUACUCUUUCUGAUUGUUAUGAUUCCAAUAAACUUAAUUGAUGUUGCAAACUGCUUCAUCUCGGGAUAUACAAUAAUUAAAAGAUGACAAUGAGUGAAUGCUGUAACUUGGUAUAUCAUUUUGAGCUUUGACUUUAUCUAAUCUUUGCCCUAUUUUAAGGUCAGGAAUUUAUUAUGGCAAGAGCAUUAGCUUUGGGUUUGAGAAAUUUCAAAUCACUGAAUUUGGAGCUGAGCUGAUGCUGUAAAAGAACUCAGGGACAUAGCGAUUGCGAGGCAAUGGUGUGAACUUAGUGCAAAUUUUAGGGACGCAAACAAUGAUAGGAUAAUUUUUGUUGGCAGAAAUAUUAAAAUGUAAAAUAGAGGCUAAGAGUUGUACUGAGAUAAAAAGGUGGAUACGGUUGGAUAAUAUUUUUUGAUUGUAUCAAGGUUGGUGGUCAAGUGCUGUAUUCUUCUUCAUCAGUGAUUUUCAGACGGACGGUAUAACAUUGUUGUAUUGCUUGUUGCUUAAAAUUUUCAUAGCAGAACGUAGCUGUUGAGAUGUUUCCUAGAAUAAUUUUCUCGUCUUUGCAUGAAUAACAUUGGAGAAUAAUUAUCUGUUUAACUGUGUGUUUUCUUUCGUUCCUCGACGGUUGAGACAUGUUACUUUUGAGUAAUGAUAUGAGCCCAAAGGUCGACAUAAAUGAGUGCCAUGUGGAUGCCUCCAAGAAAGAAACAGGGCGUCCAAACCGCAUCAUGAGAGUGACAUAACGUUUGUCGGGCUCAAUAUAUCAUUACAUGUUACGUUUUGGAACAUAAACCAAGGAUUUGAAAUGCAUUAUUAUACAUUAAUCCCCCUGACAUAAUAGGCCGAACCCUUUAAGCCAUUUGAGAAGGGUCGAGUGUUAAAAAGGGAGUAACAAGAGCUACGAGACUAGUCUCUUGACUCGCAUUACAAGAGGUUACAUAAAACUUCGAAUAUUAAAAUUAAGGCGCACAUAAUGCAACUUAGAUAAUGAGAAAUCAGCAGUAACUUUGCAAACAUUGGAAAAUGUUACAUAAAAAUGAGAAUACAGUUUUCAUUGAUGGUCUACAUCGAACCAGAAAUACAGAUAAGUCCUGGCAUAUAUAACUCGAACUCGCUGCAGCACUAGAUCUCCACUAGUCAAAACAGCCUUGGCACCUCCUUCAAUUCGAGUAUGCAAAACAGUAACACUAUCACCAUUACUCUUCAUUGGAGUAGAUGUAAUACAGCUACGAGCUGUACUCACGAUUGGGCAUGAGAGGAAGUCCAGUGGAUUCGUCUCACACUGAAGUACACACCCAUCUAUAGUUAACCUUCCACUCCGAUGGAGAAAGCAGCAGCCAAGCUCUGCUUUCACUGUUAAAUUCGCCAGCUUGCAUGUGGAUAGAAACUCCAAGGCACUGCCCAAACAAAACAAAUAUUGCAUAGCAAAUUUUGUUGCUUGAGAUAUUAUGCCGGUCAUUUUCGAGGAUCCUACUUCAUAUUUUUGGAUAACUAAAUCUAAAGGAAGAGGCUUGGUAUAAAACAGCUCAACCUUAAAAUAUAUAACAAGAUCUUGAAAAAGAGCAACCAGCACAUCACAAUUAUUCAUCUUAUGUGAUGAUUUAUUAUAUCUACUUGUGAACCAUGCAUAAAGUCUGUUGAAUUAAAGUGUCACUCCUAUUAACGGUAUCUUCUGUAAAAUCCAACAAUAUGAAAGGGUCCUCAUGUAAUUCUAAUUAAUCUCCACAAAACAGUAUAACUUAAUCUGAAAUAAAAACCAGAAAAUUUACAAACCUGUCCGAACCUCGAGAACAGAUGAGGGUUGUUUCAUCAGGAAGCUCACCUCCACCGACCUGAAAAGUAAGUUCAGAGAAAAGGAAAAAGUGGAAAACAUUUAGAUGACAGAGAUCUUAUUUCUCUCUCUUCUGCUUUCCAACCAAGAAUAGAAAGUGAGAAGCCAUGUUUUUAUCUUCAGUAGGCAAUUACUUUGCGAUCAUAAUACAAAAAGGAAACCAAGGAAAUAAGUGACAAUAGCCAGCUUUCAUGAGUUGCGCUGAAGGCAGAUUUGUCACUCAGACGAAGCUGGUUUACUCAAUCAUAUCGUUUCUCAUAUUGGAUUGAUUCCUUGAACCCGCAUGAUAAUGGGAUAAAUCUGAUGUUGACUUGUGCAAUAAAGUUCCCUAAGGUUAACCAAACUAUGAAUUUCAAAUUCACCAGUCCUCGUAUGACUGCAAAACUUAAUUAGACAUUAUGAGCCCUAUAUGAGAAUAGGGUUUAAAUUUUGGGAUUUAUGGUUUAGGUAUCUGCAUUAAUCUGUGUCUCUAGUAUAGAUAAUUUUUAUUUACUUUUUUUUUUUUUUUGAUGACAUGAGACUAUUGCUCAAAUUACAACUCAAAUUACAACUCAUAUUACAUGAGAGUAUAACUGAUAUGUACAAUCCUAUAUAUAUACUGAGACCUAUUGAUAUUAAUGCUGAUAUGACACUGCUCAGAUUUUUUUUUGUAACCCUCUCAAAUAUUCGAGGGACGUCAAACUCCCCUUCUAGGAGAAAGACUGCCUUCACUCGAGCUCUGGGGCUCCAAGGAAGGAAAUAUAAAUUAAACCCCUACAAUACGCAUGCGGAGGCUCGAACCCCUUCCCUCACAUUUGUGAGGGAGUGGCUCUAGCCACUUGGGCUAAGCACAAGUGGUUUUAUUUACUUUCUAUAUGAGCAUGCCAUUCACUCUUUUUUUCAUUUUGGGAGAAGAAACAGUCAACCUACAAAGAUAAUAAAAUUCAAGCAAAUAUAAUAACAAUUAAUGUCAACAAUAGCCCCAAGAGGUGAAGAAAUUUUACCCAUCACCUCACACAGUUUUACCACAAGUCAGAGUUAAUCCAAAUUCAUUAGUUGGGGGCAACGCCUCAUGUCAACUUUGAAUCAACUUCAGAAGAAUAACCUUCCAUCAAUAACUUAUACAAUUCAUUUUUAAAUUAAUUUUAACAAUAAGUCUGUAUCAAACAUAUCUUGCAGCUCAUUAUGUAGAAUAUAAAUUAAAGAAUAAGAAUUCUGUUGGACUAAAUGACUGUAAUGAAAUAUGUACAGUAAAAGGACAAAUAGUGUGCCCCUCUUUUUUCUUUUUGCCUUUUUAAAUUUUCAUGAUAUUAACAGUCCAAGAGACUUUCCUAACCAAGUUUCUAUAGUGUAAAUUACAUCGCGGAAUGGGAAUAAUCCUUUAAUUGUUCACAUGAGUGUAUUAUUGAGAACAAGGAACGAUUGAAUAACGACCAAAUUAAGUCAGGCACAGUGGUUUGUAUUCGCACACAUAUAUGAAAUAAUGUUUUAUAAAACAAACAACAUACCAGGCACAGUUAUUUUUUUACUGAAUAUUAGAGACAGGAUGACUAUCGCCUGCUGCAAUUAAAAUGGUGUCGCCCGAUCUAUGAGGAACAAUAUGAAGAUCAGGUUUUAUAGUCCUAGCGUAUCCCACUUCUAUUGUUAUAGUUUAGAAGUUAAGUUAAUUUUAUUCCAUAAUUUUAUGAUAAAAAUUUAUAAUGUCUUGACUAUUUUAUUAAAAUUAUUAAAAAUUAUAUUUACUACACAUUAUCAAUUUUUAUUUCACAAUUAUAUGAAUUUUUUUACAGCAAUCGUAAUGUUUGAGUUAAAGCACCUCAAUAUUAAAUAAAUAUUUAACCUACAUCUUUUGUGUAAAAAAAAAAAACCACAAUUCUUGCUGAAUGUUUGAUAAAUCACUUGCCAUACAAUAAAAUUUCAUGAUAUUUAUAAAAAAUAAUUAUGAAAAUUUAUCAAAGAAUUUGAUAUUAGUAACAUUUUUAUUCAAUAAUACUAACUAUACUUUUUUUAAGAAAAAGUUGGGCCAGAUAUCAAAGCCCAGCUGGCUCGUUUUGGGCGAAAACUUAAAAGCAACUCUGGUGGCCAACAUUGGGCGUAACUCAGAAGUAAUUUCGUGGGUGGCGUGGGUCAUGUCGGUUUCUUGUGGGUGGUGAAUGAGAAUAUUGGGUGCUGUUAGUGUUGUCGGUUAGUCAAAUACUUGAUGAUGGUCAAACAUAGCAAACCUUAAAAGAAAGAUUUUGAUUCAGUGAACAGUCGACUUGGAGUUUGUUGAACAAGUGGAAGAUGAAGAGAAGAUAAACAGUGAACGAAGUACUAAACGAUUCAAAAGCAAAACUAUGAAAAAUAAUUCUUUUAUUGCUCCAAUAAACAAUCUUGAUGAUGGCUGCCUUAUGCACGUAUUCAGCUUCUUAUCCCCAAUUCCAGGUGACUAUCUUUUUUUGGGGAAUUAUUUGUAUUUAAUUAAAAAAAAUCUUCUCUUUCUUAUAAAUGUUUAGUGUCAUUAAGUUAUGUAGUAUUUGUGACCUGAAUGUUGCUGGCCUUUUUAGAAGUUUGCUUCGGGUUUUUGACUUUUGUGUUGGGAGUCUUAUUUAUUUUCCCUAUUGGGUUUUGCCCAAUUCAUCACUUUUCCUGAAAUUUAUUUUGUACAUUGAGAGGAUUAUUUAUUUUUUUAAAAAAAACAAAAAUUUUAUAUUUAUGCGGAAUUUCAGAAUAUGGGCAUUUCUGUUGUGAACAAUUGUCUAUUAAUUUUAAAUUCCUGUUUCAAAAACUCUAUGUGCUAAAUUUAUGUUAUUGAUACUCUUUUGUGCGUAAAAUAGUAUAUUGUGUCCCUUAGAAGGGCUGUAUAUCCUCAUUCUUCACAUGCCUUAAAAGAAAUCUAGAAGGAUCGGAUAGAAAUUAUUGUCAAAGAACAUGAUAAUUACAUCAAGAUUUCUGGGGUUUAAUAGAUAUUGUUGAGUAAGCUUGACAUAUUUUAUGCAUAAUUGUCUUUAUGAUGAUUUUGACAUAUUUUAUAUGUAAUUGUCUUUAUGAUGAUUGUUUGGCAUUGAGAUGGAUGUUUUAGAUGUUUGCCAAAUGCAUGUAUGAUAUAAUUUUGUGCGAUCUCUUUCACAGUUGUUAUGGAGCUUGCAGAUCGGUAUAACACAGCACUCGUUUGCCACAGAUGGAAUUAUUUGGCAUGUCAUCCUCGCUUGUGGCUGCGGGUAGAUCAGUCUGUUAAGGAUCUCUCAGAGCCUGGAGUUUUCCCCGACCUUAAGACAGCCGUAUCUGUGGCAAGGUUUGUAAUGUUGUGACUGCCUGUAUGUGAUUUUAAACACUUUAGGCCCUAUUUGGAGUGUUGUCAAGUAGCUUGAUUGCCAUAAUGGAGUACUUACUCAUUUAUUGCUACAACUUUUAAGGUACAGUGUCCAGCACAAUACUAAACAGAAUUAAAUAAUCCAAAACAAAUUGUAAAUGUUAACAAUGUUUAAAUAUAGCUAAGAACAUCAAUAUAUAUAGAGUUUGUAAAUAACACAUACCCAAAAAAGUAUAGAAAGGCAAAGAUAGCCUCAAGUUUUGUACUAAAUUGGAGAAAAAAAAUAAAAUGAUUUUUUCCAAAAAUAACCACAGAGUUGUUAGUAAUAAGUAGAGAUGGUAAAAUGAGUUGUUAUCAUGACACGAUAACACAACAUGGAUGUGGCACGAAUUUUGUAUAUUCAUGUUGAUAAAUAUUGAUACAAUUAAUUAAAUAGUUGAUACUAUACGACACAAUAAAUAACCGUAUGGUUUUCAUGUUGGAUCACCUCAGCAUGAUUACAUGUUUAUGGCAUGAAUAUCAAUUAAUAUAAGUAAUAUUAUUAAAAAAAUUCACACACACACACACACACAUAUAUAUAUUUGUGUUGAUAAAUAUUGAAAUGAUUAAUAAAAUGGUUGAUACGAUACGAGACGAUAAAUAACCGUAUUGUUUCAUGUUAGACCACCCUAACAUGAUUACAUGUUUAUGACAUGAAUAUCAAUUAAUAUAUGGUAAUAUUAUUAAAAAAAUUAACAUAUAUAUAAACGAUCAAUAAAUGAGUCAUACCCAUAUUUUGGUAUUUUAAUAUUGAUGUUUUGAUAUUUUGAUACAAUUAAAAAAAAAUAGAUCAUGUCAGUGUUUUCUUAACUUGAUACGACAUAGUUUAACUCAAUUAAGUAACUCACAUGUUAAAAAUUCUCUAGUAUUCUCACAAACUCUGUAGCUCCGCCAGUGGCUAGUAGUGUGGGAGUCAUUGUGUGAGCCUUUGUUAUUGUCUUUGACACUAUUUGUUUUUUAAUUGUUAUUUAUGCCUUUCUAAGUUUCUAACUAUUUUUAUAAGUUCGCGAUGAAGAUUUCAAACUAGUUAAAUUGUGUGGCUCACUUUUGUUGAAAGAAACAGUUGCUAUGAUUGCGGUUUCAGACAAGACAUAUCGUUAUGGAAAUGUGUUGGCUGCCACUAGUUUAGUGAGAAACGUUUUGACGUAAUCGGUGAAUAAGGAUGUCUUUAUUUGUAGCGUUGCUCUGAUUUGAAAGUUCAUCAAGGAUGUUGGGAGUAGAGCAUUUAGAACAAAAUAUAUUCUUGUUUCCUUUUCCUAAUGAGAAUGAUCACUGUCAUAGUUUGUUAGUGAGACCUUGGCAUUUUUUUUUGAAUUACAUGAGACUAAUGCUCCAAUUACAACUCAUAUUAUAUGAGAUUUACAACUGAUAUUUACAAUCAGACAAUUAUUGGGCCUAAUUUACAUUAAUUCUUAUAUAGCACUACCCAUAUUUUACCCUCUCUAAUAUUCGAGAGGUGUCUACUCCACUCACAUUUCGAAAGGGAGAAGACUGCCUUCACUUAAUAAUUAAGGAAGGAAAUAAACCCCUACAUGCGUCGCGGGGGCUUGAACCGCUGCGCUCACAGUUGUUAGUGCAGGGUCCUAGCCACUGGGCCAAGGCCCAGUUGGUUAGACCUUGGCAUUUUAAUCGUUCUUUAUUGGCUCUCUUUCCUUUAGCUAGCAAUAGAGAAUAGUCUAGUCAACAAUUUACUAUAGUUUUUUUUUGGGUUCAUAUUUACAAUAUGUCGUUAUGUUACAUGUCGAAGGAAAUGGUUGAUUUCCUCGGAGGAAUGCUUGGAGGAGUGAAGAAUUUGGAUGCUGGUCUUAGUUGUGUUUUGUAUGAAAGUUCUUUUGCAUUCAAGUUUUAAUUGAUGUCUCUAGGCCACUUAAACUUGGUUUGCUAAUUCGGUUUCGCACUAAUGAUGAUGUUCCUGUGCUCCUAGUGGUUUAUAAAAGGUUAUCAUAUUUUUGUUAAUAUUGCGAUUGUAUAGAUAAUUUAUUUCCAGAUUGUUCCGCAUUUGACUUAUCUAAAGUGGAGCAGGGUGUGGUCAUGGAGUAUGGAUGCAGGCUAAUGCUGGCAGUGUUUGUCGGAAGUCAGAGGGUCGUAGACAAGUAAAUCAUAGUGGUAGAGAAUUGGAUUUGGGAUAUCAUGAGGUGGUUUUUAACGCGACAAUAAAUGCUUCAAGUGUUACGAAUAAUCAUGAGAGUAAUGAUAUAAGAAAAGAGGAUAGUGGGAGAAAUGAGCAUGUCUGUGUGAAUAAUGCUUAUAUUUAUGAGAUAGUGAACGAGAGAAAUCAAGUUCAGUAAUAAAAAGACAAAUCGUGGAUGCGUUUAUAAGAAUUUCAAAUUUUGAUUGUAUAUGUGUUUUACAACCUUUUAUUACUAAUAGUCACUUGCCUAAGGAAACAAAGAAGGCAUCAUGCGCAGAAUUUGUUAAAGAUUUUGUGAAGGAUUGAAUGGAGUUGAUGGUAGUGACGUGGUUGGCCAUGGGCCUUAUGUGCCCCAAACUGGAGCUAUGGCUUCUUGUCUUGGUGAUGAUUCGAGUGACAAAAAUGAAUCUAGUAAUGUUGCAAGAUUGAAAAAUUAGAGAGAGUAAAGAGAAAAAAUUUACCACAAUGUGAAGGGGCUAUGAAAAGGAAAAAAUGAAAGCGACUGGCACGAAAAAUUCUAAAAGAAAAAUCUCAUAUUUCUCUAACUUUGGGAUCUAAGUAUGGUAAUGAGAAGGAUAUUAGAGAUUGGUCUAAUCAAUGGAAAUGAGGCAGGAUGGUUGCUAUUGAAUCGGAGGACGGUGAUGAUGGCGUUUGUGCAGACAAUAAUUUGGUUGUGUAGUCUAUGGCUUUGUCAAAUUUAUCAACAAGAGUUAACGUUGAUCAGCCCCACCGAUUGCCAUGAUAUCCUAACCUAAAAUGUCCAAGGUUUAGGGAAUCCUUUGGAUCCCACACUCUUUAUAAAAUGCUCCGUGAGGUUAGACCUUCUGUUGUCUUUUUAUGCGAAACUAGAUUAAUGGCGGCAAAGAUGAAUUGUAUUAGUAUGACAUUGGGUUUGGACAAUUGUUUAGAUAUUGAUUUGGUUAGUUUUUGGAGUGGCUUAGCAUUACUUUGGAAAAAGAAAGCUCAGGUUGUUGUGAAUUCCUAUAGUACCCAUGCAAUAUAACAGUGAUCAAUUGUUAUGCUAACAUUAGAUAUAGCAUUAAAUGUUCUAGGUUUCAUUUACCCUACAAGGUCAAUCCCCACGUCAAGUUCUUCACUAAUUUUAUAUUAAGUAUUACCCUAUUCAAAUUAAGAUUCACUCAACUUGGGAAACCCAAUCUAAAACCUAGUAUUGUCUUAAUUUGUUCCACUAAGUUGGCCAUUUUCAAGGCUCUUUAUUAGCUAGUAUCCAUUAAAUGUGUGAUCAGCCAAAAUAGAGAAUUGAAAUAAACACAAUUAAGACAAAAUGCUAUAACAAAUACAGAGCAACACACCUAUGUCAGUCAAACAGAUCGUUUAUCACUCAACCACAACAAAUUCAAUUUGUGAUUUGCGAUAGAACAGUAAAUAAAAUUGUUUCAGCCAUCAAAUACAUCCCCAUAAUUAAAUAAACAACAAGAAGAUAAGAAGAAGAACUGAAGUAUGCUCGAUCUUAGUGAUAUCUUCUUUAUUUCCUCUUUGAAUCUUCUAUUACAUCCUUCGAUUUAUCUCUUAAUGUUUUGUUUUCUUAUUGUUUCUUUUCGGUAUUCCCCUUAGGUGAUGGCUCUUUAAUUUUUUUCUUUUCAUGUGUGCUCAUUUUAUAACUUAGAAUUAAGGCAACUAAAAGUGUGUGACGCGUAUCCUCCAUUUUUAGAAACUUUAUAUCGCAAUAUUUUAGUUAUUGCGCACGAAAUCCAGUCUGUCAUUGCUCCAGGAUUGCUACAGCAACUGCUAUAGCAUCUUCAGUGUUCCAGACUUAUUUCAAUUCCUCUGCAGUCAAGAUAUUUUGUCACUUUUGCAAGUUUGUUGCAGCAACAUUUCAUCCUUAAAACUUGAGCUUUUCGGUCACCUACAAUUAUGCACAUAAUCUAAGCACAAAAUAAUCUAAAAACAAACUUAAUUUAUUAAAAAUAAAUUAAAAUGGAUGCUUAUGCCAAAUGUAACUAAUAUGUCAUAAAAAUACAUUAUUUACUUUCUAAGUAAUAUUGAUUUAAGUCUAAAAGUAUCAUGAUAACUUUCAGUUCAUAAAGUUAUCAAUUAGCAAAUUGAGUAAUUUGAAAUUAGCUUCCCAAGACUAAAUUGUUUACUUUCUUUUAGGAAUUAUCUCUAUAAAUUGUGAAUCUCACGUUGCACAUAGUCACUUGGAUGCAUCUUAAGAGAUCGCAAGAUAUCAUCUAAUGCUUGUUUACAUGGACCAUCCUUAAUAAAUUUAAUUUUAUCUUCACGAUUUUAAAAACCAUUCCUAAAGUUGUACAAUACGCUUCACAAGAAAGUCUUUCACAUUUAUGAUAUUUAGAGCCAAUCCAUUUAGCUCUUCUUUUUUUAGCAAAUAAUAUCAUAUAAGUCCAAUGAACCAAUUAACACAUACAAUCCAUUCUUCUUUUCACCUUUCAUCACAAUAGAACCCUCCUUAGUCACUUUUAUGCCAUCACUAUCUAACUUAAAUGAAUAUCUAGAGCUGUCCAACAUGCCUGAAGAGAUCAAAUUUCCCUUUAACUCAGGAGCAUGUCUAAGCCUAUGUAAAGUUAUGAUGAUCCCAUCAAAUAUUUUAAUCUUAACAAACCUUAUUCCAACAAUUUAACACUUAUUGGUGUUUCCCACAAAACCUCUACCACCAUCAAUAAACUCAUAUUGAUGAAAAAGUGACUUAUUAGGCAUAUGUGAAAAGAACAACCCAAGUUUAAUACCCACUGACCUUCUAAGUUGCCUUUUGAGGUUAUAAAUAUAUCAGCCCUAUAAUAACCAUCAUCAAAGGAGAUAUUUAAAGCCACAGCCACACCUCCUAACCUUUAUUGACUUUCCUUCUUAUUUUUCUCUGCACUUUCUCUGAUGUAAUGCAUUUGUUUCUUACAAAAAAGCAUUUCCUCUUGUUUUUCUUCUUUUUGCAUUCUCUUGGUUCUUUCCUCUUUUUGAUUCUUGUUCUACUGUUCCUUCUUCUUUCGGUUCUGGCAAUUAGCCCUUCACCAUUACUUACUUCACGGCCAUCAUGCUUUUCAAUCUCUUUUGAGCUUAGUGAUGUCGUGACAUCUUCCAAAGUCAAGGUUUUCUUCUAUACAACAUUGUAUCCACAAAACCUUCAUAUGAUUGUGGCAAUGAACUUAAAAAGAAAAUGAUUUUGUCUUCAUCUCUAAUCUUCACAUUUUCAACCUCUUCAAGAUCAAGAAUGAUCUUGUUGAAAGUGUCAAUGUGUUCUUAAAUAGACACCCCUUAUAUCAUUGAAAAAGUGUACAACUGUUUCUUCAAGAACAACUUGUGAGCCAAAGAUUUCUUCAUACAAAGGCCUCCACCUUAUUCUAUAUCCCAAGGUAUGUUUUUGUUUAGAGAUUUCCCUCAAGAUUGAGUCAGUAAGACUCAAAAUUAUUGUUUUGAAGGCUCUAUUUUAAAUAUGUUUCUUCUUUUCAUCAGGUUUAAAGCUUGUUGCCUUAUCAGGAUCUUCUUCUUCUAAGACGAAUUCAAGGCCCUGAUGCACAAGUAGAGCCCUCAUCUUCAUCUUCCAAAGUGAGAAAUCACCACUCAGCUUCGCAAUUUCUGGUUUUAAUAAGUGACAUGGUCAAGGUUCACUAAGUCUCUGAUACCAAUUAUUGUAAUUAAUGGUUAACAAUCAAGAACUCAACCAAUCUUUCGAGCUUUAAUCAAACAAGAUUAAUUGAAAUCAAGAUUGAAGAAAAACAUAGCAAGAACAAAGAAAUAGAACUCAAUCACAAAGAACAAACUUCUCUGUUUGAAGGGAAAAACUGGCACACUUUUACUAAUCCAGCUUAUCACAAAUUGAUCACACAUUACAAAAGAGGUUGCAAGCUUUAGAAAUAAACAAAAAGCACAUAAUUUGGUUAAGAAACAAGAGAGAAAAGGUUCACACAUUAGAGGUUGUGCACUAGCCUAUUUAUUUUGGAAAUUUUCAAAAACUAUCUAACAACCUUUAACGAACUAUAGCCAUGUCAGCAAAAAUUUACAAAACGACCCUAAGCUAAAGUCGAUCUGUACAAUGGCCCAACAAAUCUCCUUCAUUUUACUUUAAUUCCCAAAAACAGAAUAUAUAUCUUCACAUUUAUAAUGGUUGGCUUAAAAGAAAAUAUAGAGAUUGUAUAUAAAAUAAAAAACUACUAAAUUGUAAAAAUGAAAAAUAGGCAAACUCAAAAAAUAAUAAUAAUAAUAGGUUCAAAAACUCGCUUCAAACUUGUUAUGACAUAUACAUUCAUUCAAAUAACUUAAUCAAUUUCACUCAUCAAAUCUCUUAAUUCAUAGUUGUCACUAACAUCAUCAUGCAAAGUUGCUAACGCGGUGUAGCGUAACUCAAAACCAAAGAUAAUAUAAGUCAUCAUGUCAUCCAAUGUCAAAUGAUCAUACAAGAUGCCUAGAAAACUUUAAUAAUCUUUUUAAUUUUUUUUAUAAAAAUACCUCACCCUCAAACUUAUUCUAAACAUUAUCCUUAAUGUUUCUUAUUCUAAAGAAGUGCAUGUCAAUGUGUAAAAAUACAAAGAAGAUAUGAAUGCCAAUAGUAAGAGAAAUAAGUAGGAGAGAUUGCACCUAAAUUGGCGAUCGCUCUUAAAUUGGCUGCAAAAUAUUCUAGAAAAAAAUCUAAAGAAAACGUUAAAAUAAAUAUAAAGAAUAAAAUACAAAAAGCAAAAUAUUAGAGGUUUUUAAUCUAUAAAAGGAUGAUGGUAGUGAUACUCUUUAAUGUCAUACAGCUUAGGCCACACCUGUCUUAAGCUUAUUUGAAAGCUAUCUUACUACUUUAUUCAUGUCAAAAUGUGACUUAUCUUGUGCUGCUUUAGGAAGUAGCUCUAGUUUGAAUGGUUUUUCUUCAAGAGGAAAUAGCUUAAUCUUUUCUUUCCACUUAGUUAAAACCAUGAUAUGGGCAAAGAAAGUAAAAUAUUAACUUCUAGGAAAAUUAUCAUUCGUAUACUUUAAAUUUGUACUUUUAUCAAAAAUACUACAACAUUUUAAGGGUGUAUGAAUCGUCCACCUUAAAUUGACAAACGUUAUCUACCGACCACUAAACCUCUAGCUACCAUUUGAAAGUUAAUGGAACUAUAGUGAAUUGACGAUUUUACCCUUGAAAAUUAUCACUUGUAUACUCUUAAAAUCUCUUAUUAUCAUUUAGAUACCCUUAAAUUAUCACUUGUAUCAUAUGAAAAUACCAUACUACCCCUCUAAUGUUAUCAUAUUUAAACAGCAACUAACGGUUUGGUAGACGGUAGAUAUAUUUUGUCAACUUAGGGUGGACGAUUGAUAUACCCUAAAAGUGUUGUAGUAAAUUUGAUAAAAGAGUAAACUAAGGGUAUACGAUUGAUAAUUUCCCUAACUUCUAAAAUAGCACUAUCAACAUCAAAAGAUAAAACAAAGUGAAUUAAGUAUGUCUUUAGAAGAUCAUCAUAAUGGUUAGAAAUAAAUCAAUCAUUAACUUGUGCUUCUAUCAUAUCUACUUCAACACUUCAUCAUCUUCUUGUGCCUGCUUGAGAACAUUAAAAAUAUUCAAUUUCAUACCCGUGUUACCAACAGACAAUUGCAUGUUUCUAGUCCUACAACUAAUAUAAUCAUCUACUAUCGCCCAAAAAGGACAACUUAAAAUAACAAGAGUGUGCUUUGUAUGAUUCUGCACAGGUUGAGUAUCAAUAAUAAUAAAAUCAAUAGAAGAAUAAAAUUUAUCAAUCUGCAUGAACACAUCCUCUAUAAUACCACAAGAUAUUUUUAUUGACCUAUCAGUAAGUUGUAAAAUAAUAGAAAUUGAAUGUAAUUGACCUAGCCCAAGUUACUUAUAAACAGAAUAAGGCAAAAUAUUAACACUAACUCGUAGAUUCAACAAAGCUUUAUCAAACAAUUAGAUCCUUAUAACAUUUGAGAUAGUAAAAGAACCUAAAUCCUUAAAUUUUGGUCGCAUUUUAUAUUGAAAUAAAUUGCUAGUUUGUUCAAUUAGAAAUGCCUUCUUAAUAACAUGCAAAUUUCUCUUUCUAGUCUUCAAAAACUCAGCAUAUGAGGAACGUUGCUUGAUAGCGUCAUGUAAAGCAAACUUUAUAUUUACCUACUUGAAGAUUUUCAUGAUCUCACCUGUUUUUUUUUCUCUCUCUCUCUUCCUUUCUGCCAUAAAAUUACUUUAUUGAUUGAAUUAAUUUCCAUGCUAAAACGAAGACUUAAAAAGUACACUACAUUUUUUUAUAAUAAUCCCAAUGGUAAUUCCGACCGUUACGUUAUAAUACUGUCGUGUCAAAAUAAAUUAUAACAAAAUUUUAGUUCGACUUAUUUAUUUUUUUGAAAUUGAUUAAUCAUCAUGUUAUUAUAUUACAUAGAGAUAUAUAUAAUUGUUAUGACAAUAGAUCAUUACACUGAUAUUUACAAUCAGAUAUAUAUACAUGAAAUUUAUAUUAUUAUAUUUUUAUUUUAUGAAGUACAUGUUCAUUCAAAUACUCCUCACGGAGGAGAGAUGUCUUUACUCCACUCGUAUUUUAUAAGGAAGAAAAACAUUAUAAAAAAUCUCCACAUAAUUAUAUUUGAUUGAGAGAAGUUGAGUCCGUAGAGACUAUGAUUCACCACUGAACUACAAGCUCAAAUAACAAAUUCGACUUAUUUAGUAAAUAGAUAUACUUAAUAAAAUAACAAAACGAUUAAUGUGUAUCAAUGAUAUAGACACAACUGAAAUAACUCAUAAUGUGAAAACAAGAAAAGUCCCGCCACCAAUAAUUCAGAGGCAGGCCCCACCGCCAUCAAUAAUUCAGCAAGCUUCACAUGCUUCUGCUUGACGAACCGGACAUGGGUGGACCAAGCACCAUUGAAUAAUUGCAAAAAAAUGAAAAAUAAAAAUCAGUGUCCAGCAAAAAGAAUCCAUAUUCAUGUGUUGCUUCCUACUCAGUACAUCUACUUAGCAUUUAAAAAAAAAUGGAAGUAGAAAUUAAAACUCACUUUUUUAGAUAUGGCUCAUAUAUAUUACAAGUAUCAAGAUUUAAUUAAAGUUCACAUAUUUACAAUGUGUCUAGUUUUAAUUGAGAGAUAAAGUGAUAAACUAUUCAUUAAUAAUGAGGUUUUUCUAAAUGAUUGAAUAAUGAUAUUAAUUAUUGAUAUUUACAAAAUUUCUAAGAAGUGAUAGCUAAUACGUUGGGGAUAUGUAUUUGCGCGGAAUGGCAAACAUAGGGAAUAGUAAUAAAAAUAGUGGAAUUAAUAUGAUGAAAAAAGGUAAACAGUAGAAAAUUAAUAUGUAAUUCGAGGCGCGUUACAAAUAUCACUUUUUUUAAGACAUUAUUUACGCCCACCAAUUAAGUGAUGCAUAUGAGUUAAACAAAUAUAUCUCUAUGAUAUAAUGAAACGCUUCUUCAUUUGUUUGCGUUGUGUAUCGAAUAAAGUAAACCUGAAUAUAUAUAUGAAUGUUGCAAGCUUGCUAAGAAUCAAUAUGUUGAUUCUGUUGAAAAACAAUGUAUUGGAUAUUUGAUGCAUAAAAAAUAGAUGUUAUUUGAUUAAAUUCAUUUUAGGAAAUAGGGCUAAUAAAAGAGUGGUGUAGGAUUAUCUUAUUCAUAUCUAAAAUUUUAAAUAUAUUGAUUUAUUUAUUAUGGUGACGUAAUAGUAAUUAUAAAUUAAAAAUAAAUUUAUUAUUAAAAUAAAUAAAAUUUAUUAAUAAAAAUAAGGGUCAUAUAUCUUUUUUAAAAUGUUAAAAAAAUUUAUGUCCUUUUUUGGGAGUGAAUUUUCUUUUCUCAUUAAGCAAAACCCACCGCAAAAGUGAAAAGAAAAAAUAGAGGCCACAAAACAGAGCCCACUACAAAUAUAUAAUCGGAGGAGCUCAUGAUCAUGCCUAUGCUUUACAUACUAAAUUAAAUAAAAGCCGAACCAAGAAUCUUGCAUUUGCUUAACAUGCUUAAUUAGGCACUACUUCAAAGAGAACUUGAAAGCAACGAACCCUUUUGUUAAUCUUAAAUGUCAGGAAUCUAAUUAGCUUGGAAUAAAGCUACAUUCUUCUCCUCUGACCGUCUCUUGAGGUUUAUUUCAAAAGUUUGAAGAGAAUUUAUCAAUUCUUCUUAUAAAAGCAAGCUAAAUUAAAGGAUUUUAAUCUCUCUUCUUAUUACUAUAAGUGCACUGCAUUUUUUUAUAAUCAACAAUGUCAAUUUGUAGUGUAAUGUUAUAUUCAUAUUUCUGUCGCGUCGAAAUAAGGUAAAACAAAAUUUUAAAUAACACAUAUUCGACUUGUUUGUAAAAGGUAUAUAUUUAAUAAGCUAAUACCUUAAUUAACAUAACACUAUUAUUACGCUAAAUGAAAUAAAAGAUGGUACCCACCACCAAUAAUGACAUUAGCAAGCUCCGCAUGCUCGUGUUUUAGGAACUAGACAUUGGUUAAUUAAUCAAGGAUAACGAAACAAUUUCAAAAAACAAAAUAGAUACUAUGCAUUUUCUUUUUUUAGUCGUACAGAAAAUGGGACUAAUUUUCAGAAAUUUUCAAAUUCACUCUUUUACAAAAGCCAUACAAAAUGAUUUCCUUUAUAUUUUGAAACAUUCUAUGGAAUCAAAUAAUAGUGAUACAAAGAGCGCAAAGUAGUAAUUCUCUUGUUGUAUUUUUUUUUUCUUUUUUAAAAGGAGAUGGUGUGGUUUGGUUGUUUGCAAAAUUAUUGGUGUGGGAUCUAUUUGUUUUCAAUUUCACUUUAUUAAUUAAUUAGCAAAGCAAACAUGUAAUCAUUUGUAAUGGGGCCACUGGCAUCGGAUUAUAUAAGAUGAAUUCGUAAGGCUUACUAAUUUCGAUUAAAAGGUAGCGUUAUUAAAUUAUUAAUUCAUUAACUUGAGUACCAAUAUUUCCUAACUGUGGUGAUUAAUUUAUUUAACUUGUUAUAAUUUUCAAUUGAGAAUGAACUUCAAUUAAUGUAUGAAAAAUUAAAAAGAUAACUUUUCUUUUUUUUUUUUCAAAUUUUUAAUUCCUAUGAUUUGAUUUCACUCUUUUUGUCGAUUAUUGACUUGUGAGAGCUUGUUGAAUGUCAUCAAAUGCUUAUAUCUCUUAUCCAAAUUGGCAGAUAUCAUUUGGUUUCUUUAUAGGCGGCAAUCACGAAUGAAAGUAACAACCCCACCAUAUAUCGAAAAUUAAUUUUAAGAAUUUUUUUACUUGAAGUCUUUGAAAAGAAAAAUUAAUCAGAUUAGAUUAGCGAUAUACAUAAAUUCGGUACCAAUUUAAAAAUGCGAGCAUGAUUUAAUAAGAAAGGAUGAGAAUUGAUCAUGUCCCAAAAGACUCAAAAUAAAAUUAUACAAAAUUACAUGCAGGCAUAUCAUAUGUUAAUCUUAAUUUUUUUUGCGGCUGAAAAUUAAUUAAUUAAUUCCACUACUUCUUUUUUUUAAUUGUAUGGUGUGUAACACAUAGUGAAUUAUGUUGUAUAUUUGUUAAUUCAAAGAAAUAAUACUUUUGUAUCCACCAAACUUUAUUAAUAUUCUUCAUCAUUAUGGUUAAUGGCUUAGCAAAUUUAGGAGGAGGAGUCAGCCAAAAUAAAGUAUUUUCUAUUACAUUAACCUUUAUUAAUUGCAGAAGUUAAAAAAAAUUAAAACGAGUUAAAACAGUUCCAACUCAAAAUCAAUAGUUUAUAACGCAGGGGUGUAAAAAAUAUCUGUCCGGACUGAAUUCGGACCGGAUCCGAGCUAGUUUAGGGAUGUGCCGGUCUAGUCUCGGGCAUCAUUGGAGAAGUCCAAUGUCCUCCAAGUCCAAGGUCCGGCCAAGAACUUAAAUUUUAUAGAAAAAAUAAUAAAUAUAUAUUAUUGUAAGUAAUUAUGUUUAUUUGACUCGUCUAUUACAUAUAUUUAAAAUUUUAAACAUUUAUAUUUUGUGUCCAGUUUCAUUUAAAUAAGAUUUAAAAAUUAUAAAAUUAUGAAAUAAAUUUAAAAAAUACAUUCAUACAUAUAAUGUUAUAAAAUAUAAAAUCCAACCUUUCUAGGGUGAAAUAAAAAGCCUAGCCCAAUGUGUCCAAAAAAUAUGUCUGGGUUGGAUCCAGGCAUUGCCAUACCUGAACUUGACCCCGAGUUUUGCAAUUAUUCUAGAUCGUUAUAAAUGUUUCCAAAUUUCAGUCUAAUUUACUUGUGUGAUGCAAAAAUUACCUUUAUCACUUUUUUCAAAUAAAUACUCAUAAAUUUCACCUAAAUUGUCACCCAAAAAAAGAGAAAAAUCGUGUAGUUAAUUUUUCUACUUCUUUACUCUAUUAUUUAAUGGGAAUAUAAUAAGUUAGGAGAAAGGAGAAAUUAAGGAGAAAAUUAGAGUGCUUGUUCAAAUGAUAAAAACUCAUGCAAAUGCGUAUUUCAGAUGUAAGUGUGGCAUUCAUUAAUUUGACAAAAAAUAAGUGAAUUUAUUUAUAUUUUAAUCCAAAUCGAGGGAUAUAAACAAAAUUUUCCCGCUCCAGAUAUUUAUCAUUUUCUUGUUAGAAAAAAAACUGCAUAAAAUUAAGGAACCAGUAGGCACUGAAAGAGAGAAACAGACUGAGAAGAGAUCAAAAGAUGGAUUUGGAACUGAAAGAGAGAAACAGACUGAGAAGAGAUCAAAAGAUGGAUUUGGAACUGAAAGAGAGCUUGGGCUGAUCAUUCAUGAUAAUAUUCCGCGUUCGCUAUUAUAGAGACGAAAGUUUGCUUUUUGUAUGGUUCUCCACUGACGGUGCCAAAUGUCGACGCCAAAAUUUGGACUAGUUAGUUACAUAUUGGAAACCAAAUUUUGCGUCAGCAUUAAAUUUAUUUGUUAGGGAAGCGACUUACCAAUCACCAAGGACGCCCUGCGAUCACUAGCAAAUAACUCUCAAAUACCUGAAAUCAUAAAAAAAAUGGUAAGAGACGCCAGAAGUUUUUCCGGCGUGAACCCUCCAGUGUUCAAGUCAGUUAUCGGGUUUACAAGAGAAACAAAAUAUGCAAUUUCUAGUUUUUUUAAAAAAUAAUCUUAAGUCAAUGUAAUAGAAAAAUCAAAAUUGAGAAAGAAAGUUGAACCUCCCUCUUUAUUCAUUCCCCUAGGGAUUUUUUUAUAAAGGUUUAAGUUUCCCCCCACUCCAACCCCCCCAAAAAAAAUCUUUGUGAUCAUAAGAUGGAUGAGAUAAAAUAUGAGCCCCCAAAAUGAUCUCAAUCAUGGAGGAGUCCUCCCUGGUUUGUUGCCCUAUUUUCUUAUUUGUUCUCCUCCACUCUCGAAAGUUAAGAAUGAGAUAAAAGUAACCUUUUCACUCUCUAUUUUUUCCUCCAUUUUUUUUCCUCACCAAAUAGUUACGAAUUUAAAAUAUGAGUAUGAUUUAAUAAGAGAGAACGAGAAUUGAUAAUGUCCCAAGAGACUGAAAAUAAAAGAUUACACAAAUUUGCAUGCAGGCAUAUCAUAAGUUAGUCUUAAUUUUUUGUUGUUCAAAUAAUAAAUUAAUUCCACUAAUCCUUUUUCUAAUUAUAUGGUGUGUAACACAUUGGCCACUUCUGAAUUAUGUUGGAUAUUUGUUAACUCAAAGAAAUAGUACACUUUUCUAUCAAUCUAACUCAUUUUAUUAAUAUUCUUCAUCAUUAUGGUUAAUGGCUUGGCAAAUGUAGAAUAAGGAGUCAGCCAAAAUGAAUUACUUUCUCUUGUACUAACCUUUGUUAAUUGUUGACAUUAAAAAUAUUUUAAAAUAGUUCCAACUCAAAAUCAGUAGGUUGUAUGUAGAUUGUUAUAAAUAUUUCUAAAUUUCAGUCUAAUUUAAUUGUGGAUGCAUAAACUUGACUUUUUCACUUCUUUCAUGUAAAUGGAGGGUAGAACUAUUUGAACUCAUUAAACUACUUUUUAAAUUCCUUUACUCAUUAAACCCAUCAUGAAAAUUCAAAAAUCUUUGUGUAUACUCAUUGCACCUCUUAAUAUCACAAAUAUGAAUCAUUUGUCUUCACUUUUGUUUGUCUUCAACAUUCACAAAUUUUAUUUGAAUCUGCAAUAUUUUUACCACUAUUCAUUCAUUUAUUAGAGUUUCAAUAUAAGAAUAUAGAGAUUAAAAAUAUCAUUAACGAAUUAUUUCUUUGUUUUCUAUAUGAUAUUCUUGGUUUGGAAAAAGCUUCAUUGGCAAUGUAUGUAAAUAAAAGACUAAGAACUUCCAAUAAUCCACAUUUGAUGGAAACUUGUUAUACUUGUUUUCACUUUAAAAAAUAAAAGGAAAAUUAUCAUCCGUAUACUCUAAAUUUACAUUUUUAUAAAAAAUACUACAACACUUUAAUCGUAUUUCAAUCGUCCACUCUAAAUUGAUAAAAGUUAUCUGCCGACCAUUAAACCGUUAACUGCAAUUUAAAAGUUAACAGAACUGUAGCGAAUUGAUGAUUUUACCCUUGAAAAUUAUCACUUGUAUACCCUUAAAAUCUCUUAUUUUCACUUAUAUACCAUUAAAUUAUCACUUGUAUUAUAUGAAAGACCAGAUUAUUUCUAUGACGUUAUCAUAUUUAAACAGUAACUAACGGUUUGGUGGACGACAUAUACAUUUUGUCAAGACGACUGAUAUACCUUGAAAGUGUUGUAGUAAAUUUGAUAACGAAGUAAAAUAAGGGUAUACGAUUGAUAAUUUUCCAAAAUAAAAUAAAUAAAACAAAAGAAAUUCUUGUGUUUUAAAAGAAAAAAAACUUCUAAAACAACUAUAAACCAAACUAGGUUUGACGUGGUGAGUUUUGGAUCAUAAAGAAUACAUAAUUGAAAUUUCACCUAAAUCAAAUAAUGAAUUUCAUAACAAUGGAUUUAGACUAUAGACCAGUAUACAUAGAAUUGGAUGUUCUUGGCAUUUGUUCUUGAAGUUGUUUUGCCCAAAAAAGUUAACUAUUGUCCUUAGGAGUAAUUUUGGUUAGGGAGAAAUUUGUAAUAAAUUUUUUAAUGAAUUAAUAUUUUUUGUGAGUAAAAUUAUGGGUUCAUAUACACUCAUUCAUAAAUAAUUAUUCAUAAAUUGAACCCUUCUUUUAUGUUGAUGCACAACCUAAUUUAACAAAAAUAAUGUUCAAAUUGUCAUAAAAUUUUAAAAAAAUCAUUAAGCUAAUUUUUCUUCUACUUCACUCCAUUAUUCAAUGGGCAAAUAAUAAUUUAGGUGAGGGGAGAAAUAAUGGGGAAAAUUAUAGUGAUUGUCGCUAGAUACACCGGUACAAAUGCUUGGGUGUGCGCGCGCGUGCAACGUUCUUUAAUUUGGCAAAAAAUAAAUGAAUUUAUUUGUAUUUUUAAUCAAAUUCAAGUGUCCAAACAAAAUUUUUCUGGGAAAAAGAUAAACAUGUACACCCUCAAUAUUUAAAUAAAGAGAUAAAAAUAUUCCUAACGUUUUAAAAAAAUAUUUACACCUUAAUUUACUAACAAAAACAGUAAUUUUUAACAAAAAUUACUAUUAUACCCUUUUAACAUAUAAAAAAAUUAUAUAUACAAGUUUAAUUUAUAAUAUUAAUACCAUAAAAUUUUAUUUAAAUUUUAAACUUAUAUAUUUAACAAUUCUCCACAUGUUAUUAUUUAAAUUUGUAUAUUUAUAACUAAUUUUUUAUGUUAUUUAUUAUGGUAUUUAAAAUUGAAAUACAAGUCAUUAAUAACUAAUUUUAUUUAUUUUUAUUCUUAAGUAAUGAAUUAAAUUUAUUUAACUUGAAGAGAGAAUUUGAUAAAAAUUUAAAUAAAAAAAUUGAAUAAUGAGGAUAUAUUUAUAAUUUUAUUAAUAAUAUAUAGAUAAAUUAAAUAAUUAAUAAUUUUUUAUAUACUAUAAAGGUAUAAUAAUAAUUUUCAUUAAAAAUUACUGUUUUCGUUAAUGAAUUAAAAUGUUAAUUUUUUUUUAAAAUGUUAAAGAAUUUUUACCUCUUUACCUAAACGUCGUGACUGUAUUUUGCCCUUUUCCCAAAUUUUCCACUCUGGAGUCGACAUUUAUCAUUUUCUCGUUAACAAAAAAAAUUGCAUAAAAUUAAAAAACCAUCAGGCACUGAAAGAGGGAAACAAAGAAGAUGGAACCUAAAGAAGAAACCCUAGCAACAAUCCCAGAAGAAGAAGAAGAAGAUGGAGACACGGUUAUUCCCGACGUUGAGAACAACCCUAAACCAACAACAAAAGACAACUCUUCGGACUCGAGCGAUGCCUCUGACUCAGACUCCGACUCGGACUCUGAAUCAGAAGACGAAGCAAAACAGAGCAUGGAGCUUCAAACCCUACAGUAUCAACUAUCCAACGAACCCUCCAAUUACGACACCCAUGUUCAAGUAACUUCAAUACACAUAUUUAUUGAGUGAUUUUGUGGAUACCCGUUUGCUUGUUCUUCUUGGGUUGCGAUAAAAAUGGUUUUUAUUUUUAUUUUUUCAGUAUAUAAAGGUUUUGAGAAAAAUGGGUGAGAUAGAGAAGUUGAGACAAGCAAGGGAAGCCAUGAAUGAGAUUUUUCCAUUGACUCCUGCUAUGUGGCAAGAAUGGGCGAGAGAUGAAGCCUCUAUUUCAACUGGGUAUCUGUCAUUUCCUUUUUGCAGUGGUUUUUGAUUUAACAAAUGUUUUUUCGCUUAGAGAUAUGGAUGUUUAUGCUAGUUAUUUGCUAAUGUAAAAAGGAACAAAACCUGCUUAAAAGGUAUUAAAGAAAGAAAAAAAAAAAGAACCAAUUUGAAGAAGGGGAUACUUAUGGUGGGAGUUCUAUUCUUUGGGGUUUAAUUGAUGGGAAGAAGAAAUAGCUUAUAUGUUUACAGAAUUAGACAUUUGAUCGCGGAGUUAGUUGAGGUAGAUAAUUAAUCAGAAUGUCGGAUGUUUUUUCUGUUGGCCUCAGCUAAUUGUUAAGAUUUCAUACUUUUUUUCUGGUUUUACAUAGCUGUGACCUAAAGCUUAAUGUAUAUAUUGAUAAUUACACAAUCCGUUUCUUGCUGAUACUUGGCUUUAAUUUGUAGACCUGAGGCUCUUUUGGGAGUUGAGAAGAUUUACGAAAGAGGAGUUUCUGAUUAUCUGGUUUGUUCCCUUUAUGCUUACAGAAUUUGAAUUAACACUAUGCAUGAAUUUAUGAUUCUUUUUAUUUUUUAUUUUUUAUUUUUUGAGAAAGAUUUUAUCAAAUUGAAGCAUUGUAGUAAAGCGUACUAGUUGUAAUCUUGAUUCACUUUGUUUUUAUUUUAUUACCAAGAGGUGCUAACAGUUCAUGAUGCACAAAAGAUUGGGGGGGGGGGGUUGGGGGAAUCUUGUUGGUACAUACAUAAAUUUUAGUACCAAAAAAAUAAUUUUACAGUGGCUGAAGAGCAGCAUUUUCAUUUAUAUGAAAGUUGAAUUGUUGUAUCAUCUGUUUCCGUCUCCUUUGCGGUAAAUAAAGUCCUUGAUGAUGGCAAUAAGAAUCACAGAAGAAGUUGUUAAGUUCAUAUCUGGAGAUUUUCAUCAUAGCAGUUCAUUGAAAGUGAAGGCAGCUGAAAACACUUUUUUCUGAUGCAGUCUGUCCCUCUUUGGUGUGAUUAUUUGAAAUUUGUGCAAGAAUAUGAUCCAUCUAUAUGCGAAUUUUUACCCGAUGGCUUUUGAAAGGCAAGGAAUUUAUUUGAGCGGGCUAUUACUGCUGCUGGUCUGCAUGUUUCAGAAGGCAGUAAAAUAUGGGAAUUGUACAGAGAAUUUGAGCUAGCCAUAUUUUGUAGGAUCGAUGAGACUAACUUGAAGGUGAGAUAUUUCAAUUUAUUUUACUUUUUAUUUGGGGGGUUAAAUAACGAGUUUAUUGCCAUCUAAAGAAAGAAAAAGGGAAGACUUUUUUUUUUGGGGGGGGGGUUGCCAACCCUAGCACAUGAGAAGCAUUCCAAGAUCCUUCCUGCUUGUUUUGCAGGAAAAGGAAAAACAGGUUCAGCGGAUUCGAAGUAUAUUUCGUCACCAGUUGUCUGUUCCCCUUGCUAACUCAAGUACAACUUUUCUUGCCUACAAGUCUUGGGAGGUCGAACAGGGGGCUGUUCUUGAUGUUGAAUCUAGUAAUCUAGACGGAAUGUCUUCUAAUGUUGCCUCAGCAUACCAAAAGGCAUUGGAGAUGUGUAAUGCACGAGCUUAUCUUGAAGAGCUGAUUUCCAGGCAGGAUUUAUCUGACUCAGAGAAAUUUCAGCAAUACAUGGUAGAUGACUUUACUAUCAUCAUUUGAUAGCUUUUUAUAAUAAGUAAAAUCUAGCUGUAAAAAUUUAUUAAUUUCAACUUUUUUUUGGUGGAUUUCUUCUUAUGGCAUUAGUAUUUUGGUUUUUGGUAGCUUACAAAUAAUAUCUGCACUUUAAAUAUCAUCUGUUGUUUCUUAGCAAAUAAUAGUAAUAAUAAUAAGUAAUAAAUAAUUAAUAUCUGCUCUUUAACUCUUUGGCCCGGGGGGGGGGGGCGCCUGGGGGAUGCAGUGUCAUUAUUUUCCUUCUUCUCCUUUUUCUGUUUUGUGCUUUUUCAAGUCCAAUAUUAUUAGAUUAAUCUGUUAUUGUGGUAGAUAUACUUGAACUAUGAGCAAUCUUCUGGAGAUCCUGGUCGAGUUCAACUUCUUUAUGAACGUGCUAUUACCGGCUUUCCUGUAUCAAGUGAUCUCUGGCUUGAUUAUACUCGUUAUCUUGACAAAACAUUAAAGGUUUAUCCUUCUAUUUUCUAUUUUAAUUCUUCUGUUGCAGCUUUUUGUAUACUAAUCCACUCUCCUCUUCAGGUAGGUAAUGUUGUGAGAGAUGUUUAUUCCAGGGCUACAAGAAAUUGUCCCUGGGUUGGAGAACUUUGGGUACGAUCUUUGCUUUCUCUGGAAUGUAGCUGUGCUUCUGAGGAGGAGAUAUCCACUGUAGGUUUAAUUGUUACCCUUCAUUCUGAGCUUAAUCUAUUUUUCUGAAUGUAAUUAAUUUUGAUUGUUUGAAGUUAAAGAAAUAAUCAGCUUCCUAGGCAAAUUUCUUGGCAAGCACUUGAUUGUGGGAGUAACUGAGGAGAAGCAUUCCCUAGUGUUUUUUUGUUCUUCCCCUCCCCUGAAAUUGCACUAUAUUUCCCUUGAAGACUAAUUUUUGCUUUAGCAUUUACACUUCUGUACAGAAGCAAACAUGAAUCAGAGAGAUUUAGUGGGCAAAUACACCUGGGCAAAAAAAUUAAUGCAUAUUAAAUACCGUGGUGGUUGUUGGAAUGCUUCAAAAAAAGUGUUUUCUUGGUGCUCCUGCUCCUUUUAUACUUUCAUAGCAUUUUAAUAACUGGGUUGUUUAAACGUCUUGUACUUAUUUUCUUUACAAAUGUCUGUAUUUUUUAAAUUUAUACAAGAUUUUUCUAAUUAUAUUAAUAGCAAUAAAUUGCAUAAACUCAAAUCUUAAUUUCAUUCUGCCCCUAUUGCAUACAUAUGGGAUUCACCCAUUAUUUCAUCAAAUUUUCCGUUGCUAAUUUCAGGUCUUUGAGAAGUCCCUACUAUGUGCAUUUUCAACCUUUGAGGAGGUAAAGAUAUAAAUUUAUGUCUACUGUACAUACCUUGAUUUCUUGAGCUGUAUGAUUUGGUAUAUAUCUACUUCUGAUUCAUCAUGUAUUUUUUUGUUAACUGGUUCUUUUUUAUUUCAGUACCUAGAUCUAUUCCUUACUUGAAUAGAUGGUUUGAGGCGGAGAAUUUUAUUCUCUGGUGAAGUUGAGGGCGUCUUGGAUUAUUCAUUGAUAAGGGAAACUUCAGGUUUGUAAACUUAUACCGUUUGCUAUUCAAUAUUAAAAUUGGUUAUACUCCUUAAUAUCAAGAAAUUGAAGCUUUCCAAAUCAUACCCAAAAAAUGCUCAAUUGUGAAUUACUGGAUGGAGCUAGUUGCUAGAUGAUACUUCUAAGAUUCAAGACAAAUGUUGUUUUAUGUAUGGCUAUCAAGUACUUUGGCCCACAAUUGUGGCAUAUUGGUCUUAUGCCAGCAUCAGGUAUAACAUUGUGUCUGGCAUAUAUACCAUUGGAAUUCUGGGUUUCUGUUGAAUGGGCUCCAACAGCUAUAUCUGUGUCCAAUGUUGUGGGGUCCUCUUCUUUGGUGCUUUUAAGUGAGGUUUUAAGUUUUCUUGUUAAAAUUUUGUUACAUAUCAAGUAGAAGGCACUGCACUGAAGCAUUGGUACUUCUAGAUCGCUUGUUCUGGAUGGUAGAUUUCAAUCCAUUGCUUUUAUUUCUUGGAUCAUGUGUAUCAUUGAGGACUUUCCUGGCCAGUGAUAGAGCUGGUAGGGGAAAAAAGUCAAAAUUCCUAUGGGAUGCUUUCUGACUUAGGGAAGAUGUCUUCAACAAUUUGUGGAUUUAAGUCUUCACAUGAUGUUAACUCUUGAUAGUCUAACCUUGGUUCAGGAUGUAUAGCUGUCUUCAAAGUUUGUGCUCAUAAACGAGUAACCUCUCUGUCUUUAUGAUACCAGUUAAAUUUGUUAGCUUUCUAGGAUUUGGAGGGUGUAAAUGUCCAUAAACAACAAUGUAUUCUCUUCCUUACAGCGUGCAUCAGAUUACUUGUCAGAACAGAUGAAGAGUACCAACGGUUUGCUGCAUUUGUAUGCUUAUUGGGCGCGUCUUGAACAAAGUAUGGGAAAAGAUAUGGUUUCAGCUCGUAGUGUCUGGGAGAGGCUACUUAAGAUCAGGUUCAACAAUUUUAAUUUUUGCCAGUGCAUACAUAGCAUAAUUUCUUUAUAUCUAUAUAUAUUUUCAGAUAACUUAUGCUUCUCUUAAUGCAGUGGUACAAUGUUGGAAGCCUGGCAAAGUUAUAUAUCUAUGGAAAUUGAAUUGGGUCAUAUUAAUGAAGCUAGAUCCAUCUACAAGAGAUGCUACAGUAAAAGAUUUACAAGAACAGGUUCAGAGGUAAAUUUCCUUCGUCCAGCUUCUUUAAUUAAUAUUAACUGCUUGACAACGUACCUUGUUGUUUCCAUCUUGUUUGUUUAAUUGGUCUUAUUUGUAAACACCUGAAAUCAUACAUCUUAAUUUCUGAUAAUUAGAUGUUAUUUUAGAUAUCUGUAUCUGUUAACGUUCUUUCAAGUCUAAUUCCAAUGCAUAUUUAGUUAAACUGCUCUUUACUGCAUUUUGGAUUAGUUAAUGUCUUCCUUUCCUAAAAAACAGAAUCAUUCAGGACAUAUGCCAUGCUUGGCUGUGAUUUUAACGGGAAUUUUGUAAUCAAAUUUUUAAUGAAUUUAUGGGUUUGUUGAGUAAAAUUAUGGGGUCAUACAGACUCACCCAUAAAUUGAACCCUUAUUUUAUGUUGAUGCAUAACUUAACUUAACAAAAAUAAUGUUCAAAUUGUCACAAAAUUUGAAAAAAAAAAAUCACAGUUAAUUUUUCUUCUACUUUACUCCAUUAUUCAAUGGGCAUAUAAUAAAUUAGGAGAGGGGAGAAAUAAAGGGGAAAAUUAGAGUGAUUGUCGCAAUGAUACACUGAUACAAAUGCUUAUGUAUGUGUAGUGUGUGUGUGUGUUGGUGGGGGGGGGGGGGUUCUUUAAUUUAACCAAAAAUAAAUGCAUUUAUUUGUAUUUUUAAUCAAAAUCGAGGGAUACAAACAAAAUUUUUACCACUCCAGAGUCUAGACAUGUAUCAUUAUCUCUUUUAAAAAAAAAAACAUUAGUAGCUGAAAGAGAGAAACAAAUUAAGAUGGAACCCAAAGAGAAAACCCUAGCAACAAUCCCAAAAGAAGAAGAAGAUGGAGACAUUGCCAUGCCCGACGUUAAGAACAACCCUAAACCAACAACAAAAGCAACUCUUCGGACUCGAGCGAUGCCUCUGACUCGGACUCUGACUCUGACUCAGAAGAUGAAGCAGAACAGAACAUGGAGCUUCAAACCCUAUAGUAUCAGCUAUCCAAUGAACCCUCCAAUUACUACACCUAUGUUCAAGUAACUUCAAUACACAUAUUUAUUGAGUGAUUUUGUGGAUAAUCAUUUGUUUGUUCUUUCUUGGGUUGCGAUAAAAAUGGUUUUUAUUUUAUUUUUCUUUUUCAUUAAAUAAAGGUUUUGAGAAAAAUGGGUGAGAUAGAGAAGUUGAGACAAGGUAGGGAAGCCAUGAAUGGGCGAGUGAUGAAGCCUCUAUUUCAACUGGGUAUCUGUCAUUUCCUAUUGCAAUGGUUUUUGAUUUUGUGAACAAAUGUUUUUUUGCUUAAGAGAUAUAGAUGUUUAUGUUAGUUAUUUGCUAAUGUAAAAAGGAACAAAACCUGCUUAAAAGGUAUUAAAGAAAGAAAAAAGGAACCAAUUUGAAGGGGAUACUUAUAGUGGGAGUUCUACUUUGGGGUUUAAUUGAUGGAAAGAAGAAAUAGCUUAUAUGUUUACAGAAUUAGACAUUUGAUCGCUGAGUUAGUUGAGGAAGAUGUUUAAUCACAAUGUCUGAUGUUGUUUCUGUUGGCCUGAGCUAGUUGUUAAGAUUUCAUACUUUCAUUCAACAAUGCAAUAGACUUUGGUUGGGUCCACCGUAGUUGGGUGUUCUGAGGAAUCAAUGAGUGUCUUGAGAAAACUUGGGCGGAGUGCUGGUCAUUUUCAGGAUUCAGUUUCCAAGAAAACAAAAACGAAGUCAAUAGUUGUAGUUUAAAUUAAUUUAUGUUUUUAUCUUUUUCAUUGAGCCCAGUGAGCUUUUAUUUUUACUUUGUUCGCUUUUGUUUCUUUCCCUUCUUUUCCUACUGUUUCUUGACAAUCAAACAGAUCAGGAUUAAGUGUUUACUUUUGGUGUAAUUAUUCACUCUAACUCGAAUAAUACUUAGGUUUAGUGCUAACAAAAUAGGAAGUGAAUUAAUAGCUGAAGCUGACUUAGGAGUGGAAUGAAUGUUACCAAAAAUAUACUAUAUGGUAGAUAGAAUUUGCGUUUUAGGUAAGACUAAAAUAAUUACAGCUGUUAAUUUAUUUCAAUAAGUUCGUACAUCAUUCAAUAAUAAGUCCAAGAUUUUAAUGGUUUUGUUUCCUGAAAAUUUGUCAUGAGUGCAUGAACAAAGUUCUAUGGAUGAACUUCUCCUAGUUAAUUUUAGUUCAAUGUCGCAGUUCCUCAUAUUAACUGUAUAAAACACUAAUCUUGCUCUUUACUUUGAAGCAUUUUAAUAAUUGAUGCUAAUUCCUUAGCCAUUUUAUUCAUCUUGUGCAUAAAUUAUGCAAUCAAUAAACCAACUCAACUUUCAUCUUUAUUUAGUGCAAAUUUUGCAAGGCCACUAGGAGGUUUUUGUAUGUCUCAUGCUAACAUGGUCGCCAUGGUUUCACUAUGUAAAUUUUCCCUACUGAAAUUCAUGAUCCGUCAUAUACCACUGAUGAAGCUGUUUCUGGGGCUUUAAAAGCACCAAAUUUUAGUUUUAUCCUUUCUAGCUUAUUAACCUGUCCGCAUCUGCAUUAUUAUCUUUCCUGUCAUACGAAAGUUUCAUUUAUCAUCUUCCCAACAAAACCAUCGAUAGGUUAUUGUUGACUUUUUUUUUUUCCAUUUAGAUUCAUGCCAGAUUAUGGUUGCUGGAUUUUCUGCUUUGACACUUUAUUGUUUCUAAGUAUAGGCUACCAAGGGAGGAAAAAAAUUGACACUGAUGGUCAUCCCCAGCAUUUUUAUCCCAGGAGACUGGUCAAUUCACUUUCUAUGAAGGACUAAAUAGAAUUCCAGACUCUAUUUUGAAGGACAAAGCUGUGGCUGAGCUUGGUUGUGGAAAUGGAUGGAUAACCAUUGCCGUAGCUGAGAAGUGGUUGCCUUUGAAGUUUUGUUGGUUUGUCGUCCUUAUGCCAUGUGAGAGCUUUUGUUUCCUUCCUUACCAGUGCCUUCAGGGGCUCCAUCAUGAUUUCUCUCAUCAUUUUCUAUCUCUGUGUUUUGCAAGGCUAUUUGAUAUUUAUAACAGCAUUGGCACCAGGUUAUGGUGAUUUAAUGCAUUCCUAUUAGGAAAAAUUACAUAAUUAUCAACUCUGUCCUUGUCCAAAAGUCUUUGUUGGAGUAUGUUGAAAAUAUAACCUUGUAGCAGUUCUUAUAUGCUGUCUGAAUAUCGUUUUGCAGUCUAUGGCCUUGAUAUUAAUCCCAGAGCAAUAAAGAUCUCUUGGAUACAAUUGUACUUAAAUGCAUUAGAUGAAUCUUUUUCUAAGCUUUUCCGUCACUGUCACUGCAAAAGGUCUUUUGUAUUGAUGGUUAUCUGUGGGGCCAGGAAAGAAGGUCAGCCCGUCUAUGAUGCGGUGAAGAAAACCUUACUGGAUAGGGUGGAGUUUGAUGAAUCUGAUCUCCUAGCGUAUUGUUGACAUCAUGACAUUCAACUUGAAUGACUAGUGGGGUGCAGACCUCAGGUACUCUCACUUUCUGCAACUCAUGAUAUUUCUAGGGGAUUAAAUUUUGGUGAAGUUUGUUUACCCAACAUCAAGUUGGAAUUUUAGUGUGCCCACAUGGAUUACUUUUAACUCCUAGUUUAACUUAUUCUGUUUUCUCCAUGCAGGUUCUCAACUCCAAUUCCAAUGCAAUGUCGAAAAUAAUCAAUGAAAAUGCAAGCGAGGAAUUUCUGUAUUCAUUGAGUAACUAUUGUGGACUGCAGGUUGGAGGAUAUUCUAAAUAAUUUAAUUUUGAUGCGCAAUUGCAAAUUUCCGGGAAGUUAGCACUUACAGGCUUCUUCUGGUUUCACUUAUUUCUAAGCAUACUUGUUAUAACUUUGGUUUGAAGCUUGCAUACCUUAGGUAAGGUUGUUGUCUUUAGUUGGUCAAUAUCAAUUGGGAAAUAUAGCAAACCAGUGAAGACAGUGGGAAAAGGAUAAUGUGAGUUUGACAGAUGCUGAGAGGAGAUAGGGAAACUUGGAUCUGAAAGUUUUUUUUUUUUUUUCUUAACGUGUAACCUCUUCACAAUGCCAUUGAUUCCCAUAGUUCAUGUUGCUAGGUGAACUUAACAACAACUAUCUGUUAUGCCUUGUGGAUAACUGAGAAAGUUUAUUGAUUUUGACAGAUUGCUUUUUGAAAUAGAGUGCAAGUAGAUUGACUAAUAAUGAACAUACUGUAUCAAGUUGUUACAUUUGAACAUGUUAAGGUCAUAUGAAGCAUACUUCUUGUAACUUUUUUUUUUUUUUUGCCCUCCCCAUUUCCCUGUAUGGAGGGUUUCAUGGAGGAUCAGUUUGGCUCAGGUCUAAUUGCUGGAGCAGUUGAGGAAGGAAUUACUGUUAUCAAAAUAAAGAUUCAUCUCACUCACUAGCCAGUUGAGCAGCUCGUCACUAGUCGAAUUCAUUGCCGAUUGCGGCCCGUAUCCAUUGCCCAUCACUGUUUGGAUUCGUCGGUUCUAUCAUGUUGGUUCAGUAGCUCAUCGCCGCUGUCAUGGUCGGCCUCUUUGUUGUCAUUGAAGAACCAAUCGAUAAAUAUGAUGAUAAUUUUUUAUGACAAUAAUUAGGAUGAUUGAUGAUGAUGAUUACCAUUGUUUUUUUUUUUUUUGAAGGAUUACCAUUGUUGAUGAUUAAUAUUAUUGAUGAUGAUUUUUUAUGACAAUAAUUUUGAUGAUGAUGAUGAAGAUGAUGUAAUUGCGAUGAGAUAAUGAAGAUGAAACUGAAUUGUGAUGUUGAUAAUGAAAUCGGCGGAAGGAAGAAGAUAAUUGUGGUGAUGAUGAUGAUGUUGAUGGAGAAGAAGAAAUUAACAUGAUUGAUGACGAAGUAAGGAGGAAUUUAUAAAACAGAGAGAAAAAGAAAAAAGAGAAGAUGAAGAGGAUAAAAAGAACAAAUAAAAAAAUAAAAAAAGGAAAAAAACAGGAGAGAAAAUAAUAAUAAAAACAAAAGAGGAAAAUAAUAAUAAUUAUUAUUAUAAAAUAAGUUAAAUAUUAUUAUUAUUAUUAUUAACAAUAAUUUUAUUGAUAACCAUAAUCAUUUAAUAGAUAAUAAAAAUAAUGGUAAUAAUGAAUUACGGGUAUUUUAAUAAUUUAAAUAAUUCAUUGUGAUUUAAAAAUAAAAUAAAUAUAUUAAUAGUAUGUCUUUUUUAGACGGCCAUCCAAUUUUAUGUCUUUUUUAUGGCCAUCCACUUAGUAGCUUGGUUAGACGUAUUGGGAUGUCGUAGGCCUUAAAAGAUAAGAGCAAAAAAUCAAUUCCAAAUCUAAAGUGAAAAACACUAGCUAGAAAAAAAUCUAUGUUCUGAUGUCUUAGUUUGUAAGCUCAAACAAUGAAUAGUAUACAUACAGCGCAUUAUAAAACACAAAACUCAUGUAGAUUUUUAGUUUCGAAAUUCAUUUCAGAAAAUCUGUUCUGUUCAACAGGUUAAAGUAGAUUAUCAACUAAACUCUACCCACAUACUUGCAUACAAUUAGAGCACUAGGUCAACAAAGGAGCACAUCUUUCGGAAGAUAAUUGAAGACUUGUUUGGCAAUUUGAAGAUUACAUCUUAGCUCUGCCAUUGGAAGCAAGCAACUCAGCUGCCCAAAGACCGCCAUGCCAUCAAGACAAUACCUAGAUACAACAUCAAUAAUAAUAACAUCAAGAAUUACAUAGAGGCCGUCGCACGUUACACCCACCCCAAUAAGAAACUAAUUAAUACCGUCUUAGCUCCUCUGUUUUAAAAGAAAUUAACACACCCAUGAAGUAGGAAUAAUUAAUUAAUUUAUACAGUUCAGUACUCAUUCGACCUCUGUUUCAAAUCCAAAUCCACUGCUCGACCAUUUACUAUGACGUAAGGUAUAUGGAUUAAUUAACAAGUGCCGAUAUUGUCCUCCAUCCUUUUGUGUACCUUUCUUCUGGCAAGGCCUUUUCUGGAAAGUAUUUGAGCUCCAGACAAUUACAGAAUUUCAAUUUGCUGAGGUUUUGAUGAUCAGCAAUUGAAGAAGACAAGCGUUAAUAAUUAUGAAGAACUGGUGUAAUUUAUAUCAUGUAGGAAGCCCUUCAGUUACUUCUUUGACUGUGCCCAAACUCUUUUAAGGGCUAAUAUCAAAAUUUCGUGAUAUUGUGCCUGAAGAGCUUCAUACCUCAUUGUAACUGUUUCUAAAAGUUGAUGAGCCCAAAUAUCCAAUAACUGAUAAAUUAUGUUGAGAAAUAGAAAUAUUAAUAGUACUGAUACAGACGCAUGGAAGUCCCCCGUUUUGAGUUUAUGCUUGUGCUUGUCUACUUGACAAAAAGGACAUAGGUGGAAAGUGGACUAAGCAUCAUUGGAUAACUUGGAGGAAAAAUAGUGUCCAGCAUAAAGAAUCCAUCGUUAUGUGCCGCUUCCUAUUUAAUUACAUUUAUCUAACAUUUAAAAGAUGGAAGUAGAAAAUUAACUCAGUUUUUCAGAUAUGGCUCAUAUACAAUGCAAGUAUCAAGAUUUAAUUAGAGUUCACAUAUAUACAUGCGUCUAGUUUUUAUUGAGAGAUUAACUAAUCAUAAAUACUCGUGUUCUAAAUGAUUGAAUAAUGACAUUAUUGUUAUUUAUAAAUUUAUAAGGAUAAAUUUAUACCGAAAAGGGUCCCCAACAUAACUUGAACAACUUUACUUGUGUUUGCUCAUUGAAUAAUGUUAUAAAAAAUAAAUACAUAUGUUAGAAGAUUCAUAGUAUAUUGGAGUGUUUUUUGUACUUGAAUGAUAAUGAAUGAAGGUAUGUUAAUUUACUUUAAAUAGAAACCUUCCUAAAAGGAAUAGAAAUGCUCUAUAACAUACCAAAUACUACCUUAAUCAAAAUUUAGUAGGCAAAAAUUUUAAAAAUGGAAUAAUUAACCCUAAUUAAAUAAUUGUCUUACAUCACCAAACUCUUUUUUUUUUUUUUUAAUUAAGGCAUCACAAAACUCUGUAAAGCAUAAAAUAUAAUAGGCAAAUUUGAGCUAAAAAAAAAUGAAGUUAGGAAAAUGACUUGCAUACUGUCUUUGAUGAGCGCAUAAUUUUCUUGAAAAAAAAGGAUUUUUGUGUUUUUUUUUUUUUUGGUAAAUUCGUGUCGUUUACUAGUCUUUUGGGUUUUGUUGUAUAAUUCUUUGGUACGUGUUUAUCUUGCUUUUGUAUAUGUUAGGAAACGGAGUGAAAUCCCAAUAUUAAAAUAUGGAGAAAUGAUUUUUCAUGAAUAAAAUGAUUUAAUUUAUUUUUAUUUCUACAACAAAAAUUAUUAAGUUAUCAACAUAUUGAUUUCAUCUGUAAGUUCCAGUCAGUCAGUUUCUCACGUUCCAUUGUUAUCUUUUAAAAGAUACUGCAAUGCUUUAAGUGUAUUUGAUCACUUCACUAAUAAUUUGAUAUUUACAAAUUGAAAAAAUAAAUUAUUUCUGACCAAAGACACUAGAGAAUGUCGAAAAGAGUUUGAGUAAUUUUUGUAUACACACACAACACAAAAUUAAAUUACGUGGCAAUGUUGAUAGUGAGUCGUUUUUGGGAAUCCAUAAGUUCACAUGUGCACAGACGUCGGUUGCCUGCCAGCCCUUUCCUUUUUUUUUUUUAAUAUCUCCAAAUCAUUUAUUAGAGUCCCAAAUUUAUCACACAUCAUUAAGUAAAAUGUGCCAAUUAGUAAGAGCCAGCUUCUUUCCUCUGUUUUCUUGCGUAUGCUGCAUUCAAGUAUCACUGAAAAUUUUAAUUAUACCGUCAACAGCUGCAGGAAAAUUAUAUACAUUCUAUCAACACCUGCAUGCUGCAAUCCUCAAUGACUGCCAAAUCUUCAUACCAUGAAUAUCAAGUAACUUCCAACUCUUCAUAUAGUGAAUCAGCAGGAUUCACGUCCGACCAACUCCACAGGCACGGCUAAAGCGAAAGAUUAUUUUUUCAGAUAUUAUCAAGAAAUUAAUUUAAGUGAAAUAAGCUAAGAGUGAUUUCGAUAAGGUUUUCAGAGAAGAUAUAGAAAGAAGAUAAAAUAAAUAAAUAAGUAAUUUCAGUCGAUGCAAAAAAUGGGCAUGUGUCUGACUAACAGGACAUGGCUUGGAGCAAAUAUCAAUGGAGGAAAUAUCAGCUUAUAAUUUUAUAAAAUAAGCAUCAAAAUAUUCGACAAGUUUGAGGUUUAUGAAAUAUUGGGAAAAUAGACAAAUAACAAAGACGCUCACACUACAAGUUAAGCAGAUCAAAUAAACAGAACAAAGGAAAUAACUGAUCAAUUUAAUUCUUUGUGCAAUGGCCACGGCAACAGAGAAAAUAUGUCUACAUGACUAUAUUAAUGCUACUGGCGUGGAUGGUACCAUCACCAUGAUGAUAUGAGAUUAAAAACAUUGACUUCAUAAUUUUAUAAAAUUUCAUAUAGAAGAUAUAAUUGAUUUGAGUUAGUUUAACAGAGAAAAAAGAAUAAUAAGGAAUUACAUUGAUGUGGCGUGUGAUGAGAAUUGAUAGAGAAGAAAUAUUGAUCAUGUAAUAAUGAAAUAUGUAUUUACUGAAAAAUAUUUGGCAAUAAAAUGAUGCUAUAAAAAUUUAACAUUGUUUGCAAGAAAAUAGUUUGACAACUAAAAGACAUAUAUAUGCAAUGCUUUGAGUUUAUUUUAUCGCUUCACUAACCAUUUUGUAACUACAUAUUAAAUAUAAGUUGAAUUAAUUCUGAUCUAAGACUCUAGAGAAUGUAGCUAGAAAAAUGAUUUGAUUUUGUAUAUAAACAAUAUUAGAGAUGAGAUAUGUCAAAAUCAAUUACAAGAACAAUAAUAAGAACAUAUUCUGCAAAAGUUAUAAAUACAUAUAAAAUAAAUUUAAUUUCAAAUUAGGAAAUUAUUAAUUUGUAUAGUAAGAGAGUCCAAUAGAAAAAUAGAAAUUUUUUUGAAAGAGAUUUGCUUAGGGAACAACUUUAGUUUGGUUUAGUUUGUGAAGGAUCAAGUAAUUGAACGCAAUUGAAGGAAAUUCAAACUUUUGAUUUUGACAAAGUAAUCGUUAAAAUGCUAAAAAUACUGGGACAAUAGACAAAUAAUGAAGAUCCUAAAAGUUGGUGGAGCAAAUAAACAGAGUAAAACAGAGCAAAUAUUUACCGUUAUACAUAUAUUUUUAUUUUUUUCAAAAAUGAAUGUGUCUAAUAUAUAACCACAGUCCGCUAUUACUGAUGUAUUAUAUAAGCACGUGUCUAAUUACCAAAUAAAUUCCACUUUGACAAAGAACAAAAGCUAAUUUUAUUGUUACCGCCUGCAGUUGUGCUUUCUUUUAUUUAUUUUCGUUUUGUUAUUUUCGUUUUGAAUGGUCCUGCAAUUUGUAUUCCUUUCUGUGGGAUUGGUUUUUGUGAUAAAUAUUAUUCAAACUGCUCAACAGGUGGAUUGUCCUGCAAUUUGUAUUUUCGUUUUAGUGAUAAGAACAUGGCUUGGAGCAAAUAUCAAUGGAGGAAAUAUCAGCUCAUAAUUUUAUAAAAUAAGCAUCAAAAUAUUCGACAAGUUUGAGGUUUAUGAAAUAUUGGGAAAAUAGACAAAUAACAAAGACGCUCACACUACAAGUUAAGCAGAUCAAAUAAACAGAACAAAGGAAAUAACUGAUCAAUUUAAUUCUUUGUGCAAUGGCCACGGCAACAGCGAAAAUAUGUCUACAUGACUUUAAUGCUACUGGCGCGGAUGGUACCAUCACCGUGAUGAUAUGAGAUUAAAAGCAUUGAUUUCAUAAUUUUAUAAAAUUUCAUAUAGAAGAUAUAAUUGAUUUGAGUUAGUUUAACAUUGAAAGAAAGAAUAAUAAGGAAUGAUAUCGAUGUGGCGUGUAAUGAGAAUUGAUAGAGACAAAUAUUGAUCAUGUAAUAAUGAAAUAUUUAGUUACUGAAAAAUAUUUGGCAAUAAAAUGAUGCUAUAAAAAUUUAACAUUGUUUACAAGAAAAUAGUUUGCAAUUAAAAGAGAUAUAUAUGCAAUGCUUUGAGUUUAUUUUAUCAUUUCACUAACCAUUUUGUAACUACAUAUUAAAUAGAAGUUGAAUUAAUUCUGAUCUAAGACUCUAGAGAAUGUAGAAAAAUGAUUUGAUUAUGUAUACAAACAAUAUUGGAGAUGAGAUAUCAGAUAUGUCAAAAUCAAUGACAAGAACAAUAAUAAGAACAUAUUCUACAAAAGUUAUAAAUACAUAUAAUAUAAAUUUAGUUUCAAAUUACGAAAUUAUGAAUUUGUAUAGUAAAAGAGUCCAAUAGAAAAAUGGAAAUUUUUUAAAAAGAGAUUUGCUUAGGGAAAAACUUUAGCUUGGUUUGGUUAGUGAAGGCUCGAGUAAUUGAAAGCAACGCAAUUGAAGGAAAUACAAACUUCCGCUUUUGACAAAGUAAUCGCUAAAAUGCUAAAAAUGUUGGGAAAAUAGACAAAUAAUGAAGACCCUACAGGUUUGCGGAGCAAAUAAAUAGAGUAAAAUAGAGCAAAUAUUUACCAUUAUACAUUUACUGCAGAAACAAAGUGCCUUCAUAACACCAGUUAAACUGUGUCUAGCUACCAUGCUGGUUCUACUUUUACUUUAUUAAAUAUAUACAGCAUUAAAUCACCUGAGCCUCCAGUUUCUCUAGUUUCCAACUUGAAAUUAAAACGUAGAAUUGAUGGUAAUGGAGUUCCUUAUUUAAUUUUGCUGUAGGUCAUGGGCAAUUAGACGGCCAUCCAUUUUUAUGUCUAUUUUAUGUACUAUUGGCCACUAAGUAGCUUGGAUAUUUUAUACGUAGUUUGAAAUAAGUCAAAAUCAAUUACUAGAACAACAAUAAAAGCAUAUUUUAUAAAGGCCAAAAAUACAUAAUAUAAAUUUAGUUUUGAAUUUUGUAAUUAUUAAUUCAUAUAUUAAGAGAGUCUUAUAGAAAAAUAGGAAUUUUUUGAAAGAGAUUUGCUAAAGUAAAAAAUUUCGUUUGGUUUAGUUUGUGAAGGCUCAAGUAAUUGAAAGCAAUGCAAGUGAAGGAUAUAUGAACUUGUAAUUUUUACAAAGUAAUUGCUAAAAUAUUUGACAAGCUUGAGAUUUUAAAAAGGCUGGGAAAAUAGAAAAACAAUGAAGACCCUACGAGUUGGCAGAGCAAAUAAACAGAGGAAAACAUGACAAAUAUUAUGUUGAUGCACAAUCUUAUUUUAUGUUGAUGCACAAUCCAACUUUUUAACAAAAAUAAUAUUUAAAUUGUCACAAAACGUAUUAUUCUUUAAAAAAAAUUCAUAUACAGUAGUUAAUUUUUCUUUACUCCAGGAUCCAACUACAUACCCCUCUUGUUUGUCGUUAUUCUGCUCAGUCGUUAGAUUUUAAUUACUGUAAAGAAUUGUGGAAAUGCUCAUAUAUUAUUUGUUGCUGUGUACAAGAUCCUUAUAUACAAAAAUACUAGAAUCAUCUAAGGCAAGUACCAAACGGUCAAAUAAUAGAAAAGGAAAGAAUAUAAAGGAGAAUGAAUAUUACAAUAUGCUAAGUUAGUGGCUAAGAUCAAGGACUGAUUGAUUCUUGUUCUAAUACUCCCCCUCAAGUUGGGAAGUGAAGAUCCGUAACUCCCAACUUGCCAAGAAGAUAUUGAAAUUGAUGUUUACCAAGAGCUUUGGUAAAAAUGUCAGCCAAUUGUUGUCGUGAAGGCACAUAAGUUAAGGAAAUGAUUUUGGCAUGAAGCUUUACACGAACAAGAUGGCAGUCUAUUUCUAUGUGCUUGGUACGCUCAUUGAAGAUGGGAUUGGCAGCGAUAUGAAGCGCAACUUGAUUGUCACAAUGUAAAGUUAUAGGCAUUGGAUGGGUCACAUGAAGAUCACGAAGUAGAGUUUUCAACCAAACCAAUUCACAUGUUGUUGUCGCCAUGGCUCGAUAUUCGGCUUCAGCGGAAGAGCGCGAUACAACUGGUUGCUUCUUGGUUUUCCAAGAAAUAGGACUAUUGCCAAGCAUGAUAAAAUAUCCAGUAGUGGAUCGACGGGUCAUGGGGCAACUUGCCCAAUCUGAAUCUGAGAAGGCAGAGAGUUCCAAAGAGUUAGUGGAGGACAAGAGGAUACCAGCGCCGGGAGAAAAUUUGAUGUAACGUAAGACACGCAGGGCAGCAUCAUAAUGUGGUCAUCUUGGAGUGUGCAUAAAUUGACUAAGUAUGUUCACAGCAUAUGUAAUUUAUGGCCGGGUGAUUGUCAAAUAGAUGAGACGUCCUACAAGUCGUCGGUAUUGGUCAGGAUUUUGACAAAGGGUUCCUUGAUCGUUAGAGAGCUUCAAGUUUUGUUCCAUUGGAAAAGAAGAUGGCCGUGUGCCUAAUUGUCCACUGUCUUGAAGUAUAUCUAAAGCAUAUUUCCUUUGAUUGAAGAAAAUCCCUUGCUUUGAGCGAGCCACUUCAAUUCCUAAAAAAGAUUUCAAAGUUCCCAAGUCUUUAAUAUGAAAUUGAGCCUGCAAAAACAUCUUCAAUGCAGUUAUAGUGUCAAGAUGGUUACCAGCAAUUAUUAUAUCACCAACAUACACAAGCACCAAUGUAAAAUGAGAAUCAUGCAUUUUAGUAAACAAACAAGAAUCAACAUAAAAUUGAAUGUAACCAAUUUGUUUAAGAGCGGAUGAGAAUUUUUCAAACCAAUUUCGAGAAGCUUGCUUGAGACCAUAAAGGGACUUGUUUAACUGACAAAAUUGAUAAGACUCCCCCUGUUUACAAACUCCUGGAGGUAAGGUCAUAUAAAUUUCCUCAUGCAAGUCACCAUGAAGAAAUGCAUUAUGAACAUCUAACUGAAAUAAUAACCACCCUCGAAUAGCUGCCAUUGCCAAUACACAUCUAACAGUCACAAGUUUUGCAACAGGUGCAAAUAUCUUAUGGUAAUCCAAACCUUCAGUUUGUGUGUAUCCUUUAGCAACAAGGCGUGCUUUGUAUCUCUCAAUAGAACCAUCAGCUUUUCUUUUAAUUUUGAACACCCAUUUACAACCAAUUGGUUUCUUGCCGGGAGGUAGAUCUUGUAUAGGGAUGGCAAAUUGGUCCAUCCAAAUUGGAUAUCCAUAUAUCCAAUCCAAUUGGAUUGGAUAAUAUCCAUCCAAAAUCUUCUUGGAUAUGGAUAUGGAUAUUUUUAAAAAUAUCCAAUUAGAUAUUGGAUGGGUAUGGAUAUUUAAUGGAUAUCCAAAAUCCAAUUAAUUUAUCCAUUUAAAGUUAAAAAAAUUUAUAUUGUUCAACUAAAAUAAAAAAAAAAUCUAAUUUUCUCUUAUAUUAACUAGUGAAAAAUUUAAAUUUCUCUUAUAUUAAAAACUAAAGUUUUCAAAAUUACCCUUUAAUUUUUUAACUUAUUUAAUACUAUUUAUAAUUGUUAUUUUAUUUUAUUGAUUUAAUAUUAUAAAUGGAUUUCCACCGGAAAGUCACCGGACCACCACCGGAGUUCGCCGGACCACCGUCGGAUAUCGCUGGAAUUACCGCCGGACCUCGGCGGAAAGUCACCAGAAGACCGCCAGACCACCGUUGGCUUCACCGGAAGAUUGCCGGACCACCGCCGGAAUUCGCCGGAAGGUCGCCGGACUUUGCCGGAAAGUUGCCGGACCGCCACCACCGACCACCGGACCGCCAUUUUAUUAUAUAUAUAUAUUAUUACUAAUAUAAAUAGUUUAAUAGCCAAAUUUGAUAUUGAAAUUUUAACUAUUUUAUAUUAUUAUUUUUAUAUAAUUAAAAUAAAAUAUCCAUGGAUCUCCAUAAACUAUAUGGAUAAAAUCCAUAUCCAUGUCCAAUAUUAAAUAGUGGAUAUGGAUAUGGAUAUAUCCAUUAUGGAUAAUUAUGGAUUUAUGUUUAUCCAUCCAUCAUUGGAUAUUUGUCAUCCCUAAUCUUGUAUUGUCCAAGUGUUACUUUGCUCUAAAGCUUUAAUCUCUAUAUCCAUAGCAUUGCGCCAAUGAGCAUGUUGAACGGCUUGAGAAUAUGUAGUUGGUUCAACAUCGUGAGAUAUGGCUGAAAGAAAGGCUACAUGAUCACUAGAAAACUUGUCAUAUGAUAAAUACUUGGAUAAUGGAUAUAAAGAACUUACCAAUAGUGGAUGAUUAGUAAAAGUAUUAGAGUUGCCAAAUGUACCGUGAAGUGCAGUAGAGCAAAUAUAAUUCUGAAGAUAAUUUGGAUGACAAGACUGUCGUUGGGACCGUCGAAGAGGUGGAGAAGGGAGAACUACUGAAUCAGAUGUACCUUGGUGGAGUGGCUGCUCAUUGGAAGAAGUUGGAAGGAGCUGUGCAUUUUCAUUGGCAAGAAGUAUGAUAGGAAGAGGUAAAACAUUGUUAUUUUCUUGUUGAUUGGUGAUAGUUUUGAAUGGGAAUUCAGUUUCCACAAAAGUAACAUCACGAGAAAUAAAAGUCUUUUUGUUAAUGAUAUCAUAAACUUUGUAUCCGGGAUACCCAAAUGGGUAACCAACAAAUAUACACUUGGUAGCACGGGGAGCAAAUUUAUGAUGAUUAGCACUGUUGGUAUGAACAUAACAAAGACAACCAAAGACACGAAGACGAUCAUAGUGAGGUUUAGUCUUAAAAAGCAUUUCAUAAGGAGAUUGACCACCAAGAUUAGGAGUGGGUAUACGAUUAAUCAAAUGGGUUGCAGUUAAAACACAAUCUCCCCAGAAAGAUAAAGGUAAAUGUACUUGAAAACAUAACGCACGUGCAACUUCUAAAAAAUAUGUCGGUGCUUGCGUUCUGCUACCUAAUUUUGUUGAGGUGUUUCAACACAAGUCCGUUCAUGCAAGAUGCCAUGCUCAUGAAAAAAAGAUUGCAUCUGAUUUGAUAAAAAUUCACGUCCUUGAUCAGUACGAAUUUUUUUAAUUUGUGACUGAAAUUGUGUUUUGAUCAAGAAGUAAAAGUUUUUUAAUAAUUGAAAAGCUUCAAACUUGUGCCGCAUGAGGUAAACCCAAGUACAACGAGUAUGGUCAUCAACAAUAGUAAGAAAAUAAUAUGAUCCCGUAUAUGUAGAUGUGCGAUGAGGUCCCCAAAUAUCACAAAAAAUUAAUUGAAAUGGCAUAUCAGAACGAUUUUUAUUCAAUUGAAAUGAACUUCUAGUGUUUUUUGAAAGUUGACAAAUUUCACAACAAGAAUUAAAUGAUGCAAUAUCAUAAAUAAAAGACAAACGCUGCAUUCGGUCUUUAGAAGGGUGACCGAGUCGCAAAUGCCAAAGAUUGGAAUUGGGUUCCUUUGCAACGUUCAUUACUGAAGGAAGGGAAGAAUGACCAUUGAUAUGCUCAUAAUAAUAUAGUACAUCCCGAACUUCACCCUUUCCAAUCAGCUUCUUCGUUGAAAGGUCCUGAAAAACACAAAAUGAAGGGAAAAAUAUAGCAGCACAGUUCAAAUCCUUGGUUAGCUUGCUUACAGAUAAUAGUUAAAAAUUAAAAUGAGGAACUAAUAAGGCAUUAUCUAAAGUCAAAGAGGAGGAUAAUUUAAUGGAUCCACAUUUUGUUGUAGGAACAGUUGUGACAUUUGGUAGUCUCACGGGUUUGACAUGAGACAUGGGCACAAAAUUUUUAAAGGAAGAAAUAUUAGGGUCAUGUGAUCAGAUGCCCCACUAUCAAUUAUCUAAGAAUUAUUAUAUGAGUUAAUAGCAGAAUUGCAAAAAGGAAUGAUUUUACCAGCUAAGUUUACAGUAGAUGGCUGCUUACUUGUUGAAAGUAUAGAUAAUAAAUGUUGAUAUUGUUCAGCCGUGAGACCGGGAAUUUGGAUAGUAGGCUGAGAUGAUGAAUUCUUGUCUUUUGGAAUGGGAUGAUCAUCUAGUUGUUGUGGCUUCGUGGUUGCAGGAGCAGCAACAUGCGAUCGAUUUGAAUGUUUCCAGUUUGGUGGGUAGCCAACAAUUUUGUAACAUUUGGCUUUUAUAUGCCCAUAUUUCUCGCAAUGAUCCCAUAAAGGUCUACCUCGUCCUUGUGUCUCUUGUACUCCAUGCAAUUGGCUAGGAUGUGAAUGAUUUUGACGGCUGGUCAUUUGAGUCUUAUUAUUGGCUGUCAAGGCUGUUGAUUCAAUAGAUGGUUGACUGGAAACAUGGAGAAGUCGUUGACGUUCUUCCUGAUGAAUAAUUGAAUAUGCUUUUCCAACAUUUGGAAGUGGUUCCAUGGCUAAGAUUUGACUUCAUACCGAAGAAUAUGAAUCAUUGAGACCCAUUAGGAAUUGAAACACCUUUUCAGUCUCCAGUAAUCCCUGUAAUUCAUUUGAAGUUUCACACUUGCAAGAAGAAAUAGUGGUUAAUGUGGACAAUUCAUCCCAAUAAAAUUUCAAAGUAUUAAAAUAAAUCACUAAUGAUUUUUGCUCUUGCUGGUGAUUGCAUAUGGCUCUCUUAAGUUCAUAAAUCCGUGGAUUAUUACUUUGUGAAAAACCUUCUUCCAACCCAAGCCAAAGAGAGCGUGGCGUAUCACAAUAGAUGAGGCCAUUGGCAAGAUUUUUCUCUAUUCCAUUGAGCAUCCAUGAAAGGACCAUGUCAUUGCAUCGCUCCCAAGUUUUUAAAUCUUGUGAGGUUGAUGAAGGUUUUUGUAUGCUUCCAUCAAUAAAACCCAAUUUGUUUUUGGCAUUUAAUGCCAUCUUCAUGGAUCUUUUCCAUGUUGAAUAAUUAUCACCCGUUAGCACAUUAGAUACAAGAAUGGCUCCAGGAUGAUCAGAUGAAUGAAGAAAGUAUGGUGAAGAAACAUCGGUAAUGAGGGAAUUUGAUGUUUCUAAUAUUGGAUUCAAACUACUAGACAUGAUUGUCAAAGAGAAAAGCAGAAAUGAGCAAAAUUUGCUCUGAUACCAUGUAAAGAAUUGUGGAAAUGCUCAUAUAUUAUUUGUUGUUGUGUACAAGAUCCUUAUAUACAAAAAUAUUGGAAUCAUCUAAGGCAAGUACCAAACGGUCAAAUAAUAGAAAAGGAAAGAAUAUAAAGGAGAAUGAAUAUUACAAUAUGCUAAGUUAGUGGCUAAGAUCAAGGACUGAUUGAUUCUUGUUCUAAUAAUUACGUUGAUCUAACGGUUGGGAUUUGUAAAUGAAUAACGAAGUGGUGUUUUUGGCUACCGUCUGAACCCAUUGCAUCUAAUUGGUUUUGUGAUUUUUCGCUUUCUUCUCUGCAACGCUUGACUAGUUCUAGAAAUAUCGACAGCAAAUUUGGAGCAUGUAUUAUUUUUCAUUAAAAUAAGUUUCCACCACCGUACCAGUAUAUGGAUUUCUGAAUUAAUUAUUAAAAGAAGCAAACAAUACUGAGAAUAUAUUAAUUAUUAAUUUAUAUAAUAAAAUGUUUGCUUCAAAAUAUACUAUUUGAAUUUGAAAUAAUAUUUUUUAAAAAUUUUAAUAUCACAAUAAUAGUCAUGAUCCAAUUGGUUUGAUUUUUUUUUUUCAGAAAAAAUUUGGAAGAAUAGACAAAUAAUGAAGACACAACCUAAGGAGAGCCAAUAAACAGGGGAAAGUGAAUUGCGUACUGUCCUCGAGCUCUCAAUUAUCCAACAUUCUCAAAUUUCUAUGUACAUUUUCGUAAAUUCAUGUCAUAUACUAGAGCUAGUAUUUUGGGUUUUGUUGCAUUAGUUCUCUGGUGUUUAUCUUGUUUUAUUACCUUAUGAUGCAAGAUUCGUGGUAGCGAUACACCUCGAAUAAAACUAUUUUUGUUUUUUUGGCAUUUUUAUUAGCACAAAUCAUUAUUAAUUACUGAACCCAUCGAGAUAUUGGUUUCAUUUGUAACAACUUGCUAAUUGCUUAAUACAUUUUUGUAAUUCUCGUCAUGAAGUCACAAAGAACCUGCAAAUAAAAGAUGAUUCAUAUACAGGUACAUAUAGAAUAAAGAUAUUUAAACAUAAACAUUCAAUUUUAUGAUAAACCUAACUGUCAUUGAGUUAUUGCUAUUAAAGGAAGUGAACAGAAAUAGAUGUAGAAAGUCAGAAAUAUGAAUGAGUGCACUUGAUGAUUUCUCGAAUAGAAAAUUAAAGUAAUAUCAUUUUUAAUAAAUGUGAGAUGAUUUAUACUCUAGAAUUUAUUUUGAACACUUAUAUUUUUAUUAUGAAAAAUCUCAUAGUUCAAUUUAUUAGUAUGGACAAUUCAAUAUAAGUAAACAGAAUAAUAAUACUUUUGAAACUCAUCUAACCAUAGUGCGCACGCACCCAUAUAAACCUUAAACCAUAAUAAAACGUUCUUCCUCAACAUAAAGACUAAUUCAUUAUUUAAAAGCAUAUAUUAACAAAUUUGUACACACAGAUUCUAUGGUUCUAAUUUCUUUGACUUUAAUUUUUCACUUCUCCACCAAAGGAGGUUCUACACAAAUAAACAACAGCAGAAAAACAAAUAUAAAAUGUGAUUCGUGUGUAGAAGAUAUAUACUCAUCAUAACAAUAACUGAUAAAUUGUAUUAAGAAAUAAAAAUAUUAGUAGUGAUGACAUGAAAGAAGUCUGUUGUCUUCACUUUGACUAAAAAUAAUUUAAAAUAAUCGACCAAGCGAAAUUCCUUAAGAAAUGAACUAGGUUGGGAAGGCAGAGCAGCCUCUGUUCUUUUUACUAUAAUGCUAAGAAUUGACUUCAAUUGGGAAGUCAGGCCAAUUGAAGAAGCUCCCCUGUUUUUCACUGAAUCAUAAUCCGAACAAUUUAUAAUUAAAUAAAUCAUUCAAAAUCUCCUUUAAUCGAACCCCCACUUCUGUGGUUUAAUGAAAUAUUAACGUUCAGCUCCUGAAGUUGCCAUUUUAUGUAUUGAAAAAGAAGAAAAUACAAGAAACUGAAAAUUAAUUGAUGCUGCAUCAUGUUGGAUUGUUAGUUGUUAUUAUGAUGGGGAUAUAAUCUUUGCCUUUUAAUUAUCAUCUAGCUAACGCAAGCCCACUAGUUUCAUUUGUGUCCAUCACUAAAAAGUAGAGUUGUUUAAUUCAAUAGUGUCACGUUACAUCACAUAAAGUCACUCAAUUUUCAUUGCCAUAUGUAGCUCAAAAGUGCAUGAACAUUGAACUUUCAACUAACUUAUAUUGAUUAAUUAAUACGACCAUCAGUUCUUAGUACCCAACAACAUCCAUCAAUAAGAGCAAAAUCCCCAUUAAUUUCAUAAAUAAAAAUAAUAAUAAGUUACAAAGACAAUAUUUGACAAUCACAAAAACAACUAUAAUUCACUCCAAUAAACAACAUAACAGAUACAUUAUCAAUAUUGCAAGUCGUUUUAUGAUUUAAUUAAAAGAGAAAAUAUGAAGGACAUAUUUUUUAUAUAAUUGAAUGUUCUCCUUGAUAAUUAGACAAAAUAACACCAAUCUAACUACCUAAUUCAAUCAUCAUAAUGAUUCAAUUUUCAUUUUUUAAUUAUGUCCAAUCAUGCUAAUUUAAUAAAGAUUACUGAGCACUUAAAGUACCUAUAUCUUCAACAACUUUGGCUAAGUUAGAAAAGUGUUAGAGCUGCAUUUAUGCUUUGUGUUAUUAAGCAGGACAUGAUCAUAUUACGUUGCGUUUUUCCGAAAACUGAAAAUUAUUAAAAAAAAAAUCUGAAAAGAGAUGUUGAAUCGCGAGCUUAAACUGAGUUUUAGACAUGUUUGACUUGUCGGUUGAUAUCCCUGAUUGUGCAUGUGCUGUCGGUUUUUGGACGGAACACAAGAAUAUGACAGCUGUGUGUUGUCGUCUGGAUCACAUGUUCUUCACGUGAUUUCACUUACCCUAUGCGGCACAUUUGGCAGUCGUUUUGGUCACUCAUUGAAGCACGAAUUAAGAACGUCAUUCAAGGUUGUUCAUUGACCUUUACAAGGCGGGAAAAUUCUGGGUUUGUUUUAACAAACCCAGAAUGCAGCUUGUGAGUGGGGGGAACUUUCUAGAUUCUUCAUGAUCUGUGUAUAUAGUCUUAGAGGCUACAGUUGAGGCAUAUGAAAAGCUUGUAACUUCUUCUUAAUGAUUGUAGUUUGAUCUCGGUGAUGGAGAUAAGAUUGCUGCCCUGUUCUUCACUUGAUAUAGGCUAUCUCCAAGCGGAACCACUUAAAUUGUGCCUCUGUUUUGCUUGUUUCGAGGUGUGUGAUUUGCUUGUCAUUUCUAAAUCAUCAAUUAGAGAGUUUAGUGAGAUCUUGGUGGUUUUAGAAUGAGUUUAAUCGAUCAAGAAUCAACAAGAUGCUAUGAAAACAAAAUAAGAGACUAUUGCACGCACAUCAUAGCAAUGUUUCAUUCAUUUCGAAUCUAUAUAUACAAAACUUAUAUCUGGUGGUUUCUGUUUGUUUAAUCUAACGGCUAUAACAUGUAUAUUGUCAAAAGCUACAGCGGCCAACUUUGUUUGUCCUCUUAGCAUCCUUGAUCUUAUAUCAUCCUGGUGAUUCUUGAGAGCUCUUCUCAUUCUCUCGUGUUGAGUCCCUUGCUGAGAUGAUAAAUACUUGAGGGUCCUUCCUUGAUAUAUUUCAGCAAACACUUGAUUCAUUCUAUCAAACAUUUGCAUCACUAAUCAUUAAAUGGUGUAAGAUAGUUCUGUUUUGAAAAAUCAAUAUAAAAUCAAUCACCUUAGAUUUUCUUAGUCUCAGAGCACAAUGGCUGAUGAUUUGAUGAGAAAUAUUAAUAUGCAUGCAUCCCCUGCAUUCGUUAGAGCUGCUCUCAACCUCUGUUUAAUAAGCUAGUCCUCUGCUGUAUCCUAGAAGGUGGAACAUUAUGCUUCCCAGCUGGCUCAAGAGGGAACUAUGCUUCUGCUGCCAAAUUUUUGAAAGCGAACAUCGUGGGAAGAGGUUGAUCUGAAGCCAUUGCAUCUGAUUGGUUUUGUGAUUUUUUGCUUUCUUCUCUGUAACGCUUGACUAGUUCUGGAAAUAUCGACCAUCAUCGAUGGCAAAUCUGGACCAUGUAUUUGCCCACUACUAAGAAAUAAAGUUUCCACCACCGUACCAGUAUGUCGAUUUACGAAUACAUUCAUUCAAAUAUUAAACGUACAGAGAAGAGAGCAAACUGUGGCAGGAUAGCAAAAACUGCGAAUGGUCAUUCCCAACACGAACGCUUAUGGCUGUUUUCCUUUUAAUUUUCUUCUUUGAAUUCUCCUUUUAUUAAUCAUUAGAAAAACUCCCUUUUUUUAAAUCAUGUGUUAUAAACAUUUACAUGGUUAAUGUCAUCGAAAUCAAAUGGUUGUUAUCUACGAAAAGAGAAUUGUUAGAAAUUUUGUAAGUCCCAUUGCAACAAUAUAUUGUUAUAAAUUGCAUUGUUUCCCAUAUAACAAAUAUAAUAAAAUCUCAAUAAAUUAAUAGUUUUGGGGACCAUAAAAAAAUUUAUUAAAAUUUAACAAAUAUCAAUUAAUUGGCAAAUUAAUAAAUUAUUAAUUUAUGAAAAUAUUCAUUAUUUUAGAAAAACAUGAUCACGUUUUUAGUAUUGAUUUACCUUGAGUUAGUAUCUAUUAUGUUUUAUUUGUCUCUAUUAGUUUUCUCUUGGGAAGAUUUUUUAAGAGUUAGCUGCUUUAUAUUAACAGUAAUAAAAUUAUUGUAUGGUUUUGUUUUUCCAUGUUAAAGAUCGAUUAGUCCUCUGCUUCUCCUCAGAGUCAUCGAGCACCGCCUGAAUCAUCAACAACGUGCUCUUCCACUUCAUCAGAUCGUCUUCGAUCUUCUCUUGGCGUGUGUUAAGGAAGUUAAGGAAGCUCAUAUUUGCAGUCAAGCAGAGGAUCACAGCAGCUUCUAUAAUCAGUUGCAAGUUGAUGACAUGUACUGCCAGCUGGCACUAGGUGGUUAUGUAGCUGCUUGUACUUAUACACGUGAUAAGUUUGUUAAUUAGUUUGUAAUUAGUUAGUUAGUUUUGUAACCAUCAGCUGAGAAGCAACACUUGUAUAUAUAUGCUUGUAAUCGUUCAGUAGCAUUUAAAAAAAAAGCUUGAGAAAAUAAAAGAAGAAAGUUUUCUAAAUCUCAGUUUAUUUUCUUAUUAGCCAAACACUCAUUUUCUGUUUUAUAACUUGGUAUCAGAGCCAGUCAUGGCAUCUCUGAAUAUUGCCUCAUCAAAUCACACUUCGAAUAUUCAUACAAACUCAACAAACUUCUCAUUCACAUUCAAUACCCCUGUGAAACUGGAUCAGGCAAACUAUCUGAUCUGGAGGUCCCCAGUUCUAGCUUCCAUACGCGGCAAUAGGCUAGAAAAGUUUAUUGAUGAAAAUGUCACUCCUCCUCCAUCUCAUAUUGCUCAAAGGAUUGACGAUGAACUUAGAUCUGUUGAGAAUCCAGAUUCAUCAAGCUGGAAAGCACAAGGUCAAGUACUUCUUGGCUGGUUGUUGUCAUCGAUGAGUGAAGGUAUUAUAAGUCUGGUGUUUAAUUUGGAAACUUCUCUUGAGGUAUGGAAAGCUAUUGAAACUCAAUUUGGAUCACAGUCAAAAUCCAGACUCUUACAUUUGAGAUAUUUGAUGAAUUCAACUAGGAAAGAUGAUCUGAAAAUCAAUGAGUAUUUCAUUAAAAUGAAGAAUAUUGCUGAUAACAUGGCUGCGGCAGGAAGUGCCUUAAGCAGUGAUGAUUUAAUUUUGCAUGUACUCUCAGGACUAGGACCAGAUUAUAAUGCUGUUGCUACUUAUAUUACUGGUCAAAUAAGUGGUGAUAAAAUGAAUUUAAAUGAGGCUUAUGCUAUGUUGUUGACUCAAGAAGCUAGAAUUGAGCAACAAGCACAUAUGCUUUCUGGAAUGGAUGUUAAGCAUAAUUUUGAAGCUAAUUUUGCUCAGAACAGAGGUUUCAAGAAAGGAAAUUUCUCAGGUGGUAGAGGAUCUGGUAAUCAUGACUAUUUUACUGGAUUAGAUAAUGCUGGAAAUUUUGGAAAUAAUUACAGAAGUGGCUAUGGAAGAUCUGGUUUCUUUGGUAAUGGUUUUGGAAAUAAUCAUAAUAACCAAUUAAGAGGAUUUCAAAGUGAUAAUCAAAGGGGAUCAGGCUCAGGAAAUUGGAACAAUGGUGGGGGUGGUAACAAUAACUCUAUCAGGCCUCAAAUGAAUCCAAAACCUCAGUGGAAUGCUUCUAAACCAACUUGUCAAAUCUGCUUAAAAACUGGUCAUACUGCAAAUGUCUGCUGGAAGCUUGAAGAAUUCUUUACCUCUGGUGCUUGCAAACCUCCUCCAAACAGAAAUCCCAAAGCUGCAUAUCUAGCUGAUAUGGAUGGUGCAGUUGAUGCCAACUGGUAUCUGGAUAGUGGAGCUACACACCAUCUUACCAAUGACAUGAGGAAUAUGACUAUGGCAGAAUCCUUUGCAGGUAACUCUAAACUCAUCAUUGGAAAUAGUACUGGUUUACAUAUAACACAUGUUGGAAAUGCUGUGUUAAGAAUGCAUAACUCUUCUGCUCAUCAUAUACUCAAAUUAAACAACAUGCUUCUUGUUCCACAAAUAUCCAAGAAUCUUAUUGGCAUAUCUCAGCUAACCAAAGAUAACAACAUUGUUAUUGAAUUUACUGAUAAAUCCUGUGUUGUGAAGGACAAGGUGAGGAAUUUGAUCAUACUGCAGGGCAAAGCUGAAAAAGGUUUAUACAGAUUGCUAUUGUUUCCCUCUAAUAAAGUCUCUUCUCAAUCAUGUCAAAGGUCUCUUGAAGCCACUCAAUCCAAAAUUUCAAAUGUUCCUAUGUCUAUGUUUUCAGUUGUUCAGUCAGUUGUCAAUAAUCAAACAAGUCCCUGCUUGCAUACUGCAGCAGAACCUUGUAUCAGUCCAAAUUGUAUGCUGAGUGUUUCUGUUUUGCAUCAGAAACUUGGUCAUCCUAAUUCCAAAGUUUUAAGUCAUGUAAUAAACUCUUGUUCAGCUUUCAAGAAUUUAAAUGGAAGUAACUUUCUUGAUUCAUGUGAUGCAUGUAAAAUGGGAAAAAUGCAUAGAUUACACUUUCCAGUUUCUACUACCAAAACAAAGCAUGUAUUAGAAGUUUUGCACACUGAUUUAUGGGGACCUGCCCCUGUGCUUUCAGUUCAAGGUUACAGAUAUUAUGUGAGUUUUGUGGAUGAUUUUUCGAGGUUCACAUGGAUAUUCCCAUUAAAAACCAAGGAUGAAACACUAGCUGUGUUUAAAAUCUUUAAGAAGCAAAUUGAGAAACAGCUAGAUAGAUCCAUUAAAUGCAUUCAAUCAGAUUGGGGUGGGGAGUAUAGAUCAUUUGUUAAUUUUCUUCAUGAGGAAGGUAUUCAAUUCAGACACUCAUGUCCCUAUACUCACAAUCAGAAUGGCUUAGUUGAGAGAAAACAUAGACACAUAACCGAGCUAGGUCUCACCUUAGUUGCUCAAGCUUCUUUGCCUCUCAAAUUUUGGUGGGAUUCCUUCCAUACAGCCACCUAUAUUAUCGAUAGACUUCCCACACCCAUACUAUCUAUGCAGUCACCUUAUGAAUAUGUCUUCAAAACCAAACCUGAUUACAAAUUUCUCAAGGUCUUUGGUUGUUCAUGCUUUCCAUUCUUAAGGGAUUAUAAUACUCACAAAUUCCAUUUUCAUACCUCAAAAUGUGUAUUUCUUGGUUACAGCCCUUUACAUAAGGGUUACAAGUGUAUGCAUUCUUCUGGAAAGAUUUUUAUAGCCAGUCAUGUGUUAUUUGAUGAAACUUCUUUUCCUUACACAUCAAAUUCACAAUUCUUAACUUCAUCAUUCAAACCCUCUGAUUUCCAUUACAGUCUUCUUCAAUCUUGUACUGUUUCACUUCCCAAUAGCAAUCAAGAAACCUUUGAAGCUAGCUCUGCAGAAAAUGAAGCUCCAUCUCAUCAUUUCAGUGAUCAUUCCUCACCUGACAGUCAUAAUACAACCUUUGAUGUUUCACCUUCUCAAAUACAUCUUCAACCCUCUACCAUAGCUACUUCACAAACACAACAGCCAUCCUCAUCUACUAUUCAAUCCACACAACCAUCCUAACAUCCUCUGCCGAAUCAUCCCAUGAUUACCAGAGCAAAAGCUGGUAUAUUCAAGCCUAAAGCAUUCUUAACAUCACAUAACAGCCUGGAACCAUCUACUGUUGAUGAAGCUUUGUCUGAUUCUAAGUGGAAAGCUGUAAUGCAAUUAGAGUUUGAUGCUUUAACCAGAAAUAAUACCUGGAAUCUAGUACCUAUGACAUCUCAGCACAAGUUGGUUGGUUGUAAAUGGGUCUUUAGAACCAAGUACAAUACAGAUGGUACAGUUUCUAAACACAAAGCAAGAUUGGUAGCCAAGGGCUUUCACCAGGCAGCAUGAGUGGAUUAUAAGGAAACUUUUAGUCCUGUGGUAAAGUCUUCUACAGUAAGAACUAUACUAAGUUUGGCAGUGAUGAAAGGUUGGAAAGUCAGGCAAAUCGAUAUAAAUAAUGCCUUUCUUAAUGGAGAUAUUUCAGAGGAUAUAUACAUGACACAACUAGAGGGCUUCAUCACCAAAGAGGGCUAUGUCUGCAAACUUAGCAAGGCUCUUUAUGGCUUGAAGCAAGCUCCUAGAGCUUGGUAUGACAAACUCAAAGGGUGUCUUACAAGCUGGAAUUUCUUCAACUCCAAGGCUGAUACAUCCUUGUUCAUCAGACAUGACACGAGAGGUAUCAUUCUUGUUCUUAUCUAUGUGGAUGAUAUUCUUAUUACAGGACCAGAUUCUUCCCUGUUGGAAACAUUCAUCACUAAAUUUAGUAAGGUUUUUGCCUUAAAACAUUUGGGAUUGGUAUCCUAUUUUCUGGGUGUUGAGGUGUGUUAUACUGAUAGUGGGAUGCAUUUAUCACAAACAAAAUAUAUUAAAGACCUCUUAAGUAGAGCUUCAAUGCAGAACUGUAAAGGUUCUGAUACACCUCUCAGCACAGGUCAAAAGUUAGAAAAGGUAGCAAAGGUCUGUUUGGGGAAAGAAUUUGAAGAUCCAACUCUCUAUAGAAGUAUUGUUGGAGGGCUCCAAUACUUGAUACUCACCAGACCUGAUAUUGCAUACUCAGUUCAUAAGCUCAGUCAAUAUUUGAGUGCUCAUACACUUCAGCAUUGGCUUGCUUGUAAGAAAGUACUUAGAUAUCUUCAAGCAACUGUCACUCAUGGAAUAUAUAUUCAGAAGGAAGGAGAGCUUGAAGUUACAGGUUUGAAUGGAUACUCAGAUGCAGAUUGGGCUUGUAAUACAGAUGAUAGAAAGUCCAUUGGAGCAUAUUGCAUCUAUCUUGGCAACAAUUUAAUUUCAUGGUCCUCUAAGAAACAAGCCAUAGUGGCCAAAUCCAGCACUGAAAGUGAGUAUAGAGCACUGUCAUCAGCAAGUUCAGAAAUCUCUUGGCUUGAAUCUCUAUUUUCUGAGCUCAACAUUGUAAAGCUGCCAACACCAGUGCUUUGGUGUGAUAAUCAGAGUGCUGGGGAAUUAGCCAAAAAUCCUGUGUUUCACUCCAGGUCUAAGCAUAUCGAGUUGGACAUUCAUUACAUUCGAGAUAAGGUACUUCAAAACCAAUUAGAAGUGAGAUACAUUCCUACAGAUGAACAAGUUGCUGAUGUCCUCACCAAAGCUUUAUCACUUCCAAAAUUCAGCUACUUCAGGUCCAAGCUCAAUGUCGUUAGCAGACCCUUGAGCUUGAGGGGGGAUGUUAAGGAAGUUAAGGAAGCUCAUAUUUGCAGUCAAGCAGAGGAUCACAGAGCAAAGGAUCACAGCAGCUUCUAUAAUCAGUUGCAAGUUGAUGACAUGUACUGCCAGCUGGCACCAGGUGGUUAUGUAGCUGCUUGUACUCGUACACGUGAUAAGUUUGUUAAUCAAUUUGUAAUUAGUUAGUUAGUUUUGUAACCAUCAGCUGAGAAGCAACACUUGUAUAUAUAUGCUUGUAAUCGUUCAGUAGCAUUUAAGAAAAAAGCUUGAGAAAAUAAAAGAAGAAAGUUUUCUAAAUCUCAGUUUAUUUUCUUAUUAGCCAAACACUCAUUUUCUGUUUUAUAACUGCGUGCAAACCACCGAAUCCCCUCUGAAGCUAACUUUGGCGUGCAGCUCUUCGAUGAUUGGCUUUUUUUUUCUUUUUUUUUUGGUUGUGUUUUUUUUUGGCUCCUAGUUUGAUUUAACUUUGUUUCGGUUAUUGACAUUGCUGAAGAGGCAGUAAAAGCUUGUUGAAUGUCAUCAAAUGCACAAAUUGGCAAUAUCGGUUGGCUUCUUUAUAGGCGCAUCCAUCACAAAAUGAAAGUAACAACAACCACCAUCGAAAAUUAAUUUUAAGAAUCUUUUUUACCUGAAAUCUUUGAAAAGAAAAAUUAACCUGACAUUUAUUUAUUUAUUUAUUUUUUGGGGGCAAAGAAAGAAAGGAACAGAAUUAUGAGUUUUGGAAAGGAGAAUGAGAAAAUUGAACAGAUGAGAAAAUGGAUAAUUAACCAGAAUGAAUUUGCGAUUGGUCCAGCAAGCUUAGUAGAAAUCACGCGCUGAUACUUCAUUGACCAAUGACUAAUAAUUUGGCAAUUCACCCAUCACCAGCACUUGGUAAGCAAAACGAAAAUGCUUAGUAAGUGUCAAGGGUCAGGCAAGAUAUGACGUAAAAUGAGGCAAGUCUCCCCACUUGUUGUUCCUUGCAGCUAAGAAAAGAAAAAACAGAGCCCACCACCCAUUAAUAAUUUAGCAAUUCACCAAUCAAUCACCACCACUUGUUACGCAAUUCCAUUAGGUAUUCGUUUGUCAAGCAGUUAAUCCAGUGUCUAUUACCUAGAACCUUCACUUUACAAAUCUUCAUCUCAAAUGCCAAGUUAAAUCAAAACGUUUCUCUCUCACUCUUUCUUUUUAAACUCCGAAAACGUUUCUUUUUAGAAAUAUUUUACUUUAUUCAUGUAAAUAUGUUGUCUAACAAAUAGACACAAUUGAAAUCACUCUAAAGUGCAAAUAAAAAAAAAAAUCCAAUCACCAGUAAUUUAGCAAGCUUCACUUUAUUCCACCAAAGUGUAAAUAAAACCAGGCCUCACCGCCAUUAAUAGUUUUACAAGCUUCACACGCUUGUUGUUGUCUGCUUGACGAACUGGACAUGGGUUCAUCAAGAAUCAAUGAAAGAAUUAAAAAAAAAAAACUGAAAUUUUCGAUUCAGAGUAGAACAGUAAUUAAUGCUAAAAUUUACUCCGCUAACAUUUUCAAGAUAUUGUUCUGUAUAAUUCUACAGCAAAUAAGACUAAGUUUUGGACAUUUUCAAAUUCACUACUUUCACAAGCAAUAUUUUGAAACAUUUUACAGAAUUAGCGAUUAUAUAAAGAGAAAAAUGCAAAGUUGCGUAAUUCUAAUGUUUUUCAGGCUGAGCUGCCUUUGGAUUUAACCUGAAAUGAUCCGAAGGCCAGAAAUUGUAACGGCGGGCUUAAAUGUCAACACGCCAAGACAGUUAAUAGCAGCUAAAUUGGAAAAAAAAAAAAAGGCAAUAGAAGUAUAGAUGGAACAAUUUUUCGCUUAGGUCAUAGGUGCAAGAUGAAACUAAAAAAAGGUGGCAGGCAAUUUUAUCACAGACGCUCAUGAUCGUUUUUUAUUUGGGUCGUCAACUCGCCAUGACCCAUGAUUGAAUUAGAGUGUCUAGAAAGAAAAUUAAUAAAUAACGGUUUAUAUAUUUGGCCGUCGGAAUAUUGUAAGUGAGAAAGAUUAUCUUUUUUUUUAUUAUUAUUAAUUAGGUUAGUAUUUAUGAUUGAGUGACUCAGAGCUGUAUUUUAGAUUGAGAAUCAAUUGUUCUCUCAUACUGAGAGGCUAUAAGAUUGUCGUUAGCUAUUUCAUCGAUAAGAGAACACCCAAAUUUAUUAAAAGAAGAAAUGUAUAAGGUCUCCUUUAUGAGAAAAUGUAUCUGAUCAUUCUUUUUGACUUGAAAAUCUCAUAUAUAAAAACUUAUUAAUAAAUAACAUAAUAUAUAUAAAAAUGAUACUCAAUGAUCCUGUACUAAAACUAUAAUUUACCUGCACUAGUAGUUUCCAUAAUUUUCAAUUCAAAAGUAAGCAGUUGAACGUGCUCUCUCUUCUGGUUAUAGAUAUCAUAUAUAUAAAUUGAAGUAAUCGCGCGACAAGUAGCAAAACAGAUAAUGCACGGAAGAUAAUGAUCAAUGGCUGAAGUUUAAUUUAAUUGCAGAUAAAAUGUCAAUCAAGAUUAAGGUCUACUUACAAUUUUAUUUUAUUUUUUAUGAUUUUCAAUCUUUACCAAAAGAAACAUAUUUAGUGAUCCCUUUUAUCAACUUGCUUUUAUUGACUUUCUUCCAAUAAUAGAAGUGAAAAGAGAAACAAAGGCCACCACCACCAAGUGUUACCGGAUUCUAUAAAGACAAAAUCAGUGCCCAGCAAAACGAAUCCAACUUUUCGUUAUGUGUUGCUUCCUAUUUAGUACAUGCACAUAUAGAUAUAAGAUAUCCACAUGCACAUGCAGCGCGUCUAUCUAAAAUUUUAAAAACAGAAUUAGAAACCUUCUUGAAUAGGAAUAGAAAUACUCUCUAAUACUUCCUAAAAUAAUUAACCCUAAAUAAUUUGUCCUGCAUCACCAAACUCCGGAUUUUACAAAGCACGCAUAAAGGAUAAUAGACACGUUUGAGGUUUUUUUUUUAAAAGAAAAAAAGAUUAUGAAAAUAGACAAAUAAUGAAGACACAAGUUAAGCAGAGCAAAUAAAUAGAGGAGAAUGAAUUAAAUACUAUCCUUGAGAACUCAAUUCUUUAAUAAACUCAAUUUUUUAAAUGCAGGGGUAAACUCAUGUCAUAUACUGUAGUCUUUAAUUUGGGCUUUGUUGUAUCAAUUUUUUGGAGUUUAUCUUGUUUUGUUUUUUCGUUUUUAUAGUGCAAGAUUUUCGGUGGAGAUAAAUCAGGAAUAAGAGUGAAAUCCCAAUCUUAAAAUUUGGGAGAAAUGAAAUGCGAUAUGUUUUUUCAUGAAUAAAACAAUUCAAUUUUUUGUUAGCACUUGUAUAUGUUGCAAGUUAAUUACACCGUCAACACCUGCGGGAAAUUUAUAUAUUUUCUGUCAGCACUUGCAUACGUUGCAAUUUUCAAUGACUUCCAAAUCUUCAUAUCAUGAAUUAGCAGGAUUCAGGUCCGACCAACUCCCCGUGGCUAAAGCAAAGGAUUAAUUUUUGAGAAAUUAUAAAGAAAUUAAUACAAGUAAAGUGAGCCUAUUCAUUUGAUUUGAUAAUUGGCUGAGGGUGAUUUCGAUAACGUUUUCAAAGAAGAUAUAGAACAAAGAUCAAAAAGAAAAAACAAGUAAUUUCAGUCGAUGGAAGAAAUGAGCAAGCUUCGCACAUGCAUGCAUGCGUCUGACUAACAGGACAUGGCUUGGAGCAAGGAUCAAUGGACAAGUUUGAGGUUUAUGAAAUAUUGGGAAAACAGACAAAUUAUAAAGCCACUUGUUAGAGUGCAAUUUAUGCACUAGUUUUGCAUUGUUUACUUCCCUUAAUAUCGAUGUUUUGCAUUUAAUAAUAGUGAUUUACUUGUGUUUUACUUUUGUAGGUGCAAUUCUAUUGAUUGGUGAUAAAAUUGAGCUAUAAGAUGAUGUUUAAGGAUGAUUGUUCUCUUGGAGAAAUUAUGAGCGGCAGAAGAACUUUGUUGAUAAGGCGUGGGCGCGUGCUGUCAACUGCGGACCUGCAGUUUUUAGUUUAACGUGUUUUGUAUUUUUGGCUAUUUUUUAAUUACGAAUUUAAUAUUUCAAAUAUUAGUAUUUUAUUUUAAAUAGAACUCUAAAAGAGAAGAGAGAGAGAGUAUUUAAGGGAGGAAUCUAUUGUGAAAAAGGAGGGAAUUUUGAUUGGAGAAAAAGAAAAGAAACCCUAGAUCUAAUUUUUCUCUUCUCUCUAUGAAGAACUAAACUUAUUUUUCUGGUUGAAGAAUAAUGAAGCUUUGAUUCAUCACUACUGUGAGAUCUUUCUUGUGCUUUAAUUGUUUUAUUGCUUUUUGGGUAUUUGUUUAUUCUCUGAAUUAUUUUCAUGAUUAUGUUUGUUAAUUAGAUAAUUGGCCACUAUUUAAUUAUCAACUUAAUCUAUUGUCAAUUAAAGGAUUCAUCGUAUGAAGAAUUUAAUGUUUGUGACAAAUAACAUAGCAGAGAGUUGUGUUGUGAGAAUAAACAAUCUAAUUUAAAUAAAUCAUCAUAUGUGUUGAUUAGGAUUUGGGUCUCUCUGGUUUUUUAGGCUGUCAAUUGAUUAAAUCCUAUGAUCGUAUCUAGGGUUGUCUAUUGAUUAGGGAAAUAUCCAACGGUCGUACCUUGGUUAUCGACUAAUUAAGGAGAGAUUGGCUAUUAGAGGGUCUCAGUAGCUAUAACCAGUCUAUUCAUAAGUAAUAAUAAUUUAUAUUUGAAUCAAUGAUCAGUAGUCGAAUCAAGCUGAGUUAAUUCCUUCAACCAAAGCUUUCUCCAAUUUGAAUCACAACUUUAAUUUACAUUCUUGUUAUUUUAAUUUGAUUUUUAUUAUUGUCAACAAUUCCCCCAUUUUACAUUUUACGUUUCAAAAGGAUUUAAAUAAUUACCGAUCUCUGUGGACACGACCCUGCUCAAUCACUAUACACAAUUUAUUUAGAGUAGGAAUUUAUUUUUGUUGGCUUCGACAACCAUCAAAUUUUGGCGCCGUUGCCGGGGAUUGGUGUCAUUUAUUUAAUCCUUUUUACGUUUUACUUGGUGUAUGGUUCGUUCUUCUCGUACAGGUACACUUUCGUUUGAUCCUGAAAUUGAGAAGACAGCUCGCCAGCUGAGACAGCAGACGAAGCGAGCUAAGCAACGAUCCUCGUCGCCUUUGCUUUCUGAAACAGAUACGGUGCCUGAUUUAGUUCAAUCAUCUAGCGAUUCGGAAGAACAAGUGAUGAAUAGAGCUGCACCUGUAGAAAGAACUCUUAGAGAGUUAGCUGAACCAGACUUGAAUCAGCAACCACUCUGCAUUCAAUAUGUAGACUUGGAGGUAAAUUUUGAAUUAAAGUCUGGUUUUAUUCAUUUAUUACCCAAGUUUCAUGGUUUUGCAGGUGAAGAUCCUCAUAAACAUCUUAAGGAGUUUCAUGUUGUAUGUUCAAGUAUGAGACCACAAGGCGUGACUGAAGAGCAGAUUAAGCUGCGUGCUUUUCCGUUCUCUGUAGAUGGGCUAGCUAAAGAUUGGUUGUACUACUUGCCUCUUGGAUCGAUUACAACGUGGAAUGGUUUGAAGAAGCAGUUCCUCGAGAAGUACUUUCCUGCUUCAAGAGCUGCCAACAUCAGAAAAGAUAUUUGUGGGAUCAGACAACUUCCUGGGGAGACUUUGUAUGAGUAUUGGGAGCGAUUCAAACAAUUGUGUGCCAGUUGUCCUCAGCAUCAGAUUUCUGAUCAACUUCUUAUUCAAUAUUUUUACGAAGGACUGUCAUUGAUGGAUAGGAGUAUGAUAGAUGCUGCUAGUGGAGGCGUGUUAGUGAACAAGACCCCUACUCAAGCAAGGGAGUUGAUAUCAAAUAUGGCUGCCAACGCACAACAAUUUGGCAGCAGGCAAGAUCCUACUUCAAGGAAGGUGAAUGAGGUAAAUAUUUCUUCUGUUGAACAACGUUUAGAUAAACUUACUUCUCUUGUGGAAAAGUUUGUUGUAGGCAAUGUGCAACAGGUGAAGACUUGUGGCAUUUGUUAUAAUAUGGGUCAUUCAACUGAUAUGUGUCCUACACUUCAAGAAGAACCUGUUGAACAAGCCAAUGUAGUUGGAGGAUUUCCAGGCAUGCCUCAGAGGAGGUAUGAUCCUUAUGCACAAACAUACAAUCCGGGAUGGAAGGAUCAUCCCAACUUCAGCUAUGGAGUUAGGCCGUCAGGAUUCCCACAACAGUAUCCACCAAGACAACCAGCACCUCCACAGUCAACCUCCAAGUCAGGUAUAUCUCUUGAAGAAAUUGUUAAAUCGCUUGCGACUAAUACUCAACAAUUUCAGCAGGCAACUACAGCAAGCAUUCAGAACUUGGAGAACCAAAUGAGUCAAUUGGCGACUACAGUGAGCCGUCUGGAGUCUCAAGUAUUAGGGAGAUUGCCUUCACAAUCUGAGGUGAAUCCAAAGCAAAACGUUAGUGUUGUCAUCCUUAGAAGUGGGAAGGAGUUGCAAGAGCCUAGUAAGAAAGUGACAGAGCAUGUAGAAGAUGAGCUUAAGAAGAAUGAAUUGAUGCCUCAAUCUCAAGAUGCACAACCCACCAGAGUGAAACCCCUACCUAUUGUGAUACCUCCUCCUUUUCCAAGCCGGUUUGCAAAAUCCAAGAAGGAGGAACAAGAGAAAGACAUCCUUGAGACAUUUCGCAAGGUUGAGGUAAAUAUUCCUUUAUUAGAUGCUAUUAAACAAAUACCUCGAUAUGCUAAAGUCCUUAAGGAACUGUGCACCUCUAAGAGAAAAUUAAGAGGAGAUGAAAAAGUUCAUAUGGGGGAGAAUGUUUCAGCAGCUCUCCAAAAGAAAUUACCUCCCAAGUGCAAGGAUCCAAGUAUGUUUACUAUCCCUUGCAAAAUUGGUAGUGUUAGAGUCGAGAAGGCUAUGUUAGAUCUAGGAGCUUCUAUUAAUGUCAUGCCUCGUUCCAUUUAUUCAUCUUUGAAUGUUGGUCCAUUAAAAAAAACUGGCGUGAUAAUUCAACUAGCUGAUAGGUCUAAUGCAUAUCCUGAUGGGGUAUUAGAAGAUGUCUUAGUACAAGUUAAUGAGUUGGUUUUUCCUGCUGAUUUUUAUGUACUUGAUAUGGAAGAUGAUAACUCCUCUAAUUCUGUCUCAAUUUUGCUAGGAAGACCUUUUCUUAAGACUGCUAGAACUAAAAUGGAUGUACAUAAAGGGACUCUCACUAUGGAGUUUGAUGGAGAGGUUAUAGAAUUCAAUAUGAAUGAUGCCAUGAAAUAUCUUAGUGAGGAACAUUCGGUAUUUUCUGUGGAUGUUAUUAACCCUAUAGUGCAGGAAGUUUUUUACAAGAAAAAAACGAAGACAUUUCAUGAUAGAAUGAUUUUGAGAAAGGAGUUCUCUGUUGGUCAAAAAGUUCUUCUUUUUCAUUCUAAGCUUAAACUUUUUCCGGGUAAAUUACGUUCUUGCUGGGUUGGACCUUUUAUUAUUACUAAUAUUUUUCCUCAUGGUGCAGUUGAGAUUCGGAGUCCGACCUCUGACAAAGUUUUUAAGGUUAACGGUCAUCGCUUAAAACCUUUUUAUGAAGGUUUUUCGGUGAAUAUUGUGGAGGAUGUGGCUCUCGAGAGUCCCAAUUAUGGAGAUUGAUGCAUAAAUGUGUCUAGCCAAAGACAUAAAACAAAGGCGCUUUUUGGGAGGCAACCCAAAGGAUUUAUUUAUUUUGACUUUUGUUAUAUCUUUUAUUUUUAAUUUAGAUUUAGAUUUUUUUUUAUAAUGUUUUUGCUUAUUUUGGUCAGAAGAAAAUUUUUGAUAAGGCGUGCCCACGUCUUAACUAAUAAGUACUUUUGUGAUUUUUAAAGUAAAAUGGUUUUAAGGCGUGCCCACGUCCUUAUUAGAAAAGUACUUCUGAAAUUCUUUGUGUCUCAAAGUGAUUCAUCACUAAAAAAAAAUUAUUUAUUUAUUUGAAAAUUAAAAAAAAGGAAAAAAAAACUUUUUUUUCCUUUCUUUUCUUGCUUUUUUAUAUAUAUUUUUUUAUUUGAAAAAAAAACGAAAAAAAAUUUACUGUUCAUAAAAUCCCUAAUUCACAGAAUUGGUUUUCUUCUCCAGCUUUCACCGACCAGCCCACGCAGCAGCAGCAGCACGCAGAACCAGCGUCAGCCCAGCCCUCGCGUGCAAUCAACCCCAGCACGCAAAUCCAGCAGCCCACUAGCGCAGCAGGACCAGCCCCAGCAGCGCACAGCAGAAUCAGCCCCAGUGCACAGCAUCCCGCACGCAACCAGCGUCACCAGCGCGCAACCAGCAAUCCACCAUCGGGCCAAGCUCCAGCCGAGCAGUAAUCGUCCGCAACCAGCCUACGCCCUUAUUCCAGCCGGGUGAAUCGAAAUCCGUGAGUGAAAUUAUUGUAACAAUGCCGAAGAGGAAAGCAUCAACUUCCAAGUCAUCUAAAAAGACACCCGUCGCAAAGAUAUCCAAGAUUGCCGCUCUCAUUACAGUUUCAUGGAACACAGUUUCAGAUUCACGCCGAGUCGUGAGACAAAGAUCGAACCAUGGAAAAGGCAUGAGUGUUUUGCCACUUGCGGAAUCCAAUCUCGGAGGGUGCCUUGAAUUUACGACUCAACAAGAGAAAGAAAGUUUACUGAACCAGGACCCACUCAACCUCCAAAGAAGCUUUAUGCUAGAAGUGGUGCUACCUCUGAUGACGAGUUUGACGACGACACUGCUGCCCCGCCGACUAUUCCUUCUACAUCCACACCACCUUUGAGCAUUCAGUUAGAGAAAAUGGAGCCCAAGUUGAACAAGAUGGAGCAGAAUUUGGCCGCAUACUUCAAGAGUGUAGGAUUUAUCCCACCAUUUCCGCCAAGCCCAUAGACGUUAUGAGGAUCAAAGCUCACAAUUCAGGGAAGUUUUUGCCUUUAAUCUUUUAUCCUUAUGCUUUAAUUUUUAUGUGAGCUUUGAUUAUCUUACAUUGGGGACAAUGUAAGUUCUUGGUGUGGGGGAGGGAUUUUUGCAUUAUUGAUGUCUGGAAGUAUUAUUUUCACUCUACUAAUCUAUUUUCAUUCUACUCAUCCUUAAAUGAUUUUGGAGUUAGUAUGCUUCAUAUAUUAUUAUUUUUCUUUUCUUUUCUUUCUCACUACUCUUUUUCCAUCUAUCUCAAAUUAUUUACAUCUAUUUUUAUUCUAUCAUACUCUUUCAUCACUCACAUUUUAUCUUUCACUUUUCAUAUUACUACAUACAUCUUUCUCACUUCUUAUCAUUUUUACCUUUACUUCACUCAUACAUUCUUCUCAUUCUACACCACUAUUGAUGGUUGAUUCAUUUGAAGAGUGUACAUGAUUUGAUGGCAAAUUUACCAACUUUGUGAGGAUUUGAGCCAAUGAGCAACCACUUUGCUCUAAUUAUUUUUGUUAUGUGAAUAUCAAUCUUAGUUUGUUUAUUCUAGAACUUGCUUUGUUAUGCAUGUUGAAGCCACAUUACGGGAUUUUUUGCAUUAAAAUGAUAAGGGCAAACCAUUUGCCAUUUUUCUAUUCUCGCAUUUUCCUUUUUCUCUACCCGAAGACCUUUAUUUGCUACCUUUGUUUGAGCCUUAACCAUUACCCAUCUAAUUCUCUCCGUCUACUUAACCAUUUUUCUUCUUUUUGAGCCUCAAUUUAAAGAGAUUUUUGGACUCAUUGUGUGGAUAUAUUUUGUUGCUUUUUCUACCUUGUAUUAAAGUUUCUCAAUUAGAUCAACAAGCAUUAUGCUUGAAUUAAAUUGUGCAAGGUUCGUUUCUUUUGUUUGAUUAAAAAACAAAACAAAAAAAAAGAAAAAAAAGAACAAAAAAAAAAGAAAAAAAAGAAAAAAAAAAGAAGAAAAAGAAAAAUAAAAAAAAAGAAAAAAAAAGUUUACAUUCUUGGUGACUUGAGUAGAAAUAAGCAUUUUGAUAUCACAAGUUCAUUCAAUGAGUUCAUUCUUCUCAUUUUAAUCUCUUUUUCUUUCGUAAACCUUUCUUUUCCAUUCAACCUAUUUAACCUCAUUACAACCCUUAGAUUUUUGCAUUUUAUUCAUGUUUUGUGGAUUGAGAUGUGAUAUAUGAGCAAGCUUAUGGUAAUAGCAUUCUUUGAUUUGAUUUGAGUGCAUAAAUGAUACCCUAAACACUUUGAGUGCAUGGAGUGAAGUUAUUGAGAGGGCUAUUAAAUCUUGUUGCACUUGAAUUUUGAAUGGAUCCUCUUGGUGGUUGAAUGUUCUUAUUCUAUCUUAUGAAAUUCUAUGCUCUAAAAUCCUUGUCUCUCGAAUGUUGAUCGACUUAAUUUCUUGAGGUAUGCUUGCUUAAAAUUGUUUUUGGAUGAGUUGAGAUGAGAAUUGAGUGGAGAUUUGAGAUUAAUCUUGAGUUAUAUGCUUGAGGACAAGCAUCAUCUUGGUGUGGGGGAAUUUGUUAGAGUGCAAUUUAUGCACUAGUUUUGCAUUGUUUACUUCCCUUAAUAUCGAUGUUUUGCAUUUAAUAAUAGUGAUUUACUUGUGUUUUACUUUUGUAGGUGCAAUUCUAUUGAUUGGUGAUAAAAUUGAGCUAUAAGAUGAUGUUUAAGGAUGAUUGUUCUCUUGGAGAAAUUAUGAGCGGCAGAAGAACUUUGUUGAUAAGGCGUGGGCGCGUGCUGUCAACUGCGGACCUGCAGUUUUUAGUUUAACGUGUUUUGUAUUUUUGGCUAUUUUUUAAUUACGAAUUUAAUAUUUCAAAUAUUAGUAUUUUAUUUUAAAUAGAACUCUAAAAGAGAAGAGAGAGAGAGUAUUUAAGGGAGGAAUCUAUUGUGAAAAAGGAGGGAAUUUUGAUUGGAGAAAAAGAAAAGAAACCCUAGAUCUAAUUUUUCUCUUCUCUCUAUGAAGAACUAAACUUAUUUUUCUGGUUGAAGAAUAAUGAAGCUUUGAUUCAUCACUACUGUGAGAUCUUUCUUGUGCUUUAAUUGUUUUAUUGCUUUUUGGGUAUUUGUUUAUUCUCUGAAUUAUUUUCAUGAUUAUGUUUGUUAAUUAGAUAAUUGGCCACUAUUUAAUUAUCAACUUAAUCUAUUGUCAAUUAAAGGAUUCAUCGUAUGAAGAAUUUAAUGUUUGUGACAAAUAACAUAGCAGAGAGUUGUGUUGUGAGAAUAAACAAUCUAAUUUAAAUAAAUCAUCAUAUGUGUUGAUUAGGAUUUGGGUCUCUCUGGUUUUUUAGGCUGUCAAUUGAUUAAAUCCUAUGAUCGUAUCUAGGGUUGUCUAUUGAUUAGGGAAAUCGACUAAUUAAGGAGAGAUUGACUAUUAGAGGGUCUCAGUAGCUAUAACCGGUCUAUUCAUAAGUAAUAAUAAUUUAUAUAUGAAUCAAUGAUCAGUAGUCGAAUCAAGCUGAGUUAAUUCCUUCAACCAGAGCUUUCUCCAAUUUGAAUCACAACUUUAAUUUACAUUCUCGUUAUUUUAAUUUGAUUUUUAUUAUUGUCAACAAUUCCCCCAUUUUACAUUUUACGUUUCAAAAGGAUUUAAAUAAUUACCGAUCUCUGUGGACACGACCCUGCUCAAUCACUAUACACAAUUUAUUUAGAGUAGGAAUUUAUUUUUGUUGGCUUCGACAACCAUCAAAUAAACAGAGAAAAUAACCGAUCAAUUCUUUGUGCAGUGGCCACAGCAACAGCGAAAAUAUGUCUGCAUGACUACAUUAAUUAAUCCUACCAUCACCAUGCAACAUUAAAUCAACAUUUGAUCAUCUAUCAAUUUUCAUGAUAUGAGAUUAGAAACAUUGAGUUCAUAAUUUCGUGUAAUUUCAUGUACUAGAUGUAUAUAAUUGAUUUGAGUUAGUUUAACAUCUAAAGAAAGAGUAAUGGGGAAUGAUGUCGAUGUGGCAUUUGAUGAGUAAUGAUAGACAACAAAUACUGAUCAUGUAAGAAUGAAGUCUGUAUUUACUGAAAAAUAUUUGGCAAUAAAAUGAUGCUUUAAAAAAUUAAUAUUAGUUGCACGAAAAUAAAUUGGCAACUAAAAUUAAUAGAUAUAUAUCCAAUGCUUCGAGUUUAUUUUAUCACUUCGCUAACAAUUUUGUAACUACAUUUUAAUUAUAAUGUCGAAAAGAGAUUUGAUUUUUGUAUUAAAAAAAAUUAGAAAUGAAACAAGUCAAAAUCAAUCAUAAGAACAACAAUAAGAGCAUAUUUUAUAAAAACCACAAAUACAUAAUAUAAAUUUAGUUUCGAAUUAGGUGAUUAUUAAUUUACAUAGUAAGAGAGUCUUAUAGAAAAAUAGGAAUUUUUUUAAAAGAGAUUUGCUUAAGGAACAAAUUUAGUAAAUUAACAAUCACCAAAUAUGGUAGGGUGGCAGGCAGAGGAAGCGUGGUUCCUAAUCCUAAUCUUGAGUGAUAACUGGCUAUGUAACAUGUGGCAUUCUACAUUCUUGCAAUGCCAUUAAUUUCUUGUUAUGGCAGCAGCGUUCUUUCAUCAUGGCAUCACAAGCAAAUGUUUGAUUUGAAGACUUGCUUAGCUGAGAAAAAUAAGGAGAGCAAAGGUAAUGAAUUUUGGUGUGAUAAAUAUUUUUAUGGAUGUACUAAGAAAAAUAAAGAUAAUAGAAGUGAUGUUAUUGAGGAGCAUUUUGAUAUUUACCAAAGUGUUCAAAGAAAAAAGUUAUUUUUUGAAAUCUAUUUGCUGGUGCACAUAACAAAAGGGCAUUCUGAGUAAAUUUAAAACUACAAAUAGUUUCACUCUUUUAACAAUAUUCUUCAAUUAAUUCUGUUUAUUUCAAAAUAAAUAUUCUAUCUCUUUAUUACUUUCUAACUAGUCAUGCUAAUAUGCUAAUAAUUAUGAAGAACUAGUGUAAUUUAUAUGAUAUAAGAAGCCCUUUAGCACAUUAACCCGAAUUUAGCUAAUACAUGUGCCUAAUAUAGCGAAAUCAACAUUCAGCGCAUUAGAGUGCCAUUAUAUAUAUUGAGAGAGAAAUUAACACAAAAAACUGAAUAUUAAUUGACACUGGAUCAUAUUGGAUUGUCAGUUGUUAAUUAUGAUGGGAAUACAAUCUUCAUCUUUUGAUUAUCAGCUAGCUAAUGCAUGUGCACUUUCAUUUGUGUCUAUCACUGAAAAGUAAAGUUGCUUGAUUGAGUAGUAUCAUAUCACAGGAACUCCAAACUCAAUUUCAUUGCCGGAGCAUACCAUGCCAUAUGUAGCUUAAAAGUGCAGCUAUCUUAUACUAAUUAUUUAAUACGACUAUUAGCUCUUUAUGAUUAAUUAAAAGAGAAAAUGUUUGACAAUCACGAAAAUAAUAACAAUUCACUCCUAUAAACAACAUAACAAAUACAUGGUCUAUAUUGCAAAUCUUUUUAUGAUUAUAAUUAAAAGAGAAAAUACGAAGACAUAUUAUAUAUAAUAAUUGAAUGUUCUCCUUGAUAAUUAGACAAAAUAACACCAAUCUAGCUAAUUAAUCCAAUCAUCAUACUAAUUCAAUUUUCAUUAUUUAAUUAUGUCCAAUCAUGCUAAUUUAAUAAAGAGCACUGAACACUCGAGUACUUAUAUGUUCAGCAACUUUGGCCGAGUUUGAAAAAGAUUAGAGCUGCAUUUAUGCUUUGUGUUAUUACUUACGACAUGAUCAUAUUAUGUCGCAUUUGUCAGAGAACCGAAAACUGUGGGGGGAAAAAAAAUCCUAAAAGAGAUGUAACGAAAACAAAAUGAGAAAAUAAUGCACACACAUCAUAGCAAUGCUUCAUUCAUUUUGAUUCUAUCUAUACAAAAACUUGUAUCCGAUGGUUUACAUUUGUUUAAUCUAACGGCUAUAACAUGUAUACAGUCAAACGCUACUGCUGCCAUCUUUCUUUGUCCUCGUUGUAUCCUUGAUCUUAUAUUAUCCUGGUGAUUCUUGAAAGAUCUUCUCAUUCUCAUAUGCUGAGUCGCUUGCUGGGAUGAUUAAUACUCGAAGGUCCUUCAUUGAGACAUUUCAGCAAACACCUGAUUCAUUAUAUCAAACAUCUGCAUCACUAAUCGCUAAAAGAUAUAAAAUAGUUCUGUUUUGAAAAAUUGAUAUAAACCAGUCACCUUAGAUUUUCUUAGUCUCAGAGGACAACGGGUGAUGAUUCGAUGAGAAAUAUUAAUAUGCAUGCAUCCGCUGCAUUAGUUAGAGCUGCUUGUCAUUUUCUUCUUUCUUUUGGAUACUAUUUUAAAUUUUUAAUCAGUCUAAUUCAGCUGUAUGUUUGCUUUCAGUCCAAAUCGAACUCAGAUAUUAAGUACUUCUACAGGAAUGGACGCACCCAAAAAUCUAUGGGAUCCGUAGUUCUUGCAGAAGCGGCAGAAUGCUGCCAGCAAUUCAGGCAGAUAGAAGCUUGGUUGAGUGGUUGUUCUUCAAUGUGAAAUUCUACAUAAUGGGGAUCCUUUCAAUGGGGUUUAAAUUCUUUUUUUUUUUGAGUUGUUGAUUUAGAGCAGAUUAAGUAACAUGUGGCAUUCUAUAUUCUUGCAAUGCCAUUUCUUGUUAUGGUAUCAACAUUCUUGACCAUGGUUUGAUUUGCGUAAUUUUGCUUUCUGUUUUUGAUAUUUUCUUCGCAUUGUUGUUGUGGGAUUUGUAGAUAGUGUAUAUGUAUGAAGAUAACGUAAUAAAGUGCUUUUGAUAAAUUCCCCUGGUUUGUUUACUUCACUAAUUCAUUAAUGAGCAAGUCCUCUAUAGAGCUGUGUUGUGCGUACAAGUUUUGCUACAUGAAAUCGUUAGGUGAGGAGAAUUUUUAAAAGCAUACAUCAAAGUAAUGAUUAAAGGGACAAAAUCAACGUAAAUAUUGAUUAUCUUGAGUUAGAUUAUACAAAGAUGAAAUAAUGAUAAUCUAAUAAAUUUAUCAUAAUACACUACUCAAAAAUGCAUUUUAAUGACACAAAUUUUAUGACAUACAUCUUUAUGUCAUGAAAAUAUUUGCAUGAUGUAUAAUGCUUUCGUGAUUAUUUGAUGAUAAAUUCAUAAUUGCUGCUGAUAUGAAAUGAAGUGAUGAUAGGUAAAUAUUAUGCGAUUUUUUUUUUAUGGGUAAGAAUAUUUGAACCCACCAAAUUACUCUUUAAACUUAUUUUUUUAUUGAUAAUUUUAUUACAAAAUUACCGAUAAUUUGAAUUACUAUUACAGACAAACAAUAAUUAUAUAAAAUUAUUUUAUUUUUACUCAUUGUUUAAACCUACCGCAAAACUCAAUCAAAGUAUGCCUUUUUUUUUCUUCUGCAAGUUUUUAAUAAGUUCAUCCUUCAUCCACAGUUGAGAACUUUCUAAUUUUUUUUCUUGUUCUAGUAAUUUGGAUAUGCUGUGUUAGAUACUGAAUUUAUUAAAUUUCUUCUUCUCUUUUGAAUAAAAUCUCUUUAAAAUUCAAUUCAUAAAAAAAUAAAAAAUUAAUCUCCUUAUAAUUUAAUAUGUUUCAGCUGUCUUAGUGGAAUGAUGCAAUUUGUUUCCAUCAAAGUUUUGAAGCAUCCUGAAAUUUUGAGAUCGACAUGAUAACAAAUUAAUUUAAUUCAUGGUGUACUCUAAAUUUUCAGCCACAAAAAAAAUAGCCAAAUUGAAGUGUACCUGGGCAAGAAGAAACUGCGAUUAUACAAUUUCAGUGUUCGACUCUAUCAAUAAAAAAGAAAAUAAAAAAGAACUCUCAUUGUUCCAUUAUUUUUCCCAUAAAUAAUGAUAUACAGAGAAUUUAGUUUGAUAUGGGAUAUAAUAAGUAUUUAGGUGAGUUUAUAAAGUAAAUUUUAAAAUUUUAAAAUUUAGUAAUGGGUUUAUAAAUAAUUGAGUUCAUAUAAUAUUUUAAUAAAUUCAAAUAACCCACCCUUUUUUUUUUUAAAAAAAGAUCUAAUUACAAAAAUACCAUUCCAAUCGGCAGCAUUUUAUAUUUUAUUUUAUUAAAUAUUAUUUUAUUUUUAAAUUACUAGUGACGCAAGAAACGGCAUCAUUUAUUGAUAUUUUUAAAUUGUUUAAGAUUUGUUUAAUUAGAAAAUUGCCAUUGUUGAUAUUUAAUUAAUUUUAAAAAAUAAAAAUAAUAAAAUUGGUAAGCUCUACUCCAUAAGUGAUGAACGAAUUGACAAAUUUGCAGUAAGUGAUGAACGAAUUGAUAAGCUCUACUCCAUCGGCUCCUUAAUUGAGAAAAAACCCAAGCCCGUGCAGCGCAGCCUCACAAUUGAUAGAGACCCUAAGCCACCAAACUCGACAAUCAUCACUCAACGUCGUCGCAAGCUACCGGUCGCUCAACAAGCACCAGUUCCUUGCUCUACAGCCAUCGCUCAACCGCUGCCAUUACCUGUUAAUUAUUCGCUUGAAUUAGGGUUCUGAUAUUUUGGGAUUUUUUGUUAGUCGUGGAAUUAUGAAGCAAGGACGACGAUGACGAAGAUGUGGUGGUUGACGACGGCAAUGGCAACGUUGAAUAUUGAGGCACCGGAGGAAAAAGCAUUGGCUAUGUAUCUUGGUCGAUUUGCCUCGAAUUGAUCACUAAACAUGGGGAUAUCGUGGGCCGAGCUUCAACGCAGUGGCAAAUUUCAUUUGGGUAACUGAAUUUUUUUUUUGUUUAAUUUGUUUAGAGUUCAAUUGUUUAGAUCUAGGCUAAUUUUUAAUGAUAAUUUUUAUGAUUAAAUUAUAUGAGUAUGCUUAAAUUUUUUUUCCUUCAAAUUUAUUUUCUGAUGUUGCAUUUGGUUAGCAAAAAGAUAAAAAUAGUAGAAAAUGUCAGAAUUAUUGUUAUGAAAAUGUUGUUUUAGUCUGAUAUUGGGAAAAUAUCAUUAUACAUAUUGGCAUGAUAUUCAUGGGAGACAAAAUUGAGAAUGAUGACAGACUAUGCAUUGCUCACAACUAAUUUAAAACUCACUAUUUCUAUUGUUUGUGUUUCAGUAACUUUGGGGGAAUUCCAACUAUAGUUAAUAAGCUAUAAACUUGUUUAGGAUUGCUGAUCAAUUUGCUAGAAAGAGUUGCAAAGUAAUUAGCUUUCUCUUAUAACUUUUACAGAUCAUCUGUGGAGGAGAACUGCAAGGAGUUGAAGACUCUAGACCCUAAACUUCAUAUCUUGAUUUAUAAGUGCAAUGGGCAUAAGUCCGAAUUAUGGGCUGGAGAUGGUAUAUGUAAUCUUUCUACUCUUGGUGUUUUUUUUUCCUCUAGUUAUUUUUUGUUCUCUACUCCAUUGUAUAUUUGUAUUCAAAAGUAUUUUUUCUUUGUUUUAAGCUUUUAAAUUUAUGGAGAUGAUCUUAUUAGGUGUUAAAAAAAAUAGUUGUAGAGCUUUACUAAAACUAUGUAAACUCCUAUUGAGAUUUGGGUUUGAUUUUGUAAGAUUGCUAAAAAUUUCAUAUUUUAUACUUGUUUUAUACUUUUCUAGUUGAAUUUCUUGCUUGUGGAAGAUAAAAUAAAAGUCCAAUUCAUGUUGUAAAAUUUUUUUUCCUCCCUUCUUUCUUUCCUUAUAAUCUGGCUCUGGCUUUGGUGCUAUGCUUGGUGCAGUUUAUGGUUUCAAUGCAGGGAACCAAUUUCAUCAUAAUCAUCUUAAAGGAUCAAAAUGGCUUUCUUUUGUAACUGGGUAAGUCAAUGCUACUUCCUGAAUUCGAUUUGGAGUUCUUUCGGAAUAGAUUUCCUUCCCUUACAUCACUUGGCUUCUAGUUGCAUCUUCUUGGCUUUCUCCAGCGGACUUUUUUAUUGGCAAAAUUCCUUUGUUUCUAUUGUUUUCAAGUGCUAGUGCUGGAUUUAGAGGUAUGAAUGGUGCCUUCAUUUUUAUUUUUUUAUUUUUAUUUUGUACUGUAAUAUACUUCUUUGUAUAGCUAGUACAAAAUAGUUCUUCAACUUCUUACUUUUGGCUUUAAUGGGUUCGAUAUAUGAUAGCGGAGCCCUAUCAGCAUUUGAUGUCAGACAACAAAUAGGGGACAGAUGGGAUUAGAAAAAUAAGUAACAUGACCAAAAUAAAAAUCUAAUCUACUCAUAUAAGCAACUCAUCAAAUAAGUGUAUCACAUACUUAAGUGAAUAAGAUUCCGUGAUUUCUAGGAAUCCAAGUCAAAUUAUAACAUUCUUUAAAUAAGACUCACAAGCUUAUUAGGUGUUAUAUUGAAUCAUCUAAGUUGAAUAAUCUUUUGGGUUGAAUAUGUUAAUUUCUUAUUCCAUAUGUUUCAGCCUCUCAAUAGUUGAAUUAGCAAUGAAAAUUUGAAAAUGGAAAAACUCAGUGCAAUUAUUUUAGGUGCUUAUCAUAGAUAAGAAUUUCACUUUUUACACUUCAUUGUCUGUUGUCAAAUUUAUUAAGUAUGAACCCGGAUUAGGUUUGUGCUCUCAAGGAUUUAUAAAUAAGUGCUACUUGACUUAGAUGUAAGAAAAUUGAAAAGCAGAGUUGCUUGAUUGAAUAGCUUCAUAUUUUACAUCACAGAAACUCAAUUUUCAUUGCCAUAUGUAGCUCAAAAGAGCAUGAACAUUGAACAUUCAGCUAAUUUAUACUAAUUAAUUAACACAACUAUCAGUUCUUACUUCUUGGUACCCGGCAACAUCCAUCCAUAAGAGUGAAACCCCCAUUGAUUUCAUAUAUACAAAAUAAAUAACUUACAAAGACAAUACCUGACAAUCACAACAAAAACACUAAUUCACUCCAAUAAACAACAUAACGAAUACAUGGUCUAAAUUGCAAGUCUUGUUAUGAUUUUAAUUAAAAGAGAAAAUGUGAAGGACAUGUUAUAUAUAAUUGAAUGUUAUCCUUGAUAAUUAGACAAAAUAACACUAAUGUAGCUAACUAAUCCAAUCAUUGUAAUAAUUGGAUUUUCUUUUUUUAAUUAUGUCUAUUGAUGCUAAUUUAAUCAAGAACACUGAAUACUUGAGUGUUUUUAUGUUCAACAACUUUGGCUAAGUUUGAAAAGAUCAUAUUAAUUAUUAAUAUAAAUAAAUAAGCCAACAAGGUACAUAUUACAUAUAUGUGUAGUUGCAAUAAAUACAUAUGUAAUAAAGAUCAUAAAGCUCAGGGCCAUUAAUUCAACAUUACCAAAUCAAUAUCCCAAUAAUGGUUUGAUUACUAAUCUAAGCAUUAAAUGAUCAGCAAACUUUAUUUGGCCAAAACAAAUGCUUCCUUGUUGCCUCCUUGAUCUUUUCCUGGCUGGUGAUUCUUGAAUGUUCUUCUCAUUUUGAUAUGCUGAGUCGUUUGCUGAUUAUAAAUGCUAAUCACCUUAAAUUUUCUUAGUCUUCUUCUUCAUGUGAAAUUCUACCUAAUGGCUAUCCUUUUAUCUGGUUUGAAUUCUUCUUUUUUCUUUGAAUUGUUGAUUUCUAAUGUUCUUGUCAUUCGCACAUGUGGCGUUCUGCACUCUUGCAAUGCCAUUUCUUAUUAUGGCAGCAGCAUUCUUGGUCAUGGCAUCACAAGCAAAUGCUUUUGAAUUGCUUUGUUUGAUUUUUGUUUCUAAUAUUUUUUUUUUUUGGCAUUGUGGGAUACUGUUUCUCUUUUGAUUUUCUGUCUUUGUUGUUAUGGGAUUCUGGUAUAGUAUGCAUCAGUACACGUAUGAAGAUGAUGUGAUAAAGUGCUUUUGAUAAAUUGCCCCAGUCAGUUUACUUCACAAACCAACCAUUAAUGAGCAAAUCCUUCUAAUGACCCUUGUACACAUUAGAAUAAAUACAAUUCUAUAUAUACACAAAAAUAAAUAACUCUCAAGUAUAUUAUUUGAUAAUCGCAAAAGCAACAAUUCACUCCAAUAAAUCUUAUAACACACUCAUGGUCUAUGUUGCAAGUCUUUGUAGAGAAAAAAUGAAGGACACACAAUUGAAUUUUUUCUAUGAUAAAGAACUCUAAACAAAUUCAUCUACAUAUCGCAGUACCCCUUACAAAUUCAUUUGUUUCUUCUUUUCCUUUGAUCAAGUGCUAAUUACAGCCUUGAUAUUUCAUUUGGUUUUAGUUAAUUUUCUAUAGGGUUGUGUUGUGUGAAAUUAAUUACAAAACAAUCUUUAACGAAGUCUUAUGAAAAUACCAUAUUAUAACUACAAAGUUAGGCUUCCUAAUCAAGCUACUGUUCAUCAGAUUGUGUAUUGUGUUACUGGUGAGCUCUUAUGUCAAUUAUGACCAGACGGCGCCUUGGCUAACUGUGAGUUAUGUGCGAACAUAAGAGCUGCAAAUGAAUUAUGUACUAUUUUUAUGUGACAAGGUAUGUGCUCUGUUUUUAUGGUCUUUCUCUCUGUAGUUCCCUCUGUAGUUUUUUUUUUUUGGGAUACAUUGAUAAUAAAAUUAGAAGUCUACUAAUAUGUACAACCAGAAACCUAUUGGGGACUUUUUGUCUUUUGAUGCAGUUGUAGGGCACAGCUCAAAUAUUCUUUCCUCAUUUAAUAUUGGAGAAAUCCGACUCCCAAGCGAUUCUGUCUACGGUUGUUGGACAAACUGUAAUGUGAAUUUCUAUCUAAUGGGUGUAUCAUUCUUGCAGUCAGUUUGGGAUUGUUGAUAUAGAUAUGAUGUUUAGUCUCCAAAAUUCAGAUGAUGAUAAUCUUGUGAGUACUUUUUGUCAUAUUUUCUUUUGUGUUGGUGUUGGGAUCUUAAUUUUGUAUCCAAUGUUAGGACAAUAUGAACCCAUUUUAAGUGAUAUGAUGCAAGUUCAUGUUCAAGAAUCCAUUUAAUGAAACAUUCCAGUGUUUAAUAAUGAGUAAUUGGUUUAAGAUUAAUACCAAAUAUUUUAAGUAACAUGUGGCGUAUUCUAGUGAGAUCCUCCAACUCAGAUUUCUAACUCAAAUGGAAACGUUUCGAAUUUCUUCAGAACAUUCUGCAGAACGGUUCGUCUUGUCUUUACAGUUUCUUUUGUGAAUUUCUCCCAGUUUCUUUUGUGAAGACUUCUGAAUAAGCUUCCAGAUAUUGAGAUACAAUCCAAUCUAAGCCCAUACGUAUAUCCGCCUCACAUUUGUCCAUUUCCCCAGAAAAUCAAAAAGCACUUUAGUUCGAAACAAACACUCUAAAAAAAACCAUCUAGCUACCCAGAUGGCGAAAUCAAGAAUCUUGCAAUGGCAAUGCCAUUUCUUGUUAUGGCAGUAGCAUUGAUGAUCAUGGCAUCACAAGCAAAUGCUCUGAUGCCGUACACACGAUCACCUUUCUUUGACGUGAUGUUCCCAAUGACGGAAGAUCCUUUCAGGGUUCUUGAACAAACCCCGUUAACAACCCAAAAGGAGCUGAACAUCAUCAAACUCUAGCACUGGCGAGAGCAGACUGAAAGGAGACACCAACAUCACACGUGAUCACACUCGACAUUACAGGGAUGAAGAAAGACGAUGUGAAGAUUGAAGUUGAAGAGAACAGGGUACUGAGAGUGAGUGGGGAGAGGAAGAGCGAUGAUUAUUAUAAGGAGGAAGUUGAAGGAGAAAAAUGACACAGAGCUGAGAGAACAUUUGGCAAGUUUUGGAGGCAGUUUAGGAUGCCUAUGAGUGCUGACUUGGAUCAUGUUAAGGCUCAUUUGGAAAAUGGUUCUAAGGAUCACAGUGCCAAAACUUGCUGAGGGGAAGAAGAGGCAGCCUAAGGUUAUUAACAUUGAUGAAGAGCCUGGUAAUUCUUCCGGUGAAGAUAUUAAGGCCGCCAAGGCUCAAAUGUGAUUGAUUAAAGAAAGAAGUGCUUACUUUGCUUGAUGUGCUAUUUGUUUUGUAAUCUUUUCUUGGUUUUGUUGUGGGAUGUUUUUCUUUGGAUGUUCUGUUUAUUGUAUUUUGAUGGAUUUUUAAAGAUGGCUUGUAUGUAUUAACAACAAUAAAGUAUUUUUUAUAAAUCCGGGUCCUAAAUUUGUAAAAGAAAUUAAUAAUACGCUUGGUUUAUUGUUAAUAAAAAAAAAAAAGACGUCUCUUUUUCUUUAGCAUAUAUUAUGCAUUUUAAGGGAAAAAAAAUUAUCACAUUCUAAUUUAUAAAGCAUUCCUCUUCUGUCAUAUUAAUGUGUUAAUACGAAGGUCUAUUGGAAUUAUAAUAGUUUAGAUGAAUCCAAAAUAUUCAAUAAUUGAUAAAUAGUAUAUAUAAAUAUUAAUAGCAAUGGCACAUAAUCAAUUAAUUCAAGAACUUGCCCAUAGUGCAUUAAGUUAAAAGAGUAAAAAUAACAUUGCAAAACAGGCCAGACCUUACGUGUUUAAUUAGCAAUUGAAAACUACUUUACCGUACAACACCAUUAAGAGAUAUUUAUAACACUGUUGUUGAUGAGGCAGCUGUUAAUUCUUUUGGUGAAGAUGUUAAGGCCACUAAAGCUGGAACGUAAUCAGGGAAAUAUAAUGUAUUCACUUAGUUUGCUAUUUGUGUUUUUAUAUUUGUUUGGCUAAUUCUUUUAUCAGAUUGCUUUUUGUUUUUGAGAUUUUAUUGGCUUAGUCGUGGGAUAUUAUUUAAUCUUUUAAUUUUGUGUUUUUAUUGUUAUGGGAUUUGAUGAUGGCAUACAUAUAGGAAAAUUAUGUAAGAAAGUGCUUUUAAUAAAUUAUGGUCGGUUUACUAUUAAUUAACCAAAUUUAAUUUACUCAAAUUACUCCUAUACACGAUUAAAAUAAUUUCAAUUCCAUGAUAUAAAUACGCGCGUGCGGACACACAAAAUGUAAAUAACUUUCAAAUACAAAAUAUUUAAAAUAAUCAUCAUACUAACAAUUCACAAGUUAGAUUAUAUUAAGGCCACCAAGGCUUAAAUGUAAUUGAUUAAAGAAAGAAGUGCUUGCUUUGCCUGAUGUGCCAUUUGUCUAUGAUGUUUUCCUGGUUUUGUUGUGUGAUGCUUCUCUUUAGAUGUGUUGUUUAUUGUAUUUUGAUGGGUUUUUGAGGAUGGUUGUAUGUAUUAGCAACAACAAGGUGCUUUUUAUAAAAUCCGGGUUCUAAUUUUGUAAAAGAAAUUAAUACUCUCGGUUUAUUGUCAAUAAAAAAGAAAAAGGAAAAAGCCUUUUUCUGUGGCAUAUAUUAUGCAUUUUAAGGAAAAAAAAAUCACAUUCCAAUUCAUGAAAGACAUUCCUUCUGUCAUAUUGAUGUGUUAAUAGAAAGAUCUCAUAACAAUUUUGAUGAAUCUAAAUAUUUAAUAAUUGAUAAAUUGUAUUUAUAAAUAUUAAUGCCGGUGGCACAUAAGCACUUAAUUCAAGAACUCGCCUAUAGUGCAUUAAUUUAAAGAGUAAAAAUAUUUAAUAAAUCAUGCUUAGUUUACUAUUAAUUAAUCAAAUUUAAUUUACUCAAAUUACUCCUCUACAUGAUCAAAGUAAUUUCAAAUAUACAACACAGAAAAUGUAAAUGACUUUGAAAUAUAAAAUAUUUAAAAUAAUCACCCCACUAACAAUUCACCAGCAAGAUUAUAAAUAGUCGAAAUAAUGAUAAUCUAGGGGGUCCAGUCAUAAUAAUUUGAUUUUUAUUUAUAUUAAUUAUAUCAGAAAGAGUACUCGAGAUUAUAUAUAUCCAACAACUAAAAUUUCAAAACAAUAUUUGCCAAAGUCUGAUGAAGAGAAUACAUAUAUAUAUAACAUGCACUCGCACACAUUCUAUUGUUUAAUUAAAAAAUUCGAAAGCCCAUUAUAUACAUGAUAAAGACUCACCGACACCGAACCAUAUUCAUUUAAAGGAAUUGUUUUUAACUGAGAUUUGAAAUUAUAUACACAAACACACCUGUUUUUUUUUUUUAAAAAAUUACUAAUAAUAAAAUAUUUCGGCAAAACAAAUUUUGCCGAAAGCAAAAAGUCUGGUGAAAAGAAAUGUUAUGUGCAUAUAACCGUACAGGCGCAGCAGAAGGAUAAGUCAAAGAAAAACGAAGUUUCAAUAAGAAAUUAAUUACACAUUUACACUCAAUAAGAAAAUCAAUUCAUUACUUUCUAGCGCUUUUAUUUAAAAAGCGCAGUCUAUUUUUUAAUUAAAAAAAUUCGAAAACCGAUUACAUGAUAAAAACUCACCGACACCGAACCUUAUUAAUUUAAAAUAGUUUUCAACUAAGAUUUGAAAUUACAUUCACAAACACACCCAACUAAAAAAGAAAAAUUCUAAUAAUAAAACAUUUCAGUCAUCAAAAACCCAUUUAUAAUUUAUUUCAACACGCGGUAUAUGGGUUAACAAGUCCCAAUAUUGUCCUCCAUCCUUUCUGCACUUCUCUUCUAUCAACGGACAUCCCUCGAUGUAUAAACACAAAAGUGAGGAAGGCAGGCCCUUCUCCGGAAAGUAUUUGAGCUUGGGACAAUCCCAGAGAUGCAAUUGAGUGAGGUUUUGAAGAUCAACAAUUGAAGAAGAUAGGCGUUCCAGAUUUGGAAAUCUGAAAAUCCACAGAGAUGUUAGAGAGGCAGGAAGAGGAAGCGCGGUCCCCAAUCUUAUGUCCUCCGGUGGGAACGACACCGUGUCCUCAUCACAUCCUUCGAUUCUAAGUUCUCGCAGAGAGGAGAAUCUGUGAAAUCCUCUGCUCCGCUCAAUCAUUGACUUCCAAAUUUUCGUAUUACCAUCAAUCUCCAGUGAAUGAAGGUUGGUGGGAAGGCCAUCUUCUUCAAGGCUUGGAAGCUCACCUCCUGUUCCUAUUCUUAAUUCUUGAAGAGAGCUCAGAUUGUGCAAUCCCUUGGGUAAGGCCUCUAGUCUCUCACAAUCAGAUGUCUCCAGCGUCCUGAGUUUCGCACAAGGCAAUCCCCCUUCGGGAAAGGACACCAGAUUUCCACAAUUCCAUAUCUUAAUCUCUUGAAGCUGGCGGAGAUUAUGUAAACCACUCGGUAAAAUUUUCAGAUUUUCACAAUUAGAAAUGUCGAUUGUUUCAAGAGAUGUGUUGUUGUCCAACCUUUCUGCUAUUGACUCCAGCUUUGAACAACUCCGAACAUUAAGGCUCUUAAGAGACGGAGGUAGAUUGCCAACUUCAAGGGACUCAAGCGUGGCAGGUAACUCGUUUUUUGAAAAUAUACAUGUCAGUGAUGGACAAACUGCAAUUAAUAAGUGCUCAAGAAGAGAUGAGGUGUACCUUCUGCUGCUGCUGCUGCUGUGGAUGCCCUCUUCCACUGUCAAAGUCCUUAUGUUACUGCACCACUGGAUGUCCAACCUCUUAAGGCUUGAUGGUAGCUGGACUCCAGCAAUAUAUGUCAACGAACGGCAAUCCUCAAUAUACAAGAUCUCGAGAGACGAAUUGGUGUCGCACAUCCAUGCCUCCGGUAACGAUUUCAGUGCGUCACAUUCCCUAAUCUCAAUUUGCUUCAACUUGGAAGGCAGAGCAACCUCAGGAAAGGAAACAAGGGAACUGCACUUGUAGAUUUCUAUCUCUCUCAAGGAACUGAGGCUGAGAGAUGAUUGUGGCAGCUUCACAAGGCCUUCGCAAUAUCUCAAUCUUAGAUAUUCGAGUCUGCAUGACAACUGGCAGAGCUGCUGUUGUUGGUCUUUCUCUUCCUCCGCCACCAAGGAUUGAAGUUUGGGACACCGUCUAAUCGUCAAUCUUUUGAGAGAGCAAAUGUCUUGUAGUAAUCCGUCAUGACUCUUCCAUAUAUAUGUUUGCUCUUUUGUCGACAAAAUUAAUUCUUCCAAUUUCGAUAGUUGUGGCUUCAAGGGCCCCGCAAGAAACACUUGAUUUGAUGUAUCUCUACAAACCACUGAAUUCUGUGAUCCGAGAUGACCAGUUGCACUUUCCCACACAACCUUUUUGCAUCCACCAAUCUGUAAUUUGCAAAGAGCUGGAAGACUCGAAACUGAAACUACCAAUUCUUCACAUCCUUCAAUAACAAGCAUCUCCAAUGCAGGAAGGUGCUCUGGAAAUGUUCCUUUCAGUUUAGAACAUCUUAAAAUGUGAAGCUCUCUCAAUUUAGGAAACCGUUCAACUCCCUGACUGGAUCCAUGAGGAAUCCAGUCUUCCCAUUCUCGCAUGUUUUCAAAACGAAGAGUCUCCAAACAUGGAGGAUCAUUCCCACAGAACUCUGAACCCAACCUUUUUACUCUGCUCAUUCCACGCACUGUAAGAUGCUUUAGAGAGGGCAGUUGCCCGACAGACGGCAGGGCAGUACACAUGCCGCAAUCUUCAAAUUCAAGUGUUACUAAAUUUGAGAACAAGGAAUCUCCUAACCAUGUUGGAAAUUUCAUACCUCCAUAGCCUUUGAUACAAAAUUGCUCCAGAUUUGUAUGAGGUUUUAGCAUGUCAAGCACGCCCAUUUCAGUUUCUGCCUCCCUUGAAGAAGAACCAUCGGUACUGCAAGUCCAUUUAAGCGAUAAUUCUUUCAGAUUCUUCUUUCCAUCCAUUUGAGCCUCCAUGGCAUCACCAACGCAUUUUACAUUCUCCAAUUUUGAAAUGCUAAGUGUCCCAUGAAGGUGCGUCAACAACUUUAGCUCUCGUAAACCGGAACCACUGCCUUUUCCCACAACAAAAUUACACAACGUCUGAAGACUAGUCAACCUACCAAUUCCUACUGGCAUUUCCUCCAACGACUUCGUAUUUGAAUUCUUAAGAUGAUGCAAUUUGAUGAGGUUCCCCAUGUCUGCACACAACUUCUUCAGCCGAUCACAAUCUUCCAACAAAAGACUAUGCAAAUUGUAAAGCUUGUUGACUGAUUCAGGCAGAGUUCUAAUCUCAGUUCUAGACAGGUUAAGGUACCUUAAAUACCUCAAAUCACCAAUUGAAUCUGGCAGCUCAGGGAUGCGGUAUCCACGCAAAGAGAAGACCCUCAAGCGUUGAAGUUUGAGCAACUUAGGAAGAAUGCUAGGAGCCAAGUAGCCAGGCCAUCUAUUUGUCAACAUUACUGGUAAAAAAGUUCUCAAAUGUUGGAUAUCAUACAAGUCCCCAAACCUUUGAACGCCAUCAUAAUCUCCACAAAUGUAUGAUAGAUGACGAAGAUUUCUGGAAAAACAUUGUUGCUUGUUAACCUCCGAGGUAUACUCCAGUGUGAAGUAUGUCUCCCCUGCAGCCCAACGGGCAAGGUCGUUGAUAAGAUCGUGCAUAACAAAUAGUGAUGCAUCGGUGGCCGAUUGCUGGAAAAAAGAUCUUGAACAUAGCUCCUUAAAGAAAUCACGACCUAAAUCUUCACUAGGAUUCUCAUCUUCUUUGUGAUCCAAAAAACCGGAGGCACACCAUAAUAAAAUUAUCUCCUCCUCUUCAAAUUCAUAAUCCUUUGGUAACAAUGAGCAGUAUGCAAAGCAUUGUUUCAAAGUUGGAGGAAGAUAAUAAUAGCUCACUGCAAGGGCUGGUAUAAUGCGACACCUCUGUUCUGGUAAUUCCCAUAUCUUGCUACCGAGCACACCUUCCCAUACCCGUCUGUCAUGUCUUCCACGUAAUAGUCCUCCAAGUGUUUGUGCAGCUAAGGGCAAGCCAUCGCAUUUGGUCACUAUCUUCUUGCCAAUUUCCUCCAAUAACUCAUGCGGCCCCAGAGAAUGUUGAGCGAAUAUAGCUAGACAGUCAUUAUCUGACAAUUUUUUUAAUGGAUGAGGUGGAAGAGUCCCCAUGAUUGUUGCAACAUCCUGAUUGUGAGUAGUAACAAUAAUCUUACUUCCCUGUGCACCAGCUUCAAAUGGAAGGCUGAGCUGAAUCCAAUCAUCGUAACUAUCAUUCCAUACGUCGUCUAAAACAAGCAAAAAUUUCUUUCGAGACAACUGCUUCUUUAGCUCCUCUUGAAGAAAAUUUAAAUCAUUAUUAUCAACAGUCUGCUUAGUAAUGGAGCUUAGAAUUGUUCUUGUUAGCCUGAUAAGAUCAAAAUCAUCAGAGACACAAGUCCAUGCCUUGAGAUCAAAAUGAUCCUCCACUUGCUUGUAGACAAGCUGAGCAAGAGUGGUUUUACCCAGCCCGCCCAUACCUAUAAUGGGAAUAACUGCGAAUCCACCAUCCUUUCUUGAAUCAUCCUUCAACAACAAUUCAACAAUUUCCUUCUUUUCUGUUUCCCUGCCAUAUACUUUGGCUUCCUCCACCAAAGAGGUUGUCUCUUGCCUUUGCCUGGCUUUUUUGGACCCCCCAGCUAAACUUUUUAUCAAAUUCAGCGAGCGUAUUCCUUCUUCAAUAUCUUGAAAUCUGUCGUUGAUCUUUUUGAUUUUGGACAUCAAGGCGAAAUCGAACUGAAUCGAUUGUAGAGUAAAAGUGGUACAGCAAGUAGGAAUGAGCUUCCGAAACUUACUCUUCGUGCUUGUACGACUGCUGCUGGGUUGAUCAUGAGCAGCAGCUGGUUCUCCAUUUCCAAGCAGCAACUUCCUCCGGAAAGCCUCAGUUUGGAACUCAUCCAACAAGUCUUCAACGUCAUAAGCCAAGUUCUGAAGCUCGCCAAGCCACAACUUCACAUAAUCAUCAGUCGUCUUCUUCUCCUCAGCAUCAUCAAGCACCGCCUUGAUCGUCACCAACUUAUUCUUCCACUUCACUAGAUCGUCUUUGAUUCGACCUUGGCGUGCAAAACGCAGAAUCCCCUUUGAAGCUAACUUAUUGACCAGCAACUCAACGGACGCCGUCAGGAUUGCCUCUCCGAUGAUUGACAUUUUUUCUUUUUUCUUUUUUUUUGGGUUUUUUUGGACAAAGAAAAAAACUAAAUUAUGAGUUUGUGGAAAGCAAAAUGAGAAAAGUGAAUAAGCGGAAUGUGUUUGUGAUUGUGUCUAGCAAGCCUAGAAAUCAAGAAAAAUCCACCGUAAAAGUGAAAAGUAAAACGGAGCCCACCACAAAUAUAAAAUCAGAGGAGCACAGAAUAAAAAAAAAAACAAAAGAAAAGAAAAAGCCAAGCCAAGAAUCAUAUGCCAUUGCUUUACAUAUUAAAUUAAAACAAAAGCCAUGCCAGGAAUCCUGCCUUUGCUUGAUAUUUGACAAGAUUAAUUGGACAUUACACAUUAUUUCACAGAGAAUAAAACUUGUAAAGAACCAAACCCAUCAAACCCUUUCUUUAUCUUAAAUGUCAGAAAUAUAUAAUUAGCUUGGAAUAAAGCUAUACUCUUCUCCUUUUUCCAUUUCUACAGGUUCAUAUAGGCAUAUCAUAUGGAUUUUGUUUUAUGCUAGGUAAUUAUUAAUUUAUAUAAUAAUAUAUUUCCCUCAAAAUAUACUAUUUGAAUUUGAAAUAAUUUUUUAAAAUAAUUUAAUAUCACAAUAAUAGUCAUGAUUCAAUUCGGUUCAGUUUAAUUUUUUUAGAGAAAAAAUUUGAGAAAAUAGACAAAUAAUGAAGACGCAAUUGAAGCACAGCCAAUAAACAGGGUAAAGUGAAUUGCGUCCUGUCCUUGAGCACUCAAUUCUCUUCAAUCUCAAAUUUAUACGUACAUUUUUGUAAAUUCAUGUCAUAUACUAGAGUCUUUUGGGUUCUGUUACAUCAAUUGUUUCGUGUCUAUCUUGUUUUAUUAAUUUAUGGAGCAAGAUUGCUAGUAGCGAUAAACCUGGAAUAAAACGAUUUAUUUAUUUUAUAUAUAUAUUGCGUUGUUAUCAGCAAAAAAUAUGAUGGGUUUCGUUUGUAACAACUAGCUAAUUGCUUAAUACAUUUUUGUACUUCUCGUCAUGAAGUCACGAGGAACUUGUAAAUAAGAUCAUAGACGUGGUACGAUGUGACGUGAUAAAUUUAAAUCAAAUCUAAACUAAGAUGGUUCAUAUAUAGGUACAUACUGAAUAAAGAUAUUUAAAGCAUUCAAUUUUAUGACAUACCUAAUAGUCAUUGGCUUAUUGUUAUUAAAGGAAGUGAAUAGAAAUAGAUGUAGAAAGUGAAAAAGAUGAACUAGCGCACAUGAUGAUUUCUCAGAUAAAAAGUUAAAUUUAUAUUCUUUUUUUUAAUAAGUGUGAGAUGAUUUACACCCUAAAAUUUAUUUUGAACACUCAUAUUUUUAUUACAAAAAACCCCAUAGUUCAAUUUACUGGUAUGGACAAUUCAAUAAAAAUACAUAGAACAAUAAUACUUUUGACACCCAUCUGGCUAUAUUUAACAAGUUUGCACGCACAGACUCUAUGAUUCUAAUUUCUUUGACUUGGUUUUAGUUUUUGUUGAAUAUAUAUCUACCUAUAUAAAGUGUUAGUGAUUUUUCACUUCUCUACCAAGGAGAUUCUACACGAAUAAACAACCGCAGAAAAAAAAAUAUAAAAAACCUGAUACAGGUGAAGAAGAUAUUCAUCAUAACAGUUUUUUAAAGUUGAUGAGUCCAAAUAUCCAAUAACUGAUAAAUUGUGUUAAGAAAUAAAAAAUAUUAAUAGUGAUGACACAAAGGAAGUCCCGUGUUUUGAGUUUGACUAAAAUAAUCUGAAUAAUUUAAAAUAAUCGAUCAGGCCAAAUUGCUGAAGAGAUGAACGGCCUCUGUUUUUUACCAUAAUACUAGGAAUUGACUUCAAUUGGGAAGUCAGGCCAAUCGAAGGAGCUCCCCUGUUUCUGACUGAAACAUAAUCCUAACAAUUUACAAUUAAAUAAAUCAUUCAAAAUUUCUCCUUUAAUCGAACCCCCACUUCUAUGACUUAAUAAAAUAUUACAAAAGUUCUUAAUACAGUGAAAUUAACGUUCAGCUCAUGAAGUCGCCAUUAUAUAUAUUGAAAAAGAGAUUAGUACAAGACAUUGAAAAUUAAUUGACAUUGAAUCACGUUGGAUCCUUAGUUGUUAAUUAUGAUCUUGGUCUUUUAAUUAUCAUCUAGCCAACGCAGGUCCACUAGUUUCAUUUGUGUCAAUCACUGAAAAGUAGAGCUUUAUUGAACACCGCAUAUUACAGAAACUCACUCGAUUUUCAUUGCCAUACAUGUAGCUCAAAAGUACAUAUUAUAUCAGUGAACAUGGAACAUUCAGCUAACCUAUAACAAAUAUAAUAAAAUCUCAAUAAAUUAAUAGUUCUGGGACCAAUGAAAAAUUAGUUAAAAUUUCAUGAAUAUCAAUUAGUCGAUAAGUUAAUAAAUUAUUAAUUUAUGAAAAUAUUCAUUAUUUUGGAAAAAAAUGAUUACGUUUAUAGUAUUGAUUUACGUUGAGUUAGAAUCUAUUAUUUUUUAUUUGAAUAUUAAUUUUCUUUUAAGAAGAUUUUUUAAUAGUUAACUACUUUAUAAUAAGACUAUUGUAUGAUUUUUAUUUUUCCAUGUUAGAGAUGAUAGUUCUGCUAUGCAAGCUGUUUCGAUCAAAGGAUUAGAUGAUAUUGACAUUGAAUAAUUUUUUGUUGCAAAAUGACAACACCAAUUAGAAUUUCUUUUCGCAUUACAAAAGAAAAAAAUGAGAUCCAAUUCUAAAUUAAUUUAAAAAGAAAUAAACGAUGCUGAGAAUAAAUUUUACACAAGCCAUAUAGACAUAUCAUAUGGAUUUUGUUUUAUAUUAGGUAAUUAUUAAUCUAUGUAGUAAUAUAUUUCCUUCAAAAUGUACUAUUUGAUUUUGAAAUUAUUUUUGAAAAAUUUAAUAUCAUAAUAAUAGUCAUGAUUCCAUCGGUUUGAGGUUUUUUUUUUUUUUUUGGUUUAAGAAAAAAGAUGGGACAAUAGUCAAAUGAUGAAAACACAAGCUAAGCAGAGCCAAUAAACAGGGGAAAGUGAAUUACUGUCCUUGAACACGUUCUCUAAUAAUCUCAAUAUUCUACGUACAUUUUUGUAAAUUCAUGUCGCAUACAAAAGCCUUAUGGGUUUUGUUGCAUCAAUUCUUUGGGGAUUUAUCUUGUUUUAUUAUUUUGCGACGCAAGAGUCCUCGAAGCAAUACAUUUGGAAUAAAACGAUUCAAUUUAUUUUUCGUUGUUAUUAACAAAAACUAUAUAUUAUUAAUUAAUCAACUCAUCGAGAUAUUGGUUUCAUUUGUAACAAGUAGCUAAUUGCUCAGUACAUUGUUGUACUUACUCAUUAUCAUAUCAAGACGAACUUGUAAAUAAGAACAUAGACGUGGUACACUGUGAUGUGAUAUAUUUAAUUCAAAUCUAAAUUAAGAGAUGAUUCAUAUAUAUAGGUACAUACUGAAAAAAGAUAUUCAAACAUAAACACUCCAUUUUAUGAUAUACCUAACAAUAAUCGGUUUAUUGUCCAUAGGAAAUGGAGUGAAUAGAAACAGAUGUAGAAAGUCAAAAAGAUGAACGAGCGCACAUGACGAUUUAUAAAAUAAUAAAUUAAAUUUAUAUCGUUUUUAAUAAGUGUGAGAUUAUUUACAUUUUCAAAUUUAUUUUGAAUGCUCUUAUUUUUUACUACAAAACCUCAUAAUUCAAUUUACUAUUAAGAGCAAUUCAAUAUAAAUAAAUAGAACAAUAAUACCUUUGACACCCACCUAGAGCGCACACACCCAUGUAAAAUUAUUAAACCUUAAACCGAAGAACAUUCUUCCUCAACAUUAAAACUCGUGCAUUAUUUAAAACCAUAUUUAACAAAUUUUCACAAAGAGACGCCAUGAUUCUAAUUUCUUUGACUUACAUUUCAAUUUUUGUGGAAUAUAUAUCUAUUCCAUAUUAAGAGAUUCUGAAUCUUUCACUCGGCUGUCAAGGAGAUUGUACUGAAUAAACAACAGCAGAAAAACAAAUAAAAAACUUGAUACACGUGUAGAAUAUACUCAUUAAAUUUUAAUUUUCGGCACAAUUAUGAGCUGCAUAUUUAUACACACACACAAAUAACUGUUCUGCAAAUAUGUACAAAUCAAUUUCAGCCAUCCAACUUUUUUUCGAAUUUUAAUGAAUAUAAAUUUUAUAAGUUGGGCAACUAUGAAACAUAAAAUUAGCAAAAUGAUAUUAUUAACAAAUAAGGAGAGCAAAAGGUAAUUAUAUCUUGGUGUGCUAAAUAUUUUUAUGGGUGUAGUGAAAAAACUAAAGAUAAUGGAAGAAAUGUUAUUGAGGAGUAAGUGAAAAGUGAUUUCCUAAAAUCUAUUAACUAAUGCGCAAAAUAGAAGGGCAUUUUGAGAAAAUUUUAGAUUAAAAAUAGUCCCAUCCUUUUAAUAAUAUUCUUCAAUCAAUCUGUUUAUUUCAAAAUAAAAAUCCAUCUCAUUUUUACUUUCUAAUUAGUCAUAUUAAUGUGUUAAUAAUUACGAAGAACCAGUAUUAUUUGUAUGAUGUAGGAAGCCCUUUCGACACAAUAACCCAAAUUUCUAAGAGUAGCGGCUGGACUUGAUUGGGAACAACUUCGAUUCAGUUUAAAAGGUUAAUCUCAAAAUUUCGUGAUAUUGUGCCUAAAGAGCUUCCUGCAUCAGUAUAACAGUUUCUAAAUUAAUAUAAUUGUGUGUUCAUUUUUUAUGAUUUUCCUUUAAUUUUUUUUUUAGAAACUGUUGUUCUUCAAUAAUUAUUCUAACAAUGUUGCUUUAAAGUGAUGUUGAUACGGGAGUCGAUGAGUCUUUAUCUGAAACAAAAAUUUACAAAAAAAAAUAUUAAAUUAAAAAAAAAGUACAUCAAAUAUUGGGCUCCCCCAAGUUUUACAUUUGUCUUCCACAAUGAGACAAGCCCUUUUUUCAAGUGAAGACUUUUGAUGUACAAUUUGUAAAGGAAAUUUGCCCCAUAUAAUUUUCCUUUCUACAACUUGCAAGCUUAUGUAAAUCAUAUCAACUUAAAAGAUUCCAAGAUUUGGUAUUUUGGUGAUUUGAGUAUCCAAUGGUGAUGACACAUACGCAUGGAAGUCCCCUGAUUUGAGUUUGACUAAAAUAAUCUGAAUAAUUUAAAACAACACAUCAGGCCAAAGUCCUUAAGAGAUGAACUGGAUUUCAGUGCAUCACAUUCCGAAAUUGAUACUAACCUUAACUGGGAAGGCAGAACAGCCUCUCUUUCCUACUGUUGCACAAAAUGGCAAGUCAAGCCAAUUCAAGGAACUUCCCUGUUUUUUACUGAAAAAUACAUAAUCUGAACAAUUUAUAAUCAAAUAAAUCAUUCAAAAUAUCCUUUAAUCGAACCCCCGUUUCCAUGGUUUAAUAAAAUAUCACAAAGGUGCCUAAUACAGUGGAAUUAACACUCAGCUCAUGGGAUUGCCAUUAUAUAUAUUGAAACAGAAAUUAAUACAAGAAACUGAAAAUUAGUUGACACUGGAUCACGUUGGAUCGUUAGUUGUUAAUUAUGAUGGAAAUAUAAUCUUGGUCUCUUACUUAUCAUCUAGCUAAUGCAUGUGCACUAGUUUUAAUUGUGUCUAUCACUGUAAAUAGUAGAGUUGCUUGAUUGAAUAGUAUCAUAUUACAUCACAGAAACUCGCUCAAUUUUCAUUGCCAUAUGUAUCUCAAAAGUGCAUGAACAUUGAACAUUCAGCUAACUUAUACCCAACAACAUCCAUCAGUCAGAGUGAAACCCCAAUUGAUUUCAUAAAUACAAAAUAAAUAACUCGCAAAGGCAAUCUUUGACAAUCACAAAAGCAACAACAAUUCACUCCAACAAACAACAUAACAAUUAUAUGGUCUAAAUUGCAGGUCUUUUUAUGAUUUUAAUUGAAAGAGAAAGCACGAGGGACAUAUUAUAUAUAAUUGAAUGUUAUGAUUGAUAAUUGGGCAAAAUAAUACUAAUCUAGCUAACUAGUCCAAUCAUCAUAAUAAUCUGAUUUUCAUUAUUUAAUUAUGUUCAAUCAUGUUAUUUUAAUAAAGAACACUGAACGCUUGAGUAUUUAUAUGUUCAACAACUUCGGCUAAAUUUGAAAAAAAAAAAGUAUUAAUUAUGAAUAGUAAUAAAUUACCCUACAAGCCACAUAUUGCGUACAUAUGCAGUUGCAACAAAUAUAUGUGUAAUAAAAAGAUCAUAUGUGCUUAGAAAAUGAAGCAUCAUUGAAUAAAUGGAAAAAAAAGAAAGAAAAUUAAAAUCAGCGUCCAGCGGAAAGAAUCCAUCUUUACGUGUUGCCUCCAAUUUGGUACAUCUAUCUGACUUUAAAAAAAUUGCAGUAGAAAUUAGAGCUCAUUUUUUUAGAUAUGGCUCAUAUACAAUACAAGUGUCAAGAUGUAAUUAGAGUUUACAUAUAUACACGUGUCUAAUUCUAAUUGACAGACAAACUAAUCAUAAAUACUCAGGUGUUUCUAAAUGAUUGAAUAAUGAUAUUGUAGUGACUUGAUUGCUUUGUUCUCUGAUUAGAAAUAAAUCACUGUCCAAGAACCUUUGUCAAGAUCUGUUCAAGUUGCAAUUAAACCAACACCAAUCUGAGGCUUCAAUGCUGAUUCACACCAUAGCUCUAGGUUAAUGGAGGUUGAAAACAGAAGAUUAAAUUGAACUAGAAGCAGCACACACUCACACAAAGAACAGGAUUUAACGUGGUUCGAUUAUGCAUAAAUGCACAAUCUACAUCCUUGGGAGAAGCCACAGAGCUAAUACAGAGGAGAUUACAAGGAACAAGAAGACUCUUUCUCUCUUUCUAAGAUCUCUCUGGAAAGCUCUCAAAAUCCUAUGCAAUGUUUUUCAACAACCAGCCUCUUUACACCCCUGAUAUUGAAACCCAGAUUGCAUAGCUUUUGGACGCGUGUAUAACGGCUUCAUAACGAAUUUGAUUCCCUUCUCACAUGCGGUCUCACGUGCUUCACUUAAACUUGCUCAAAACGACUGAAAGUAGCGUCGUUUUUCCUUAAGAUUAGUGAAGAAGAUAGCAUGUGUGUUGCACGUGAGUCGUAAGUGGAUUCGCUUACUCAAAACACAGCCGCUUUAGGGCUUCGAGUUUUGGAUUCAUGGCACUCUAGUCCAGAGAUAUUAUUGGUAUUUAUAAAUUUCAAAGUGGUGAUAACAGAUUCACAACAUAUUGGAGUUUUGGAUUCAUGGCACUUAUGGUUUCUCAUCAAAUAAUGUUAUAAAAAAAAAUACAUAAGUUAGAAGAUUCACAACAUAUUGGAGUGUAAUUUCCACUUGAGUGACAAUGAAUGAAGUUAUGUUAAUUUAGAUUAAGUACAAGCCUUCCUAAAUAGGAUUAGAAAUACUCUAUUAACAUAUCGAAUACUACCUUAGUAAAAAUUUAGUUGACAAAAAUUAAAAAAAAAAAAGCCUUGAAGGCUUGAAACAAUUAACACCAACUAAAUAAUUGUCUUACAUCACCAAUUUUUUUUUUUUCAUUUUAAUAAGACAUCACCACACUCCUGACUUUAUAAAGUGACUUUAUAAAGUAAAGCAUAAAAUAUAAUAGAGAAGUUUGAGUUUAAAAAAAUAAAGUUGGGAGAAUGACUUGUCACGCUGUCUUUGAUCAUUGAGCACACAAUUAUCUGAGAAAAAAAAACUCUAUUGUAUUUGUGUUUGUUGUAGAUUCAUGUCAUUUACUAGUCCUUUGGGUUUUGUUGUAUCAAUUCUUUGGUAAAUGUUUAUCUCGUUUUCAUUCUUUUAUGAUGUGAGAUUCCUGGUUAUAUUAGGAAUCAGAGUGAAAUCCAAUCUUAAAAUUUGGAGAAAUAAAACGUAAUAUGAUUUUUAAAAUUUAGAGAAAUAAAAUGUAAUAUGAUUUUUUAAUGAAUAAAACGAUUUAAUUUAUUUCUUUUCUACUAGUAAAAAUUAUUAAUUUAUUAACCCAUCAAGCUAUUGGUUUCAUUUGUAAGCUGGUCAGUCAGUUUUUUAUUUUGAGUUGUUAUCUUUCAAAAGAUAUUAGAAAAAUCUUACUUUGAGUGUACUUGAUCACUUCACUAAUUAUAGGGUAUUUACAAGUUAGAAAAAUAAAUUAUUUCUGGCCGAAGACACUAGAAAUUAAAGUUCAUAUGACUUUGUAAUACUGUUUGGUAAGUGAGAAAAUUGCCGAGAAAAUACAGAGCAAAUAGAAUCUUUAAGAAGAUCUAAAUUUCUGUAUUUUAUUGAUCUAAAAAAAUGAUACAAGCUCUUAUAUACAAUUGUAAGAUUCUACACACUCACAAUGAAAUAUCACGCUACUAGUAAUUAACAACCCUUAUAACAAACUCAACUGAUUCAGGCUGACUCCAGAGAAUGUCGAAAAGCGUUUGGCUAAUUUUUGUAUACACACACAUAACACAAAAUUAAAUUAGUUGGCAGCGUUGACAGUGAGUCGUUUUUGGCCAUCCAUAAGUUCACAUGUGCAUGGACAUCUGUUGCCAGCCCUUUCAUUAUUUUAAAUCUCCAUAACAUUAUUAGAGUCCCACAUUUAUCACACAUCAUUAAGUAGAAUGCGCUAAUUAGGAAGAGCUAGUUUCUUUGUUCUGUUUUCUUGCAUAUGUUGCAAUUUUCGAGUAUCACUGAAAAUUUUAGACCGUCAAACCUGCAGGAAAAUUAUAUACAUAUUCUAUCAUUCAACCUCAACAAAUAAAUUCUUUUCACUGGAAUCCAACAAUCGUUAAGUGUUAACCUUGUAGUUCUCAAGAGCAGAAAUUGUUGUAUUAAUUUUUUCAAAGUGUCUCUCUUAAAAGAACACUAAAGAUAGGAGAGUGAAAUUUCAACUGAGAUCUUGCCACAUAAGACGAUCGAUUUAAUCCGACAAAAUGUGCGUUAGGUUAAUAAGAGCCAAUACUGCCCUGAUCCUUUCUGCAUCUUUCUUCUAUCAGCGGACAAUCCUUGAUAUACAGUUGCAAGAGCGAGGUAGGCACGCUCUUGUCCAAAAAGUAUUUUGGCUUCGGACGAAUAUAAAGCCAAAGAUACACCAACGACGUGAGAUUUUGACCAAUUGAAGGCAGGCAUUCCAUGCUUUGGAAAUCAUAAAUCCACAAAAGGGUUCCUAACUCCUGUGGCGAAAUGACACCACGUCAUGAAGUCCUCCGAUUGACAGUCGUUGUAGAGAUGAGAAUCUGUUCAAUCCCCCUUCCCCCCCACCCCAUCGAUGGCUUCCAAAUCUUCAUAUCAUGAAUAUAAAGUGACUGAAGGUUGCUGGGAAACCUACCAUCAUCUGCCUCAACUGGGAAGCAAUACCAUAUAUGCUUGCCAGACCUCCUCUGUUUCAUUCUUGAAGACUGUGCAUGUCCUUGGGUAAGGCCUCUAGCUUAUCACACCACGUUAUCCGGAGCUUAGACAGUUCCGCAGAAGGCAAUCCUCCUUCAGGAAAGGGUCAUUUCAAUAAAAGCACAGUACAAUUGCUUAACUAAUUUUUUGAAAACAGAGAUAUGAGAGAUUGACAAUUUACAAUUGCUUAACUGCUCAAGAAGAGAGCACGCUUGAAUUAUGAAAUACGAAAAAGAGAGCACAAAUGAAAAAUCUUAAGGAAUCAGCAGGAUUCACAUCCGACCAACUCCACGCUGCUAAAGCAAAGGAUUAAUUUUUGAGAAAUUGUAAAGAAAUUAAUACAAGUGAAAUGAGAGCCUGUUCAUUUGAUUAUUGGCCAAGGGUGAUUUCAAUAACGUUUUCAAAGAAGAUAUAGGACAAAGAUCAGAACGAAAAAUAAGUAAUUUCAGUCGUUGAAAAAAAAGAGCAAGCUUCACACAUGCAUGCAUGUGUCGGACCAACAGAACAUGGCUUGUGUCAAGGAUCAAUCAAAGACAUAUAAACUCAGUUUUAUAAAGUAAGCAUCAAAAUGUUUGACAAGUUUUAGAUUUGUAGAAUAUUGGGAAAGCAGACAAAUAAUCAAUGAAGACACUGCAAGUUAAGCAGAUCAAUUAAACAGAGGAAAUAGCUGAUCAAUUCUUUGUGCAAUGGCCACAGCAACUGUGAGGUUAUAAGUUGCUGAUGUGUUGGGCUUCAAUACAAGAUUCGAAGAGUUCUUGGGGCUGUGUGAAGACUGACUUCAGUUGGAGGGGUCUUAUUGUAAAUUUUAUGCUGAUGUGGCAGAGUUCGUUGAGAAUUCGUUAUGCCUUUUCCAGAAAUAUCAGAAUAAAAGGCGCUGGUGAUUAGCCCCUGAUCUGAGAUCAAUAUCUUCUUCAUUUCUUGUUCAUUUUGUUGGAAAUUUGGUUCUCUGUGAUCCUUGUAAUUGCCUCUUCAUAAUCAACCUGUAUCUAGAUUGUUAUGAUCAACAAAAGAGCAGUUGUUUCCUUCAUUGAUUUGUGUACUUGAAACAGUGCUCUGUGUUCUAUUCUUGGAAUUGCUUUCUUGUUUGGUUGAUCUGGUUUGAUUCUUUCAAGUCCGAUUCAUCAAGUUCUUCACGAAUUAACUUGUGUAGCCAUUAAAGUUUCAACAGCAACAGAUUAAAUAUAUCUACAAGACUACAUUAAUCCUAAUGGCAUGGUAGCAUCUCCAUGCAACAUUACAUUAACAUUUCAUCAUCAAUCAAUUUUGAUGAUAUGAUAUUAAAAACAUUGACUUCAUAAUUUAACAUAUAAAGAAAAAGUAAUACUUAUUUGAUGAGUAUGAUAGACAGCAAAUAUGGAUCAUGCAAUAAUGAAACAUGUAUUUAUAGAAAAAUGUUUGGGAGUAAAAUGAUGCUAUAAAGUUUAAUAUUAGUUGCAAGAAAAAAAAAUUGGCAAUUAAGAUUAACAGAUACAUAUGCAAUGCUUCGAGUUUAUUUUAUGACUUCCGUAACGAUUUUGUAACUACAUAUUGAUUAGAAGUUCGAUUAAUUUUGACCAAAAACUCUAGAGCAAGUCGAAAAGAGAUUUGAUUUUUUGUAUACAAAAAAAAUAAUCAAUAAAAGCAAGCUCUGGUGUUGUUAAGCUAAGGAUACAGGGGUUAAAAUUACUCACCACUCAAUGGAAUCCACCAAAGAGAUACAGAGUUUGAUAAUAACUCAAAGUUCAUCCAAUUUCCAAAAUUAAUCUCUGUCCUUUGGUUACAACUACAUAAGCUUAAAUAGCUUUCUUGGAACAAUCCUCCAAGCAUAGAUUUACUACAAAGAAACCCUUCAAAUAACUUGACUUUAAAGACCAACAUUAAAGCUAGACAUUAAUAAAACAUUGGUAUGCUUAAAACACAACAAAAAAAAUUAAAAAAAAAUCCAAGUCCCGAAAUAUUCUUCUUGACUCAAAACUGAACAGUCUGCACUUAACUGAUCAUAACUUACUGUAGAAAACUCCAAAUUUAGAUUAGUAAAAUUCAUUGGAAAACUAACAGAAAUAUCUUUCCAAUGAUGUAUGGCUCGAAAAUUAAUUCGAUCUCAUGCAGUACAGUUGAAUUCCCAAAGAUGCCCCUUCUGCACAGAAAUUCUGCUCACUUGAUUAAUGUAAGAACUUGAGCUGCACUUGGUAUAACUUGAUUACCAAAUAUUUCAAACGCCCGUGUUAUUUUCACUGGUGGCCGUAGGUCUCAUGACAGACUGAACCACGUUGUCUCUGUUUUCCCUGUGAUUUUGUCUCUGAUUCUUCUUGUUCUUUCUUCUUGAUUCUAUUUCUUGGAAGUUUAAGUCUGGUUUGUUGAAUAUUGAGUUGAUUCAGAUUCGGUUCGGUGCUUGUGCAUCUUGUGUUAGUCUCAUUCAAGAUCUUGGGCAGAGUCUUUGGUUUGACAAGUUAAUUAGAUCGUCCAAAGCUCUACGUUUUUUUUUUUUUUUUAAACAAAAAAGAAGCACAGUCUGCUAUUAAUACUGUAGCAUGUUAGCUACUAUAAAAGCUCGUGUCUAAUUACCAAAUAAAUUCCACUUUAACAAAGAAUAGAAGCUAAUUUUAUUUUUUCUUUUUGUUAUUGAAGUUACCUCGCAAACUUCUCGGAAGCUUAUUACAAAAUUUCCUUUUACUCUAGGAUCUCUUGAAUGGUCCUGCAAUUUGUAUUCUUUUAUGUGGGAUUGGUUUUUUCUUUAAACAAAAUUUCAAGGAUAAGAAACCUUUCCCAUUGAAUACCAACUUUGAAUUUUAUUAUCAUUUGAACUUAGAAAACUGCAGAAACAAAGCGCGUUCAUAGCACCAGCUAAGCUAGCUGUGUCUUGGUACCAUGCUGGUUCUAUUUUUACUUUAUUAAAUAUAUACAAAAUUAAAUCUCCUGAGCCUCUAGCUUCACUAGUUUCCAACUUGAAAUUAAAACGCGGAAUUAAUGGCAUUGGAGUUCGUUAUUUAAUUUUGCUUUGGUUCAUGGGGAAUCAGAUGGCCAUCCAAUUUUUUGUCUAUUUUAAGUACUAUUGGCCACUAAGUAGCUUGCUUAUAUAUGUGUAUUGGGAUGUCAUAGGCCUUAAAGCUGAAAAUCAAUCCCCAAUCUAAAGUGAAAAACAGUAGCUAGAACAUAAUCUAUGUUUUGAUGUCUUAGUUUAUAAGCUCAAACAAUUAGUAGUAUAUAGAAAAUGCCCGAUAGAACCCAAAACUUGUAGUGAUUUUUAGUUUCGAAAUUCAUUUCAGAAAAUCUGUUCCGUUCAACACAUUCAACUAAACUCUAGCCAUGUACUUGUAUGUAUACAGGUAGAGCACUAGGGCAACAAAGGAGUCCAUCCUUAAGGCCUUGUCUAAGACUGGUUGUCUUUUUCAUGAGCUUCUGGCUUUCCAGCUUGCUGAGCGACGUACACAUAAAGAGGUUAUCCUUUUCUUUUUUUCUUUGUUUUUAUAUGACAGAAUCCAUUUUUGAAUAUAUAUAUAUAUAUAUGUUUAGGUACACAAACACACACAUGAAUAUGCAUGUUUUUAUGAGUUCAUUUAAGUAUAUCCAAUGUUGAAUAACUCUUCCAUUUGAACUUGACAGUAAUCAGGUAGUUGAUAUUUAUGUUACAAAAAUUGGAAGUGUUAGAUAUGAGACUCAAAUCUGAACUUGAGAACACAUACGACAAGUCACGUGGAUCUUUGUAUUAAAUGUGACAUGUCAUGCGUAGGAGUUCACGGAGCUGUAUGACAUUCUUGCUCUGUCGGGAAAACGAGUAAGUAACACACGUGACGUAACACGUGCAUAACUUACUCAAAACGACAGGAGUUUGUGCCGCUUUGUGCUCAAGAGCUUGUGAAGGUGUAACACGUGGCUACCAGAGGUUCAAAAGGCCGUUAAAGGUUGUUAUGACGCGGGCAAAAACUGGGGUUCUUCACAAGCAGCCCAGGUGGCGUUAACAGCUGACUGGUGAAGGGUCUUUCUAGAUCCUUUUCUUACUAUAUAUAUGCCUUUAUGGUGAGAUCUCGCGUAGAGUGAUUCUGUAACACCUUCUUAAGAACUUUGUAUCUUUAAUAAGCUCAGAUAGUGGAAUUCUUCUUCUCCUUCACAGUAGAUGUAGGCUCACUCUAUGGCCGAACCACUAUAAAUCAUUUAGUGGAACUCUCCUUCUCCUUCACAGUGGAUGUAGGCUGACUCUGUGGCCGAACCACUAUAAAUCAUUGGUGUCAAGUGUGUGUGUAUUUUUGUCUCGGUUCUCUUUGAGUUUCUUGCUUUGGUUACAACUGAUUCAUCAGCCAUUAAAGCUAAGUAUAUUCUGAAAUCUUGAGUUCAUAAAGGUCGUUCUUGGGGGGUCUAAAUUGGUGCUUAAUCCGGUUUAGUUUCAACAAGAAGCAACAAAAGCAAUUCAGAAUCAUGCAAGGACUUGGAUUUUUUUGUUAAUUCACUGGGCAUAUGUUUAUCCAACCUCUGAUUUUUCUUAAUAUGUCUCAGUAGUUCAUUUCACGCCACUUUUAGCCGCUCCAUUGGCAUUUUCUGCCAUUUGCUUUUGUUCAUUGGAGCAAGUUAGCUUAUUAAAUUGCUUUUCGAUAAAUGUUCUUCAGAGGGAAUGUGAAAAGGCCAAAUGAACCGAGAUGAUCGGGUUUUCUAGAUCAGCCAUCUCUGUCCUCAACGGUGCUGAACCGUCAAUUACUGAGACACCAAACUCUGACCUGAUUCAUAUGGGAUGUAGACCAAAGCUUCUUGCCAUACCAUCUCUGGUCAAAGCUGCUAUCUUUGAAAGUUUUGCAGGACAAAACAUGUCGGAGUCAGAAAUUGACGUCACCCCUAGCAUAAAACGGUGUAUCAAGAGCAAUUUUGGUUUCCCAGUCGAUACAGAUACAGAAUUCAUAUAAGCAGGUUGCUCUCAAUCUCUGUUUAAUAAGCUUCCUCUGCUGUAUCCUAGAACGUUAUGCUUCCCAGCUGGCUAGAAUGGGAACUAUGUUUCUGCUGCAAAAUUUUUGAAAGCGAGCAUUGUGAAUAUCCCGACUGUGUAUGAAGUGGGCCUUAAGAAGACAGAGAGGACACUUGUGACAAUACUCGAGACUGUAAAGAAGCCGUGGGUAUACAUUUCUGGUCCAACAGUCAAUCCAACUGGCUUGCUUUAUAGCAACAAAGAGAUAGAGAAUAUAUUAACUGUUUGUGUAAAAUAUGGGCCAAGAGUUGUGAUUGAUGCUUCAUUCUCGGGAUUGCAAUUCAAAUACGAGGGUUGGGGUGGCUGCAAUCUGGAAGGCUGUUUAUCGAAGCUGUAUCGUCUCUCUCUGUGUCUCUGCUGGAGGGCUGUCUCCGAAGAUGCUUACUGGAGCCCUCACAUUUGGAUUUCCGGUUCCAAACCAACGUCAUUUAGUUGAUGCAUUUAGUAGCUUUCCGGGAUUAAGAAUAUAUUUUAUGCUAUGAAGAAUACAUUUUUGAUAAAUUAACCUCAAUUCUGAAUUUUAAUUUAGAGAAUGUCGAGAAGAGAUUUGAUUUUUCAUAUAGAAAAAAAUUAGACAUGAAAUAAGUCAAAAUCAAUUACAAGAACAACAAUAAGAAUGUAUUUUUUAAAAGCCACAAAUACAUAAAAUAUAAAUUUAGUUUAAGAUUAGGUAAUUAUUAAUUUGCAUAGUAAGAGGUUCUCGUUGGAGAAAUCCAUUAACCUUCGGCUAAUUUGAUGCAAGGUAUAAUUUUGCAAUGCCCAAUAAUAUAUAGCUGUAUGGUAUUUCUGUAUUAUAUAUACUCCUAAUGAAAAUGAAGCAAAUACGUAAUACUACUACUAUGACAUAACUUUCAUGAUUGCCAACUGCCAAAACCAGCCACCUCUCAUACGUGCCUUAUUGAGCAUGGAAACACCUUAUAUUAUAAUUUCCGUUCACCCAUAGAAGAAUUUCAGGGCCAUUAAUUCAACAAUUACCAAACCAAUAUCCCAAUGAUAGUUGGAUUACUAAUCUUAGCAUUAAAAGAUCUACAAUUUUUAUUUGGCCAAAAUAAAGGUUUUCUUACUGCCUUCUUGAUCUUUUCCUGCCUGGUGAUUCCUGAAUGUUCCUCCCAUUCUCAUAUGCUGAGUCGCUUGCUGAGAUGAUAAAUACUCGAGGGUCCUUCCAUAAGACAAUUCAGCAGACACCUGAUUCAUUCUAUCAAACAUCAGCAUCACUAAUAACUAAAUGGUGUAAGAUAGUCUGGUUUGAAAAUUCUAUAUAAAUCAAAUUUUUAUUUUUCAUCAUUAUGGUUAAUGGCUUAGCAAAUGCAGGAGUACGGAUCAGACAAAAUGAAGCACUUUCUCUCGUAUUAAGCUUUAUUAGUCGUUGAAGCUAACAAAUUUUAAAACAAGUCAAAACAGUUCCAACUCAGAAUCAGUAGGCCGUAAUUGGGUUGUUAUAAAUAUUUCAAAGUUUCAGUUUAAUUUAAUUGUGUAUGCACAAACUAACUUUAUCACUUCUUUCAUAUUAAUAUUCAUAAAUUUCAACCUUAUUUUAUGUUGAUGCACAAAAUGUUUUUUUGUUAUAUAUAUAUUCAAAUAGUCAAAUUUCUUCUUCUUUACUCCAGGAUCCAGCUCUGUACCCCACUUUUUUGUCGUCAUUCUACCCCGCUGUUAGAUUUUAAUUCCGUUGAUCUAAUGGUUGGGAUUUGUAAGUGAAUAACGAAGUGCUGUUUGGCUACCGUCUGAUAGCAAAUCUGAAGCAAAUGUAAUCACCACCAUGCCGGUAUAUUCAUUCAAAUAUUAAACGUACAGAGAAGAAAGCAAAUUGUGGCAGGAUAGCGAAAAUUGCAAACGGUCAUUCCCAACACGAACACCUGUGGCUGUUUUCCUUUAAUUUUCUUCUUUGAAUUUUCCUUUGAUUAAUCAUUAGAAAAACUGCUUUUUUUUUUUCAAAAUCAUGUGUUAUUAACAUUUACAUAGUUAAUUCAUCAAAAUCAAAUGGUUGUUAUCUACGAAAAGACAUUGAAAAUUUCCUUGUCACAAGUCUUUUCGUAUUACAAAAGCAUAUUUAACAAAAUUGCACUCACAGAUUCUAUGAUUCUAAUUUCUUUGACUUGAUUUUAGUUUUUGCUGAACAUAUAUGUAUCCCAUAUAAAGUGUUAGUGAAUUUUUCAUUUCUCUAGCAAGGAGGUUCUGCACGAAUAAACAACAGCAGAAAAUAUAUAUAUAUAAAACGUGAUACGAGUGUUUGUACUUUGCUAAUGGCGUUGCACUCUCCAAACAUGAAGAGUGCAUUAAGGUGCAUUAAGCAUUGGCUGAUUAGAAUCAUUCAUGUUAAGAAAUAAAAAUAUUAAUAGUGAUGACUCAAAGGAAGUCCCGUGUUUUGAGUUUGACUAAAAUAAUCUGAAUAAUUCAAAAUAAUCCAUCAGGCCAAAGGAAGUCUCGUGUUGAACUGCAUUGGGAAGGCAGAGCAGCCUCUGUUUUUUCACUAUAAUACUAAGGAUUGACUUCAAUUGAGAAGUCAGGCCAAUUGAAGAAGCUCCCCUGUUUUUGACUGAAACAUACUCCGAACAAUUUAUCAUUAAAUAAAUUAUUCAAAAUCUCCUUUAAUCGAACCCCCAUGUCUAUGGUUUAAUAAAAUAUUAAAAAGGUACCUAAAACAGUGAAAUUAACACUCAGCUCUUAAAGUUGCCACUUUAUGUAUUGAAAAAUGUACUUGAAAACGAAUGUUGAGAUUUUUUUCCCCAAUGAUUUCAUAAACACAAAAUAAAGAUCAUAUAUACUUUGAAAAUGAAGUUUCAGCAGCUGAGAAAGCUAGCCGUUACUAACAUAUUACACCCACCCACCCCACCAAGAAAUCCAUUAAUCUUGGGUUAAUCUGACACAAGGUAUAAUUUUGCAAUGGCCAAUUAUAUAUAGUUGUAUGGUAUUUCCGUAUUAUAUAUACUCCUAAUGAAAAUGAAGCAAGUACGUAAUACUACUACUAUGACAUAACUUUCAUGAUUGCCAACUGUCAAUACCAGCUACCUUUUAUACGUGCCUUAUUGAGCAUGGAAACAUCUUAUAUUAUAAUUUCCGUUCACCCAUAGAAGAAGUUCAGGGCCAUUAAUUCAACAAUUGCGAAACCAAUAUCCCAAUAAUAGUUUGAUUACUAAUCUUAGCAUUAAAAGAUCUGCAAUUUUUUUUUGGCCAAAAUACAUGCUUUCUUACUGCCUUGUUGAUCUUAUCCUGCCUGGUGAUUCCCGAAUGUUCUUCUCAUUCUCCUAUGCUGAGUCGCUUGCUGAGAUGAUGAAUGCUCGAGGGUCCUUCCUUGAGACAUUUCAGCGAACACCUAAUUCAUUCGGUCAAACAUCAGCAUCACUAAUCACUAAAUGAUGUAAGAUAGUUCUGGUUUGAAAAAUCAAUAUAAAUCAACCACCUUAGAUUUUCUUAGUCUCAGAGCACAAUGGGCGAUGAUUUGAUGAGAAAUACUAAUAACAUGCAUCCCCUGUAUUAGUUAGAGCUGCUUGUCAUUUUCUUUUUUCUUUUGGGUACUGUUUUAAAUUUUUAAUCAAUCGGAUUGAGCUGCAUGUUUGCUUUCAGUCCAAACUGAAAUCAGACAUUAAGUAUUUUUGCUAGAAUGAAUGCAACCAAGAUUCUAUGGGAUAUGUAUGAAGAUGAUGUAAUAAAGUGCUUUUGAUAUAUUCCCCUAGUCGGUUUACUUCACUAACCAUUAACGAGCAAAUCCUCCCAAUGACCCUCAAAACUCUUGUGCACAAUUAAAAUAAUUUCAAUUAUAUAUAUAUAUAUAUAUAUAUAUAUAUAUAUAAAUAAACUCUCAAAUAUGUUAUUUGAUAAUCACCAAAAAAAAAAACAAUUCACCCCAAUAAAUCACAUUACAGUCUAUGUUGCAAGUCUUUUUAGGACUAAUUCAAAGAGAAAAUGCGAAGGACAUGUAAUUGAAUUUGGGACACAGAAUAUAUUCCCAAUUACCCUUUAGUGUAAACAGUUCCACUUCAGAUAUAUAUAAUGAUGAUGAAAUUUUGUUUUCUCAUAGCAAUCAUUCUAGUGUUUUACAAUGAGUAAUUGGUUCAAUAUUAACACAACACUAUUUUAACAUGUGACAUAUUCUAUCGUAGUGUGCUUCAACUCAUACUUCUAACUCAAAUAGAAAAGUUUCCAUUUUAAUUUUAUUCAAUCUAAUGGUGCACGUUUUUAGUCAAAAAGCCACAAUAAGUCAUCGUUAUUCUUCUACUAUUGAAAUGAAUAUAUCAAAUGGAUGAAAAUUAAAUUAAAAGAUUGAAAUGACUAUGUGGAAGAAAAUUGAUGUAAAAUGUUGAAGUUAAGAAGCCCUCCGAAUUAUAGAAGAAACGAAAUAUAUUGACACACAACAGUUUAUUUAUUAAUUAAGAGAGACAAAAUAUAUAAAUACAAACAAAGAAAAUCUCUUGCAUAUAUCAAACUUACGCUCACGUAAUUGACAGGUAAUAACAAUACCCAUUUUUUUUAUUUCAUAAAACAUAGUAUGAAAGAGAACACUUCAUGCAUUUAACCACUAUAAUUAGGAUUUCUCUCAUAUUGAGAGACUAUUAAAAGAUCAAGAUUGUCAUCUUUUAUAUCCUCGUCACGACAAUACUAAACACACGAUGAUGCCUUCAACCCUCCAACCCAUCGAUCUUACCUGAAAAAAUUAUAAUUAAUAGGAAACUUAUUCACAAAUGCAUAUAUUUAGAAAAGAAUUACAAAUGAACGAACUCAGCCUAAAAAUUAACCUGCACAAGCAAAGAAAUUAUAUACCAUUUUUGACUUGCGAACAAAAGCGAAGCAAUAAUGCAUGGUAUAGACAUAAGCCAUUUUUAAAAGACUAUAUUCAUCAUGCGGAAGUUAGAAAACUUACCUCCUGCCAUAGUUAUCAGAUUUAAUUGUACACAACUUUUCUACUAGAAUGCAAACAAAACCAACGAAAACAAGCGAUGCUUUGUAAUCAGAAUUUUCUAGUCUAUCUAACACUUAAUUCCUGAGAGUAGAUGGUAUACACAAGCUCUGUUGUUAGACCAGGGACCCUCAAUAUUUUUUUUGAAAAAACUUGACCGUAAGUCAUCUCCCAUCAAGAUGACAUGUUUAAAUAAAAGAGGAAGUUAUGAGCCAUUAUCCCUUUGAUUUUAGGAAACCACCCGUAACGUGUAUGAGAGAUAUUAAGAAGAGUUGUUUUAUCUUUAUUCCAAUUUUAAACCAAAACCAACGUUUUGAAAUUAAACUAGAUAAAGAUAAUUAUCAAUUUAAAUUAGAAAACUAAUAAUUAAAAUAAAUUAGAUGGCCAUAUUAUACACGUUUUGAAAACGUGUCUAACAAUUUUUACUUUAUUGCAAAUGUGAUCAUAUGGCCUGAUGCGGUCCACAAAAUAUAUAGUUGUCAAAAAGAAGACGAACAAAGCAAUUGAUCAUAAGCCAUUUUUACUUUAUUGCAAUAAAGCAUGAUUAACGCUUAUUGCAAUCACUAAAGAAAGAGAGAUUCUAGAGUACAUAGAAUUAUUACGCUUGAUUAAUAUAUAUAUAUAUAUAUAUAUAUAUAUAUAUAUAUAUAUAUAUAUAUAUAUAUAUAUAUAUAUAUAUAUAUAUAUAUAUAUAUGUAAUUUCCCUAACGAAUAUGUCUAAUUCAGGAACUAAUUACUUUUUCAGGCCUAUGAAGUCAUUUCAAUAUUUUAAUUUUUUAAUCAUUUAUUUACUAUUUACAUAUUAAUAUUUUGAUUGUUAAUUUUUUACAUUUCCAAUUACUUAACAUAUAUCAAUUAUUUUUGUUGCCUUUACAAAGUCGUUACAAGAAUAUUAUGUUAGAGUGGAGAUACUUUCAUACUUUCAUGAGUUAACGGCGGUCAAUGGUUAAAGAUAACGAGUUUUGGGGUAGAUUGAUGUUUUCAAUAGUAAGAGGGGGAAAUUUGAAGAUUGUCAAUUCCCUAAGGGUAAUUAGAAAUUAACCCAUAUAUAUAAUAGGUACAUUUGAUAUGAAACGUAUAAUUUAAUUAAAUAUAUCUAUUAAUUACAUUUUAAUUUUUUAAAAUAAAUAUACACAUAAUAUAUAUGUAUUAAUUUAUAUAAAAAUAUAUAAAGAAAAUUAUUAUGUAGCACAAAUUCCCGCCCUAUUAAAGAUCUCAUGAUAUCCAAAAAAAUAAUUAUAUAUUUAUAGCAAAGUGUUGGUAUAUUUUGAAGGAACGAGUUCGGUACGGAAAUGUAAUAGUAUGUGUUUUUAAUGACGUUUAUAAAGUCAUUAAAUGUCAAAAGGAAUGAAUUUAGUGAUCAAUUAAUAAUUAGAUAGGUAAACAUGAAAUCUCUCGGUCUAUUAAUGUAGUAUAGUUUCUCCCUCAGUUAUUAUCAUUAAAUUAAUUUGUAAAUCUCGUUUCCCGCUACUCCUUCCAAAUAUACAUGAGUAGUGAUAUUUGGCCCUUUUAUUAUAACUCACAAUCUCCUAUUUUUUUGUUAACCCCAUUAAAUAUUUUUAAAUAAAUUUUUAUCUCUCAACAUAUCACACAUAAUUAUGGAUUUACAUUUAUUAUAAUUUCUAUCUUUUUUUCCAAGCACUCACUAUAUAAAAUUUAUAAAAUCUAUUUAAAAAAAAAACUCUCAUAAUCACUAUAAUCUCUUUUUUUAAAAAAAAAAAAUUUAUCCGUCGUUGUCAUAAUCAUUAAAAAGAAAAAGGCACCAUCCUUUAUUGAAAUCUCUCGGUCUAUUAAUGUAGUAUAUUUUCUCCCUCAGCUAUUAUCAUUAAAUUAAUUUGUAAAUCUCCUUUCCGGCUACUCCUUCCAAAUAUACAUGAGUAGUGAUAUUUGGCCCUUUUAUUAUAACUCACAAUCUCCUAUUUUUUUGUUAACCCCAUUAAAUAUUUUUAAAUAAAUCUUUAUCUCUCAACAUAUCACACAUAAUUAUGGAUUUACCUUUAUUAUAAUUUCUAUCUUUUUUCCAAGCACUCACUAUAUAAAAUUUAUAAAAUCUAUUUUAAAAAGAGAAAAAAACUUUCAUAAUCACUAUAAUAUCUCUUUUCAAAAAGAAAAUUUAUUCGUCGUUGUCAUAAUCAUUAAAAAGAACAAGGCACCAUCCUUUAUUGAAUAUUGAGUACUGUAAAUUAAUUUCUUUCACGAUUACAAAAAAAGAGUAUACAAUAUUUGAGAAAAAAAUAAUGAUUUAAAAAGUUAAAAAAAUUAGAGUUUAAGAAAUUAGAUUAGCUAAAUUCGAUAUUAAUAGAAAUUGUCAUAUGAGUGCACUUAAAAGUUAUUUACCCUUUUAAAUCAUUUCACAUAAUAAUAAAAUAUGUACUAACAUAAAAGUGAUUAGUAGAGACUGAUGAGAUAUAAUGAGUCAAAUAUCAAAUUCUACAUAUAUAUAAUAGCUAAUAUAAUUGUUUAAAUAGGAUUGUAAUUAAACUCAUUAAUUAACUACCUUUAAUUUUUCAGUAGGCGAUAUUUUUGAAACGUGAUGAUCAUGUGUGAAUAUUAUUCGAAAGUAAUGAUUUUACUAAAAUCUUCGUCUACAAUGAUGUUACAGUACUGAUGCUCAUUUAUUAGCUGUUGUCUUACCUCUUAAUUAAUUUUUUGCAUUUGCACUUGGAAUUAAUCAUUUGGCCGUGAUAGUAAUGCUACAGCCAGCGGAAUUUGAGCCUCCCUUCUUCAAUGCCUGGUACGAGAAUGAAGCUAACAAUCGGGAUGGACAGAACAUUCUGUUAUGGCAAACGUGUUUACUUCACUUUCAUUAACAAGACUUAAGCAACCCACAAAACCAGAGUUUGCAGAAACAAGAUUAAGAAACAAAACAAAAGAAGUAUCAAGCAAUCAAAGAUACUCAACACACCAAGAAUCUAACGUGGUUCAGCUCCACAAAGGAACCUACAUCCACGGCUGUAAAACCAGCAAGGGCAGAAGCUUUAUUGAACAACAAGAAGAUCGUUUACAACUGAGUCACCAAUUACAGAUUAAAGCCUAUCGAAUGUUUUCUCUCUGUAAAUCCUCUCUGUUUUUCUAUAUAUGUUUUACUAGCUUAGAGACAACUUAUAUAUGUAAGCUUCUCACGUGUGUUCCACUUGCAAUGAGUCAGUCUGUUAUUUAACUAACUAACCAACUCUUGACUUGAAUCCCACUUAUGCCAGCUCAUACGACACCUCAGCAUGUCCAUAACAGAUUAUAACUAAUCUCGGCUUCACAAAUCUCCACCUUAGUUCUAAUCUGAUUAUGCUUCUCCCUUCACUGCAACACAUCACCAGAAAGCUUGUUUCAUAAGCUAACACUUCCAAUCAGAUUCAGUAAGUCCCUGAACCUGACUGAUGGCAAAGGCUUGGUUAACAUGUCAGCUGGAUUUACUUCAGAUGGCACCUUAACUACAUUUACUACUCCUUUGCUGAUUUCAUCCCUUAUAAAGUGCAUUCUAACAUCAAUAUGUUUAGUUCUCUCAUGAUACUUAGGAUUUUUACUUAGCUGAAUAGCACUUAAGCUAUCACAGCCAACUACAACAACUUCUUGUUUAAACCCCAACUCAGAGACUAGUCCUCUCAGCCAUAUUGCCUCUUUGACAGCUUCUGUAAGUGCAAUAUAUUCAGCUUCUGUUGUUGAGAGGGCAACCACUGAUUGCAGGGAAGACUUCCAACUUAUAGCACCUCCACACAUGGUAAACACAAAACCUGUGAUGGAUCUUCUUCUAUCUUUGUCUGCUGCAUAGUCUGAGUCCACAAAUCCAGCUACUUCAGGUGAUGCUCCACUUAAUUUCCCAAACAUAAUGGCAGUGACAGCAGACCCUUUGAGAUACCUUAGUACCCAUUUCACUGCAUUCCAGUGACCCUUCCCUGGAUUCCCCAUAAACCUACUGAUGACUCCAACUCCAUGAGCCAAGUCAGGUCUGGUGCACACCAUGGCAUACAUGAUGCUGCCAACUGCACUGGAGUAAGGUAUCUCCUUCAUGUAGUUGAAAUCAUCAUCAGUGGUAGGUUCCAGUGACUUGGAUAACUGAAAGUGAGUUGACAGAGGUGUUGAAACAGGCUUUGAAUCUUCCAUAUUGAACCUGGUUAAUACCAUCUUCACAUAAUCCUCCUGAGAUAGAUACAAAACUUUGGACUCCUUAUCUCUCUUUAUCUGCAUUCCUAGAAUCUUUGUAGCUGCACCCAAAUCCUUCAUUUCAAAUUCAGUGCUGAGCUCCACCUUAAGCUUCUUUACUUCUUCCUUUUGUUUACAUGCAAUAAGCAUGUCAUCCACAUACAGAAGUAAGUAGAUGCCUCUACCAUUUGUCAGGAAUUUAAAAUACACACAAUUAUCAAAUCUGCUCCUACAGUAUCCAUGGCUUAGCAUGAAUUCAUCAAACUUUAAAUACCAUUGCCUUGGAGAUUGCUUGAGGCCAUACAAACUCUUCUUCAAUAAGCACACUUUAUCCUCUGAUCCUCUCUCAAUGAACCCUUCUGGUUGUGCCAUGAAAAUCUCUUCAUCAAGACUGCCAUGUAAAAAGGCAGUUUUAACAUCCAUCUGCUCCAGCUCCAGGUCAUGAUAUGCAGAGAGGGCCAGCAGCAACCUAAUUGAGCUAUAUUUGACUACAGGUGAGAACACUUCAUUGAAGUCAACUCCCUCUCUCUGUGUGAAUCCCUUUGCUACAAGUCUGGCUUUAUAUCUUGGUGGUUCAUUUUCUGAAGCUCCAGCCUUCAACUUGAAAAUCCACUUGCUGCCAACUAGUUUCUUGUUAGAUGGUCUGUCCACUAAGAUCCAAGUAUUAUUUUUCUUUAAAGAGACUAUUUCAUCCUGCAUUGCAGCAUACCAUUUCAGCUUAUCCUCACAUCUCAUAGCUUCUUUAUAGCUCAAAGGUUCUCCACCAGUUACUUCAUCACCUACUGUUAGUGCAUAGGAAAUGAGGUCAGCUAUGCCAUACUUCUUUGGCAUUUUGAUGGCUCUCCUCUCUCUGUCCCUAGCAAGCUGAUAUGUUUCCAGUUCUGGUGGUUGUUUUCUUUCCUUGGUCUGGUCUGAUGGUUGUUCAGGAGGCUUACAACUAUCAGAAUGCUUUACCAUCUGUCCAGCACUUUCUUCUUCCUCUGUUUCAGCAGCUUCAAUCUCAGUUUCUACCUUUGACUGGAGCAUUUGCUCUUCAUCAAAGGUGACAUCCCUGCUGAUUAAUAUCCUAGAUGGUUUCCCAUUAAGGGUCCAUAUCUUGUAUCCAUUAAUGCCCUCAGGAUAUCCCAAGAAAUACCCUUUAACAGCCCUUGGUUCAAGCUUACCUUGCUUUAAGUGUGCAUAAGCUGGACACCCAAAGAUCCUCAAAUUGCUCAAGUCUGGUGGCUUUCCAGACCAAAGCUCCUAAGGUGUCUUGAAACCUAAAGCUGAGGAUGAGCUUCUGUUUAUCAGGUAAGCAGCUGUGGUGACUGCUUCUGCCCAAAAACCUUUGGAUAUGUUUGCAUUCAGCAGCAUGCAUCUUACCCUCUCUAUUAUGGUUCUGUUCAUCCUUUCUGCCAGUCCAUUUUGUUGUGGAGUGUAGGUGACAGUUCUAUGCCUUGCAAUGCCCUUAUAUUUGCAGAAAUCUUCAAACUCUUUUCUGCAAUACUCUAGCCCAUUGUCUGUUCUGAGCCUUUUUAUUUUCUUACUAGUUUGGUUUUCAAUGAGAGUAACCCACUCUUUGAACUUCCCUAGUGCUCCACUUUUGUGUUUCAACACAUAGAUCCAAACCUUCCUAGAGUAGUCAUCUAUGAAGGACACAAAGUACCUAGCUCCACCUAAAGAUGGAACUUGUGAUGGCCCCCAAAGGUCUGAGUGGAUGUAAUCUAGUGUCUGUUUGGUUUCUUUUCUCCCUGAACUGAAUUUCAGUCUUGUGGCCUUCCCAAACACACAUUUCUCACAGAAUUCUAAGGAAGUAACUUUAUCAUUACCAAGCAAACCUUGAUUGCUUAGCUCCUUGAGGCCUCUUUCACUGAUAUGAGCUAGUCUCAUGUGCCAGAGUUUGGUUUUAUCUCUGGUCACACUUGCUGAGAUCCCUUGCACAGGUGAGGAUCCAACUAGUAUGUACAGCCCAUUUUUCCUAACCCCUUUCAUAACAAUUUUACCCUGAUCCAAGACCUGUAUCUCUCCAUUUUCAGCCUUAAUAGUACACCCUGAUUGGUCAACCAUUCCUAGAGAUAUCAGGUUUCUUUUCAGUUCAGGGACAAAUCUCACUUGGUGUAAAUCUCUAGUGACACCAUCAUGCAAUUUUAAGCUAAUGGUUCAUAUCCCAGCCACCUUGCAAGCUAGGUUAUUUCCCAACAACACCUUUCCACCAUUUACACUUUCAAAGGUCUUAAAGAAACUUUUAUUUGGACACAUGUGGAAUGAGCAACCAGAGUCCAGAAUCCACUCACCAGUUGGGUGCCUCUCUGCAGCCACCAAGACAUCUGCUUCAUCAUAGUCACAUUCAUCUUCAGAGGCAACAACAGCCUUUCCAUUUGAUUUCUUUUAUAGUUCUUCUAAUUUCUUUUUCUCGAAGCAAUCUUUAAUGUAGUGUCCCUCUUUCUGACAGAAGUAACACUUCCUCUUCUUCUUUUUCUUUUCAGCUUUAUCUUUCUUGUUGUUGUUCUUUGUUUGCUUAUUGUGUUUCUUUUCUGGCUUUCCUUUGACAACCAAACCUUCUACAUUAUUUUGAUCUUUCAUGUCUGAUCUUUUCUUCAAAUCCUUGGAUUCCAGAGCAUCUUUGACAUCUUUCAAAGAGAGGGUUUGUCUGCCAUAGAGGAGGGUAUCUACAAAAUGUUCAUAAGAUUCUGGAAGAGAACUUAAGAGGAUGAGUGCCCUGUCUUCAUCUUCAAGAAUUAUGUUGACAUUCUCGAGAUCAAGAAUGAGUUUGUUGAACUCAUCCACGUGAUCUUUCAUGGCUACUCCAUCUUUCAUUGAGAAUGUGUAUAACCUCCUCUUCAUAUACAGUCUCUUAGCCAAUGAUUUUUUCAGAAACAUUUCUUCUAACUUGCUCCACAAACCAGCUGCAGAUCUUUCUUUGGAUACUUCUCUCAAGACUUCAUCAGAGAGGUGCAAGAUAAUGGUGCUAUGGGCCUUAUUGUUUAUGAUCCUCUGAUCUGCACUAAAGCUUGAAGAGCCUUCUCCAUUCUCUUUCUUGGCCAUCGGAUCUUCUCCAUCAUCGAGGGCACUGUCAAGCCCUUGUUGAAUAAGUAUCGCUCUCAUCUUCAAACUCCAGAGAUAGAAAUCAUUGUCUCCAUUGAAUUUUUCAAGAUCCACUCUGGUGCUUGCCAUCUUUGAGUCUGAUCCCAACCGACACCAGGCUCUGAUACCAGUUUGUUAUGGCAAACGUGUUUACUUCACUUUCUUUAACAAGACUUAAGCAACCCACAAAACCAGAGUUUGCAGAAACAAGAUUAAGAAACAAAACAAAAGAAGUAUCAAGCAAUCAAAGAUACUCAACACACCAAGAAUCUAACGUGGUUCAGCUCCACAAAGGAACCUACAUCCACGGCUGUAAAACCAGCAAGGGCAGAAGCUUUAUUGAACAACAAGAAGAUCGUUUACAACUGAGUCACCAAUUACAGAUUAAAGCCUAUCGAAUGUUUUCUCUCUGUAAAUCCUCUCUGUUUUUCUAUAUAUGUUUUACUAGCUUAGAGACAACUUAUAUAUGUAAGCUUCUCACGUGUGUUCCACUUGCAAUGAGUCAGUCUGUUAUUUAACUAACUAACCAACUCUUGACUUGAAUCCCACUUAUGCCAGCUCAUACGACACCUCAGCAUGUCCAUAACAGAUUAUAACUAAUCUCGGCUUCACACAUUCUUUAGACAUAGAGGUCAAAUUAAGAUAAGGGGGGUCAAGAUUUUUUGUUAAAUUUUAUAAGAUAUGAUGAUGGUUGCUUGUAAUAUGUUGUAAUGGGCAAACUAUGGAAGCAUAACAUCUGCAAAGACUUGCUUUUGUCUUUAAUGGACAACUAGCAAGUAAAAACCUUGCUUGAUAUGCUGCUUUUAGAAACCAAUUUGCAAUCCAAUUCAAUAUUACUAUUCAUUUUUCAGGUACAUACAAGUUGGGAAUGCUGUAGCAAUUCCAGUUGGUAUUGUAUUGGGAUACGCUUUUGGUCAAGCUUGCCAAGGAUUAGCCGAUGAUGAUCAGCCAUUGACUAUACUCCCUUUCAAGUUUCCCAAUUGUCUUGCACAGUCAUCUUCAACACUUGCAGAAGAAGAUUCUGAUUGAAAUUGUAAGGAAAACAUAAAUAUGAUUCAUCAAAUUAUACUCUUGUUAGUUGCGAGUUAUUACCAAUUUGAUUUUUAAUUUGCUAUUGAUGUACGGACAAGCAUGUUCAAUGCAUUAUUUGUUAUUGAAGAUGUUUCGAGGUAGGAAUUAGAAUAUGUUGCAUCUUUUAAUUAGUGUUUUAGAUAUAUAUACUUUAUGCUUUUUCAGUCUGUAAUCACAUGUAUCAAAUAAAAGGUUUAGUUUUAGGGUUAAUUUUGGUAUCAAUCAUAAAUGUCUAUAUCAUUAUUGAAAGGGUGUUAAAUUAAAUGCUAAAAGGAUGAAUUUUUUUCCCUCAAGUGUGAGGGAUGUUUAUGAAAGUGACACCAUCAUAUGGCAUGGAGUCAUACUAUUAACAUAUUAUUUGAAUAUUAUUCACCAAAUAUCACAUAAUCAUGCCUUUUAUACAAGUGUAUAUAUGUAGAUGUAGUACAUACUCUUAUAUGUAGCCAUGAGAUCGAAUCAUGUCUUAGUAAAUGAAAAGUUGCUUCUUGUAAUCUUAUACUACGUUCUUUGAUAAAGACUUUCGCUUUUUGCUUUGAAAUGGUAACUAGGGGUGGGCAAAAAAAACCGUAGUCUUAAAAAAACCGAACCGAAUAGACGAUUUUUUCUAAUUCGGUUCGGUUUUUAUUUAAAAAAAAAACCGAAUAUACCGUUUGUAAAAAACAACCGACCCGAAAAACCGAAUUAUUGAUGAAGAUCGGAGAAUGUUGUUGGCGUUUGUUUGUAAUUUUAUUUUUUAUUUUUUGUUGUAAGUUGUAAUUGUUGUUAUUUUUAUUUCUCUUUAUAACAUUAUGAUUAUGUUUAUAUAGAUGGAGUAUUGGAGUUUGGUUAUGUAUUUUGAAAUUUUAAUAUUUCAUAUUUUGGGAGUAUCUUAUUAAUAGUUAGUAAAAUAUUAGUGAUAAAAUGUGUUUUGAAUACUUUGUAUUUAUUGUUAAUAAUUGUAAUAAAAUUAGGAUAAAUUAAUUGUUGAAAAAAAUUAUUACAUUCAUGAGGCCCAAUGGGCUAAAAAUUUAAAAAUUCAAAAUAGGCCCUAUGAGCCCAUAACCAAAAAAACCGAACCGAACCGAACCGAACCGAACCGAUUCGAAAAGAACCGUUUGAGUUCGGUUCUUAUUCGGUUCUACUUAAUUUCGAACCGAACCGAACCGAACCGUGCCCACCCCAAUGACAACUACAUAAUAAAGUAAAGACUUUCGCUUUCAUUCUUUAGUGGCAUUCUAUGAUGAAUUGACACAUUUUGUGACCCAUGCUUAAACCAUGUGGUGCUUUUUAUCAUCAUUAUUCCCAUUUCCAUUCUGCUUUUGGCUUUUAGGAAUUAAGGGUAUGCAACUUGCGAGCUUCUUUUGUCACCAACCCAAAAGGCCAAAACCAAUAAAAGAAAGCAACUCUCCUUCUUGUUCUAUCAUUCAUGUUUCAUUCUCUAGAUUGCCGUGCUCUUUGGUUUAUGAAAACGACAAAAUAUAGAACUUUAAUUAAUUUGAUAUGAUUUCAAAGCAUAAUGAGGAUGCAAUACGACAAAAUAUAAACAUUUAUUAAUUUGAUUAAAUUCCAAAGGAUAAUGAGAAUGAGGGAACAAUGCAUUGGAAAUUGCACUAGAAUUGGAUGUGGAUAAAAAUAAAAUGCGUUUUCUUUGGGGUUUUAAUUCAAAAGAGAGAAAUAUAAGUUGUAUUUUACUAAUUAAUCGAAAAAAAAAUUUAAAAAGUAUUUAUUCGUCAAUGGAAAAAAAAUUAUGAAAAGAUUUAAAACAAAUUUCACCAGUAUUUUCUCAAACCAAGAAUGGUUACUACGAACAUCAGGCAACAAACAGACAAUUUCCAAUUUAAUUAUUAGUUUUAUAUUUAUAUAUAUAUAUAAGUUCGUUUUGAUUUUUUAAUGAAUUAUAUAAGUGGGCCAUUUGUCUAAAGUCAGACAGUCAAUAACCACCGGCAUUGUUAUAUAAAACUUCUGUUUUAAAAUUUUUAACACCUAAUGUGAAAAUAUCCUCAAGGGGCCCUAGACUUUAUAAAAUAUAAUAUUAAAUCUAGUGCUAAAAAAUACUACAACUUAGAUCUACCUUAUAUUCUUGUUAUUACAAGGUGAUAAAAAUCUGUUUGCAAUUUUUGCCAUGUAGUUUGGAUUCAUAAUAAAAACACUAUUUUUUAGAUUUAUUUUGAUGUUCGAACUUGGUAAAAAUAUUUAUUUAAAUUAUUAGUACAUAGCUAGGUUAUUUGAUAAAUACAGGCAAAUUUUCUAACCAAAAUCGUCCAAAGAAGUUGAAAGUGUUUAUUGUUGUUAUUUCAUGACAUUCUAACAAACUGUAAGGGGUCACAGAAAGGUUGGUACCCCUACUUCUUGUUCUUUUUCUUUUCUCACUUUCUCAUAAGUUGACUUUAAAGGAAUACCCAUAAAAAGUGAUUGAAAAAGAUAUUCCACGUAGACUACACCAUCCACUCAGGAUGCACCACGUGUAAAACAUCAUGACCUUUUCUCUUUCUCGGCAUAAAAAUAUUUAAAAAAAUAAAUAUUAAAUAAAUAAAAUAAUAGAUGUAUGUAUAUAUAUGUGUGUACACACGCACGCGCUAAAAUACCGGGAACGAGAAAACAGACUUCCUACUUUCUUCUUUCAAUUUUCUAAGCUCACGCUAGCUUUCUCUCUCUAAAAGUAGGAACCGUAAAUUGAGUGAACGUGCGGAAUGACGGCAGCGACGCCGGCGGCGGAGGCGGUGGAGAAGUUCUUGAGGAAAUGCGAGGCGUCGGGUGACGAGGCGUACGGUGCGUUUCGGUCGGUGUUGGAGAAGCUGGAGGAUCCGAGUAGUCGGACGCAGGCUCGGGUCUUCCUUUCGGAUCUUCAGAAACGGGUCGAUGACUCGGACGAGUGUCUAAACAAGUACCAUUUCCGGAUCCAAGAUGUCGUCUUGGACCAAUACGAAGGUCCAUUUCUCUUGCUUCAUUUUUUCUUGUUUAAUUCGGUUGAUUUUUUUUUUUUUUUGAGCUAGUGGUUUGACUUUCUUUGAAUUAGGGACUAAAAAGUGAUUGUUUGUUUUUUAGUUUGGGGAGUGGUUUUAUGGAAGAUAGUUCGGAGGAAAAAGUGCUUUUGAUAUUAAGUGAUUUUUGGGAAAGUAAUUAAGUGCUUAUGUGACAUAAGAAGUGCAUUGUAGAAAAGCAAUUGUGCUUUUCGUAUGUUUUAAAGAAUUUUUGAGUAGUUCAGUUUGGUGCUUCUAAUUAAGUGUUUUUUCAGAAUGUGAUUUAUGUUCUUUUUUUUCUUCAAUUCAAGAAGUGCGUUUUAGAGAUGUAACUGUUAGAAAUUUUUCUGAAAGAAGCCCAAAAAAACGUAUGCUCUUUUUUUUUUUUUUUUUGUAGUUCAGCUGGAAACUUAAAGAAAAUGCAGAACUUACUUUUUUUUAAGAAAAAUCUGAUUUGAUUACUUGAAAACAUUUAUGAUUGUGAGUGCUAUUAAUUAUUUGCAUUUUUUUUAUGCAUUAACUUUCUUAACUUAGGGUGUUUAUUUUAUCAUGAUUAUUUUCAUUCAACAAUACAAUAGACUUUGGUUGGGUCCACCUUAGUUGGGUGUUUCUGAGCAACCAAUUAGGGUCUGGAGAAAACUUGGGUGGAGUGCCGAUCGUUUUCAGGAUUCAGUCCCAAGAAAAUACAAACGAAGUCGUAGUUGUAGUUUAAAUUAAUUUAUAUUUUUGUCUUUUUCUGUGAGCCCAGUGGGCUUUUGUUUUUACUUUGUUCUCUUUUGUUUCUUCCCCUUCUUUUCCUACUGUUUCUUGACAAUCAAAACAGACCAGGAUUUGUUUCAUUUAAACGUUUACUUUUGGUGUAAUUAUUCACUCUAACUCGAAUAAUGCAUAGGUUUAGUGCUAACAAAAUAGAAAGUGAAUUAAUAUCUAAAGCUGAUUUGGGAGUGGAAUGUAUGUUACUAAAAAUAUACUAUAUAGUAGAUAGAAUUUGCUUUUUAGGUAACACUGAAAUAAUAACUGCUGUUAACUUAUUUCAAUAAGCUUGUAAAUCAUUUCAUAAUAAGUCCUAGAUUUUAAUGGUUUUUUUUCCUGAAAUUUUUCGUCAGUGCAUGAGCAAAGUUCAAUGGAUGAACUUCUCUUUCAAUGUCACUGCUCCUCAUAUUAACUGUAUGAAACAGUAAUCUUGCUCUGUACUUUGGAGCAUUUUAAUAGUUGUUGCCAAUUCCUUAGCCAUUUUAUUCACCUCGUGCACAAAUUAUGCAAUCAAUAAGCCAACUCAACUUUCAUCUUUCUUCAGUGAAAAAUUUGCAAGGCCACUAGGAGGUUUUUGUACAUCUUAUGUAACUUGGCCGCCGUGGUUUUACCAUGUAAAUUUUCCCUAUUGGAAUUCAUGAUCCCUCAUAUGCCACUCGUGAAGCUGCUUCUGCCGCUUUAAAAGCACCAAAUUUCAGUUUUAUCCUUUCUAGCUUAUUAACUUGUCUGCAUACGCAUUAUUAUCUUUGUUAUUGUACGAAAGUUUCAUUUAUCAUCUUCCCAACAUAAACAUCCAUAGGUCAUUGUUCACUUUUUUCCUUUAGAGUCAUGCCCGAUUAUGGUUGCCGGAUUUUCUGCUCUGACAAUAUUGUUUCUAAGUAUAGGCUACCAAGGGAGAAAAAAAUUGACAAUGAUGGUCAUCCCCAGCAUUUUUAUCCCAGAAGACUGGUAGUUUACUUUCUAUGAAGGACUGAAUAGACAUCCUGACUCUAUUUUGAAGGACAAGACUGUUGCUGAGCUUGGUUGUGGAAAUGGAUGGAUAACCAUUGCCAUAGCUGAGAAGUGGUUGCCUUCGAAGGUUUGUUGGUUUGUCAUCUUUUGCCAUGUGGGAGCUUUUGUUUGCUUCCUUACCAGUGCCUUCAGGAGCUCCAUCGUGAUUUCUCUCCUCAUCGUUUUCUAUCUCCUUGUUUUGCAAGGCCACUUGUUAUUUAUAAGUAACAGUGUUGGCACCAGAUUAUGGUGUUUUAGUGCCCUCCUAUUCAGAAAAAUUACAUAUAAAUGAACAUGUGAAUUAUCAAGUCUGUCCUUGUCCAAAAGUCUUGAUUGGAGAAUGUUGAAAAUAUAACCUUGUAGCAGUUCUUUUAUGCUGUCUGAAUAUUCUUUUGCAGGUCUAUGGCCUUGAUAUUAAUCCCAGAGCAAUAAGGAUCUCUUGGAUAAAUUUGUACUUAAAUGCAUUAGAUGAAAAAGGUCAGCCCAUCUAUGAUGCGGAGAAGAAAACUUUACUGGACAGGGUGGAGUUUCAUGAAUCUGAUCUUCUCGCUUAUUGCAGAGAUCAUGACAUUCAACUUGAACGAAUAGUGGGAUGCAUACCUCAGGUAUUAUCACUAUCUGCAACUCAUGAUAUUUCUCGGGGCUUAAAUUUUGGUGAAGUUUGUUUUUCCAACACCAUGUUCGAAUUUUAGAGUGGCCACAUGGAUAACCUUUUAACUCCUAGUUUAACUUAUUCUGUUUUCUCCAUGCAGAUUCUUAACCCCAAUCCCGAUGCAAUGUCCAAAAUAAUCACUGAAAAUGCAAGCGAGGAAUUUCUGUAUUCAUUGAGUAACUAUUGUGCGCUGCAGGUUAGAAGAUAUUCUAAAUAAUUUAAUUGUGAUUGCAAAUUGCGGGGAAGUUAGCAAUUAAGUUGACAGGCUUCCUCUACUUUCACAUAUUUAGAAGUAUACAUGUUAUAAUUUUGGUUUGAAUCUUGCAUAACUUAGUUAAGGUUGAUGUCUUUAGUUGUUCAAUAUCAAUUGGGAAAUAAAGCAAACCAGUGAAGACCGUGGGAAAAGGAUAAUGUGAGUUUGACAGAUGCUGAGAGGAGAUAGGGAAACUUGAUCUAAAAGAUUUUUUUUCUUUUUCUUUUCCCUGAUUUUUGUUUUUUCUUAGUGUUUAGCCUCUUUACAAUAACAUUGAUUCCCAUAGUUCAUGUUUCUUGUUGAAAAUAAAGAUUCAAAGUUAGGAUUUAUUUGUAAUCUAGGCUAUUUUAGGAAUAAGUUAAAUUAUAAUGGGAAGAUUCAUUAGGAUUCUUUCCAGAUUUUGUUUCCUAUUAUUUAGGAAAGGAUAGAUGUAGUCUCCUAUUUUCUCUCCUAUUUUGCUGUAUAUAUUCCCUGUACAUACUGUUCUGGAAAGUAAGAAAAAGAGGAACCAAUUCACCGUUUUCUUCAUAGGUGCACUCAACAACUAUCUGUUAUGUCUUGUGGAUGACUGAGAAAGUUUAUUCAUUUUGACAAAUUGCUUUUUGAAUAGAGUACAAGUAGAUUGACUAAUAAUGAAUAUAUUGUAUCAAGUUGUUGCAUUUGAAAACUGUGCAUGACUGCGGUCUUUAUCACUUUUAUUCUCAAGGUUCAUGUUGACCUAAAUUUAAAAGCCUUGGACGUUUGGAAAAUCUAUAGCACUGAGUUUGCGAAACCUUUUAGUGCCCUGAAAGAUUGACUGCUUCAAUUGUGUUUUCAAUAUCUUGUUAUUAACAUAUUUGUAUAUAUGUUAAUAUCUUGUGGAUGACUGAGAAAGUUUAUUCAUUUUGACAGAUUGCUUUUUGAAUAGAGUACAAGUAGAUUGACUAAUAAUGAAUAUAUUGUAUCAAGUUGUUGCAUUUGAAAACUGUGCAUGACUGCGGUCUUUAUCACUUUUAUUCUCAAGGUUCAUGUUGACCUAAAUUUAAAAGCCUUGGACGUUUGGAAAAUCUAUAGCACUGAGUUUGCGAAACCUUUUAGUGCCCUGAAAGAUUGACUGCUUCAAUUGUGUUUUCAAUAUCUUGUUAUUAACAUAUUUGUAUAUAUUAUGAAGGCUAAGCUGUGUAAAUGAGAGAUAAAACAUAAAAGGUCAAUACACAGCUGUGUCACCUUUUACUUCUUCUUUAUUUAUUUAUUUAUUUUCUCUGUAUGCAGGGUUUUGUGGAGGAUCAGUUUGGCUUAGGUCUAAUUGCUAGAGCAGUUGAGGAAGGAAUUGGUGUCAUCAAACCUUCCGGGAUUAUGAUCUUCAAUAUGGGUGGUCGUCCAGGACAGGGCGUUUGCGUGUCGACAAGCUUUGGCAGACUAAAAUUCUUCAGGCAAGUGAACCUUUUUUUGUGGAAAUUCAUUAUCUAUCCCAAAUAUCCACCUCUUGAAUGUGUUUUUGCAGGCUUCUGACACAGAUAUUUCAGCUUUAGUUGAAAUUGAGAAGAAUAGUCCUCAUCGUUUUGAGUUCUUCAUGGGACUUUCUGGUGACUUACCUAUUUGUGCUCGAACAGCAUGGGCCUACGGAAAGGCUGGUGGACGUAUCUCUCAUGCUUUAUCAGUUUAUAGUUGUCAACUCCGUCAACCAAACCAGGUCUACAUUUCAUUUGGGUUUUAUUGAUAAAGUGGGUAAUUGCUCUGACCAGGGAAGUGAGCUAAAAUGAUAUCAACUUAUAUUUAUGGACAGGUUAAGAAAAUUUUUAAGUUUCUGAAAAAUGGCUUCCAUGAGAUCAGCAGUUCUUUGGAUUUAUCUUUUGAAGAUGAUUCAGUUGCUGAUGAGAAGAUUCCAUUCCUGGCUUAUCUUGCCAGUGUUCUGAAAGAGCGUUCUUUUUUCCCCUAUGAGCCACCAGCUGGAAGCAAAAGAUUCAGGAACCUGAUUGCUGACUUCAUGAAAAAGUACCACCAUAUUCCGCUCAAUGCUGAUGUGAGAAAACCUUAACUACUCAUCUAUUUUUGUACUUCUCUGGACAAGUAACUUUUGUGUUCUGUCCGUCCUAGGUUCUGUUUUCCCUGAUGCAUUUUUUCAAUUUCUUUGCAUGUGAACUCCUAGGUUCUGUUUCUCCUGAUGCAUUAUCUCAAUUUCUUUGCAUGUGAGCUUGGUGCAUUCAUAUUAGUUUAGGAGGGAAUCUAUUGGUCAUUUACUUGUUUGUGACGAAUAACGUAUGAAACAAUCUUGUUAUUUUUUGUUCUCAAUACGUAGAGCUCUAUGGACCAAUUGCUUAUCUUCUUUUAUCCUCAUUAGAAUUUCUUCAGACAACUUCUACUUCAUGCAAUUUGUGAUAAUUUGCAUUGUUUUUGUGGUCAUUCUUAUGUCUAUUGGACAAAUACUGUAAUGUGAAAUUCUGUCUAAUGGUAUCCCUUAUUCCUUUUGCAUCAUGUCCCCUCAAGUAGUUAAAUGCAUUUUUGGAUUUGUCAAUUUUUUUGGUUUGAUGAAAUCUUGAUUCUCAUGUUACCUAUCUGUUCAUUUAAUUUGACCGUGGAAUGUGUUGUUGCUGUGAGUUAUGCUGCACAUGCUUGUUAUUCGUCCAGUCUUUUUGUGUAAACAUAGAGUUUUGUACAUACUUAUAUAUGUACUGGACCUGAGAUAUUUGCACCUGACCUACUUAUUAAUGUACAUGACAAAUGAAGAACUUUUUGAGAUCUGGAAUGGAUCAAGACCUGCAACUUUCUACUUGUAGAUUUUCCACUGUCCAGUCCAAUUGUAAAAUACAGUUUGUGAUUGCUGCAUGCAUAAAUUAGCCAAACUUAAAGAUGUUGUAGUUGCCUUUUUCUCUUUUUUUGUAUGAGUAAAACAAUCCACAUUCUUAACUUUUCUUCUCCACUUGUUUCUCAAGAACGUUGUUGUUUUUCCUUCAAGAGAUGUGGCAAUUGAGAAUGCUCUUCGAUUAUUUUCACCUCGCCUUGCAAUUGUUGAUGAACGUCUAACCAGACACUUACCAAAGCAAUGGUUAACAAGUUUAACAAUUAAGGUAUGAUCUAUUUCUGAUUUAUUUUCUGUUAUUUUUGACAUAGUUGAAAAUUUCAUUUUUGGGCAGAUUUUCUUUGCUAUUCUUGGAACAAGUAAUAGUGCUCAUUCCCUUGCUUGAACACAUACUAGUUCAGUCGCACCGCGGAAUUUGUUAGAUGAUAAAAUAUCAGAUAUGAACUCAGCACAUUGUUAUACUGUUGCCUUUAUUCCUCAAGUGACAGUAAAAACUAGUAAUUGCAGUAGAUGAUAUAUUUAAUGAAAAUUACUGGGGCGACCAGACUUUUGUGUUGACAUUGAAGGGGGAGAUGGAGAAAGACCGCAGGAACAUAGCGAGCAGGGAUAGCUUUGUCUUAUGUUGUGAUGUUUGAUUUUCGCAGCCUUGACUAGUGGAGCUAAGAAGUUUAUUCCAAUCCCUAGUGCACUGAGAACAUUUCAUUUUUAUUUGUAGUUGCUGCAUUUAUGGUCCUGGCUACAAUCUUGUUCGAAGACCUUUCCUCAACCCACUUCCUUUGAAUUUCUUUGUUGUCAGUUGUCAUCUUGUGCUGCAUAACUACAAAAACAUCCUUCUUGCAGGGUACAGAUACUGAAAACUCUUCGGAGCAUGAACUAACAGUAAUUGAAGCACCACGCCAGUCAGAUUUGAUGGUGGAGCUGAUAAAGAAGCUGAAGCCUCAGGUGGUAAUUUCUGGGAUUGGUGAUUUUGAGGCUGUUACCAGUUCAGCCUUUGUACAUCUUCUAGAUGUUACAAGAGAAGUUGGAUCUCGUCUUUUCUUGGAUAUAUCUGAUCACUUUGAGCUCUCCAGCCUCCCAAGUUCCAAUGGGGUCCUUAAAUAUCUUGCUGGAAAUGUUCUUCCUUCACACGCGGCAGUUAUUUGUGGCCUUGUUAAAAAUCAGGUGAUUGUUUUUCAUUAUACUGGCCACUUGACUGUUAUGCUAUUACAAGAAGAGAUUUCUGUUUGUUCUGAUCAAGUCAUAAGAUGGGUUUCAAGAUUCGUUCUCAGUGGUUAUCUGUUAGCUUUUUGUUCUUAUUUAUGGAAGCCAAAUUCAUCUUUGCAGGUUUAUUCAGAUUUAGAAGUUGCUUUUGUAAUCUCAGAAGAAGAGGCCAUCUUUAAGGCCUUGUCUAAGACUGGAAGUACUAGAAGGGACUACUGCACUGAUUAGUCAAAACUACUAUGGUUGUCUUUUUCAUGAGCUUCUGGCUUUCCAGCUUGUGGAGCGACAUACGCAUAAAGAGGUUAUCCUUCUCUCUUUUUUUGCUGUUUUCAUAUCACAGAAUCCAUUUUUGAAUAUAUGUAUUUAGGUACAGAAGCACAUGAAUAUUCAUGUUUUUAUGAGUAUAUUUAAGUAUAUCCAAUGUUGAUUAACUCGUCCAUUUGAGCAUGAGAUAAUUAGAUAGUUGAUAUUUAUGUUACAAAAUUCAGAAGCAACAUUAGCACUGCAGUAUCAUGCAAGGACUGUAACAACCUGGAUUCUUUUUCCACCUGGAUUUUUUUGUUGAUUCACUUGGCAUAUGUUUAUCCAACCUCUGAUUUUUCUUAAUAUUUCUCUGUAGUUCAUUUCACGGCACGUUUAGUUGCUACAUUGGCAUUUUCUGCUAUUUGUUUUUAUUCAUUGAAGCAAGUUAGCUCAUGAAAUUGCUAUUUGAUAAAUGUUGUUCAGAGGGAUUGCGAAAAGGUCAAAUCAACUGAGAUGAUCGGGUUUUCUAGAUCAGCCAUCUCUGUCCUCAACAGUGCUGAACUGUCAAUUACUGACACACCAAACUCUGGCCUGAUUCAUAUGGAUGUAGACCAAAGCUUCUUGCCCAUACCAUCUCUGGUCAAAGCUGCUAUCUUUGAAAGUUUCGCAAGACAAAACAUGUCUGAGUCAGAAAUUGAUGUCACCCCCAGCAUCCAACAGUAUAUCAAGAGCAAUUUUGGUUUUCCAAUUGAUAUCAAUGCAGAAUUCAUAUAUGCAGAUUGCUCUCAAUCUCUGUUUAAUAAGCUAGUCCUCUGUUGUAUCCUAGAAGGUGGAACAUUAUGCUUCCCAGCUGGCUCAAAUGGGAACUAUGUUUCUGCUGCCAGAUUUUUGAAAGCGAACAUUGUGAAUAUUCCUACUGAGUCUGAAGUGGGCUUUAAGAUGACAGAGAAGACACUUGUGACGAUACUCGAGACCGUGAAGAAGCCGUGGGUGUACAUUUCUGGUCCAACAAUCAAUCCAACUGGCUUGCUUUAUAGCAACAAAGAGAUGGAGAAUAUAUUAACUGUUUGUGCAGAGUAUGGGGCAAGAGUUGUGAUUGAUACUACAUUCUCAGGAUUGGAAUUCAACUACGAGGGUUGGGGUGGCUGGGAUUUGGAAGGCUGUUUGUCAAAGCUGUAUUCUUCCGCCAAUUUGUCUUUCAAUGUGUCGCUGCUCGGAGGGCUGUCUCUGAAGAUGCUGACUGGAGCACUCAAAUUUGGGUUUCUGGUUCUAAAUCAUCCUCAGUUGGUUGAUGCAUUUAGUAGCUUUCCGGGAUUAAGAAAGCCUCAUAGCACAGUCAGAUACGCUAUAAAGAAGUUGCUUGGUCUGAGAGAGCGAAAAGCAAGAGACUUGAUGAAUGCUGUUGCAGAACAUAUAAGAAACUUGGAAAGUAGAUCAAAGCGCUUGAAAGAGGUACUUCUAUCUGUCCUCUUACAAGAAAUUUUGAAUUAACCAAUUACAUGUAGUACAUAAUCUUUGAAUUAUAUUACUCAAUUCUAAAUAUAUGUCCUACCAUUUUCUCCAUGGUGAUCUUUCUGCAACAGGCACUUGAGAAUUGUGGGUGGGAAGUGGUUCAAUCCUGCAGUGGUGUUUCAAUGGUGGCGAAGCCCUCUGCCUAUCUCAACAAAACUGUAAAGAUCAGCCGGCAUUCAGCUGGCAGUGGUGAGAAAACUGCUACAGAACAAAUCAAGCUUGAUGACUCAAAUAUCAGGGAAGCCAUAGUCAAGGCAACUGGUUUGUGCAUCAACAGUGGUUCGUGGACCGGAAUUCCUGGCUAUUGUCGCUUCACAAUUGCACUGGAAGAAAGCGAAUUUGAACGAGCUUUGGAUUGCAUAGCUAAAUUCAAAAGCAUCGUUCUUACACGUAGUUAACUAAAAAAUGGUAUUGUCAUUUGUCAUGAUUUAUUUCUAUUGCCUGAUGAUGGUACCCAUCACGCCUUAGUUGUCGUGAAUAAAUCGAAAAUCAAAUUGCACUGGUUUUUACCGGUUAUCAACAAUUGUGAUGUUUUGAGAUUAUAACAUACUUGACAACGUUGACUAGCGUUCUCUCCUAUGUGAAUUGGGACAAAAAUUAUUUUCCCAAUCACGCUUUCGUUUGAACAAUUCUACUUCAGAUAUAUAAAAUAAUGAUGAAAUUGUGUUUUAUAAUUAGUUACGAGUAAUUGGUUCAAUAUUAAUACAAAACUAUUUUAAGUAACACGUGGCAUAUUCUAAUUCCAGUGAGCUUCUAACUCAGAUUCCCAAAUCAAAAGAAACGUUUCAAUUUUCUCCAGAACAUUCUGCAAAACGUUUCUUCGAGUCUCUACGCUGUGCUAUAAUUUUCUCUCAGUUUCUUUUGCAAAGACUUCUAAAGAACUGUCCAGAUACCGAAAUAUAAGGGGUUUUUAAUUAAAUACCCUUUAAUAGUUUCAAAAUUAUUUAAAUAUCCCCUCCCUUUUUUGUUUUCAUGGAUACCCUAACAAAUGUGAGUAAAGUCGGAAAUACCCUUAAUGAAUACAUCAAAUUCACUCAAUGAAUUAUCUUCAUAUUUCUUUCCUCAUUUCUUUCACCCAACUCCAUUUUUGCUGCCGAUUCUUUCAAAAUCUCUUAGAAUCUCUCAAAAUCUCUCAUAACUUCUUACACAAAUACAAUUAUGUAUUCAUUUCUUUAACACCCACUCUUUCUUUAAAGGUGCAUUGCUUAUUAAACAACCCAAUAAGGUAUGUUAAUGUUGUUGGGUUUUAAAUUUUUUAAUUUUUAGGAAAAUUUAGAAAUUUUCCUCACAUUACAAUGUUUUAUUUUCACCAUUUUUUCUUAUACGUAGAAAUAUAUGCAAUGUAGGUUGUUUAAUUAUUUUUUUCAGCAAUAUAACUUAUUUAUGGCGAAAAUGUUUCGAGUCGUGCAUUCUUUUGAUACCGUGUACGUCAUAUAGUUAGUUAUGUAGGUCGUGUAAGUAAUAUAGUCGUGUAAGUCGUGUAGGUCAUGUAAGAAAUAUAGUCGUGUAGGUCAUGUAAGAAAUAUAGUCCUGUAAGUCGUGUAAGUAAUAUAGUCGUGUAGGUCAUGUAGGUCGUGUAGUUACUUGUAUAUGAAAUUUAAUAUUAUUGUUUUUAUUGUAUCAUCAGAUAUGGUUUUGGUACGUGUGCCUAUUCUCUUCAAUGGUGAAUGGAUUGAGCAAAAUGACGAGUAUAAGUUCAAAGGUUCAAAAGCUAAAGGGAUAAUGAUACCACGAUCGACAACAUAUGCCGAAUUGGUGGAGAAGAUAGCUGAAGUUAUUGAUAUAGAUACUUCGGAAUUCGAAAUCACAAUGAAGUUCAAACUUAAGACAUCUGAUCCUAUGCCACUAGUUACAAUUCAAACCAAAAAAUUCGUGUAAUUUUAAAGUCGCAAUUAAACAUAUUACAGCUAUUUAAAAAGUUUUUUUUUUUUUUAUCUUCAAAGUGCUUUCUUCCUCUGGCCAAGCAUACAAGCAUACAUGAGGAAUGUCUGCAUAUAAUUAAUCCAUGAAAUCAAUUAAGAAAAAAAAAUAUCAACCAUAGGAAAUUAAUGUAAUGUUAUACACAUAAGAACACCAUUCGCAGUGAUAAAAUAUUUCCACUCAUAACUAGACAUAUCAUGACUUACCAUGGCUUAUAAUUGGAAAUUAAGAAUCUCUCUAACUAAUGAUAUUUCACAAGGUAAAGGUAUAUGCACCAUUCCAAUUUAUUGUGAGCCUAAUUAAACUAAAUGUAAUGUGUAGAUUCUAUUGACAAGAAACAAAAUGUGGAAUUGAAGGUCGUGUAAUUGUGUAAUACAAGAAGAUCGUGUAAUUGUAUAAUACAUGAAGGUCGUAUAAACAUGCAAUACAUGAAGGUCGUGUAAACGUGCAAUACAUGAAGGUCGUGUAAACGUGCAAUACAUGAAGGUCGUGUAAUCGUGCAAUACAUGAAGGUCGUGUAAUACACAACCUUGAAUAUUACAUAACCUUACACGACCAAAUCUUAUGUUACAUAACAAAAUUAUAAUCAGCACAAUCCAUUAAUUUUUCACAAUUUGCAUGCAGCAAAACAACUAGAAAUUUGUUUUCGAACAUGUUAUGAGAGACCCACAACUAAUUAAUCUAUUUUUUCAAUAUAAAACCCUAACUUUUUAUUUUUUUUCCCUUGAAUAUUAACAAGAAAACUAAUUACACGGAAUUACUUGUCUCAACUAGUUACAUUCUGACAAUUUUGCAGUAAAUGAUCAACUCUCUCCGGCGAUUAUGUAGUGACGAACUAUGCUUCACUUUCUCAGUUGUGGCAGCUUCCCCUUCUCAGGCUUAGUUUGCUCGUGUUGAAGUUCGAUUUACCAUGUAUGGAGAAUGAAUGUUUGUUUCGGUAGAGGUGAUGCCGGUGAGGGAAUUGUAGAGGUGAUGUCGAUGAGGGAAUUGCAGUAUUUGUUUGUUUGAGUUUGAUAAUGGAGGGAAUUGCAGCAGAUGAGUGUUUGUUUGCUUCAGUAGAGAAGGGAGAGGUGCUGUCUAUUGAGUUGAAAUGUUUUAAAAUGAGGAUAGCUUAGUAAUUUCCUAUCAGUUUUUAAAGGGUAUCGAUGAAAAUUUUGGCAAAAACAGAUUUUAGGGUAUUGAGAUAAUUUUUGAAGUAUGGAGGUGUACCGGGCGCAAUUGGCUCGAAAUAUAAUCCAAUCUAAGUGUAUAUAUCUCUCUACGUAAAGAUAUUCUAAUUCUAAUUAUCACAUUCUAAUUCAUAAAGAUAUUCCUCUUCUGUCAUAUUAAUGUGCUAAUACGAAGGUCUAUUGGAAUUAUAAUAGUUCAGAUGAAUCCAAAAUAUUCAAUAAUUGAUAAAUAGUAUAUAUAAAUAUUAAUAGCAAUGGCACAUAAUCAAUUAAUUCAAGAACUUGCCCAUAGUGCAUUAAGUUAAAAGAGUAAAAAUAACAUUGCAAAACAUGCCAGACCUUACGUGUUUAAUUAGCAAUUGAAAACUAUUUUACCGUACAACACCAUAAAGAGAUAUUUAUAACACUGUUGCUGCAGCUGUUAAUUCUUUUGGUGAAGAUGUUAAGGCCACUAAAGCUGGAACGUAAUUAGGGAAAUAUAAUGCAUUCACUUAGUUUGCUAUUUGUGUUUUUAUAUUUGUUUGGCUAAUUCUUUGCUCAGAUUGCUUUUUGUUUGAGAUUUUAUUGGCUUAGUCGUGGGAUAUUAUUUAAUCUUUUAAUUUUGUGUUUUUAUUGUUAUGGGAUUUGAUGAUGGUAUACAUAUAGGAAAAUUAUGCAAGAAAGUGCUUUUAAUAAAUUAUGGUCGGUUUACUAUUAAUUAACCAAAUUUAAUUUACUCAAAUUACUCCUAUACACGAUCAAAAUAAUUUCAAUUCCAUGAUAUAAAUACGCGCGUGCGGACACACAAAAUGUAAAUAACUUUCAAAUAUAAAAUAUUUAAAAUAAUCAUCAUACUCACAAUUCACAAGUUAGAUUAUAUUAAGGCCACCAAGGCUUAAAUGUAAUUGAUUGAAGAAAGAAGUGCUUGCUUUGCUUGAUGUGCCAUUUGUCUAUGAUGUUUUAUAAAUGGCCGAAAUAAUGAUAAUCUAGUGAAUCUGGUCAUAUUAAUUUGAUUUUCAUUUAUAUUAAUUAUGUCGAAUCAUACUAUUUUAAUAAGAAAGAGCACUCGAGAAUAUAUAUAUCUAACAACUAAAAUUUCAAAACAAUAUUUGCCAAAGUCUGAUGAAGAGAAUACAUAUAUAUAUAUAACAUGCACUCGCACACAUUCUAUUGUUUAAUUAAAAAAUUCGAAAGCCCAUUAUAUACAUGAUAAAGACUCACCGACACCGAACCAUAUUCAUUUAAAGGAAUUGUUUUCAACUGAGAUUUGAAAUUAUAUACACAAACACACCCGAUUUUUUAUUUUUUUUAAAAAAAUUACUAAUAAUAAAAUAUUUCAGUCGUCCUCUGUUCAGCUGUCAAAAACGCAUUUAAAAUCUAUAGCAACAUGCGGUAUAUGGGUUAACAAGUCCCAAUAUUGUCCUCCAUCCUUUCUGCACUUCUCUGCCAUCAACGGACAUCGAUAGAUACUUAAUCGCAAAAGUGAGGAAGGCAGGCCCUUCUCCGGAAAGUAUUUGAGCUUGGGACAAUACUGGAGAUCCAAGUGAGUGAGGUUUUGAAGAUCAACAAUUGAAGAAGAUAGGCGUUCCAGAUUUGGAAAAUUAGAAAUCUCCAGAAAUGUUAGAGAGGCAGGAAGAGGAAGCGCGGUCCCCAAUCUUAUGUCCUCCGGUGGGAAUGACACCAUGUCGCCAUCGCAUCGGCUGAUUGUGAGUUGUCGCAGAGAGGAGAAUCUGUGGAAUCCCCGACCCCGCCCAAUCGUUGACUUCCAAAUCUUCGUAUUACCAUCAAUCUCCAGUGAAUGAAGGUUGGUGGGAAGGGCAUCUUCUUCAAGGCUUGGAAGCUCACCUCCUUUUCCUAUUUUUAAUUGUUGAAGAGAGGUCAGAUUGUGCAAUCCCUUGGGUAAGGCCUCUAGUCUCUCACAAUCAGAUAUCUCCAGCGUAGUCAGUUUCGCACAAGGCAAUCCCCCUUCGGGAAAGGACUCCAGAUUUCCACAUUUCUCUAUGCUAAUCUCUUGAAGCUGGCGGAGAUUAUGUAAACCACUCGGUAAAGUUUUCAGAUUUCCACAAUCAGAAAUCUUGAUUGUUUCAAGAGAUGUGUUGUUGUCCAACCUUUCUGCUAUAGACUCCAGCUUUGAACAUCCCCAAACACCAAGGAACUCAAGAGACGGAGGUAGAUUGCCAACUUCAAGGGACUCAAGCGUGGCAGGUAACUCGUUUUUUGAAAAUAUACAUGUCAGUGAUGGACAGCUGUUAAUACGCAACUGCUCAAGAAGAGAUGAGGUGUACCUUCUGCUGCUGCUACUCUGGAUGCCCUCUUCCACUGUCAAGGUCCUUAUAUUAUCGCAAUUGUAAAUCACCAACUGCUUAAGGCUCCGUGGUAGCUGGACUCCACCAAUAUAUAUCAACGAAUGGCAAACCCAAAUCUCCAAGAUCUCGAGAGAUGAAUUGGUGUCGCACAUCCAUGCCUCUGGUAACGAUUUCAGUGCAUCACAAGCCGAAAUGAAUAUUCUCCUCAACUUGGAAGGCAGAGCAACCUCAGGAAAGGAAACAAGGGAACUGCACUCGUAGAUUUCUAUCUCUCUCAAGGAACUGAGGAUGAGCGAUGAUUGUGGCAGCUUUACAAGGCAUUGGCAACGGCUCAAUCUUAGAUAUUCGAGUCUGCAUGACAACUCGCAGAGCUGCUGUUGUUGGUCUUUCUCUUCCUCCGCCACCAAGGAUUGAAGUUUGGGACAGCAGUAGAUCUCCAGUCUUUUGAGAGAGCAAAUGUCUUGUAGUAAUCCGUCAUGACUCUUCCAUAUAUAUGUUUGCUCUUUUGUCGACAAAAUUAAUUCUUCCAAUUUCUGUAGUUGUGGCUUCAAUGGCCCCGCAAGAAACACUUGAUUUGAUGUAUCUCUACAAACCACUGAAUUCUGUGAUCCGAGAUGACCAGUUGCACUUUCCCACACAACCUUUUUGCAUCCACCAAUUUCCAAUUUGCAAAGAGCUGGAAGACUCGAAACUGAAACUAACAAUUCUUCACAUCCUUCAAUAACAAGCAUCUCCAAUGCAGGAAGGUGCUCUGGAAAUGUUCCUUUCAGUUUAGAACAUCUUAAAAUGUGAAGCUCUCUCAAUUUAGGAAACCCUUCAACUCCUUGACUGGAUCCAUGAGGAAUCCAGUCUUCCCAUUCUCGCAUGUUUUCAAAACGAAGAGUCUCCAAGCAUGGAAAAGGAAUUGGAGCAUCAUUCCCAUAGAACUCUGAACCCAACCUCUUUACUCUGCUCAUUCCACAUACUGCAAGAUGCUUUAGAGAGGGUAGUUGCCCGACUGACGGCAGGGCAGUACACAUGUCACAAUUUUCAAAUUUUAGCGUCACCAAAUUUGACAAUGAGGAAUCUCCUAACCAAGCUGGAAAUUUUGUACCUCCAUAGCCACUGAUACAAAAUUGUUCCAAAAUUUCAUGAGGUUUUAGCAUGUCAAGCACAUCCUUUUCAGUUUCUGCCUCACUUGAAGAUGAGCCAUCGAUACUGAGUGUCCAUCGAAGCAAUAAUUCUCUAAGAUUCUUCUUUCCAUCCAAUUGAGCCUCCUUCGCAUCACCAACGUCUUUUACAUUCUCCAAUUUUGAAAUGUUAAGUGUCCCAUGAAGGUGCGUCAACAACUUUAGCUCUCGUAACCCGGAACCACUGUCUUUUCCCACAACAAAAUUACACAACGUCUGAAGGCAAGUCAGCCUGCCAAUUCCUAGUGCCAUUUCCUCCAACGAAUCUGUUUUUGAAUUAAUGAGAUGAUGCAAUUUGAUGAGAUUUCCCAUGUCUGCACAUAACUUCUUCAGCCGAUCACAAUCUUCCAACAAAAGACUAUGCAAAUUGUAAAGCUUGUUGACUGAUUCAGGCAGAGUUCUAAUCUUAGUUCCAGACAGGUUAAGGUACCUUAAAUACCUCAAAUCACCAAUUGAAUCCGGCAGCUCAGGGAUGCGGUAUCCACGCAAAGAGAAGACCCUCAAGCGUUGGAGUUUGAGCAACUUAGGAAGAAUGCUAGGAGCCAAGUAGCCAGGCAAACUAUUUGUCAACAUUACUGGUAAAAAAGUUCUCAAAUGUUGGAUAUCAUACAAGUCCCCAAACCUUUUACCGCCAUCACAAUAUUCAGGAAUGUAUGAUAGAUGACGAAGAUUUUCGGAAAAACUUUGCUGCUUGUUAACCUCUGAGGUAUACUCCAUUGUGAAGUAUAUCUCCCCCGCAGCCCAACGGGCAAGGUCAUUGAUAAGAUCGUGCAUCACAAAUCGUGAUGUAUUGUUGCUUGAUUGCUGCAAAAAAGAUCUUGAUCGUAGCUCUUGAAAGAACUUUCGACCUAGAUCUUCGUUAGGAUUCCCACUCUCUUUAUGAUCCAAGAAACCCGAAGCACUCCAUAAUAAAAUUAUCUCCUCCUCUUCAAAUUCAUAAUCCUUCGGAAACAACGAGCAAUACGCAAAGCAUUGUUUCAAAAUUGGAGGAAGAUAAUAAUAGCUCACUGCAAGAGCUGGUAUAAUGGGACAUUUAUCUUCUGGUAAUUCCCAUAUCUUGCUACUGAGCACACCUUUCCACUCACGUUUGUAAGGUUUUCCAUGUAAAAGUCCUCCCAGUGUUUUUGCUGCCAAGGGCAAGCCGUUGCAUUUGAUCACUAUCUCCUUGCCAAUUUCCUCCAAUGACUUAUGUGAACUGAAAUCUGCUGUCUCCAAAGAGUGCUGAGCGAGUACAGACAGACAGUCCUCAGUUGACAAGCUUUUGAGUUCAUAAGCUUGAUCCAGGCUCAUGAUUUUGGCAACCUCUUCAUUGCGAGUGGUGACAACAACCUUACUUCCCUGUGCGCCAGCUUGAAAUGGAAGGCUGAGGUGAACCCAAUCAGUGUAAUUCUCAUUCCAAACGUCAUCUAAAACAAGCAAAAAUUUCUUUCGAGACAACUGCUUCUUUAGCUCCUCUUGAAGAAAAUUUAAAUCAUUAUUAUCAACAGUCUGCUUAGUAAUGGAGCUUAGAAUUGUUCUUGUUAGCCUGAUAAGAUCAAAAUCAUCAGAGACACAAGUCCAUGCCUUGAGAUCAAAAUGAUCCUCCACUUGCUUAUCAUUGUAGACAAGCUGAGCAAGAGUGGUUUUACCCAGCCCGCCCAUACCUAUAAUAGGAAUAACUGCGAAUCCACCAUCCUUUCUUGAAUCAUCCUUCAACAACAAUUCAACAAUUUCCUUCUUUUCUGUUUCCCUGCCAUAAACUUUGGCUUCCUCCACCAAAGAAGUUGUAUCUCGCCUUUGCCUGGCUUUUUGGGACCCCCCAGCUGAACUUUUUAUCAAUUUCAGCGAGCCUAUUCCUUCUUCAAUAUCUCGAAAUCUGUCGUUGAUCUUUUUGAUUUUGGACAUCAUCGAGUAAUCGAACUGAAUCGAUUGCAGAGUAAAAGUGGGGCAGCAAGUAGGAAUGAGCUUCCGAAACUUACUCUUCGUGCUUGUACGACUGCUGCUGGGUUGAUCAUGAGCAGCAGCUGGUUCUCCAUUUCCAAGCAGCAACUUCCUCCGGAAAGCCUCAGUUUGGAACUCAUCCAACAAGUCUUCAACGUCAUAAGCCAAGUUCUGAAGCUCGCCAAGCCACAACUUCACAGAAUCAUCAGUCGUCUUCUUCUGCUCAGCAUCAUCAAGCACCGCCUUGAUCGUCACCAACUUCUUCUUCCACUUCACUAGAUCGUCUUUGAUUCGACCUUGGCGUUCAAAUAAACGAAGCCCCUCCGAAGAUAACUUAUUGAUCAGCAUCUCAACGGACGCCUUCAGGAUUGCCUCUCCGAUGAUCGACAUUUUUUCUUUUUUCUUUUUUUUGGGUUUUUUGGACAGAGAAAGAAACUGAAUUAUGAGUUUGUGGAAAGCAAAAUGAGAAAAGUGAAGAAGCGGAAUGAGUUUGUGAUUGUGUCUAGCAAAGCCUAUAAAUCAAGAAAAAUCCACCGUAAAAGUGAAAAGUCAAACGGAGCCCACCACAAAUAUAAAAUCAGAGGAGCACAGAAAUUAAAAAAAAAAAAAAUCAAACAUGUAAUGAUUUGUAAAGUUAUUAGCGAUUUGUAAAAAUCAAACAUGCGUCUUCUUCCUCUGAGUGUAUUUUUUUUUUCUUUUUCAAAAGAGAUGGUGGGGUUGUGUUGUUUGCAAAGUUAAUAGCGUGGGUCUAUUUGUUUUUGUUUUAACUUUAUUAAUUAAUUAGUGAAGCAAACAUGUAAUGAUUUGUAAAGAUCACCGGCAUCAGAUUAUUGAGAGGUAUUGCGCUUAGUAUUCACAAUUUCUUGUAAGAAGAAUUUGUAAGACUUAUUAAUUUCGAUGAAAAUGUAUCAUUAUUAUUUAAUUCAUUAAGUUAACUUGAGGUAUUAAUAUUCACUAAUUGUGGUGCUGGUGAAUUUACUUAACUUGUCAUUAUUUGUAAUUAAAGAAUGAGGUUCAAUCAAUUUAUUGGAGAAAAAUUGAUUUUAAUUCUUAGUAUUUGAUUUCACUCUCUUUUACUUUUUGACGUUGCUAAAGAGACAGUAAAAAACUUGCUAAAUGUCAUCAAAUACUUGUAUCUCAUCUCACAAAUUGGCAAUAUUUGUUUGGUAUUUCAUCUUAACGGGACGCCGUAAGGAUUGCCUCUCCAAUGAUUGAUAUUUUUUUUUUCUUUUUUUCCCGCACAGAAAGAAACAGAAUUUUGAGUUUUAAAGCAAAAUGAGAAAAUUGAGCAAAAUGCAUGUGGCAAGUCUCCUGCUUGAUUAUUCCAGUAAAGUGAAAAUAAAAGCAGAGCCCACCACCCAUUGAUAAUUGGAAAAUGAUAAACGAACGAAAAGCGCGACGAAGGGACGACAGAAAACGCGUUUCCUCAUCAAAUUUUGUUUUUGUGUACCGACAAUAAAUAAUAAAAUAUUUUUUGUGAGAGCGAUAACAAAUAGUAAAAUAAAGAAUUAAAAAAAAAGAUAGUGUAAACGAACGAAAGCGCGACGAAGGAACGACAGAAAACGCGUUCCCUCAUGAAAAUUUUUUUUUGUGGGAUCGAUAAUAAAUAAUAAAAUAUUUUUUUGUGGGACCGAUUAUAAAUAGUAAAAUAAAGAAUAAAAAAUAAAAAAAUGGAUGGUGAAAACGAACGAAAGCGCGACAAAGGGAUAACAGAAAACGCGUUCCUCAUCCAAUUUUUCUUUUGUCGGACCGAUAACAAAUAAUAAAAUAUUCUUUUGUGGGACCGACUAAAAAUAGUAAAAUAAAGAAUGAAAAAAAGGAUAGUGUGCAAUUUUUCUUUUAAUAGAAUUUAGCAAUUCACCAAUCACCAAUCACCACCACUUGUUACCAGAUUCAAUAAAUGUAAAAUCGCACCUGGACAUUUGUAGGGUCAAGCAACAUUAAUCCAGUGUCCGGGUAAAUGCUGAAUAAAGGGGAAAAUGGGAUGUAAAUUUACUAUUAAAACAAAUAAAAUUUAUUAAUAAAAAUAAGGGUUAUAUAUAUUUUUUAAAAUGUUAAGAAGUUUUAUAUCUUUUUUGGAUUAAAUUUUCUAUUUCCUAUUAAGCAAAACCCACGUCAAAAGUGAAAAAGAAAAAUAGAGCCCACAGAACAGAGCCCAUUACAAAUAUAAAAUCGGAGGAGCUCAUGAUCAUGCCUUUUGUUUUACAUACUAAAUUUAAUAAAAGCCAAACCAAAAUCUUGCCUUUACUUAACAUGAUUAAUUAGGCACUGCAUCAGAGAGAACACGAAAGCUAUGAACCAUUUUGUUAAUCUUAAAUGUCAGGAAUAUAAUUAGCUUGGAAUAAAGUUGCAUUCUUCUCCUCUGACCGCAAGAUAUGGACUGGGCCACUCCAAAGAGAUUGGUAAUGCUGUAUCAGUAUAAUUAGCUUGGAAUAAAGUUACAUACAUUCUCCUCCUCUUACUGUCUCUUUAGGUUCAUUUCAAAAGUUUGAAGAGAGUAUCAAUUCUUCUACACUUUAGAAUGUCAAUGUUUUUGCUUUCUUCAAAUGUUGAAUAAAGAGAAAAAAAAAAUGUUGAAUGUAGAAGGAAAAUGGAAUGCAUCCACCUUCGCUUUGGAAGUCUUCUACUUAUAAAAGCAAGCUAAAUUAAAAGAUUUAAAUCUCUCUUUUUAUUACUAUAAGUGCACUGCAUUUUUUUUUUUAAAUAAUCACCUAUACAAAUUUGUAACGUAAUGAAAUAUUCAUAUUCCUGUCGUGUCGAAAUGAGAUAAAAUGAAAUUUUAAAUAACACAAAUUCGACUCAUUUGUUAAAAGUAUAUACUUAAUAAGCUAAUAACAUAAUUAACAUAACGCUAUUAUUAUACUAAAUGAAAUAAAAGACGGUAGCCACCAAUAAUUACACUAGCAAGCUUCGCAUGCUCGUGUUUAAGGAAUUGGACAUUGGUGAAUUAAUCAAGGAUAAGAAACAAUUUCAAAAAACAAAAUGGAUACUAUACAUUUUCUUUUUUUAAUUGCACAGAAAAUGGGACUAAUUUUCAAAUAUUUUCAAAUUCACUUAUUAACAAAAGCUAUACAAAAUAAUUUCCUUUUUAUUUUGAAACAUUAUACGGAAUCAAAUAACAGUGAUUCAAAGAGUGUAAAGUGGUAAUUCUCUGAUUGUAUUUUCUCUCUUUUUUAAAAGGAGAUGGUGGGGUUUGGUUGUUUGCAAAAUUAUUGGUGUGAGGGUCUAUUUGUUUUUGUUUUCACUUUAUUAAUUAAUUACGAAGCAAACAUGUAAUCAUUUGUAAAGGGGUCACUAGCAUUGGGUUGUGUAAGAUGAAUUCGUAAGACUUAUUAAUUUCGAUGAAAAUGUAGCGUUAUUAAGUUGUCAAUUCAUUAACUUGAGGUACUAAUAUUUACUAAUUGUGGUGAUUAAUUUAUUUAACUUUGUCAUAAUUUUCAAUUGAGAAUGAAGUUCAAUCAAUGUAUGAAAAAAAUAAUUUUUUUAGAUUUUUAACUCCUAUGAUUUAAUUUCCAUCUGUUUCGAUUAUUGACGUGUUAAAAGCUUGUAGAAUAUCAUGAAAUGCUUGUAUCUCACCUCACAAAUUGACAAAAAUUGGUUGGUUUCUCCAAAGGCUGCCAUGACGAAUUGAAAGUAAAAACAACCACCAUUGAAAAUUAAUUUUAAAAAUCUUUUUUACUUGAAAAUUUUUAAAAGAAAAAUUAAGCAAAUUAGAUUGCAGAUAUCAAUCUUAAUAUUUUGUUGAUGAAAAUUAAUUAAUUAAUCCCAGUACUUUCUUAAUUUUGUGUUGUGCACCGCAUUGGCCACUUCUGAUUGUGUUGCAUAUUUGUUAAUUCAAAGAAAUAGAUCUUUUGUAUCGAUCAAACUUAUUUUAUUAGUAUUAUUCAUCAUAUGGUUAAUGGCUUAGCCAAUGAAGGAGAAGGGGUCAGCCAAAAUAAAUAAAGUACUUUCUCAUGCAUUAACCUUUAUUAAAAAGCUUUAUUAACUGUUGUAGUUAAAACAAUUUUAAAACAAGUUAAAACAGUUCCAACUCAAAAUCUGUAGGCUGCAAUUGGGUUGUUACACAUAUUUCUAAAUUUCAGUCUAAUUUAAUUGUGUAUGGACAAACUGACUUUAUCACUCCUUUCAUAUUAAUACUCAUAAAUUUCAACCUUUUUUUAUGAUGAUGCACAAUCUAACUUAACAAAAAUAAUGUUCAAAUUGUCAAAAAAUGUUCUUUUCUUAAAAAAGAAAAGAAAAUCAUAUAUAGUAGUUAAUUUUUCUUCCUCUUUACUCCAAGAUCCAACUUCGUACUCCACUUUUUUGUUGUUAUUGUACCCAGCCGUUAGAUUUUAAUUACAUUAAUUUAAUGGUUUGGAUUUGUAAAUGAAUAACGACGUAGUGUUUGGCUACCAUCUGAACCCACUGCAUCUAAUUGGUUUUGUGAUUUUUUGCUUUCUUCUCUGUAACACUUGACUAGUUCUGAAAAUAUCGACCGCCAUCAACAAUAAAUCUGAUCCAUGUAUUAUUUCUUAGUAGUGGGCAAAUUAAUAAAGUUUCCACCACCGUACCAGUAUGUCGAUUUGCGAAUACAUUCAUUCAAAUAUUAAACAUUCAGAGAAGAAAGCAAACCGUGGCAGGAUAGAAUGCUGCGUUCUGUGCUAACUAUAAAUUCUCACAGUGGCACGCAUAUCACAUGACACACAGAGCUCAGACAACACGCUCAACUGCCACAACACUCACCAAAUCUUCACCCAACUCAUGCAUCUCACCUCUCUGUGCUCUCUCUGUUGGCUCUCUCUCUCCCUCUCUCUCCCCCCGUCGCUCACGCAUCUCACCAUGCUCUCUUUUCACCGUCGACUUUCUCUCUCUCUCUCCCCAUGGGUCUUUCCACAGCUGGCGCGGGUCUCCAUCGAGAAUGCUUCGAACUCAUCAAGAGUGGUAGUAAAAGCAACAGUUUCAAUCGAGAACGGCGUCGUCUCGGCUCGGAAGAAGUAAUAACAGUGGUAUUUGGCGGGGGUUUUGGGUACUUUUUGUUCCUGUUUGUCCAUUAAUUAAUUAAUUUGGAAAAAGAACGGUGUAUUUGACAAAUAAAUAAUGGGGAUGGUUGGAUGUAAUUAAGGGGAUGAUGAACAUAAUAAUGGUUUAAGAAGACCAGGAUUUUGUUAACUUUUUUCUAGGUUUCUUGAAGAAUGUAACUUAAAAUAAAUGCAUCAAAUUAAGUAAACAUAAAAUCAUAAUAAUAAUAAUAAUAAUAAUUGGACUCAAUAAUUAUAUGUGAAAUUUACAUAUGUGUCAAGUAGGAGCAUGAUAUCAUCAUUUACACACACACACACCACACACACACACACACAUAUAUAUAUAUAAAUGACAAUUUAUUUAAAAGUCAAAUAAUUGUGACGUUUUAUCAAAUAAGUGACAAAUAUAUAAUAUAUUACAUAUUUAUUGAAUAAUUAUCAUUUACCUUUUCCUUUUAUUGACUUAAGAAAAAAAACAAAAAACUUGCUAUACCGCUUCUGUUUUCGUUCUUAGAACAUAUUAGUUUCUUUUGAGAAAAGUCAAACUCAUUCCCAUUACUUUCUUUUCAAUAAUCACCUCUCAGUUUUUCAUCAGUCACUCAAUUUCGAAUUUCAUCUCCAUUCUCUUUCAAAGAAGAACACACGAAGAAUUUUAGCUUGCUUUACCUGCUUCUCGAAUUUCAGGUAUUGUUUCCUUUAAUUUUGAUUUUUUUUUUUACCUCUCUGUUUCUAGUUUGAUAAUUUAGGGUUAUACUUGAAUUAAUUGUAUUUUUAAUCAUCCUAGGUUGAUUUAAUUGAUUCCAAGUCUCAAUUUCCUGUUCAACAAACAAGGAACGCACGAGUAAUUUUCAUUUUCAUUCUCAAUUUUGAAAGAAUCAAUUUAUUUUAUGUGUUCAAUUUUGUUUAUUUAACUUAGGAUAUCUUUUUCAUUCUCGUCUUCAAGCAGACUAUAGCGUUGCUCCUCUCAUUGAUUAUAUUGAGAACAAUGCUUUCUCCUUAAUUCCACCAAGAACAACGUUGAUGUCAGGUGAUAAUUGAAUGUGUAAUAUUUUCAAUUGAAAUUAAUUGAGUCUCGUAAUAAUAAUAGGGAUUUGAGAUUUACAUCCUGUUGAAAUGAUUUUAGAGUGUUCUGCUAUUUGAAUGGGCAUUAUUUUUUUAUUUUCAAUUAAUUGAGUCUCUUUAAAAGAUUAUUUUUGUUUUUAGCAAACAUCUUAAUGCACUUUGCAAAUUGAAUCCAACAAGGGAAAAUUACAGAACUGCAACAGUUUUCAAAUUGAUUGCAUAUUAGAAGUAAUGUUAAUUUAUGCUGCAACAGUUCAAUGGGCUGGGCACAAGUUUAGGACUUUAGUUGCUCAAUUAAUGAAUCCACCACUCAUCGGACUUGGAACUUAUAUCAACUGAAUCAAUAAAAAUAGUUGACGUAAUCAAUACUGAAAGCUUCAUUUGAUUAAUAAUGAACUACAGACAUUUAUUUAUAACAUCUGCUAGAUUCUGGACAAUCACAAAUAUAUAGUAGCAGAAACUAUGUUAGAGACACUGUAGUUGCUUAAUUAGUGAAAUUGUGAUCUCGUUGCCCCCUUUUUUUGGUUGAUUCUAUAAUUUUAUUAGUUGUUCUUGUGGUUGUAAACAAUAUCAAUUUCUAAUAUUAAUAAAACUGAAUGAAUAAAAUGCGAUACAUUUGCAGGAAAGUUAAUAGUUUAAAUAUGGAUAAAUCUUGGAUGUUGAUGGAUAGAAGGUCUAAAGAAUAUGAGAACACGGUAAAUGAGUUUCUCAAGUUUAAUGUGUUAAUAAUUAUGAAGAACCGGUGUAAUUUAUAUGAUGUAGGAAGCACUUUAGGCAAAAUCAUCUGAAUCUCAAAAUUUCGUGAUAUUGUGCCAAAUAUCCAAAACAGAGCUUCCUACAUUGCUAUAGCAGUUUUUAAAAGUUGAGGACUCCAAAUAUCCAAUAACUGAUCAAUUCUGUUAAGAAAUAUAAAUAUUAAUGGUGAUGACACAUACGCAUUGAAUUCCUUCGUUUUGAGUUUGACUAAAAUAACCUGAAUAGUUUCAAACAAUCCAUCAGCCCAAAGUCCUUGAGAGAUUGAACUCGAGAAUAUAUAUAUCCAACAGGUAAAAUUUCAAAACACCAUUUGCCAAAGUCUGAUGAAGAGAAUACAUAUACACACACGCGCGCUCAUAUGUAUAACCGCACAGCAGAAGGAUAGAUAAAAUAAAUUGAAGUUUCAACAGUUGAACAAUGCAAACUCAUUUUAAAAAAGCAUUCUAUUGUUUAAUUAAAAAUUCGAAAGCCCAUCAUAUACAUGAUAAAGACUCACCGACACCGAACCAUAUUAAUUUAAAAUUGUUUUCAACUGAGAUUUGAAUUUUGAAAUUACAUACACCAACACGCCCGAUUUAAAAAACAAACUAAUAAUAAAAUAUUUAAGUUGUCUAUGUUCAGUCAUCAAAAACCAAUUUACGAUUUAUUUCAACACAAACACACCCGAUCUAUAAAAAAAAUCAAAAUAAUAAUAAAAUAUUUCAGUCGUCCUCUGUUGAGUCGUCAUCAAAAACCCAUUUACGAUCUAUUUCAACAAGAGGUAUAUGGGUUAACAAGUCCCAAUAUUGUCCUCCAUCCUUUCUGUACUUCUCUGCUAUUAACGGACAUCUAUGGAUGUAUAAACGCAAAAGUGAGGAAGGCAGGCCGUUCUCUGGAAAGUAUUUAAGCCUGGGACAAUUAUAGAGUUCCAAUGAAGUGAGGUUUUGAAGAUCAACAAUUGAAGAAGAUAGCCGUUCCAGAUUUGGAAAAUCUUCAAUCUGCAGAGAUGUUAGAGAGAGGCAGGAAGAGGAAGCGUGGUCCCCCAUCUUAUGUCCUCUGGUGGAAAUGACACCAUGUUGUCAUCACAUCCUGUGAUUCUAAGUUCACGCAGAGAGGAGAAGCUGUGAAAUCCCCGGCCCCACUCAAUCAUUGACUUCCAAAUCUUCGUAUUACCAUUAAUCUCCAGUGAAUGAAGGUUGGGAGGAAGGCCAUGUUCUUUGACGCUUGGAUGCUCACCUCCUAUAAUUAAUUGUCGAAGAGAGUUCAGAUUGUGCAAUCCCUUAGGUAAUGCCUCUAGUCUCCCACACUCAUACAUCAUGAGCUCAGUCAGUUUCGUACAAGGCAAUCCCCCUUCGGGAAACGACACCAGAUUUCCACACCCCUAAAAUCUAAUCUCUCGAAGCUGGCGGAGAUUAUGUAAACCACUCGGUAAAUUUUUCAGAUUUUUACAACUAAUGAUAGUGAUUGUUUCAAGAGAUGUGUUGUUGUCCAACCUUUCUGCUAUUGACUCCAGCUUGGAACAUCCCCAAACAAAAAGUGACUUAAGAGACGGAGGUAGAUUGCCAACUUCAAGGGACUCAAGCGUGGCAGGUAACUCGUUUUUUGAAAAUAUACAUGUCAGAGACGGACAACUCUCAAUGUGUAAGUGCUCAAGAAGAGAUGAGGUGUACCUUCUGCUGCUGCUACUCUGGAUGCCCUCUUCCACUGUCAAAGUCCUUACAUUAUCGCAAUUCCGGAUGACCAAGUUCUUAAGGCUCGGUGGUAGCUGGACUUCAGCAAUAUAUGUCAACGAAUGACAACGCGAAAUCGUCAAGAUCUCGAGAGAUAAAUUGGCGUCGCACAUCCAUGCCUCCGGUAACGAUUUCAGUGCAUCACAACGGUGAAUUGAAAUGCUCCUCACCUUGGAAGGCAGAGCAACCUCAGGGAAGGAAACAAAGGAACUGCAGUUGUAGAUUUCUAUCUCUCUCAAGGAGCUGAGGCUGAGCAAUGAUUGUGGCAGCUUCACAAGGCCUUUGCAAUCAUUUAAUAGCAGAUAUUCAAGUCUGCAUGACAACUCGCAGAGCUGUUGCUGGUCUUUUUCUUCCUCCGCCACCAAGGAUUGAAGUGUGGGACACCAUCCAAUCGUCAGCCUUUUGAGAGAGCUAAUGUCUUGCAGAAAUCCGUUAUGACUCUUCCAUAUAUAUGUUUCAUUUUUAAUAUUGCUUAUCUCCAAUUCUUCCAAUUUUGGUAGUCGCGGCUUCAAUGGCCCUGCAAGCAACACUUGAUUUAAUGUAUCGCUACAAACCACUGAAUUCUGUGACUCGAGAUGAUCAGUUUCACUUCUCCACACAACCUUUUUACAUCCACCAAUCUCUAAUUUGCAAAGAGCUGGAAGACUCGUAAUUGAAACUAACAAUUCUUCACAUCCUCCAAUAACAAGCAUCUCCAAUGCAGGAAGGUGUUCUGGAAAUGUUCCUUUCAGUUUAGAACAUCCUAUAACUUCAAGCUCUCUCAAUUUAGGAAAUCCUUCAACUCCCUGAGUAGAUCCAUGAGGAAUCCAGUCUUCCCAUUCUAGCAGGUUUUCAAAACGAAGAGUCUCCAAGCAUGGAAAAGGAAUUGGAGUAUCAUUCCCAUAGAACUCCGAACCCAAUCUCCUUACUCUGCUCAUUCUACGUACUGCAAGAUGCUUUAGAGAGGGUAGUUGCCCGACCGACGGCAGUGUGGUACACAUGCCACAAUCUUCAAAUUUAAGUGUUACUAAAUUUGAGAAUGAGGAAUCUCCUAACCAUAUUGGAAAUUUUGUACCUCCAUAGCCACUGAUAAAAAAUUGCUCCAGAUUUUUAUGGGGUUUCAGCAUGUCAAGCACGCCCUUUUGAGUUUCUGCCUCCCUUAAAGAUGAACCAUCGGUACUGUUUGUCCACCGAAGCAUUAACACUUUAAGGUUCUUCUUUCCAUCCAAUUGAGCCUCCUUGGCAUCACCAACGUAUUUUACGUUCUCCAAUUUUGAAACGGUAAGUGUCCCACGAAGAUGCGUCAACAACUUUAGCUCUCGCAACCGGGAACCACUGUCUUUUCCUACAACAAAAUUACACAAUGUCUGAAGACAAGUCAACUUGCCAAUUCCUAGUGGCAUUUCCUCCAACGAAUCUGUAUUUGAAUUAUUGAGAUGAUGCAAUUUGAUGAGAUUUCCCAUGCCUGCACACAACUUCCUCAGUCCCCGACAACCCUCCAACGAAAGGGUGUGCAAAUUGUAAAGCUUGUUGACUGAUUCAGGCAGAGUUCUAAUCUGAGUUCCAGAUAGGUUGAGGUACCUUAAAUACCUCAAAUCACCAAUUGAAUCUGGCAGCUCGGAGAUCCAAUAUCCACACAAAGAGAAGACCCUCAGGCGUUGAAGUUUGAACAACUUAGGAAGAAUGCUAUGAGCCAAGAAUCCUUGCGAACUAUUUGACAGACAUACUGGUAGAAAAGUUCGCAAAUGCUGGAUAUUGUACAAGUCUUCAAACCUUUUAACGCCAUCAUAUUUUCCACAGAUGCAUGAUAGAUGACGAAGAUUUUUGGAAAAACUUUGUUGUUUGUUAACCUCUGAAGUAUAAUCCAUUGUGAAGUAAAUUUCCCCCGCAGCCCAAUGGGCAAGGUCAUUGAUAAGAUCGUGCAUCACAAAUAGUGAUUUAUUGUUGCUUGAUUGCUGGAAAAAGGAUCUUGCACGUAGCUCUUGAAAGAACUUUCGACCUAGAUCUUCACAUGGAUUCUCGCUCUUCCGAUGAUCCAAGAAACCCACAGCACUCCACAAUAAAAUUAUCUCCUCCUCUUCAAAUUCAUAAUCAUUUGGAAACAAUGAGCAGUAUGCAAAGCACUGUUUCAAAGGUGCCGAGAGAUAAUUGUAGCUCACUCUAAGCGCCGGUAUAAUGUCACAUCUCUCUUCUGGUAAAUCCCAUAUGUUGCAACUGAGCACACCUUCCCAAUCACUUCGGUCACAUUUACCACGUAAGAGUCCACCAAGGGUUUUCGCAGCUAAGGGCAGGCCGUCGCAUUUGAUCACUAUCUUCUUGCCAAUUUCCUCCAAUGGCUUAUUUGAACUGAAAUCUCUUGUCCCCAAAGAGUGGUGAGCGAACACGGACAAACAAUCAUCAAUUGACAACUUUUUUAAUUGAUAAGCUGAAGCAGUCCCCAUUAUGGCUGCAACCUCUUGAUUGCGAGUUGUGACAAUAAUCUUACUUCCCGGUGCGCCAGCUUCAAACGGACGGCUCAUGUCAACCCAAUCAUUGUAACUCUCAUUCCAAACGUCAUCUAAAACAAGCAAAAAUUUCUUUCGAGACAACUGCAUCUUUAGCUCCUCUUGAAGCAAAUUUAAAUCACUAUUAUCAACAGUCUGCUUAGUAAUGGAGCUUAGAAUUGUUCUUGUUAGCCUGAUAACAUCAAAAUCAUCAGAGACACAAGUCCAUGCCUUGAGAUCAAAAUGACCCUGCACUCGAUCUUCAUUAUAGACAAGCUGAGCAAGAGUGGUUUUGCCCAGCCCGCCCAUACCUAUAAUAGGAAUAACUGAGAAUUCGCCAUCAUUUCUUAAAUCAUCCCUCAACAACAAUUCAACGAUUUCCUUUUUUUCUGUUUCCCUACCAUAUACCUUUGCUCCGUUCACCAAAGAGGUUGUGGGUAGUCUUUGCCUGACUUUUUUGGAUCUCCCCGCUGAACUUUCUUUCAAACCCAACGAGUCUUUCUGUGUUGCAACAUCUUGAAAUCUGUCGUUGAUCUCUUUGAUUUUGGACAUCAUGGUGUAAUCGAACUGAAUCGAUUGUGGAGUAAAAGUGGUGCAGCAAGUAGGAAUGAGCUUCCGAAUUCUGGUAUGACUGCUACUAGGUUGAUCAUGAGCCGCAACUGGUUCUCCAUUUCCAAGCAGCAACCUCCUCCGGAACGCCUCAGUUUGAAACUCAUCCAACAAGUCUUCAACAUCAUAAGCCAAGUUCUGAAGCUCGCCAAGCCACAACUUCACAGACUGAUCAGUCUUCUUCUCCUCAGCAUCAUCAAGCACCGCCUUGAUCAUCACCAACAUAUUCUUCCACUUCUUUAGGUCGGCCUGGAUUUGCUCUUGGCGUCCGAACAACCGAAUCCCCUCUGAAGCUAACUUAUUGACCAGCAAAUCAACGGACGCCGUAAGGAUUGCCUCUCCGAUGAUUGACAUUUUUUUCUUUUUUAACGCACAGAAAGAAACAGAAUUUUGAGUUUCAAAGAGCAAAAUGAGAAAAUUGAGCAGUAAGUGUGAAGGGUCAAGCAAAUUGCACGCAACAAGUCUUCCACUUGUUGUUUACUCUAGUAAAGUGCAAAUAGAAACGGAGCCCACCACCCAUUAAAAAUUUAGCGAUUCACCAAUCACCAGUCACCACCACUUGUUACCAGAUUAAAUGAAUGUAAAAUCGCACCUCGACAUUUGUAGGGUCAAGCAACAUUAAUCCAAUUGUCCGGGUAAAUGCUGAAUAAAGUGGACAAUUGGAUGUAUCUACUACGAACCUUCCCUUUACAAAUCUUCAAACUCAUAAACCAUGUUAAAAUGAAAAACGUUUCUCUCUUUCUCUCUCCCUUUCUGCCGUAAAAUUACUUUAUGGAUUGAAUUAAUUUCCAUGCUAAAACGAAGACUUAAAAGUACGAUACAAUUUUUUAUAAUAAUCCCAAUGGAAUUUCUACCGUCACGUUACAUUACUGUAGUGUCAAAAUAAAUUAUAAUAAAAUUUUAGCUGAACAUAAAUUCGACUCAUUUAUUAAAUAUAUAUACUUAAUAAAAUAACAACGAUAUUUUAUUACCUGGCUUCUCCCCAAAAAGAUAAUUUUCAAAAUUGUUCAUGGAGAAGUCUAUGUUGCAGAUUCUGUAACAUACGCACCCAAUGCAUGCACCACACUUGUUCUGUGCAUGGAGAAAAAGCAUGCAAAUGCUUUUGUUAGGUAGCUGGCUUAAAGCAGAAUCAGUAAGUUACAGAGUCUGUAACUUAGCCUGCUCCAUGUGAAAACAAAAAAAGUCCUGCCACCAAUAAUUCAGAAAGCUUCACUUUAUUACACGAAGGUGAAAGCAAAAAGCCAAAAACAGCCCCCACCACCAUCAAUAAUUUAGCAAGCUUCACAUGCUAGCGCCUGUCUACCUGACGAACUGCACACAGCACAUGGGUGGACCAAGCAUCAUUGAAUAGUUGUAAAAAAUAAAAAAUAAAAAAUAAAAAUCAGUGUCCCGCAAAAAGAAUCCAUCUUUAUGUGUUGAUAUGCACAUCUACCGAACAUCCAAAAAAUGGAAGUAGAAAUUGAAACUUACUUUUUUAGUUAUGGCUCAUAUAUAAUACAAGUAUCAAGAUUUAAGUAGAGUUCACAUAUACACAUGCGUCUACAAAAUUUUUAGGAAGUGAUAACUAAUAUGUUGGGAUAUAUAUUUGUGGGAAAUGACAAAUAUAGAGAAUAGCAGUAAAAAUGUUGGAAGUUUAAUAUAAUGAAAAAAGGUAAAUUGCAAAAAAUUAAUAUGUAAUUUAAAGCACAUUACAAAUUGAGUAAUGUACAUGGGUUAAGCAAAUAUACCUCAAUGAUACAAUGAGACACUUAUUUGUUUGUUUGCUUUGUGCAUCGACAAAAAUAAAUUAGAAUACUCUUUAAUGUUGCAAAAACAAUAUAUUGGAUAUUUGAUGCAUAAAAAAGAAAGUUAUUUGAUGAAAUUCAUUCUAGGAAAUAGAGCUAAGAAAAGAGCGGUGUAGGAUUAUCUUAUUCAUAUUUAAAAUUCUAAAUAUAUUGAUUUACUUAUCAUAGUGAUAUAAUAGUAAUUGUAAAUUAAAAAUAAAUUUAAUAUUAAAACAAAUAGAAUUUACUAAUAAAAAUAAAGUUAUAUAUCUUUUUUCGAAAUAUUUAAGAAUUUUAUGUCCUUUUUUUUUUCAAAACGUUUGGAGUGAAUUUCCAUUUCCCAUUAAGCAAAACCCACCGCAAAAGUGAAAAGAAAAAACAGAGCCCACUACAAAUCUAAAUCAGAGGAGCUCAUGAUCGUGCCUUUGCUUCACACACUAAAUUAAAUAAAAGCCGAACCAAGAAUUGCCUUUGCUUAACAUGAUUAAUUAGGCACUACAUCAAAGAGAACACGAAACCAAUGGACCCUUUUGUUAAUCUUAAAUGUCAGGAAUAUGAUUAGCUUGGAAUAAAGUUACAUACUUUCUCCUCCUCUUACUGUCUCUUUAUGUUCAUUUCAAAAGUUUGAAGAGAGUAUCAAUUCUUCUACACUUUAGAAUGUCAAUGUUCUUGCUUUCUUCAAAUGUUGAAUAAAGAGAAAAAAAAAUGUUGAAUGUAGAAGGAAAAUGGAAUGCAUCCACCUUCGCUUUGGAAGUCUUCUACUUAUAAAAGCAAGCUAAAUUAAAAGAUUUAAAUCUCUCUUUUUAUUACUAUAAGUGCACUGCAUUUUUUUUUUUAAAUAAUCACCUAUACAAAUUUGUAAUGUAAUGAAAUAUUCAUAUUCCUGUCGUGUCGAAAUGAGAUAAAAUGAAAUUUCAAAUAACACAAAUUCGACUCAUUUGUUAAAGGUAUAUACUUAAUAAGCUAAUAACAUAAUUAACAUAACGCUAUUAUUACACUAAAUGAAAUAAAAGACGGUAGCCACUAAAUGAAAUUUUGUUGUUAUUGUACGUUGAUUUAAUGGUUUGAUUUUCCACUAAAUGAAAUAAAGCCGUUAGAUUUUAAUUACGUUGAUUUAAUGGUUUGGAUUUAUAAAUGAAUAACGACGUGGUGUUUGGCUACCAUCUGAACCCACUGCAUCUAAUUGGUUUUGUGAUUUUUUGCUUUCUUCUUUGUAACGCUUGACUAUUUCUGGAAAUAUCGACCGCCAUCGACAGCAAAUCUGAACCAUGCAUUAUUUCUUAGUACUAAGAAAUAAAGUUUCCACCACCGUACCAGUAUGUCGAUUUGCGAAUACAUUCAUUCAAAUAUUAAACGUUCAGAGAAGAAAGCAAACCGUGGCAGGAUAGCAAAAACUGCGAAUGGUCAUUCCCAACACAAACCCCUAUGGCUGUUUUCCUUUUAAUUUUCUUCUUUGAAUUCUCCUUUUAUUAAUCAUUAGAAAACUCCCUUUUUUUUUUUUAAAUCAUGUGUUAUUAACAUUUACAUGGUUAAUGUCAUCGAAAUCAAAUGGUUGUUAUCUACGAAAAGAGAAUUGCUAGAAAUUUUGUUAGUCCCAUUGCAACAAUAUAUUGUUAUAAAUUGCAUUGUGUCCCAUAUAACAAAUAUAAUAAAAUCUCAAUAAAUUAAUAGUUUUGGGAACCAUAAAAAAAUUUAUUAAAAUUUAACAAAUAUCAAUUAAUCAGUAAAUUGAUAAAUUAUUAAUUUAUGAAAAUAUUCAUUAUUUUGAAAAAACAUGAUCACGUUUUUAAUAUUGAUUUACCCUGAGUUAAUAUCUAUUAUGUUUUAUUUGUCUAUUAGUUUUAUCUUGGGAAGAUUUUUUAAGAGUUAGCUGCUUUAUAUUAAGUUAUUAACAGUAAUAAAAUUAUUAGUUGAUACAGGCGAAUUUUCUGACCAAAAUCGUACAAAGAAGUUGAAAGUGUUUAUUUUUGUUAUUUCAAGACAUUCUAACAAACUAUAAGGGGUCACAAAAAGGUUGAUACGACGUAAAAUGUGGCAAGUCUUCCCACUUGUUAACAGUAAUAAAACUACUUCUUGUUCUUUUUGUCCUCAAGGGUCAAGCAAAAUACGACGUAAAAUGUGGCAAGUCUUCCCACUUGUUGUUCUUUGCAGCUAAGAAAAGAAAAACAAAUCCCGCAAUGGAGUCCCCUUAAGUGGCUUGCCUGGGUUUGCUCCCCAGUUCGAGUCGCAAGGAAGUCGCCUUUGUUGGGAGAACCUGUGUCCUCCAGUUCGAGCGGGGACUUCUAGUCUGAGUUGUGGUACGGGCUUAAAGGCGUCUCCCACAGUUGGGCCCUCCCCAGGAUACCUCGUGGUUAAGAAAAAAAAAAAAACAAGAAAAAAAGAGCCCGCCACCCAUUAAUAAUUUAGCAAUUCACCAAUCACCACAAAAUUCCAUUAGAUAUUCGUCGAUCAAGUAGUUAAUCCAGUGUCUGUUACGUAGAGCCUUCACUUUACAAAUCUUCAACUCAUAAACCAAGUUAAAUCAAGACGUUUCUCUGUAUAUAUAUAUAUAUAUAUAUAUAUAUUUUUUUUUUUUAACUCCUAAAACGUUUCUUUUUAGAAAUAUUUUACUUUAUUCAUCUAAUAUGUUAUCUAACAAAUAGACACAGAUGAAAUCACUCUAAAGUGAAGAUGAAAGGGGAAAAAAAAACAUUCCAACCACCAAUAAUUUAGCAAGCUUCACUUUUAUUCCACCAAAGUGUAAACAAAGCCAGCCCCCACCACCAUCGAUAAUUUUGCAAGCUUCACACGCUUGUUGUCUUCUCCUUGACGAACUGGACGUGGGUGGACCAAGAAUCAGUGAAAGAAUUUUAAAAAUAAUAAUAAUAAAAGAAAAACCUAAACAUUUUCGACUUAGAGUAGAACCGUAAUUAAUGCUAAAAUUUACUCCGCUAACGUUUUCAAAAUAUUGUUCUUUAUCAUUGUACAGCAAAUAAGACUAAGUUUUGGACAUUUUCAUUAUUCACUUACUUUCAAAAGUAGUAUUUCAAAACAUUUUACAUAAUCAAGUUACAGUUAUAUAACGAGAAAAGUGCAAAGUUGUGUAAUUCUAAUGUUUUUUUUAUCACAGACACUCAGAUCAUUUUUUAUUUGGGUCGCCAACUCGCCAAUGAACCCAUGAUUGAAUGAGUGUUUAGAAAGAAAAUCAAUAAAAAACAGUUUAUUUUUUGUCGUCGAAAUAUAGUAAGUGAGAAAGAAUAUUCUUUUUUUUUUUUGUUAGUAUUUAUGAUUGAGUGACUCAGAACUAUAUUUUAGAUUGAGAAUCAAUGGUUCUCCCACACUGAGAGGCUGUAAGUUUAAGAUUGUCGUUUGCUAUUUCAUCGACAAGAGAACACUUGAAUUUUAUUAAAAGGAGAAGGCCAUAAAGGUUUUCCUUUAUGAGAAAUGUAUCUGAUCAUUCAUUUUUACUUGAAAAUUUCAUAUAUAAAAACUCAUUAAUAAAUGACAGAAUAUGUUGAAAAGUCAUGCAUGUGGCAUCCAAAUUCAAGAAAGCAUGCAAAUUUCAAAGUGCUACCAAACAAUUGAAGAAAAAAAUGAAAAGUUGGCAAAUUUUGCAAAUUUGCCAAAUGGACACCAUUGACAAUUUGCUUAAGUUAGGUGGAAUAGUAGAGGGGUUGGUGCACUUCUUCCAUUUUAAUCAUCUCAAAAUUGUUAAGCUUAUAAGUUUCUAAGCUUUUGAGAGAAGUGAGAGAAGUGUGUAUGGGGAAUUUAUCUUUCCUGCAGAGUGUGAGAGUAUUGGGUAUAUUUGGGUUUCUGGGAAGUGAGAUUCGUUACUCAAAUAUUGUACUCUAUUAAUUGUUAAAUAAACAAUUAUUCUUUCUUGCCUCCGUGGAUGUAGGUUUAAUUACCGAACCAUGUAAUUCUUGUGUCCUUUAUUUUUCUAUAAUUAUUUGGUGCGCUUGAUUUCGCAUUCCGCGCACAACAAAAUAUACAUAAAUUAUUAAUUCAUUUGAUAGUUGAUUAUCGAAGGACAUGUGACCCAUGGGAGCAUGCAGUCUAUAAAAUAAUUCUUUUUUUAUUAAACAAAAAAUUGGUGAUGUUGAAAAGCAAUAUUAUUAUUAUUCUAAUUGGGGUGAACAUUCAUAAAAAGAAUGCCGUAUGAAACUAAAUUAUUAAUUCGUUUGAUAGUUGGUUAUCGAAUGACAUGUGACCCACAAUAAAUAGUUAAAUUUGGCGGCAACAAUAAUUACAAGACGAACUUAAAGCAGCGCAUAGUUUUUUCUUAAAAAUACAUAAACAAUUCGAUAUUUGAAAUUCUAAUAUCUCAAUAAUAUUGAUCAUGAUUCAGUUACCAAUUAGAUCCACUUACAAUUUCUUUUUUUCUUUUUUCUGGUUUCCAAUCUUUACCAAAAGAAAAUAUUUAGUGAUCCCUUUUAUCAACUUGGUUUUAUUGACUUUCUUCCAAUCAUAGAAGUGUUACCAGAUUCUGUAAAGACAAGAUCAGUGCCCAGCAAAAGAAGCUAUGUUUUCGUUUAUAUGCUGCUUCCUAUUUAGUACAUGCAUAUAAAGAUAUACACGUGCACAUGCAGCACAUCUAUCUAAAAUUUAAAAAACGGAAUUAGAAAUACAGGAUUUAUGGUAGAAAUACAACAGGAAUAAGAGUGAAAUUCCAAUUUUAAAAUUUGGGAGAAAUGAAAUGCGAUAUUUUUUUUAUUAAUAAAAUAAUUUAAUUUUUUUUAAUUCUACCAGCAAAAACCAUUAACUUAUCAAGUUAUUGGUUUCAUUCACAGUUGACAGUCGGUUUCUUAGUUUCAUUCCUUAAUUCUACAAGAAAAAAACAGAAUACUUGACAUUUUUUAUUUGACAGUUUUUAAGAAAUGUCAAACAUAUAUGACAUUUUGUGAAAAACUGAGUAAUUGUGAAAUAUAAAUGACAAUUUAUUUAAACGUCAAAUAAUUGUGACGUUUUAUCAAAUAAAUGAUAAAUAUAUUACAUAUUUAUUGAAUAAUUAUCAUUUACCUUUUCCUUUUAUUGACUUGAGAAAAAAAACAAAAACAUUGACUAUACUGCUUUUGUUUUCGUUCUUAGAACAGAUUUUAGUUUCUUUUGAGAAAAUUCAAACUCAUUCCCAUUACUUUCUUUUCAAUAAUCACCUCUCAGUUUUUCAUCAAUCACUCAAUUCCGAAUUUCAUCUCCAUUCUCUUUCGAAGAAGAACGCACAAAGAAUUUUAGCUUGCUUUCGCUGCUUCUCGAAUAUUGGGUAUUGUUUCCUUUAAUUUAGAUAAUUUUUUUUUUUAUAUCUCCCUUUCUAGUUUGAUAAUUUAGGGUUAUACUUGAAUUAAUUGUAUUUUUAAUCAACCAAGGUUGAUUUAAUUGAUUCCAAGUCUCAAUUUCCUGUCCAACAAACAAGGAACGCACAAAUAAUUUUCAUUUUCAUACUCCAUUUUGAAAGAAUCAAUUUAUUUUAUCUUUGGUUAGUACACUUCUGUUCAAUUUUUGUUUAUUUAACUUAAGAUAUCUUUUUCUUUCUUUUCUUCAAGCAGAUUAUAGAUUAUAUUGAGAACAGAGCUUUCUCCUUAAUUCCGCCAAGAGCAACGUUGAUUUCAGGUGAUAAUUGAAUGUGUAAUAUUUUCAAUUGAAAUUAAUUGAGAUUUACAUCCUGUUGAAAUGAUUUUAGAGUGUUCUGCUAUUUGAAUGCGCAUUAAUUGUUCCUCUGUUUCAAAUCCAAAUCCACUGGUCUACUAUUCAUUAUGACAAUGCAUAUGCCGAUAUUGUCUUCCAUCCUUUUUGUACCUUUCAAUUAGUGAGGUUUAGACAGGGGUUCCAGAUUUGGUAAAUCAACAAUCACCAGAUAUGUAGAGCGGCCGGAAGAGGAAGCAUGGUUCCUAAUCCUAAUCUUGAUUUAGAGCAGAUUAGGUAACAUGUGGCAUUCUACAUUCUUGCAAUGCCAUUUCUUGUUAUGGCAGCAGCAUUCUUGGUCAUGGCAUCACAAGCAAAUGCUUUGAUUUGAAGACUUGCUUGGCUAUGAAAAAUAAGGAGAGCAAAGGUAAUCAAUCUUGGUCUGAUCAACAUUUUUAUGGGGGUACUAAGAAAAAUAAAGAUAAUAUAAAGAAUGUUGUUGAGGAGUAUUUUCAUAUUUACACAAGUGUUCAAAGUAAAAAUUGAUUUCUUAAAACCCAUUAGCUAGCGCACAUAAUAAUGGGGAGAAAAUUUUAGACUACGAAUGGUCCCACCCAUUUAAUAAUAUUCUUCAAUCAAUUAUGUUUACUUCAAAAAAACAAACCCAUCUCUUUAUUACUUUCUAACUAUUCAUAUUAAUGUGUUAAUAAUUAUGAAGAACCGGUGUAAUUUAUAUGAUGUAGGAAGCACUUUAGGCAAAAUCAUUUGAAUCUAAAAAUUUCAUGAUAUUGUACCAAAUAUCCAAAACAGAGCUUCCUACAUUUCAUUGCGCUAGCUAAUUUCUUGUACCAAAAUUAGGAAUCAUUGAAGAGUGGAGUUACGUGACUGAAUAGUAUCAUAUCACAGAAACUCAAAACUCAAAAGUGCAAUAACAUUGAACAUUCAGCUGGCUAGCUUAUAUUAAUUAAUUAAUACUACUACUAGUUCUUUAUGAUUAAUUAAAAGAUAAAAUAUUUGACAAUCACAAAACAUUAUUCCAUCACUCAAGAGUAGAGCUUCCUACAUUGUUACCCAGCUCUUUUAUAUCUCCCAAACAUUAUUAGAGUCCCACAUUUGUGGCACAUCAUUAAGUAAAAUGUGCCAAUUAGGAAGAGCUGGCUUCUUUGUUUUGUUUUCUUGGAUGUGCUGCAAUUUUCAAGUAUCAUUCAAAAUUUUACGCCAUCAACACGGGAAAAUUAUAUAUAUUCUGUCAGCACUUGCAUAUGUUGCAAGUGCUGACAGAACUUUUCAUUUGAUUUGAUAAUUGGCUAAGGGUGAUUUCGAUAACGUUUCCAAAGAAGAUAUAGAACAUAGAUCAAAAAGAAAAAUAAGUAAUUUGAUCAGUAGAUGCAAAAAAUGAGCGAGCUUCGUAGUCUGACUAACAGGACAUGGCUUGGAGCAGGGAUCAAUGGACAAGUUUGAGGUUUAUGAAAUAUUGGGAAAACAGACAAAUAAUAAAGCCACUACAAGUUAAGCAGAUCAAAUAAACAGAACAGAGGAAAUAAGUGAUCAAUUUAUUACUUUGUGCAAUGGCCACAGCAACAGCGAAAAUAUGUCUACAUGACUACAUUAUCCGACUGGCAUGGUACUAUAACCGUGCAGCAUUACACUAACAUUUCCUUAUCAAUCAAUUUUGAUGGUAUGAUAUUAAAAACAUCGAUUUCAUAAUUUUAUGUAAUUCAAAGAAAAGAUAUAAUUGAUUUUAGUUAGUUUAACAUAUAAGGAAAGAGUAAUGGGGAAUGAUGUCGAUGUGGCACGUGAUGAGUAAAGAUAGACAACAAAUAUUGAUCAUGUAAUAAUGAAAUAUGUAUUUAUUGAAAAUAAAUUGACAAUUAAAAUUAAUAGAUAUAUAUCCAAUGCACCGAGUUUAUUUUAUCACUUCGCUAACCAUUUUGUAACUACAUGUUAAUUAGAAGUUGAAUUAAUUUUGACCAAAGACUCUAGAGAAUGUUGAAAAGAGAUUUGAUUUUUGUCUUUAAAAAUAUUAGAAAUGAAAUAAGUCAAAAUCAAUCACAAGAACAACAAUAAGAGCAUAUUUUGUAAAACCACAAAUACAUAUUAUAAAUUUAGUUUCGAAUUAGAUCAUUAUUAAUUUGUAUUGUAAGAGAGUCUUAUAGAAAAAUAUGAAUUUUUUAAAAGGAGAUUUGCUUAAGGAACAACUUUAGUUUGGUUUAAUUUGUGAAGGCUCAAGUAAUUGAAAGCAACGCAAUGGAAGGAAAUACAAGUUUGAUUUUGACAAAGUAAUCACUAAAAUAUUUGACAAGUUUGAGAUGUUAAAAAACUGGAAAAAUAGACAAAUAAAGAAAACCCUACAAGUUGGCAAAGCAAAUAAACAGAGGAAAACAGAGCAAAUAUUUACCGUUAUGCAUAUAUAUUUUUUAAAUUUCCGAAAAAGAAUGUUGCGAUAUUUUUUCCCAAAAAGAAGCACAGUUUGGCAUAUGUUGUGCUUUAUUUUAUUUUAUUUUAUUUUAUUGAAGUUACUUUGUAAACUGCUCCAGCAAUUUGUAUUUCCUUUCGGUGAGGUUGGUUUUUUUCUUUAAAUAAAAUUUCAGGGAUGAGAAUGCAAGUUUAGAAAGUACUGCAGCAACAAAGUGCAUUCAUAGCCAUAGCCGGUUACACUAUGUCUAGCUACAAUGCAAGUUUCACUUUUACUUAAUUAAAUAUACAAAAUUAAAUCACUUGAGCCUCUCGUUUCAUUAUACUUCAACUCAAAAUUAAAACGCAGAAUUGAUGGUAUUGGAGUUUCAUAUUUAAUUGUGCUGUAGUCAUGGGGAAUCAUAUGGCCAUCCAUUUUGACGUCUGUUUUAUGGCCAUCCCCACUAAGUAGCUUGGUCAUAUACAAUAUGUGUGUGCGUGUAUGUAUGUGUAUAUUGGGAUGUCAAAGGCCCUAAAAGAUAAAGCUGAACAUCAAUCCCAAAUCUAAAGUGAAAAACAGUAGCUGGAACAGAAUCUUUGUUUUGAUGUCUAAGCUCAAACAAUUGAUAGUAUAGAAAAUGCAUGAUAGAAUAGAGAACCCAUAUUUUAGCAAUAAUCCUAAGCUCACUGGCCCUUAGUUCAGAGUGGCAGUUCUUAUUCGUCAAAGAAUCAAAUUUACUUUUAGUUGUAUACAAGUAGAGCACUAGAUCAACAAAUAAUUGAAGACUUGCUUGGCUGUGGAACCAUAGGAAGGCAAUUCGUGAACAGCCUUGAUAUUUCAUUUGGUUUUAUCUAAUUCUUUGUAAAGUUGUCUUGUGUAUAAAAUUUUUGUUACAUGAAAUCGGUAGGUGAAGAGAAUUUUUAAAAGCAAACGUCAAAGUCACGAUCAAAGGGACGAAAUCAGUAUAAAUAUUGAUUGUCUCAAGUUAGAUUAUACAAAGAUGAAAUAAUGCUAAUCUAAAAAUUCGAUGAUUAUAAUUUGAUUUCCAUUAUAUUAAUUAUAUUCAAUCAUACUAUUUAAAUGAAGAACACUCCAGCAUUUAUAUACACUCAGCUUAUGAAAUUAAUUACAAAAUGAUAUUUGACAAAGUAUGAUGAAAAAGGUACAAAGUUAGACUUCCCGAUCAUGCAACCACCCAUCGAAUUGUGUAUUGUGUCAUCGUUGAGCUCUUAGAAGGAUUCAGCUGCUGAGGAGAAGAUAUAAUCGGUUUUUGUGUGAGAAGCUAUGUACUAUGCUUUUAUGGUGUUUCUCUUGGUAGUUGUCGGACAAACUGUAAUGUGAAUUUCUAUCUAAUGGGUAUCCUUUUAGUUAGUUUGGGAUUGUUGAUUUAUAUAUGAUGUUUGGUAUCUAAAAUUCAGAUGAUGAUAAUCUUGGCAGUACUUUUGUCAAAUUUUCUUGUGUUGUUGUUGGUUUAAUAAAAUAUCACAAAGGUGCAAAAUACAGUAAAAUUAACAUUAGAUAUAUUGAAAAAGAAAUUGACACAAGAAACUGAAAAUUAGUUGUUAAUUAUGAUGGGAAUAUAAUCUUGGUAUUUCAAUUAUAUCAUUUGCACUAAUCUCAUUGUGUCUAUCACUGAAAAGCAGAGUGGCUUGAUUAAAUAGUGUCAUAUUACGUCACAGCAAUCACAGAAACUUACCCAAAAGUGCAUGAGCAUUGAACAUUCAGCUAAUUUAUACUAAUUAAUUAAUAAUACUAACAAGAGAAGUUGGAUCUCGUCUUCUCUUGGAUAUAUCCGAUGACUUUGAGCUCUCCAGCCUCGCAACCGGAAAUGUUCUUCCUUCACAUUCGGUGAUUGUUUUUCAUUAUUGCGGCUACUUGACUCAAAUAUGCUAUUGCAAGAGGAGAUUUCUAUUUUGUCUGAUUUAAGCCAUAAGACGGGUUUCAAGGUUCAUUCUGAUUGUUUAUCUGUUAGCUUUUUUUGUUUUAAGAACUUCUUAUUUACGGAAGCAAAAUUCUCCUUUCCAGGAUGAUCUAGAUUUAGAAGUUGCUUUUGUCAUAUCAGACGAAGAGGCCAUCUUUAAGGCCUUGUCUAAGAUUGUUGAAUUUAGUAGAAGGGACUACUGCUCUGAUUGGUCAAAACUACUAUGGCUGUCUUUUUCAUGAGCUUCUAAUAUCGAAUCAGUUUUAAUGGUAUGAUAUUAAAAACAUCGAUUUCAUAAUUUUAUGUAAUUUCAUAGAAAAGAUAUAAUUGAUUUGAGUUAGUUUAACGUAUAAAGAAAGAGAGAUGGGGAAUAAUGUCGAUUUGGCAUGUGAUGCGUAAUAAUAGACACCAAAUAUUAAUAAUGUAAUAUUGAAAUAUAUAUUUGCUGAAAAAUAUUUGGCAAUAGAAUAAUGCUUUAAAAAUUUAAUAUUUUUUGCAAGAAAGUAAUUCGACAAUUAAAGUAAAAGAUGUAAAUGUUAUGCUUUCUUUUAUUUUCUUUUAUUGAAGUUACAUUGUAAACUGCUCGAAGCUAAAUACAAUAUUUACUCUUACACUAGGAUCUUUGCAAUGGUCUAGCAAUUUGUAUUCCUUUCGGUGAGGUUGGUUUUUUUCUUUAAAUAAAAUUUCAGGGAUGAGAAAUCUUAUCCAUUGAACAUCAACUUUGAAUUUUGUUAAUAUUCAAACUUAGAAAGUACUGCAGGAACAAAGUGCAUUCAUAGCCGGUUAAACUAUGUCUAGCUACAAUGCAAGUUUCACUUUUACUUAAUUAAAUAUACAAAAUUAAAUCACAUGAGCCUGUCGUUUCAUUAUACGUCAACUUAAAAUUAAAACGCAGAAUUGACGGUAUUGGAGUUUCAUAUUUAAUUUUUCUGUACUCAUGGGGAAUCAGAUGGCCAUCCAUUUUUACGUCUAUUUUAUGGCCAUCCCCACUAAGUAGCUUGGUCAUAUACAAUAUGUGUGUGCGUGUGUGUAUGUGUGUACUGGGAUGUCACAGGCCCUAAAAGAUAAAGCUGAACAUCAAUCCGAAAUCUAAAGUGAAAAACAGUACCUAGAACAGAAUCUUUGUUUUGAUGUCUGGAAAAUGCAUGAUAGAACAGAGAACUCAUAUUUUAGCAAUAAUCCUAAGCUCACUGGCCCUUAGUUCAAACUGGCAGUUCUUAUUAGUCAAAGAAUCAAAUUGACUUUUAGUUGUAUACAAGUAGAGCACUAGAUCAACAAAUAAUUGAAGACUUGCUUGGCUAUUGAACCAUAGGAAGGCAAUUCGUGAACAGCCUUGAUAUUUCAUUUGCUUUUAUCUAAUUCUCUGUAAAGUUGUCUUGUGUGUAAAAUUUUUGUUGCAUGAAAUCGGUAGGUGAAGAGAAUUUUUAAAAGCAAACAUCAAAGUCACGAUCAAAGGGACGAAAUCAGUAUAAAUAUUGAUUGUCUCAAGUUAGAUUAUGCAAAGAUGAAAUAAUGCUAAUCUAGAAAAUUCGAUCAUUAUAAUUUGAUUUCCAUUAUAUUAAUUAUGUUCAAUCUUGCUAUUUUAAUGAAAACACUCGAGGAUUUAUAGACACUCAGCUUAUGAAAUUAAUUACAAAACGAUCUUUGACCAAAUCUGAUGAAAAGAUCAUAUUAUAAGUGCAAAGUUAGACUUCCCGAUCAUGCAACUAUCUAUCGAAUUGUGGAUUGUGUUAUCGUUGAGCUCUUAGGAAGAUUCAGCUGCUGGGUAGAAGAUAUAAUCUGUUUUUAUGUGACAAGCCAUGUACUCUGCUUUUAUGGUGUUUCUCUUGGUAGUUUUUGGACAAACUGUAAUGUAAAUUUCUAUCUUAAGGGAUUCCUAAUCCUUUUAGUUAGUUUGGGAUUGUUGAUUUAUCUAUGAUGUUUGGUAUCCAAAAUUCAGGUGAUGAUAAUCUUGGCAGUACUUUUGUCAAAUUUUCUUUUAUGUUGGUGUUGUUUUAAUUAAAUAUCACAAAGGUGCAAAAUACGGUAAAAUUAACAUUGAGCUCAUGAGAUUGCCAUUAGAUAUAUUGAAAAAGAAAUUGAUACAAGAAACUGAAAAUUAGUUGUUAAUUAUGAUGGGAAUAUAAUCUUUGAAUUAUAAUUAUAUCUAUCUAACGCAUGUGCACUAAUCUUAUUUAUCUCUAUCACUGAAAAAGCAGAGUGGCCUGAUUGAAUAGUAUGAUAUUAUGUCACAGCAAUCACAAAAACUCACUCAACAUUAUGCUAAUUUAUACUAAUUAAUUAAUACGACUAACAGGAAAAGUUGGAUCUCGCCUUGCUAAAAAUCAGGUGAUUGUUUUUCAUUUUUGCGGCUACUUGACUCAAUUAUGUUAUUGCAAGAGGAGAUUUCUAUUUUGUCCGGUUUAAGCCAUAAGAUGGGUUUCAAGAUUCAUUCUGAUUGGUUAUCUGUUAGCUUUUUGUUUUAAGAACUUCUUAUUUACGAAAGCCAAAUUCUUCUUUCUAGGUUUAUUCAUAUUCAGAAGUUGCUUUUGUCAUAUCAGAAGAAGAGGCUAAGACUGUUUAAGUACUAGAAGGGACUACUGCGCUGAUUGUCUUUUUCAUGAGCUUCUAAUAUCCAAUGUUGAUUAACUCUUCCAUUUGAACAGGAGAGUAAUCAGAUAGUUGAUAUUUAUGUUAAAAAAGUUGGAAGCCACUUAAGCAAUUCAGUAUCAUGCGAGGACUAUAAUAACCCCGAUUCUUUUGCCUCUUGGAUUUUUGUGUUAAUUCACUUGCUGUAUGCUUAUCCGACCUCUGAUUUUUUCUUAAUCUUUCUUUGUAGUUCACUUCACAGCACUUAUAGCCGAUGCAUUGGCAUUUUCUGCUAUUUGUUAUUGUUCAUUGAAGCAAGUUAGCUUACGAGAUUUCUUUUUGAUAAAUGUUCUUCAGAGGGUUGUGAGAGGCCAAAUCAAUUGAGAUGACCGGGUUUUCUAGAUCAGCCAUCUUUGUCGUCAACAGUGCUAAACUGUCAAUUACUGAGACACCAAACUCUAACCUGAUUCAUAUGGAUGUAGACUAAAGCUUCUUGCCGAUACCAUCCCCAGUCAAAGCUGCUAUCUUUGAAAGUUUCGCAAGACAAAACAAUGUUGGUUUCCCAGUCGAUACAAAUACAGAUUUCAUAUAUGCAGAUUGCUCUCAAUCUCUGUUUAAUUAGCUAGUCCUCUGCUGUAUCCUAGAAGGUGGAACAAUACAUUAUGCUUCCCAGCAGGCUCCAAUGGGAUCUAUAUAUGUUUCUGCAGCCAAAUUUUUUAAAGCGAUCAUUGUGAAUAUCCCUACCCAGUCUGAAGUGGGCUUUGAUACUUGUUACAAUACUCGAUCGAGGCUGUAAAGAAGCUGUGGGUGUACAUUUCUGGCCCAACAAUCAAUCUAACUGGCUUACUUUACAGCAAAAAAGAGAUAGAGAAUAUAUUAACUGCUUGUGCAGAAUAUGGAGCAAGAGCUUAUUUAGUGUCGGGUCAAAAUAAAUAUAGCAAAGUUUUAGCUGAAUAUAAAUUGUUAAUUACAGGCAGAGCAAGUUGAGUUUAAAAAAUGCGAAACACCCAGUCCCAAAACAGAGAAGCUUGACGUUGGCCGGCAGGAUUAAUAUUAUUUUUUUUUAACAACAAUCAAAGCCAGUUGGGAAUUUAUUAAGAGGUUAAUUCGUUGAAGUAUAAAAAAGGAAUUAGCAGGAUUCACGCCCGACCAAAUCCACAUGUCCAAAGCAAAGGAUUAAGUUUGAGAGAUUAUAAUGAAAUAUAAGUAAGCGUCGUACAUGCAUGCGUCUGACUGACAGAACAAAUGAAGGAAACAUAAACUUAUCAUUUUUAAGAUGUAAGCAUCAAAACAAUCGACAAGUUUGAGGUUCGUGAGAUAUUGGGAAAAUAUACAAAUAAUAAAGCCACUACAAGUUAAGCAGAGCAAAUAAACAGAGGAAAUAACUGAUCAAUUUAGUUCUUUGUGCAAUGGCCACAGCAACAGAGAAAAUAUGCCUACACGACUACAUUAAUCCUACUGGCGUGGUACUAUCACCAUGCAAAUUAACAUUAACAUUUCAUCAUCAAUCAGUUCUGAUGACAUGAUAUCAAAAACAUUGAUUUCAUAAUUUUAUGUAAUUCAUAUAAAAGAUAUAUAUAGUCGAUUUGAGUUAGUUUAACAUAUGAAGAAAGAGUAAUGGGGAAUGAUAUCACUGUAGCGUGUGAUGAGUAAUGAAAGACACCAAAUAUGGAUCAUGUAAUAAUGAAAUAUGUAUUUACUGAAAAAUAUUUGGCAAUAAAAUGGUGCUUUAAAAAUUUAAUAUUGUUUGCUAAAAAAUAAUUUGACAAUUAAAAGUAAAAGAUGUAUAUGCAAAACUUUGACCUUAUUUUAUCACUUCACUAACCAUUUUGUAAGUACAUCUUAAAUCGAAGUUCAAUUAAUGCUGACGAAAGACUCCAGAGAAUGUCGAGAAGAGAUUUGAUUUUUGUAUACCAAAAAAUUACAGAUGAGAUAAGUUAAAAUCAAUUACAAGAACAACAAAAAGAAUACAUUUUAUAAAAGCCACAAAUACAUAAAAUAUAUAAUCAGUUUCGAAUUAAGUAAUUAUUAACUUAUAUAGUGAGAGAGUGUUAUAGGAAAGUUUGGAAUUUUUUAAAAGAGAUUUGCGAAGGAAAAAGUUUAGUUUAGUUUAGUUUGUGAAGGCUCAAGUAAUUCAAAGCAAUGCAAUUGAAGGAAAUAUAAACUUCUAAUUUUUACAAAGUAAUCGCUAAAAUAUUUGACAAGUUUGAGAUUUUCAAAAAGCUGAAAAAAAUAGACAAAUAAUGGAGACCCUACAGAUUGGUAGCGCAAAUAAACGGAGGAAAAUAGGGCAAACAUUUAUAUUUUCCAAAAAGAAUAAAAGCACGUGUCAAUUACCAAAUAACUUCCACUUUAAAAAAGAAUAAAUGCUAAUAUCAUUGUUAGCACAUGUUGUGCAUUUUUCAUUUAUUUAUUUAUUUCUUUGCUUUUACUUAUUGAAGUUACUUUGCAAACUGCUCCAAGCAAACUACAAAAUUUCUUCUCACUCUAGGAUCUUUGCAAUGGUCCUGCAAUUUGUUUUCCUUUCUAUUAGGUUAGCUUUUUAUUCCAAAAAAAAAAAAAAAAAAAUUGGGCAGAUGGAAACCUCACCCACUAAAUACAGAUUUUGAAUUUUAUUAUUAUUCAAAAUUAGAUAACUAUGCAAAUAAUGUGCGGUUAUAACCAGUGAAACUGUGUCUAGCUACGAUGCAGGUUUAAUUUUCACUUGAUUAAAUAUAAACAAAACUAAAUCACCUGGGCCUCUGGUUUCACUAUUUUUCAACUUGAAAUUAAAACGUAAAAAUUGAUGGUAUUGGAGUUCGUUGUUUAGUUUUGCUGUAGGUCAUGGGAAAUCAAAUGGCCAUCCAUUUUUAUGUCUAUUUUAUGUACUAUUGGUCACUAAGUAGCUUGGUCAUAUAUGUGUAUUGGGAUGUCAUGGGACCUAAAAGAUAAAGCUGAAAAUCAAUCCCCAAUCUAAAGCGGAAAACAGUAGCUAGAACAGAAUCUAUGGUUUGAUGUCUUAGUUUAUAGGCUUAAACAAUUAAUAGUACAGAAAAUGCAUGAUAGAACUCAUCUUUUAGCAAUAAUCAUCCGCUCACUGGCCGUCAGUUCAGAAUGACAAUUCUUAUUAGUCAAAGAAUCAAGAUGAUUUUUAGUUGUAUAUGAAUAGAGCACUAGAUCAACAAAUAAUUGAAGACUUGCUUGGCUGUUGAACCAUGCCGAUGGCAAUUCAAAGACUACAGCUUAGCUCUGCCAUUCAAAGUAAGCAACUCAGCUGCCCAAAGACUGCCAAGCCAUCAAGACAAUACCAAGAUACAACAUCAAGAAUCACGUACAGGCCGUCACAUAUUACAUUUGUCCUCUGUUUUAAGAGAGAUUUACGAACCCAUGCAGUAGGAGUAAUUAAUUAAUUUAUACGUUCAGUACUCAUUCCUCUUUCUUCUGUUUCAAAUCCAAAUCUAGUGCUCCAUCAUUUAUUAUGACGCAAGGUAUAUGGGUUAGCAUGUGUCGAUAUUGUCCUCCAUUCUUUGUGUACCUUUCUUCGAACAAGGGACAACCCGAGAUCUCCAAUCGCAAAAGAGAGGCAGGCAGGCCCUUCUCUGGAAAGUACUUGAGCUUGGGACAAUUACAGAGUUUGAUCAAAUGAGGUUUUAAUGAUCAACAAUUGAAGAAGACAGGCGUUCCAAAUUUAGUAAAUUAACAAUCACCAAAUAUGGUAGGGUGGCAGGCAGAGGAAGCGUGGUUCCUAAUCCUAAUCUUGAGUGAUAACUGGCUAUGUAACAUGUGGCAUUCUACAUUCUUGCAAUGCCAUUAAUUUCUUGUUAUGGCAGCAGCGUUCUUUCAUCAUGGCAUCACAAGCAAAUGUUUGAUUUGAAGACUUGCUUAGCUGAGGAAAAUAAGGAGAGCAAAGGUAAUUAAUUUUGGGGUGAUGAAUAUUUUUAUGGGUGUACUAAGAAAAAUAAAGAUAAUAGAAGUAAUGUUAUUGAGAAGCAUUUUGAUAUUUACAAAAGUGUUCAAAGAAAAAAGUUAUUUUUUGAAAUCUAUUUGCUGGUGCACAUAACAAAAGGGCAUUCUGAGUAAAUUUAAAACUACAAAUAGUCUCACUCUUUUAAUAAUAUUCAAUUAAUUCUGUUUAUUUCAAAAUAAAUAUUCUAUCUCUUUAUUACUUUCUAACUAGUCAUGCUAAUGUGCUAAUAAUUAUGAAGAACUAGUGUAAUUUAUAUGAUAUAAGAAGCCCUUUAGCACAUUAACCCGAAUUUAGCUAAUACAUGUGCCUAAUAUAGCGAAAUCAACAUUCAGCGCAUUAGAGUGCUAUUAUAUAUAUUGAGAAAGAAAUUAACACAAAAAACUGAAUAUUAAUUGACACUGGAUCAUGUUGGAUUGUCAGUUGUUAAUUAUGAUGGGAAUACAAUCUUCAUCAUUGCGGCUACUUGACUCAAUUAUGCUAUUGCAAGAGGAGAUUUAUAUUUUGUCUGGUUUAAGCCAUAAGAUGGGUUUCAAGAUUCAUUCUGAUUGGUUAUCUGUUAGCUUUUUGUUUUAAGAACUUCUUAUUUACGGAAGCCAAAUUCUUCUUUCCAGGUUGAUUCAGAUUCAGAAGUUGCUUUUGUCGUAUCAGAAGAAGAGGCCAUCUUUAAGGCCUUGUCUAACACUGUGGAAGUACUAGAAGGGACUACUGCGCUGAUUGUCUUUUUCAUGAGCUUCUCUUCCAUUUGAACACGAGAGUAAUCAGAUAGUUGACAUUUAUGUUUCAAAAGUUGGAAGCAACUUAAGCAAUUCAGUAUCAUGUGAGGACUAUAAUAAUAAGCCGAUUCUUUUGCUUGGAUUUUUUUGUUAAUUCACUCGCUGCAUGCUUAUCCCUCCUCUGAUUUUUCUUAAUAUUUCUCUGUAGUUCACUUCACAGCACUUUAGCCGCUACAUUGGUGAAAAGAUAUUAUGCUCAAAAUAUUUUCUUUGUAUAUCGAAGAACGAGAGAGUUACAAGCUUAUAUACAACUAUUAAGGUCAGCCAAAUCUCUUAGAGUAACGGCUAGACAGGCUGUCCUAUUUAUGACUACAUACAUUAAGGAAUGAAAUCAUUUGUACAUAAGGAAUAUUAAUAUUAUCAAGUGAUACUUGCUCAAAAUAAAGAUUGUGUCUAGAAUAAGGGAUUGCCGAUGCCAAAUCUUGCUGCUAAUAAUAUUCGGUGAGCUAUAGCUACUGAUUGUAUGGUUUAUCAUCCCCCCUCAAGCUGGUGUGCGGAAGCGGAAAAAUCCCAAGCUUGCGACGAAGAUUAAGAAACUGAAAUUUUGAGAGAGCCUUCGUGAAGACAUCGGCGAUCUGCUUAAAUGAAGGGACAUAAUGUGUAGAAAGCUGACCAGCAGUUACUUUCUCCCGAACAAAAUGAUAGUCCAGUUCUAUAUGUUUUGAUCGAGCAUGAAAAACUGGAUUUUUUGACAUGUGUAAAGCACUUUGAUUAUCACAUAGUAUCCUUGGGGGUUGAAGAAGAAAUAGGCCAAUGUCCAUAAACAAAUAAGUAAGCCAAGUGAUUUCAGCUGCAGUUGACGCCAUGGCACGGUAUUCAGCUUCUGCACUAGAACGGGAAACAGUUGGUUGUUUCUUAGAUGCCCAAGAUACACAAUUAGCACCAAUAUACACACAGUAACCGGUAGUGCUUCUUCUAGUGUCCUUGCAUCCAGCCCAAUCUGCAUCACAAAAGGCAACAAUUUUUAAAGGACUUUGAGAUGUAUAUCGAAUGCCAAAUUGAAUGGUUCCCUUUAGAUAUCGAAGUAUUCUCUUGACAGCUCGCAUAUUAGCCUCGUUGGGGGCUUGAAAGUUUUGACAAACUUUGUUUACAGCAUGUACAAUAUCAGGCCUAGUAAAGGUCAAAUAUUGUAAUGCUCCCACAAUGCUACGAUAUGUUGUUGGAUCGACUGGUGUAAGAUCAUUUGGAUGUUCUUGAGGUUUUACUGCAAUUGGAGUGGAGAGAUGUGUGCUGUCCAGCAUUUUAGUCCUGCAAAGUAGAUCAUAAGUAUAAUUUGUUUGAGAGAUAAAUAUGCCAUCAGAAAGAUAAUUUAUUUCAAGUCCUAAAAAAUAAUGUAAGGGGCCUAAAUCUUUGAUGGCAAACUCUUUGCUGAGAAGAGAGAUAAGUUUCUCUAAAAGUAGCUCAUUAUUUCCUGCAAGGACAAUAUCGUCAACAUAAACAAGCAUAAGAGUUAUAGUGUUGUGUGUGUGUAGGACAAAUAACGAAGAAUCUGCCUUACUGCAUUUGAAGCCAUUCUGAAGUAAAAAUUGAGACAACCUUUCAAACCAAGCACGAGGUGCUUGCUUUAGUCCAUAAAGUGAUCGCUUUAAUUUACAUACAUGGUUGGGAAAUCUAGCAUCUGUAAAUCCUGGAGGUUGUUCCAUGUAUAUUGUUUCUUUUAAGAAACCAUGAAGAAAUGCAUUCUUCACAUCAAGUUGUCGCAUCACCCAUUUUUCAGUUACAGCUAAGGAUAAAAUGACUCGAAUGGUGGUGUGUUUAAUAACCGGACUAAAGGUUUCUCCAAAGUCCAGUCCCGGUAUUUGAGUAUAUCCCUGUGCCACCAAUUGUGCUUUAUGUCGAUCAAGAGUUCCAUUUUUCUUGAAUUUAUUUUUGAACACCCAUUUUGAUCCUACAACAUUCAAGUCCUCUGGGCGAGGAACUAGAACCCAAGUCUCAUUAUGUUCAAGAGCUCGAAUUUCUUCUUCCAUAGCAGAUUUCCAAUGUGGCUGCUUAAUUGCGGAUUUCCAUGAUUUUGGCUCAACUUGAACAUUAAGUGCCAUUUGAUCAGCAAGUUCAGGAUUAUUUUUCAAUCGACGCCUUGUGAUCAUAUGGUGAGGAGCUGUCAAGUUUUGAUUUGAUGAUGAUGACUGAGAAGAGUGCCCGCUUUCAUGUGGUAUUCUUAGGUCCACAUAGAUGUUGAUUCCUUCUGGACUGGUCUCUGAAGAAUUUGCUGUGACAUCUUGAGUGCUUUCUUUAGAGUUAUCUGAUCUUGUGGGCUCAAUAGCGUCUGACACCACCAAAGGAAUGUCAUCACUUGUUAUAGGAAUAUUAAUAUUAUCAAGUGAUACUUGCUCAAAAUAAAGAUUGUGUCUAGAAUAAGGGAUUGCCGAUGCCAAAUCUUGCUGCUAAUAAUAUUCGGUGAGCUAUAGCUACUGAUUGUAUGGUUUAUCAAUUGGCAUUUAAAUGCUAUUUGUUAUUGUUCCUUGAAGCAAGUUAACUUAUGGAAUUGCUUUUUGGUAAAUGUUCUUCACAGGACUGUGAAAGGCCAAAACAACUGAGAUGACCGGGUUUUCUAGAUCAGCCAUCUCUGUCCUCAACAGGGCUGAACUGUCAAUUACUGAGACACCAAACUCUAACCUGAUUCAUAUGGAUGUAGACUAAAGCUUCUUGCCGAAACCAUCCCCAAUCAAAGCUGCUAUCUUUCAAAGUUCUGCAAGAGAAAACAUGUCUGAGUCAGACAUUGACGUCCCCCCAAGAAUCAAACAGUAUAUCAAGAGCAAUGUUGGUUUCCCAGUCGAUACAAAUGCAGAAUUCAUAUAUGCAGAUUGCUCUCAAUCUCUGUUUAAUAAGCUAGUCCUCUGCUGUAUCCUACAAAGUGGAACAAUACAUUAUGCUUCCCAGCAGACUCCAAUGGGAAGCAUGUUUCUGCUGCCAAAUUUUUGAAAGCUAUCAUUGUGAAUAUCCCUCCCCAGUCUGAAGUGGGCUUUGAUACUUGUGACAAUACUCGAUCGAGACUGUAAAGAAGCCGUGGGUGUACAUUUCUGGUCCAACAAUCAAUCCAACUGGCUUGCUUUUACAGCAGGAAAGAGAUAGAGAAUAUAUUAACUGUUUGUGCAGAAUAUGGGGCAAGAGCUUGUUUAGUUAUUAUAGAUAUUUAAUAAAAUAAUAACACGAUUAAUAUGUUACUAAACAAAUAAACACAAUUGAAAUAGCCGUAAUGUGAAAACAAAACAACUCCAUUGUUUUUGUGUUUUUUUGUAAAUUCUUGUCAUUUAGAGUUUUUUGGGCUUUACUGCAUCAAUUAUUUGGUGUUUAUCUUGUUUUAUUCUUUUACGAUGUAAGAUUCUUGGUAGUGAUACAUCUGGAAUAAGAGUGAAAUCGCAAUCUUACAAUUUGGAGAAAUGAACUGCGAUAUGAUACUUCAUGAAAAAAAGAUUUAAUUUAUUAUUUCUACUACUAAAAACUAUUAAUUCAUCAAACCAUCAAGAUUUUUUUUCUUUUUUUUUUUUGAAUUCAACCCAUCAAUCUUUGUUUGUAACUGCCAGACCGUCAGUUUCUUUCUAUCACUAUGCAACAUUACAUUAACAUUUCCUCAUCAAUCAAUUUUGAUGGUCUGAUAUUGAAAACGUCGAUUUCAUAAUUUUGUGUAAUUGCAUAGAAAAUAUGUAAUUUCAUAAUGAAAGAGUAAUGGGGAAUGAUAUCACUGUGGCGUUUGAUGAGUAAUGAUAGACAACAAAUAUGGAUCAUGUAAUAAUGAAAUAUGUAUUUAUUGAAAAAAAUUUUGCAACAAAAUGAUGCUUUAAAAAUUUAAUAUUAUUUGCUAGAAAUAAUUUGACAAUUAAAAGUAAAAGAUAUAUUUGCAAUCCUUCGAGUUUAUUUUAUCACUUCACUGACCAUUUUGUAACUACAUGUUAAAUAGAAGUUCAAUUAAUAGAAGUUCAAUUAAUCGUCGUCUUCGACCUUUACACGGUCCUCCCCUUCCAGCCUCUCUGAAUUUCUACUGAUCAUCACUCCCCACCAGCCAACCAGCUUCUCUAUGCUACCUUCUAGAAUUCUAAAGACUUUAAUUAACUUCUAGACUUGUUUCUGGGUUUAAUCAAUUUGCUCCCCCCCAGUUUCCAUGUAAAAAUUCUGCUUAAUUUAAUUAAUUGUUAAUUAACAAAUAACAGAAACGCUAAUUUUCGCGCAAGUUUCAACAUUACUUACUUGGUUGCCU